AGAUGAGAUGCAGGUAUAAAGUUGCAGCAAUGCCAAUGGGGAGUUAUUGUUAACAUGGUUCUAUCCAAAGGGAUAAGGAGCCGAUAAUUGCAGGGAAGCGGAGGACCAUGGCCCCUUACUAUUUGUUGCUAUCAAUCAUUUACCUUCAUCCCACUGUGGGGUACCUGCACCUUCCCCAUCCCGUGUUUUUCAACCCGGACCGCUUUUAUCAAUCAUGCGAGCUUUUGCAAACAACAACUGACCAUUACCUUUUGAGCGUUGACAACUUCAUUUAGCUUCAUAUUGUUCGCUGUUAUGCAUCUUUGAUCGAUCAAGUGGAGUAUCAUUAAAAUAGAGUUGAAAUGGGAGGAACAUUUUUAUUGAAAUAGACGUAUUAGUCAUUAAAUCCUUCCAAAUUGACUCAAUCUUAAUUUAAUGUUAGGAGAAACGAGCACGAGUUGGCAAUUGUAUAACGAAUAAACUCUGAAGAAGUAAUAUAUAGCAUCCCAUAUCUUAUUAAUCUUAUGCUAAGAGAUGGAGAGUGGAGGGCUGCACUGAGUAUGACUUGCUAUACAGUUUAUGUUAAAGAUGAGUACUGGACAAGGUAUAAAUCUCUCUUGAUCUUUGAUCUAAGGCCUGGAGAAGCGCUGCGUGGAUGGAAAUCUAUCUAACAAGAUAUAUAGUGCAAAGCCGGUGCAAGUAAAAUGCAAGUGGGGACAUAUUCACUAUGUUCAUCAUGAUGCCCUCCAGCAGCUAUUAAAACGAUAGGUGAAGGACCACAAUUUUUCUUUUUGCACCUGUUAGCUAUAAUUUUCAAUGGAAACGUUUGAUUCUUCCAUUUUCAAAGCUGUUAAGACUGCAAAUCGAUGCUUAAUCUUUAUUUUCGGCUCCAAAUUUUGUUUGUGACCAUUCUUUUGUGUGUUUAGAGAACUAUUCUUCUGGUUGAUAGAAUUUUCUGACAAGUACAAUGCAUUGAUUUCAAUCCUUGCAGUUUAAUAUAUAUUGAAUUCGAAUUUUCUAUUCUUCCUGACGGGAAGAGCUUUUCUGCACAACUUUCCCGGGAAGUGUUUGCCGAACAGAUUUAGUGGUUGUGAUCUUGGAUAUUGAUUUGGGAAAUAUGCCUGAGAAUGUGGCUAAUAGGAUGUGUAGCUCUGUAACUAAACUCUGCGACGUGGAUCAAGAUGUGGCCUUUAAUCUAAAGCUUUCUAUCAGACAACUAGGUAAAGAAAACUUAAUUUCUGGAUGAACUAUUUAUAUUACAACUGAAACAUUGCUAAUUGCUAUUGUGCUAAAACUGAAGUAAUGAACGUUUUAAGUUGUUCACAUUACAAAUGGCCAGCAUCAGUCAGCCAGCUAUAUAUGCGGGUACGCAUCUAUAGAACAAUUAUGUGAUUUUAGCCAAUAUUAAUGUUAACACAGAGGUUUCGGGCACUGUGAUGGACCUUAUAAACUUUUCUAGGACCACUGCAACUACAAACAAAUUGAUCCACUGACAUCAACUGCUAUUUAAUGUGGUUUAUGGUCUCAGAAUUGAGGAUCGUUUUUUCCGGGCUAAGUUGGUUUCAGGGUUAUAUUUCUUAUCUUAUUUAUAACUCGUUGAUAUUUUUGGGAGAUAAGUGGAAGUUUCUUGCAGAUUCUGAAAGAAACAAUUCAAGAGUAAAAUGCAUUUUCAGUAUGAUGAAAUUGUUCACAUUAACCUCUUUACUAUGAUAUUGACAUAAUUGGCCUUUCAUUGUAGAUUUGUGAGCGAGCACUUCAGUAAAUCAUAAAAUUUUUACUUAUUACUAGUUAUCUCAUUGCUGAUAUGUGAUUGAUCUGUCUAGGCGAGGGACACACUCACUCACGCAAGAGAACAAAAAGGAAGGUUCCAAGUUACAACUAGGAGAACUUGUCUGCCCAAGAACCCCGUACACACGCCCCAAAAAAAAUCGUGUAACAAACACUCUAAAUCUAUGUAUUUAAAAUGACCAAUCUUUUUGGUCUUGAGAGUAAUAGUCAUUAAGGUGGUGCUUGGAUCAUUAGUAUAAGGGGUCCCGCCAUAAAACUAACUGAGAUGGGGCACUGUAGUACUGCAAUCGUUAUGAGCGUCUUUAAAACACUCUUGAGUCAUUGCGCUUGGGGGUUGAUAAUUGUUCUAGUUCACGCUUUUCCUUUUAAUUUGUGACUUGAAACUAGGAAUCAUUUUCUCGUGGUGGCUUCUAAUGGACGGUGGACUUCCCAUGCUUAACUGUCUCUUGCAGCACACGCUGAGAAGCUUAUGUUCACGUUCUGAUUCUUCUAAUUCCUCGAAGUGGGUGUACGCUGUCUUUUGGAGGAUUCUGCCUAGGAACUAUCCUCCACCAAAGUAAGAUAAAUAGAACUAUGUCAUAUGUCAACUUUCAAUAGUAAGUUCAUGUCUAAUUAGUUAUUAGUGUUCGUAGAUCAUCACAUUGCUUUGUUGCAGGUGGGAUCGUGGAGGCAGUGCUCUUGAUCGCUCCAAAGGCAAUAAAAGGAACUGGUAACUGGGAAGCAUAGUACCAAACUCAAGUUUCAUUUGGUUUAAGUUGAGUUCUUGAAAUGGAAUUUUAUUUCAGGAUUCUUGUUUGGGAAGAUGGGUUCUGUGAUUUUUUUGAAUGUGAACGUGCCGGAAGUGGAUAUAUGAAAGGGAGGUUUGGAGCUGAUAUCUUCUUCAAAAUGUCUCAUGAAGUUUAUAAUUUUGGAGAAGGGUGAGAAUUAAUAAUCCUCUGCUUUGUUUUUCCAACUUUCUUAAAUGAGACAAAGAAACCGAGUUGGAAAAUUCGAAUUGACAAUGUGUGUGCUGCUUGGUUCCAGAUUAGUAGGUAAAGUUGCAGCAGACAAUAGUCAUAAGUGGGUGUUUAAAGAAGCCACAACAGAAAGUGAACCUGGCUUCACCUCCUCUUGGAAUGCUUCUAUUGAUCCUGUAAGGAAAUCGGGACAACUUUUCUGUUGAAUGGAUGCAUGCACGAAAUGUAAUCCUUUUCUUUCUAUCCUGACUCUUAUCAUGAUUUUGUUUCUUACUUGACACAGCAACCCAAGGCUUGGGAAUUUCAAUUUAAUUCAGGAAUUCAGGUGGGCAUUUUUACACGAUCUAUUUUCAGAAGUGUAAAAUAGACAUGUCUGUGUGAGUACUCAAGAUUGAGCCCAACUAUAACAUAUGAUAAGUUUAAUCUAUUUUACAGACAAUUGCUAUCAUUUCUGUGAGAGAAGGCAUCAUUCAACUGGGCUCCUUUGAUAAGGUCUCUCUUCUCUCUCUCUCUCUCUCUCUCUCUCUCUCUCUCUCUCUCUCUCUCUCUCUCUCUCUCUCUCUCUCUCUCUCUCUCUCUCUCUCUCUCUCUCUCUCUCUCUCUCUCUCUCUCUCUCUCUCUCUCUCUCUCUCUCUCUCUCUCUCUCUCUCUCUCUCUCUCUCUCUCUCUCUCUCUCUCUCUCUCUCUCUCUCUCUCUCUCUCUCUCUCUCUCUCUCUCUCUCUCUCUCUCUCUCUCUCUCUCUCUCUCUCUCUCUCUCUCUCUCUCUCUCUCUCUCUCUCUCUCUCUCUCUCUCUCUCUCUCUCUCUCUCUCUCNNNNNNNNNNNNNNNNNNNNNNNNNNNNNNNNNNNNNNNNNNNNNNNNNNNNNNNNNNNNNNNNNNNNNNNNNNNNNNNNNNNNNNNNNNNNNNNNNNNNNNNNNNNNNNNNNNNNNNNNNNNNNNNNNNNNNNNNNNNNNNNNNNNNNNNNNNNNNNNNNNNNNNNNNNNNNNNNNNNNNNNNNNNNNNNNNNNNNNNNNNNNNNNNNNNNNNNNNNNNNNNNNNNNNNNNNNNNNNNNNNNNNNNNNNNNNNNNNNNNNNNNNNNNNNNNNNNNNNNNNNNNNNNNNNNNNNNNNNNNNNNNNNNNNNNNNNNNNNNNNNNNNNNNNNNNNNNNNNNNNNNNNNNNNNNNNNNNNNNNNNNNNNNNNNNNNNNNNNNNNNNNNAUAUAUAAAUAUAUAUAUAUAUAUAUAUAUAUAUAUUUAUAUUAUGUUUUGUACGUUAAAUUAAAUUACGACUGAUAAAUUCUUUCAGAUUGUGGAAGAUCUCAAUCUGGUGAUCAGCGUUCAGAGGAAAUUCAGCUACCUUCAGAGCAUUCCUGGUGUCUUUGCCAUACAAAGGCCAUAUCUGCCAGUCCAUUUUCCAUACAUCAUCAAACCCAAUAAUCAUACAAUGGAAAGCCAGGAAACAGCUCUCUUAGCCGAUAACAAGUGCCUCCUAACUGGAGCAAAAAGAUUGCUCCAUGAAAUACCUGAAGAUUCUCCGCUCAAAUCUAUUAACAUAGGUUGGAACAGCCCUCAAAUUGGAAUUGCAGGAGCACCUAUUUGGUCAAUACCUCCUCUUAUGCCAACCAUGUCAUGUAGCCUUGGAGCUCUGCUAUCAAAGCUACCUUCCGUGAUCCCAUCCUGUUAUGUCAAUGAAUCUCCCAACGCAACUCUGAUGAACAACAGCAGUAGAAUCAAUGCUACAUGCAAGAGAUUGAAAGAUGAUCAUAGUGGUGUUGUAAGCGAAGUCCACGUUGCUGAUAGAAAAGUGGAGUCCUCACGCCUAUUAGAUGAUGAAGAACAAAAGCAGGUGUAUAUAAACACUAACUUACAGGAUAUGGUGGUGAGGGAACUGGGAUUUGAACCUCUGAGAGAGGAAGACAGUGCUCUAAAUUUCAAUUAAUUAGGAGAACCAAAUUAAUUUAUAGUAAUAAAGGCAAGGAGCUAAUGUUAUGGCUUUACAGUCCCCUGCUCAUGCCCCAUUGUUGCUUUGUUCAUAAAAAGGCAGCCCUUAAAAAUGUAUCGAGGUAUCAUGUGAUAGAUGUAACUUGAGAAUAUUCCUUUCACACUACGCCAAUGGCCAUGGAAAACUGAAUGCAUUUGGUUUGUCUUCUUUUCUAAAUUUCUUUUCUCCUUUCGGCCUGUUUGGAUGUCAACAAUGUGCAAUUGCAAAAGUAGCAAUGCAGAUGCUGCGUGAUAGUGGUACUGCAAAUUUUUAAUUGUUUCGCAAUGUAGCUAGACACUGGUGUGAUGAGAGAAUUGAAAUGAAACAGCUUUGUACUUGAAGCUCAAAAGCUACCAAAACUGAAUCUAUAAGUUAAGGUUACUAAUAAUCAAGGCCAGCUUUCAUAAUGAAGACUGAUUUAUAGUUAUGAGAAAGUCGUUCCCCUUUUGUUGGGCGCAAGGUUUGGGUGGCUAUGCGGGUCGCAGCGCCCGUGGUCUAGUUCCCAUCGCUUAGUGUGUUGGAGUCCACCAUAUGUAGUGGUCCCCUGAAAGCAUAUGAAGAUGAAAUAUGACUGAAGAUAAAUUCACGAUCAAGUUGUAUGCGACAUUUGGUAACCAACCUCCGACAAAAUGGAUGGUCCCCAACCUCAACUUACAGAUUUUUUGGGACAUCAUUAUAUCCAAGAAAAGGAGUCGUGAUUUUGUAAUAUACGAUGCAAGCAACCCAUUGUGGUUAGAUGUCAUCCUUAAUAUGAAACACUAUCAAUAAACUCCAUUUGAUUUGAAAAAAUGAGAAGAGAGUAGAGGAGAGUAACAGAAAAGAGAGAGGGGGAGAGAAAAUGAGGGAAAGAGAGAGUAAAUCUCAAUUUUAAUCUCUUUCCCCGCUCCUCUUUUCUUUUCCUCUCCUCUGCUAUCUUCAAACCAAACAUGCCAUAUAUGUUUACUGAUCCCCUUCUCUUGCAGUCUCAGCUUGCAGACCAAUAGCAGCGGAAGGCAGGUUGUGAAGUGUAGAAUCUGUGAUGGCCAGUGCAUGCUUAUUUCAAGCAUUGGCCUACGAUCUAAUCGUCUGACACAUGACAACUCACUGACCAGCUUGGUUGACGGAUUCAUUUGGCAUGGAAUGGAUCCAAGAUUUUAUCAUAAACCAAUACAGCCCGGCAGGACCCUUUGUUAGCAACUUGCAAUACCAUUUCUAUUUUGGUGAUACAGCAUCAGAUAGAACCAGAAUGCAAUUGUGAUGCUUCGUCCUAAAAUGUAAGUAGAUUUAAAACCACAAGUUAACCUUUCUCCCGAAUGUUGGUAAAUUUUUACGAUUGAUAAAUUUGAUGAUAAUACUGACAACUAUUAUAAAGACCCCUAUGUUUUAUUAGAAUAAAAUUGUGAUACCUGAAACCCGAACACACCAAUUAUAUGUGGUUAUGUGAUUUAGAAGGUGUCUCAAAGUUCUUUCAUUAACCAAUACGGAAAUUGAAAAAUGGAUUUCUUGUAAGAGGUAUUUGAGGAAUUCUAGGGCUAAGCUAACUCUGUUCACUGAGGCCCUGACAGGUUUUAGCUGCAGAAGGGAAAUUCCCUCCAAGGCAAAGGCCGUGCCUGUGCCAUCCUCCUCAGAAGAAGGCAACCAUGAAAAUAUUUGCUUUUUCAUGCACUUUCAUUUUCACUGCUAUAUUACUGGAAAAUGGAAAUUCAAAAUUUUUGGAUGAGAAAUUAAAACUAUCGAAAAACAAAUUGGCAAAGUUUGGCUUUUCUGCCGAGCAAAGCUGCGAGCCCAGUAGCUUGUGCAUACCAAGCCUUCCCACCACGGGAUUCGUGGAAUUCCUGUCUAUAGAGACGACUUUUCCAUUGAAAUAUAAUCUCUUUAAAGAAAAUUAAUGAUGAGAUUUUUGAUUUGGGUCCCCUCUGUCACUUCAUGUGACGUUAGGUUCACAGUGCCCCACGCCAUGGAUGCUCACAACUCAUCAGAAGCAGAUUCAGACCGACCUCCAAAAACAAUAUUGUCGUGCACUGAACACAAUUAUAAAUCUUCUAUUCCUAAACAACAAGAGCAUGCGUAAUUCAAAUGUUCGUGAUUCAAGAAGAAUCGUUAAAUAUCAAUUCAUAAAAGCCUCCGCUGAAUGACGCCAGGGAUUUGGUAGAGGACAUUGGAAAUAGAUAACAACAAUUUGUUUGUGCAUUGUUCAGAUUCAACGCAGAUAGAUAACUUACAACGCUAUAUACCAAACCAACGUCCGAAUAAAUAUUUAACAGACCAUCCACCUGCCGGUACAUUAACGUUUGGAAUGAAAUGCAGUAGAAUGAACUAAGGCCGGGGAGAAACUCAUUCACAAGCACGAAUAUUUUCAUCCUCCCUUCGGCCUUCCACUGCUCUUACAGUGCCAACUAUAAUUAAGCACUGCUACUUCCACCUUGAUUUCCAUGAGCCCAGUAAGGUUUAGCAGGGGUGCGUCGUAAUGCCCUCACUCCCAAUGGGUUGUCCUUGCUCUGUUGCAGAAAAUUCAAGAAAGCACAUAAGAAAAAUAAAAAAAUAAUCAAAAAGAGAAAACCAGGACUGCUAAAUUUAAACUUGAAAGCUCAAAAGAAAAACAUCAAACGAUUUCUUAAUAGAAUCAUGCAAUGCAACCAAAUAGCUUGAAUUUAAAACAUGAAUAUCGAAAUAUUUGCCCAUUGGUCUUUGGCACACUGCUGCAAAGCCUAGAGCAGCCAAGCGUACCAACAAAAUUUAGCAUAUCUUACCAUCAAGCAGGUCCCAGCACGAACAUUACAGAUGGGAUAGUCAUGUGGGCAGCAGCUAUAGUGGUCAUCACAGCAGGUGGCAGCCUCAAGCGGGCAGCAUCCCCAUGCAAAGCAAGAGUUACCAUACUCAAAGACACAGCAGCAAGUGUUGCUCUCAGGGCAAGAGUAAUAAUUGUCACACACAGCAGGAGGCUUUGUUGGAGAUGGAGGGGACGGUCCAGGGUUGGGAGGAUUUUGGCCUUUCUUUAUGGGAUAUGAGGCCUCCAUGGCAAUUCCACACUUGCCCGUGAGAGUGCCAGCCACGUUACGCUCCAUCCUAAUAUAGCCAGCCUCUCCCCAGCUACUGCCCCAUGAAUUCUUCACAAUCCAGUAAUCAGCUCCAUUUUCUGUGCCAUAUCCAACAGCAGUAACACCAUGGUCCAGAGAUGUCCCACAUCUUCCCGUAAAUAUACCCUGAAAAUUUGCAAAGACAGAAAAAUAUACUUGAGACUUCCUUAAAACAGAUCAGACACACACAAGACUCUUCCUGAUCCUGUUUAGAAACCAUUAGAAAUACAAUAAUUUUUGUUCAAAUACCAUCCAGUAUUGUCUCAACCAUAUCUUUUCAGAACUGCAAAAUGCAAAUACUUUGUAUCUAGAUAAUAGCAACAUCCCUAAAUCUAAAAUGUGACAAGUGCCAUGAAGAGAUGAAAGUUACCGAUUCAUAUAACUGGAAUGCCAUGCCACCUCCUUCAAUGGCAACACUCACGGGUUGAUUUGCAACUGCCUUUUGCAAAGCUUUCUCGUCAUUUAGGGGAACAUCUUCAUAGUCAUCAAUUGUAACUACUUUGGCAUUUUUCUGACAAAGCCAAAAACCAAAGGCUUAGAAUGAUCCUCCAUUAUAUAGUAUGGCAUUUCUUCGUAAAACAAUAGAGUAAAAAUACCUACCCGAUAUGUGUCACAGCUACCAUCAAUGGCUUUGUAGGGGUAAUCUUCUUCUGUGUCAAUACCUCCAUUAUCAAUAAUGAACUCGAAUGCAUAGUCCAUCAAACCACCAUUACAUCCUUCAUUAUAUGAUGUAUCACAAUCCACCAACUCCUGCUCGGAUAGUGAGAUCAGGCUACCUGUAACAAUCUUGUUUAUACCCUCUACAGCUGCAAUGGUUGAAAAUGCCCAGCAACUCCCUUCAUUCAAGCGAGAUACAAUCAAAUAAUGGUUAGAAUCACACGACACAGAGAGCAACAGAUAAUUUGCUUUCUGAAUUUCUAACCAAGUUAAGUACUUAGACAACUCAAUAUUUGAAUAUGUUUUGUAUCUACAUCAGUUGAUUUAUUACCUACAAAAGUUAGGUAGGGGAAAAAAAAUCAUCACUUCAUAUAAUUCUGAGUUAUUAAGUUUGUUCAGAAUGAUGGAUUGAGGUUGAAUAAGACCGCAAAAGACUUGUAGGACAUAAAAUGUUUAAUAUCUCUCAUUGACAGGUUUUACCAUACUACAACUUUAAUGAUAAAUAAAAAAAAUAAUUAACUUGCUACUACAGGACAAUGACUAAUACAAGUUAUGGCGUAAUAAUUAUUAUCUAAGGACUAAUCCCUAAAAUCUCUUAGAACGGAACAAGAUAUCAAGCUCGAAGCUCAUAGGUGGUGAAAUGAAUUACCAAUAUCCUGUACAAAUAAACAAAAUAAACGCACUUAUUUUGUUCAGAGCUUUAAUAAUUCUGCAGAUGCAGCCAACUGACACACUGAUAAGCGGCCCAGCCCACUGACACGUAUUAAAAUUUUGUGGUGUUACCAACUAUCACCAAAAGUGAUAGGAAUACGAUUUUCACGUCUACUGAACACAAAAAAAAUAUUACUACAGCUUUUAAAAAGGUCCGCCAAUCUGUACCCAAUGGCAGCUAUGUUCAACCAACAAGCUCUGGCCACGUCAGGACAGCCAAACAAGAUUCCAUCCAGACAGUUCUUUUUAUUUUCAUUUGGAAAACAUUUUCUCGUGAGGGAAAACAGAAAAUAUCUCGAGCCUUCCGUCAGAAGAUAUCUUCUUGUUUUUCACACUUCCUAAUUUCUUGUCAGUUUUUCUCUUUAUUGUUUUUCGACAAAACAAUAAAAAAGGAAUACUCAAUUUGGACCAUUGAUUAUCACAGUGGCCCAAGCCUCCGAACUCUCGCCAAAAGUCCGAGAACGAAACAGCACUUUAAAAAAAUAAUCAUAAUAAUAGUGUCGGAGAAAAAAAGAAAUUCACGAAAACCAGAUUCUAAUUGAUGGAAAAGAUUAAAAAAUAACAGUAAUAGUCCUAACCGGUCAACUUAGCACAACUGCCCCCAACCGGAAGCAGUGCAAGAUUCUUCUAACUCUAAUCAUCCUUAAAAUACCAAACAUACCCUUUCCUUUCCUUUCCUUUCCUCUCCGCAAUCGAUUCAUUCAUAAUUUUAAGAUAAUAAUUAAAGUACUGCAGGUAACGAAUAAAAUCUAAAAAAGAAAAAGUAAAUGAAAACAAUAAAAAAACUGACCACAGCUUCCUUGAUCUUUAACUUCAGCGACAGCUCCUUUCUUCCUCCAAUCAACAGAGUCCGGCAACGCCUCGCCGACACGUGGCAGAUAACGGUUGCUCCUCUUUGAUUUCAAGGAAGUCCUUUUAGCACCAAAGCGUGCACCCAGAUGCAUGGACCGGUACUCCUCGUUGGUCAAAUCAGCAAACCGGUUCAACCCAACCUUGUAGGUCCGGUUCUCUGAGUUAUGUUCAUCAAUAAACCUAAGAUUUUCCUUAAAGAUCUCAAACCUCUUCUCUUUUUCACCCAAAGCGUUAUAAGCCUUGCCAUGCUUCACGAGCCAGGCCUCGAACAUAGCCAUAACCUCAUCGUCGGUCCUCCAGCUGCUAGAUUUUGACUCAUGGGUUUUAUCAUAAGAUACAAUCGACAUGUCCAAGGCAGAUGAAACAGUGAAGAGAAAAAGUAAAAACAUGGCCAUGGUUGGUGAUCUAAACAAACCCAUCUUUUGAGAAAAGAACUUUUUUUUUUUCUUUUUGGGAGAAGAAGAUGGAUUGAUGAGGCAGAGUGUGAGGGUGAGGCAGGUGGUGGGUUAUUAUAAAGGAAAUUGAAGAGGCUAUUAAGUAAAUAAAUUAAAUGAGGAGGUGACAAACGUGGAGUAAAUUUUCAGGAUAUUUUAGUCUAGAGAUAUAUUAUGGGGUAAAUGAGAGCUGACAAAUAAGAAUUGGACAACUAAGAAGCAUGGGGGCGAUAUGCGAUAGGCUGGAGUGAAAAGCAAAGCGACCACUCCACUCGCUUCUGUCCAUACAAAUUUGGAGCGCGGUGUCAGCAAGUAACGAAUUAUCGGGGUUUGGUUUCACGCGCUUCCUUUCUUUUCCUUUCUUUUCUCGUUAAGACCCCUGUACUUUGACUUAAUUAUACUCGUUUUUGUUGUUAGACAAAGUUUAUCAGAAAAUACAAAAUAUCUGAAUGUGUUAAUUGCUGUAUUAAAAAAUCAAUCAAAAUGUUUUUCUUUUUUUUUUAAUAACUUCACUGCACUCCUUAAAGGCCUAAUAUCUCUUUUAAAUACACCAGUUUCUUAUAACUGAAAAAAAAAGACGAGAAAUUAUUGCUCGAUUCCUUUUAAAUGUCCAAAAAAAUUUCUUUACAGCCGAAAAUUCUUUAAAAAUAUGAAAAAUUCUCACCUUCAAUAAAAGAAAAUUAUCUUAGUUGUGACUUUAUUAUAAUAUUUGGUCCAUUAUUUAUAAAAUGGAAAAGAAAAAUCUAAAAUAAAUAUAAAAAAACUUAUUUUUUCGUAUGAUAAAUCUAUAAAUGAUUUUGAAAUUGCUAAAUUUAUAUAGUUAAUUAUAUCACCAUCGCAGGUCUAGCCAAAAUAAGUAGGAAAAUUGUUUAAAAACCCUUAUUCUACUAAAUUUAUGGUAGCUUGACAUCAAACUUGUGAUUUUUAAAUUUAGAUUGAUGUUAUUAUUAUUUUGUUUGAAUACCACAUGUCUGCAUCCAUAUGCGUAUUACAAAAAGAAAAAAAAUAUAUUAAUAUUUAUAGUCAGAAAUUUAUUAAAAUAAUUUAAAUCAAUGUAUUUAUUUAAUUUUGUUAAUUGUUGGAAGAGUUGGCACGCCUGUCAUUUGUAGUCUGUGGGACACAAAAGAUGCCUUCGAUGAACGGGAGACUGAAACUGCUCUUUUGUCUUAUCCGGGACCCACUUAAACGUUUGGAGAUAUUUCUGUAAAUUUGCAUCAAUUAUUCAAUUAUUUCAUCUUCAAUAUUUCUCAUCAAUACCAAACAUGUGGACAGUGGAUGCUCUUUGAUGCGACUUUUUAAUUUAUAUUUUUGACUUUUGUAUUUAUUUAUUUUUUUAUAAUCCUCAGCCGUUUCCUGAUUUUCUAUUUUGUUUAAAAAUGAUAACUAAGCAAAUUCUCAUACCAAAAUAUUCCAUGGGUCCUACUAAUUACCAAAAAAAAAAAAAAAAAACCAAAUUUUCAUUCAGCGAUGAGUAUUGAAUAUGCGACCCCCUUUUAUGUAUCUUAUUUUUCCUGAUAAAUGUUUUAUUUUGUACCCCAAAAAUAAAUGCUGAGUCACCGACCUAUAAUAAUUCAAGUCACACUAACCAAUCACGAACCAACAAAAAAACAAGAAAGCAAAUCCCCUAAACUACUUAAAUGCUUUUCUCAAUCACGUGCAAUUUUGGGAAUUACGUAAAAGUACCCAUUAUAGACAUUAAUUACAUAAUUAGAGUGUCUCAAAUUUUUAUAAUACAAAUUCUAAAUUUUUUAUUCUAAAAAUGUAUCUUAAAUGAUGUGUUAUUAAUUGAGUGGUUGAUAAUUCUUUAUAAGAUUUAAGUGAAUUAAUUAUAUUAUUUCACCAACCACUCAAUUAAUGGCACAUCAUUUAAAAUAAUUUUUUUAAAUAAAAAAUUUAAAAUGUGUAGCAUUACUCUUUUUAUAAUAGGUUCCUCACUAGUAACUCGAAACAAGGGGCAAAACGAACGGUUCCUUUAUUGCUUCCGCAAUCCCCAUUGAACGCUGCGUGAGGUUGCUAAGGCCUGGGAAGGGAACACGAGCAGGUUGUUGAGAACAUUAAUGCUUCAUAGAGUCCUUUCCAGCUUGUUAUCAGCAGUCAAGUUAGAAACGCCUCUCUGCAUUAGUCAAGUUAGAAAUUGAAUUGGUAGAUGAACACCUAACAAUUGUUAAAAUUCUAUUGAGUAUUAAUCAAAUUAAUCUAUUUUUUUUCUAUAGUAGGUACACCACCGAAAUAAUUAGUUAAAGAGUAGCGUACUCCCAUGGCUGAUGGUGAUAUCAUGAAUUCAUGAUUACGAAACAAGCCAAUAUGAACGCAGAGAAUUUAUAAAUAAUUACUAUUUACUACCCAUAAACACGAUUAAAUGUAUCUACCAACUUACCAUAAAAAUAAACAUUUAAGGGGAAAAAAAUCCACGGGUAGAGUACCUCCCGAAUUUUCACAUGAUCCAUCUAUCAAUCGACUUUUCGCUUUCUCUUUCAAUCAGAGCCCCACAAUAAAUAAUUAAGGAACAACAAAGAUGACUUGCUUUUCAAGUAAAUGAUGGGGCCAUAGCAUAGCCCAUGGCCCACCGAAUGUGAAUGGAAUCUCUACGAAUCUUUAUUUAAUAUUAGUUAUUCAGGAAUGGACAAUUUACUGAUGCCAUCGAGGCUGGUAAAUGAUAGGAACGAUUAGAUGGUGAUAACGUCAUUUUCCUUCGAUUUAUACAAGUCAAUUUGUACGUGGCUUGAUUAUUUUCCUUACGUUUUUCUUUUCUUAUUUGCUUUGGAUACUGAACUAUGAUUUUUCAAAACGAACCACACAUUUCGUGUGAAGAUAUUUGCCAAAAUGACAGUUAUAUUUAAUUGGACUUGAUAAUGAUUCAAAUCCGAGUUUGGUAGAAGUUGUAUUAUGUUUAAUUUUAUAAAAUUGAUUUCCAUAUUAAGGAUGUGUUUGAAAUUGAGGUUAAAUAACUAUAAUUUAAAAGUUAUAUUAUUAAAAUAUUUAAUAAAUAUUAAUUGUUGUAAUUUAAAAGUUAUAUUGAUAUAAUUUUUCACUUAUAUAAUGAAAAAAUUAUUAUAUUUUUAAUAAUUUUAUUAAAAUUAUUAUAUAAAAUUUAUAUUUACUAUACAAAAAAAAAAAAAAAAAACUAUGCAAUCCAUAAGUUAUAAAUGGAUUUGUGUGGGAAUCAUAUCUGAAAUUCUAAAAAUCAUAUUCAAAUAUUAGUGAUUUUGAUUUUGUCAAAAUAAAAAUUCAUUAUAAGGCAGAAAAAUAGAAAGACUUAUUUAACUUUUUUUUUUCUUUUGAACAUAGUUACCGUUAAAAAAAAAAAAAUUCAUUAUUGUUCAUUCCACUCCACCUAAAAUGAAAUUAAAUGUUUUCCUCGAGAUUAAGCCUAGACUUCUUAUUUUUAUUGCAAUAGUCAAGCAAAUUUGACUAUCGCUUAAGAAUAAAAAGCCUAAUCUUAAUUAGGUUUAAUAUUAGAACUGAAUCUCUCAAGGAAGGGCAAUAGUAUUAGCAGAGUUAAGGUAUGUUAAAUAUUAAAACAAGUUAAACAAAUUUUUCUAUAUGUUUUUGAAAAAAGAAAUCAUAAUUAGCUGAGCGCGCGUCUUUACUAAUUCAAUAAAAAAAUCAUUUUCAUAAUUUAAACACUUUUGAGUUUAGACAUUAGUUGGAUAACUAUUAAUAAUUAAGUUAUUUUCAUUUAUUUGAUUUAUUUAUUGAGUUAAAAAAUCUCACAUAAUUAACAAAAAUCUAAUUUUAUAUUUAUAACAUUAACAAAAAUGGAAAUACCUGUUAUUAUUAUUCUAAGAAAAAAAAUCAAAAUUGCGGAGUAUUUAUUUAGAUAAGAUGCACACCUUUGAGGAGUAUUUAUUUUGACGUAUCUGGAUAUAUCCAUCAAUCUUUUUAGAUAAAAUACAAGAUAUGCAUUUGUAUGUUAAAAGACCGUAUACGUGGACGGUCUCUGAUCACUCUCCAGUAGUAACUAAUUACAAGAAGCAACAAAUUCUGCUUGCACAUGGAACGAUGGAACGGGACGUCUCCUCUUUUUAUUUUUUAAUGCACUUUUUGAUAGCGAAAUUGAACUUAUUAGAUUCAAAACUCAUGAGUAUGAACCUGGGACCCACUCACCCCGGCUUGUUCUCUUUAUUCACCUUGCUGGGCCCCACUCGGAUGUCUUAUAUCGCUUGCAGUACGGCCCUACUCGUAAUUGACAGUUUGAGACGCGAUCAGCCGUUGAUCAACGAUCAAAUUAUGAAUCAGACGACGAUGGCAAUUGAACACAGAAUUGCAGGUUCUUGGACAGAACUUACAGCAUGAAUGAGGGUGUGAUGGUAAUUUUCGCUUGUAGAGAAUUUGAUCUUUGAUCAUAAUUCUUUCUUCCUUUGUCAAUUUGCUCGAGAGGCGAACUUGUCCACGUCUGUUGAGCUGGCUUAUAAUGUUAAAUACUCACCCGUCUCUCUAUCCAAUACGAAAAUAUUUUUGAUCUCACAUAUCAUGAAUUCAACAAACAAAGCAAGACAGUCAAACCACGCAAUCACUUGGGAAAAAAAUAAAAAAAAAGAUAAACAGAAUCUUGCAUAUUGCCAAAGAAGGCAAAUGCUAUGUUACAAUUAAUGUAACAUAAAUACUUAAUAAUAAUCAUAUAAAUUAUGUGGGUCUAUUAUUUAUGUGGUUGUUGUUGAGUGUGUAUGUUACAUUAAUUGUAACAUAAGGACUCCCACCAAAGAAUAUUAGAAGGGUUAAUGAAGAGCAUAAGUCAUAAAUUUCAAUUAUAGCAGACACGGGCAUCAUAAGGUUAAAAUAUAAGAUUACAUGUGUUAUAAAUGAACAUUCUACCUCGAUAGCUGCAAAAUCUAAUAAUAUAACGCUCAAAAAAUAGAACGUCACCCCCCUAACAGAUUGUGGAAUCAAUUUGCCCAUGAGCUGCCUAAUUAUAAAAAAAUAAAAAAAACUAGUUGAUGAUGAUAAGCACACUAAAUUUUUUGUUCUAUUGGUAACAAAACAUCGCUGGCGAUAUUAAUUUCUCACAUGCCCACUUGGACAAAAAUUUCUUAGACCUACGUUUUCAUCUAUACUCAAGCCUCAUUGAAGUACAAUCAUAAAGUAUAAUACAAUUAACGAUGAACAAAAUGGUUCAACACAAUUUAGUUUUACACCAUGCAGCAACCAACCAUCCGAGCUACAUUAUAUUAUUAUAAGCAAACUAUGUUUAUUCGCCAUACAGAUUACAGACAACAUACUUCACACCUUUUUGCAAACAUCAUCACAUAAACAUAAAAGGAACUUUGAUAUGGAAAUACAAUCAAAUUCAAACUCUGCUUGAUUUGGAGUUGCUCUGUGAAUCAACACCGCAGACAAUAGGCACCGGCAUAAUAUCUUGCUUUUGCCCCCUCUUUGGAAGUUCACAGAUGUAAAUGCCGUCUUCACCCACAAGGUCCUGAAACAGAGAGCUCCCAUCAUGGAAAUCCAUUUCCACCAUCCAUCCUUCUGCAUAAGCCUUCCAGGCCAUUUCUACCAUUGCUCGUUCUGUAAGAUAAUCUUUUUGGCUAACUCAAGUCCAAAAUCCUUCGGGACAUCUGUUGGAACACGCUGCAGUGAUGUACAAAGACUAUUCAGAAGCAACUAUAUAAAUAAAUCAAACUCACUUAAAGAGUCUUUCUACAUUAUGAGCAAAGAUGAUUUACCAGGCUCUUCCGAACCCCUAACCCUGCUUUUGCCGCAAAAUAGGGGUUUCCACACUGGGAAGCUGUUCUCUCUUUCCUUUUAAAAUCAUUAGUUGAUUGAGAUAUUCCAUCCCUAGCUGCAGUCAUAACCCUCAGAAUCAAAUUAACACUAGGUUACAUUUAUCUCACAUAAAUCCACGCACGCAGCUGCAUGACAUUAACAAAUGCACAUAGAAUGGAACAACAUUUAAAUUACGAACAAUAAAGAAUAUUCUAACAGGUACCUUUUCCUGCGCUGAUCUUCUUCUUCUCCUUCAACAUAAUCUUCGUCACUGGCACUGUUAUUACUAGCAUCCUGAUAUUUUUCUUCUUCUUCUUCUUCUUCUUCCUCAUCAUUCUCAACCUUAAUCUCUUCUAUUAAUGUUCUCUUCUGGCAUCCUAUCUCCCAAAUAUUUUAACAUUGAAGUCAUAUUCACCAUUGUAUUGGAACAGUAAAAAGUCUCCAGUAUCUAUAGAAUUAUCUUUAGAAAACUUUCGUCAACCAUUUAGAAAAUACACUCUUUUAUCUCUAUAACCUACAUCCACAUGUCAAAGUUUCCCCAUUUCAUUACUGAGGAAGACCUUCUCAGGUAUCAAUCUCCAAGGAUGCUCUAAUAGCAUCGGGAAUUUUCAUAACAGAGUUUCAUUUUAAUCACAGAAAGAAACUACUUUUUUUUUUUUUUUUAGUUCUUAUUCUUAUGUAAUUUUACUCUUCAUCUUAUGUGAGUUUUAAAAUUCAUGGAGUUAUCUAAACAUAUUUUGAAAUGAAUAUAUGCCUGACAGAGCACUAUUUUCCACGGUUGACUAUAUGACGCCCAAUUUCUGCCGAUAGCUGGAGCAUAGUUCAUGUUGUCAUGAUCCUACUUAUUAUAACCUCACUAAAGAACUAUGAUCCAUCCCAUCAGCUUUUUGCAUGUAUAUAUCAAAAGACACAAUUAAAAGCACACAAAGAAUGUAUACAACAACCCAACCGAAGAAUACGGGGCACAUUGCAAAUGAAAUAAUAUUAAACAGAGGAAAAGGGCUGAUUUUAUUUAUUUAUUUUUAUUUUUUUCAAAUGAGUCACGUACUCUUCUGGAUGGGCCUAACGGAAACUUGAAAUUUUCCCUGAACAUAAUUUAUGGGGCAGUGGGUUUUUUUUUGUAACCUGUUGCUUUCGCUCGUUAAAAGGUCUUUUGUUUUUUUUUUGCCCUUUUUGGGAUUAUUAUUAUAAUUUUUGUCCUCUUUUUUUCUUUGGGCUUUAAAAUGGGAUGAUUUGAAUCCUGAAACAUGCUUGGUGUACAAAUGAAAGAGGCAGAUAAUCUUACUCCUUCUAGUGACUGUUGCCAAUUGCCAUUUUGAUGAGAAUGAAACUGUGUCUGUCUGUACUCUAUUUUUAGCUUGUAGUUCUAGCGCGCGCGCUGUGGGGCCACGUUAUCGACGUGGAUUCUUUUCGGAUAACAUAACUGGUUGAUUAUAUAUAUAUAUAUUUAAAAAAAAAGAAUAAAUUAUAACAAAAAUAUAUCCCUCAAAUUGUACGAGAAAGGUGUUAUUUGGGUGACAAUAGUACCGAAUUUGCAAAUUGGGCUGGAUAAAGUUUCUCUAAUGAUCCAACCCAAAUGAAAAAAAUUAAAGAAAAAAAGUCAAAAAGGAAAUAAAAUCUGUUUUCUUCCUCCGCCAGUUCCCCACCUCUUCCCCCGGAAAGACAUUGUGAAAGAAGCUGCCAGAGAAUAUUAUGUAGAAAUUUCUAAAAAGAAGUAGCUUGAUAGUCAACACAAAAAUUCAAAACUCAAUCAAAUCAAAAGACCAAGCUGAUUUUUUAUUUAUUAUAUUUAGAAAAUAAAGAGAAGUUAGGAGGAAAAAAAAAAAAACAGUAUAAGAGGGUACCAAUCCCAAUUCCCAAAUUUCCAUACAACUUCAUUGAUAAGAUUUACCUUUAGUGUUUGAAAAUUCGAAAUUGGAAUUAUUUCUGCUUGGAAUUUUUCUUUUUGACUUCAGGAAGUAGGCGUUGGACUCUCUUAUGCGCUGAUUAUGAUCUUUUAAUUAAUUUAGCAGACAAGGGAAAGAUUAGCAAACAUUUAUUAGCAAGCCAAAAAUUAAAUUGUAAAUAGUCAACAAAAGAAGAAAGCACGAUUCGAACAGAAUAAUAAAUUGUGUUAAUAGGCGGCCAAUACAUUUACUACUUGUGGAAGAAUAACGGUUGGACACGUGUUCUUUUCUCCUUAUCGAGUCCGAUCCGAGUUUUGGUGUUGCCCGGGACCGGACCGGAUGAGAGAAAUACAAGACCGGAUCCGGGUUAAAACCUGAUUUUUUCGGGUGCGGUCCAGGCUUGAGCCCGGCACCUUCCGGUUUCAGGUUUUGAUCUGAGCUUUCUAAACCUGCAUGUGAUAACUUCAAAUUUUUUUUUUCAUUUCUCUAAUAAUGUAAAUUUAAAAAAAAUAAUAAUCAAAUAAACUCAUUCAAUCUCAAACUUUAAAAAAGAAAAUAGUCAAAUACAAAUAUAUAACACACUAACAAUGCAAAUUUUGCACAAAUGAUAAAUUAAAAUUAUUUCAAUCUACUUUCUAAUACCUAAAUUCAUCCAAUUUCUAACUUAAACUCAUUCAAUCUAUAUAUAAAAUAAAUAAAUUAAAUUCAACAACACAAUAAUCACACAAUAAAUUUAAAUAACAUCCAACAUAUCAUAAAUUCAUAAUUAUAUAUUUAUAUAUAAUAUAUUUAUAUUUUCUUUCUUUUUUUUUAAAUUUAUUAAAAAACCGGGUCCGGUCUGGGUUCCGAAUUUUUGGUGUUGAACCCGGACCCGGGCUCGGAAAUGUCCGGAUUUGAGAAUUUCAAACCCGAGUCUGAUUUUUAUGUGCAUGCGGUCCGAAUUUUGUCCGGACCGGAUUGGCCGGGUCCGGUCCGGGCGGGCUUGUUUGACACCCCUACCCAUAUUCAAGUCAUUUCAUCUUGUGAUCUCAAAGUUUGUCACCCUUUUUGGAGGAAAAUAUAUAUUUUUUCUUCCUUUUGAUGCAAAAUUUCAGAGCAGCAACUUAUAUAAUUGCUGUCUAGGGUCUGAUCGAAUAAUUUGGAAGUAAAUUUUUUUAAUUGAUUUCUUAAGUUCGAAUAUUAGGAUAAUUGAAUCAUUUUUAAGUAAACUUUUUAAUUGAUCUCUUAAGUUCGAAUAUUGGGAUGAUAGGGGGUUAAAUGUAUCAAUUUGAGAUUUUUUUUUCAUCCCUAUAUUAAAAAAUUUAAAUAUAUUCAGCUAAUUGUUUUAUGUCCUUUUUUUCUUUUUCUGCUCCCUUUUUAAUUGGGUUUAUUGCGAUUUGAAAUUUCAUGAUUCAUCUACGCGUUAAUUCCUAUUCUUAUAACUUUUUGCGGUGAAUAAUUUAAUUGCAUAGAAUUGUGAUUUUAAAAUUUUACUCUGUUCUUAAUAGUUCAUUGUAUUUAAAAAAAGAAAGAAAGAAAGAAAACAGCAUUAUAAUUUUGACAGAAUCGGAGAUAAAAUAGAACGUUGAAAGUAGCUAGACGAUAUCAAGACAACUUCAAAUUUCAAAACGAAAAAAACAAAGACAAAGUGCGGCGAGUGAUGAUAUCUUCUUUGCCGUUUCAACUUUUUGUGCAUUAUUUUAUGGUAUAGGAUGUUAUAGGCUUUCGAGGUUUCACGUCGCCUAAUAAUGCCUCUCUCUGUUUUUUGUUCGUAUAGUCUUGAUCUGGGUCUGGGCACAUGCUUUUUCGCUUUGUUUUAAUUUUGAAGAGCUGAGCUCUAUGUUGCCGCCCUAACGUAUAAAUUAUUUUUUUUCACAGAUAAAUUAUAUACAUGUACACAUACAUGUUGACGGAUAAAUAAUAAAGCGAAAGAGGAAAUUUGAUUUGAUUAAUUAUCUCUGCGUGCAUGUCAAUAUUAGUUGUUGGCUUUUUAUUUUUUUACUAGAUAACAAUAUAAACUCUUUCUAAUUUCAACGUCCACUCGUGGCCAUCAUUUUCAACGUCUAAUUGGAAGCAUCCAGGAGCAAUGGGUCAAUGCAUGGUGUGGAGCAGCGGGAUUUCAAAUUCAAUCAGCUGUGUAAAAUGGAUCUGGAAAAUGAAAAUGAAUCCAAGGGUGGUGGUGGUGGUGGUGGGCCAUCAUAACAGGAAGUAGGUUAUUUGACGAAGGAAAGAAAAGAAAAGAGGGAAUCCCGGUACAGCAGCCCCCUCUUCACUGAAUGACUUUUGCAUUAAAAGCUGUUAAAGGUCAACUCUACUUUACUGUCCCCAACUAACCUCUCUCCGAUUUUACCGAGUCAUCGAUUUCCAACGGGUCAUCACAACCUUUUGACCUUAUCCCCCUCAUCAUUUUACACGGUCUCCAAGCGGCUUAUCCCGUUACCGGGACCCACAUCAAUGAGGCAGUCAACAUCCUGACAAAAUCUGCCACCUGGGAUGUUUUUAUUGGAGGUUGGGUUCGACAGGUCAGUCAUUUCUGAUGCCUUGCAUUGCAUUUGCGAGAGGGCAUCAGUUUGACUCGAAUCUAUAACAAAACAAAGCCAAGCGCACCACACCCCCCACUUUUAUCAUCAAAAUCUUUAAUAAGUCAUUGUAUUGUUUCUUUGCUUUUUCCUUUUUCUUUGCUUUCUUUCAUCGUCAUUUUAACAAUUUUUCCUUGCCUUGGACAACAAGAUUUAAAUAGCCUUUGGGCUUUGGCUCUUAUUAGCGCUCGGUUUUAAAAGAAAUGGCCGUGGAGCUGAUGAUGGGUUACGGUUGCGGUGAUAGUUUUGCAGCAGCUGUGAAGAUGGAAGAGAACGCUGUACAAGAAGCUGCAUCCGAAGGUAUGCAGAGCAUUGGUGAGUUCAUAAAAUUAUUGUCUCGAAGUGGUCAAGUACCAUCUGAACAACAAACACAGUACCAAGAAUCUACAUCUUCCUCUCCAACAAAUCUCGAACCUGACAAGGAAAUCAAGGUCGCAGCUGAAGUGGCCGUGAACAAUUUCAAGAAAGUUAUUUCUCUACUUGGUAGACCAAGAACAGGGCAUGCAAGAUUCAGAAGAGCUCCUGUUGGUAGCCCUCCUCCUCCUCCUCCUCCUCCUCAAAAAGAAGAAAAAGUACAUCUUCAAGAACCAGCAGGGCCAUCAGUUCAAUCUACAAAUCAUCUUUCAAAGGAACAAGUUUCUGCCUUCAAGGUUUAUUGCCCUACCCCUGUUCAUCGUCUGCCUCCGUUGCCUCACCAUGUUCAGAAGAGUAAUCCUAAUUCUACGGUGGUGACUAAGUCCGAUCAUGUGCCAAGCAGUAUCAAUUUCUCAGCCUCUGCCACAAAUUCUUUCAUAUCCUCGCUCACAGGCACAGCAGGGGAUACCGACAGCAUACAACCUUCUUUCUCAUCUGGGUUUCAAUUUACCACACCAUCAUCAGCUGGAAAGCCACCUCUGUCUUCUUCCUCGCUCAAGAGAAAGUGCAAUUCCAUGGAUGAUGCUGCUCUCAAGUGUGGCUCAUCUUCAGGGCGCUGCCAUUGCUCCAAGAAGAGGUUGGCUUCAUUUCUUUAACAAUCAAUUUCAUUUGCUCUAUUUUUCGUUUGAUUUAAUUCUGAUUAUGCUUAUGUUAAAUUGAAAACGUGUGCAGAAAAUCAAGGAUUAAGAGAGUGACUAGAGUUCCAGCGAUAAGCUCUAAGAUGGCUGAUAUUCCACCUGAUGAUUACUCCUGGAGAAAGUAUGGCCAGAAACCCAUCAAAGGUUCUCCUCAUCCAAGGUGUGCAAGUGUUAACUGACUCGCUCGGUUCAUUUCUCGAACAUAAUCGUUUCACUACAGCAUCCACUAACACCUCCUCCUAAUGACGCCAUUCGGCAUUAAUUGUGUUUGUCUAGUGGGGCUGAUUGAUUUGACUUUUUCACCUGCUGACAUUAUAAUUCGAGUUGACUCAGGGCCUGAGUGUCUGAAUUCUCAUUAGUUUCUUUGGUGUCUCCAUUUUCAGGGGAUAUUACAAGUGUAGUAGCGUGAGAGGCUGUCCAGCACGCAAACACGUGGAACGUGCACUUGACGAUCCAAUGAUGCUGAUUGUCACAUACGAAGGUGAUCACAACCACGCCUUCGCUGUUCAUGAUGCACCUGCUGCUAUGGUCCUCGAGUCAUCUUAGUCAAACCCAUCCAACGGCCAGAAACAACAUUUCCGAAAAGAUGGAAAUUGCGUGGGGGCAGAUCAGGCGAUCAGCACCGUGCUCGGAUGGUCAACGUAGAUACUGCUGGGCUCUGGCGGUCUUUGGUUUCUCUUUUUUCUUGUUGAAGACUUUUGUUUAAAGAGAUUUAAAAAGAAAUAGUAAAAAGUGUAGAAAAUGUGGAUUUUGUGGGAGUUUGAAUCAUGCAAGUAGUGUUUUUUUUCCUUUUUUUUAAAAAAAAAUUUCUUAUUGUUCUUAUACUCAAAUGGAAUUUAGGCUUUUUUAUGAAUUGUAUCUAUGUACGCGAUGGUGGUGGUGGUGGUGGGGAUCUUGUUAGGAUGCUUACUUUAUUUUAUUCCAAUUUCCACUCGAAUAAUAUGCAAUUUUAAAUGAGAAAAAUGGCGCUGCAGUCAAUGGCACCGAAAAAUGUUUAUUAUUUUAGUGGAGGAUGUGUCGUUUAUGCGACGGUUGACCCUUAGAUAUCUUUUUUAAAGGGUUAGGAUACGUUGUAAUCACAUAAUUUAGGUGAUGAUGUAUUUUUUAUUUUUUAUUAUUUUGCUUGUAAUUCAUUCUUUAUCCUUAGAGCAAGGUGGGAUUGCCCUAUUUUAAUUAUGAUAAAUUUUUUAUAAAAAAAUGGUUGAAGAGAAGGACAAGUCUUGGUGGUGGUUUUGUCAAGUUGCAAUUGGUGUAUUUUCCUCGGGUGCUUUGAGAAUAAAGCGAUAUGUUUCCUUUAAGACUUUCCGAUGAAGCAUUUGUGACAGUGACCCCACCAAAAAUAGAGUGCGAAGACACUGCAAAGUCAAAGUGGCUGGUUUGGUUGAUGAUAAUUCGGCCUCCCCCACUAAUUGCUUACUGCUCUCAUGCACUUUAGAAUUAAUUAUGCUUUAAUGAGGAUUAAUCACAUUUACUUGGUUACUGUAUAGCUGGAUUCAUUUCGAAGAAAUUGGUAGUUCCAAAGACUCGCUAGCAAAAUCUAAGAGAAAGAAUUGGAGAUCUAAGUUGUUUGUCUUUCCAUGCUUUAAUCUGCAUCUGCGUGCGCGCGUGUGUAUAUAUAUAUAUAUAUAUAUGCGGAUAUUUGUAUUUUUCUUAAUGUAAACAUACAUGUUAUUAAAUCGUGCGGUAUAAAAGAAUUAAUUUUUAAUAAAUUAUAAAAUUGUGUAGUUUUAAAAAGUUAAAAAUUAACUAUUUAAAACUUCACAGUUUUAAAAUGUGUUCGUAUAAAAAAAAAAUGAGGACACUCGCAUGAGAGAAGAGAUAUAUAUAUAUAAAAGAAAUAGAGUAGUGGAGAAAAUUUGAAGGGUUAAGUGUGAAGGACUGUAGGGCCUUUUGCAAUUUUUAAAAGCCACACUUGCUCGACAACAUGGCACGGCAUCUAUUGUAACUUGAACCUUUGGCCGUAUUUGAGAUGUCUAUUUUUUAAAAAAAAAUUUAAAAUGAAUUAUUGGCUGACCAAGGAACCUGGUGCAAUUUAAAACUGCCAAUACGUUUGUUUUGUUUCACACUGUUAGUAACUUUUUGAAUUAUUAUGUGUACAGUUCAUUGUUAUAUGGAAUCUGUCUUAAUGUAAACACUUAUUUGUUAAGAGUAUUGAUUAUCUUAGAGCUAUUUUAAAAUAGAAUACAAAUUAUAAUUUCAUACGUAAAGUGGUAAAUAAUAAAAAAUAUAUUAUAAUUUUAAUUGUGUGAUUAUAAAAAUAUGUUCUACCUUAGAGCGAUUCCAACAUAACCAAACACUUGUUAAAUAAUGGUUUGAAAAUCUAUUCAUUUAAAAUCUAUCCUUAUACGAGAAAAGUUACUCUCUUCGACACUUGAACUCGUGCCCUCAAAAUAGGGCUUUAUUGCAUAAAACGAUUCACAUGAUUUGAUGUUUAUAUCACGGUCGAGAACAUGCAUGCGGUUGAGUUUUCCAUUGAGAUUCAAAUGUUCCAUUUUAUUAAUUGGUCAAAAGACCGUUGGUCAGUGCUCCUAAAAUCAAUUCUUCCAGUAUGGAGCACCUUCAUUGAUGAUUAAGUUCAUUUGUAUAGGCUUAUUUUCUUAGUCUAAAUUAUUUAUUAUUGUUAAUUAUGAAUCUUAAAUAAAUAUAAUAUUAUUAAAUAAUAUAACAGUAUUAUUUAAAUAAAAAAUAAAUAUGAUAUUUUUUUUUUAAAUCGGACAUAUUAUAUUUCAAUCAAUAGAAUUAUAUUAUAUUUAAUAACGGAAGGAUAAAAAAGGAAGAGGUGAAAGUGGAUUUCCACUCUUACCUCCCCCAAUCGGAGUGGGAAUCCCACUCUUCACUUAAAAAAUGAGUGGGAUUCAAACAGUGAAACACCAACUCAUCUACUUAAAUAAAUAAAUAAAUAUUGUUGUGGGAGGAAUCUAGACUUACUACUCCCACUUUAAUAAGUAAACAUAACAUUAUGUUAUCUCUUUCUUAGGAAAAAAAAAAUUGAAAAGAAAGCAUACUCUAAAUGAUACACAUGUUAUUGUAUAAUUGCCAAGAUUUCAUACUCAAUUACAGCGAUCAUAAGCAUGGGAUUAGCAAUCCAAACAAACAAAAGCACGAGGAGAUUGUUUUUAUAUCGAUAAUAAAGUCUCUUGAGUAACUUAUAAUUUCCUCUUAAGAAAAAAAAAACACUUAUAACUUGUUUUACAUUGCCUUUUAUGGUGCCAAUGAACAACUAACCGUACGCAUAAUUAUCUAAGGACAGAUUAGGUUCGAGCAUUUUUCUGGGUCAUAAGUAGAGUGUUAUAGACUAUUGAUACUUCUCCAAAAUCAUUUUUUAAGCCCUUGCAUAUUUAAAAACCUUUAUCAAAAUUAUACGGAGGACAUAAUGUAUCUAAUUAAACAUGUUUUGAAUACAUUAUAGAAGUGAUUGUUUUACAGGAAAUCUUUAAAUUAUUAUUUUUGCUAAAGAAGAGAAUAUCUUUAUGAUUAUGGGUUGUGAAUAAUAAGAAAGAAAAUUGAAAGAUUGUGAUUGAAUGGGAAAUUAUUUUAAUUAAAGUUUGCCACUGAAAGCGAAAGGGGUUUUUAAAGCGUUAUAAGAAAUAUAUUUUAUUUUAAAAUAUUUGAAUGGGUAAAUAAAGGGAAGUGUUUUCAAAGAUUUAAAUUGGGGUAUUAAUAGUCAAGAGGUAAACUGGGCUAGCAUGGUUUUGAGCCUAGGCCCACAAGUCCGUGUCGUAACUUGGUUUUUCAAGAACAACGAAACCUAAGGGCCGCUUUAAGUUUCAACACCAUGGGUCAAUCUCAUAUCAUUUGGCCCAGGUCCAGUCAAACGCAAAUUCCAGAAAUGGGCCUUCGGAAUGGGAAUUCUGUUAUGUGUUUUCAAUAAGUUUUGAGCUCACAUACUUAUUCUCAUUCCUUUUCUAAAUAAAUAACCAGUUCAAUUAUUGGGAUUCCGGAACGUGAUUUUUUAAUUUUCUAUUUUAAAUUAAGUAGAGCCAAUUACAAUAUGUGCUUUAAUAUUUUAUUUCUAUACUGAAGUAGAUUUGCCCUUUUUUUUAAUUAUUUUUAUAAUCUUUUGAUUAAUAAAAAUCUCAUUUAUUUUGUUCCCAUAUUUUCUUUACCCUCUUUAUCCUUAACCUUUGGAUUUAUCUUUUAACCUUUGAAUUAUAGCCAUAUCUAACCAUCACCAAGUCGGAUUUAUUCGAUGGGGUGAGUCACUGCCCCACAUCAAACUUAAAUUUACAGUCCGCUUCCGCUCCUACUUCGUCAAUUACCCAAUUUAUGUUCCCAUUAAAACAGUACAUUACUUGCAUCUCAAAUUAUACCCAACUGUGAACUCACAUGGCACCGUCCAUACCUGUGGGUCAAAAAGAAUUCCCCCAACAUAACUUGACAGGUGUGACACACAAGAAAAAUUAAAAGAAGAGCUAAAACAUAAAAGCAGCAGACUAGAGAGUGGGACUCACAGGCAGGAGGGGCCCUUACUUGCCUUGCCGGAACACCAAUCAUAAAGAGUAUGCUGGUAACCGUACACAUUAAAAGAUUUAGAUAUUAAGAGCUGAUACUUCUUUCAAUUGUUUUUUUUUCGCCCACUCCCUUUCCCUUCACGUGAUUCUAACCGAGUGUGCAGUCCCAGCCAGCUGCUUCUUAUCAGCUCUUACAAUGACAUUACAUGCUUUGUCACGUAACUGAAACCUUCCAUCACCGUCUCUCCCCUUUCUCUCAAGUCUCUGUCCUGUCAAGGGAAUGAAAUGGACCUGUAAUAGUUACUUUUUACGGCGAAAGGUCAAAUAAACUGAGAAGAGGAAGAAGAGUGCCCCUGUUUCCUGUUUCAGUUUUCAUCACACUAACCAAACACCAUGUCCAUUAGAAGAAAACCCCUUCUUCCACAGUUGUUAUUUUUCCUAUCAAAUACUUUUCUGUUGAUUACAUCUUGUUCUGCUUCUCGUUCUGCAUCUGCAGUGAACUCACUGCUGCCGUCUGAUGCACAAGUGCUACUGGCAUUCAAAGCAAAAGCCGAUUUGAGAAACCACCUCUUGUUUUCACAAAACAAAAGCUUGCAUUUUUGUCAAUGGCAAGGUGUCAUAUGUUACCAACAAAAAGUGGUGCGAGUAGUUCUCCAAGGCCUGGAUCUUGGCGGCAUUUUUGCUCCCAACUCAUUGACUAAACUUGACCAGCUCCGAGUCCUGAGUCUACAGAACAACUCACUCACUGGACCCGUUCCCGACCUCUCGGGCGUCGUUAAUCUCAAAUCUCUCUUUCUUGAUCACAACUUCUUUACAGGUUCUUUCCCUCCUUCACUCUUCUCUCUUCAUCGACUUAAGACCUUGGAUUUAUCUUAUAACAAUCUGUCGGGACCAUUGCCAAAAGAAUUAGCUUCACAAGGCCGGUUAUACUCUCUGCGUCUUGAUGUGAACCGGUUUAACGGUUCGAUUCCUCCAUUGAACCAAUCCUCUCUCAAAAUAUUCAACGUUUCUGGUAACAACUUCACUGGCGCUAUACCGGUGACAUCCACGCUGUCACGUUUUGGUAUCUCCUCUUUUCUUUUUAACCCUAGCUUAUGUGGCGAGAUUAUUCACAAAGAAUGCAACCCCAGGCCACCCUUUUUUGGGCCAUCAGCGACGGCUGCAGCGGCUCCACCGCCAGUGACUGUUCUUGGGCAACAGAGCGCACAGAUGCAUGGUGUUGAGUUGACUCAACCGAGCCCUAGGAGCCACAAAAAAACUGCAGUCAUCAUCGGUUUCUCAUCUGGAGUCCUUGUUUUGAUAUGUUCACUUGUUUUGUUUGCAAUGGCUGUGAAGAAACAGAAACAGAGGAAAGAUAAAAAAUCAAAGGCUAUGAUUGCAUCGGAUGAAGCGGCGGCAACGGCUCAAGCUUUAGCCAUGAUUCAAAUAGAGCAAGAGAAUGAGUUGCAGGAGAAGGUGAAGAGAGCACAAGGGAUCCAAGUGGCCAAGAGUGGAAACUUAGUAUUCUGUGCGGGCGAGGCACAGCUGUAUACGCUGGACCAGCUGAUGAGGGCUUCUGCUGAGUUGCUUGGGAAAGGGUCUCUGGGGACCACGUACAAGGCAGUGUUGGACAACCGUCUGAUUGUUUGCGUGAAGCGGCUUGAUGCAAGCAAAUUAGCAGGCACAAGCAAUGAAAUGUAUGAGCAGCAUAUGGAAUCAGUUGGUGGACUCAGGCAUCCAAAUCUUGUGCCGCUCAGAGCUUAUUUUCAGGCCAAGGAGGAGAGACUCCUUAUCUAUGAUUAUCAGCCCAAUGGCAGUCUCUUCUCGCUCAUACACGGUAAGUUCCUUUGCUCUUGAUUUUUUUUUUGUUUUUUUUCAUGUGUGGUGCAAUUACUCAGUGAGUGAGCCCAUUAGGUGAUUGGACUCGAUCUUGACUCGGUUUGACCGCGGUGACCCCUAGAAUAUGUAGCCACGUAGGAUUUUAAUUUGCAAUCGAAAUUAUUAUUAUUAUUCUAAUUUGGGGUUGUUUAUUAAAUAUAUUAUACAAGUGAAAGUGAUCCUUAAGAAAAGCAUAAUUACGUGCCUGAUCAGUUUGGCAUCGGUUAUAUCAUAGAUUUUCACGAGCAGCGAGAAUCUUGCUGCUGAUUGACAUUGGGAAUUGAAAUGAUUUAUUGCGUUCAAUUAUUUUAAUCAACAGUGGAAAGUACUCUACUCUUUUUACCUAACCAAAAUGCAGCGGCGCUGGGGAGACAAUUCAAAAAUCAAACCUGAAUUCAAGUGGAGAGUAACGUAGUAGUUUUGCAAUUAUUAGUGUAGUGGGUCCCACGUGGAUUGCCUGCGGACUCGGUCAAUUCGUAUUCUUUAUCCGAUGGUGAAUCGAAAAAUCCAACGCACCAUCUCUCUAGAUGAACUAAAUAAUAUUACGCGCAGGGAUGCGCGCAUGAACACACACACUUUUGUUGCUUUGUCCCAUUAUGGAGGCAGAAUCUCUGUUGAGUUAAUAAUAAUGAUAUGAUUACGUCCGAAAUGGCCAAUUGCAGGUUCAAAAUCAACAAGAGCAAAGCCACUACACUGGACUUCAUGCUUGAAAAUAGCGGAGGACGUGGCACAAGGCCUCUCUUAUAUUCACCAAGCAUGGAGACUCGUCCAUGGCAAUCUCAAGUCCUCUAAUGUGCUCCUUGGCCCUGAUUUCGAGGCAUGUCUCGCUGACUAUUGCCUCACUGCCCUCACGGCCGAUUCAUUGCAGGAUGAUGACCCUGAUAACUUGUUGUACAAAGCACCCGAGACUCGCAAUGCAAGUCACCAAGCAACCUCAAAAUCUGAUGUCUAUUCAUUUGGAGUAUUGUUGCUGGAGCUUUUAACUGGAAAGCCUCCAUCACAGCACUCAUUUUUGGUGCCUAAUGAAAUGAUGAAUUGGGUUAGAUCCGCCAGGGAAGAUGAUGGCGCCGAAGAUGAGAGAUUAGGUAUGCUUCUUGAGGUGGCGAUUGCUUGUAAUUCGGCCUCGCCAGAACAAAGGCCCACUAUGUGGCAAGUAUUGAAGAUGUUACAGGAGAUUAAAGGAGCUGUAUUAAUGGAGGAUGGUGAAUUGGACCCACUCUCUGGGAUCUCGUAGUUAUAUCGUUGUUGUAGUAACAUUUGUUCUUAGGCAAAUCAGCAAAUAUAUAGUGUCCGUAGCUAGAUGAAUGGAAUUUACCCAACUAUUUAGUUACUUUUUCUUUUAACAUUAACUACUUGGUUCUUUUUCCUUUUUUUUUUUUCCCAACUAUUUAGUUACUUUUUCUUUUAACAUUAACUACUUGGUUCUUUUUCCUUUUUUUUUUUUUUCUUAAAAUUAAUUCCUCGUCUCGGUUUACCACAUUGUUAUGGUGGGUUCGUAGUUUUGGAUAAUCUCUUCCUAACAAAAUUUUCAUCGAAGAAGAGUUUUCUAAUCACAAAUUUUCCUAAAAUAAAGGAAUUACUAACAAAUAAUAAACUACAAACCCUCCUAAAAUCAAUAUACAAAUCCGUUUAAAAAGAUGGGGUCUUGCACUCAAUUUAGCUUGAAUGGUGUUUACAGAUGCUCUAAGAUAGCCAAAUCUUAAAGGAUGAACCUAAAUUUCCUAAAAAAGUUUACUCCUUAUUGCACUUGUAUUAUUGAAUUGGAAGCCGUGAUAGAACCAUUUGUAAAUUAAUAUUAGUGAGGUCCAUCUAUGUUGUUGGAUAUGUUCUAAUUAACUUGGAGCAUCUCUAUCAUAAGAAAUCUCGUUUUUUUGCCAAAUUUUAAUAAUUUGCCGUUGAUUGCAUCAUCUUUUAAUUUUUACUUUUUAGCAUUUUUUUAAUAUACAAUACAAUUUUCAAAAAGUUACAUCAGCCAAUAGAAAUACAUAAUCAAAGCUCAACAUACAUAAGAACAAAGACAUACGAAGCCGAGCACCCAAAAAAAAAAAAAACUCAACUGUUUAGUAGAUUCGGACACUCAAGCCCUCCAUUUUAAAAUAAAAGGGAAGAAGUGCCAACUUGCAUGUUAAUAAUUUUAGUUUGACAAUAGAUAUAUAAUUGGAGUAAGAGUGGGAAUCGGGUUUAACAAGAAGAAAGAUAGGUCUUUGUAUCGAAUAUAUUAAAGGACUGUAAAAAUGAGAGCCCACAGAGUGUCUUGAAACCCAAAGUUAAAAAGAGGCCCGCCUCGUGAGAAAUUCGAACCCGAAUUCGGCAAUGAAUCCAAGUAACGUACAUGGACAUCAUCAUUGACAUACAAGUGGAAAAAGAGAGAGUGGUGCGCUGUUGCAGAAUUUGCUGGAAUCAUCAUCUAGCACAGAUAACACAAAAAUAAACAUAUAAAUAUCUCAGGGUAUUCCUGCAGGUAAUUUGAUGAUUGAGCUGGAGAAGGUUAUAAGAUGAGAGAUGACAUGGAUCUUCGUUCUGACACCGACAUAAUGGAAACUGACUCCGCCUCUGCCGCCGCCACAGCCACGGCCGCCGAAACGCAGCAGCAUCUGCGGCAAGUCCAAGACGUCGACCUAAGAGAGCUGCUCGCGUUGGCUCGCCAGCUCAUCAAUCAAGGCAGGCCUUCUCAGGCUCUCCAGGCGGUAAUAAAUCCUUUUUUUGUUUUAAAUUUUCUUUGUAAAAAAAAAAAAAAACUGUUACGAUUGUCAGUCAAUAUGACUUGACGUCCACAACAUUGAUUCCUGAUUUUCUUUUACAACAUCUUUCGCGUAUUAAGGAAUAGGGAUGUAUUCAUAUUCAAAAUAAUGAAUGUGGUAUGGCCACUUUAGCCAGUGGAUUUUAUUUUAUUAUUUAAUUAAUGGUCGAAACAGGUGGUGAUGGCGAUGAGAACCAGAGGUGGGGAGGAAGCUGUAUUUCGAUCACUGCACCGUGCGCGCGAAUUGUACAGAAAUAGAAUGCAAGAGAACACUGCCAUGGAUCAGCUGGCUGCUUUAUUUGCUGAAUGUGCCAUUGCUGAAGCCCAGCCCCUGGCUGUUGAACCAUCACCAUGCGAAAUAGCUAGUUCAUCAACUGUACCGGAUGCUGAUGGCUCUUCUAUACUUGCAGAAACUGGAAGAACGCAGAUUGUGCUGGAUGCAUUCUCAGAUGGAAGCAGCUUUGUAUGUUUACAGUGUGGGGGUCUUGUUAGUAAUCAUCGAAAAGAGGAGCACUAUGCAUAUUGGUGUUGCAAACUCUGAUUCGGAGGUAUAUGGCAUUAAUAUUUUUGCUCUUUCUUCACCUCGAUGCACCUACUAAGCUAUUGCCCUACUUGAAUUGCAAUUGACUGCAUUAUGUGAGUAUACACUAAUGUCAAUUAUCCUGGCUCUGGUCGCUGACUGGCAAUCCGGUGCCACUUCUAGGAUAUGUUUAGAGGUCAUGCUUCCGUCUGCAGAGGAGUCUAUAUUGAAACCAUGUUCCCCUUUAAGUGUAGUGUCGAAUCUCUACUCUUGCAGUGAUUAAAUUGCAUCAUCAUUGUAGAUAAAUGCAAGUAAAAAUUACCAUCAAGCGGUUUUUAAAGCUCUGAACUAUAAUAGUAUAUUACUAUAUCUAUACUUUGUAAUAUAAGAUUUUGAGGAUGGCGUGCUUUUAUUCCUGGAGGUCUUCCGUCUUUUACGGCCCCAAAACCCAACACCACCUGCUCGGCUGCAUUCACUGAUAUUCAGCUAUCUAGUACAUUAAUUACUUCAAGACUGCGCGUUCAGAGUUCGCUAAUUUGAUUAUAUCCCUCCCUUGUGUCUUAAUUACUAGAUAUUCAGCUAUCUAGUACAUUAAUUACUUCAAGACUGCGCAUUCAGAGUUCGCUAAUUUGAUUAUAUCACUCCCUUGUGUCUUUCUCUCUCUUCGUCAUGCAAUAGUGUUUUGGACAUGAGCAAUGAAAUCUAGCUCAUAUGCUGCUGAAAAAGAAACGAGGAAGUGCAAGAAUAAAUCAAGCAUGAGUCAUCAGUUAUGACGGGAUGGAAUAGUUGGUGCCCUGUGGCCGGUAAUUUGUCUGUGGACUUGUUGAUGCUUUUGAAACUUGAAUGCUUUUUCGUGGAUUGUUGGGUGCAUUAUUGAUUGGAUUCGAUCAUCUUGAGAGAAAAAAUAGACUUUUUCUCCCUGAUUUUAAUUGAUGGGAGUGGAAGAGUAGAAGGAAGAGAUUAGAUAACUCCAUUUUGUAGAGAAUUAAUGCAAUUGGAUGUUACUAUAAAUGUCUUCAUAUUCAGCGUAAUGUUUCCCUCCCCAUACCUUAGACCAUCUGCGGGUUGUUUUGAAAACUCGGACAAUGACAUAUGGAGAAUUCAUUAAUGGUGUGUUUAGUUGAGGGUUUAGGGAAUGGAAAUGAAAUUUAUGUUUACUUGUUAAAAUGUAAUUUGGGAACGAGAAUAAAAUGUGUGAGUCUCAUAUAAUUUGAGAAUAAAGAAUUCCAUUCCCAUGGAGGGUUGGGAAUAAGGAUUCUUAUUCCCUGAACUGAUUUUUGUAUUCGUUUAAUUUUUUCAUAUUUUUUGAAUUAUUCUCGUUCAAAUCACAAUUAAUUUUAUUAUUUUAAAUGUCGUUAUUAUUAUUAUUAUUAAAAAUUAUUAUUAAUUUUAUUAUUUUAGUUAUUAUUAAUUAUUUUUAUUAAUAUUAUCAUUAUUAACAUUUAUUAUUAUUAAUUUUAUUUUUAUAAUAAUAUUUAUACAUGUAUCUAGUUAAUGAAAAUUACAUUAUUUAAUACUAUAAGUAUUUUGGUAAAUUAAUUCUCAUUUAUAUUCUUUAUUUUUAUUUAUUUUGUCAAGUAAACACAUUAAUGACAUUCCAUUAUAUUUUUAUUCUCAUUUAUUUUUGUCAAGUAAAUAUUAAAAUCUCAUUCUCAUUUCUAUUUCCAUUCCUCAUUCCCUAUUUCUAUUCUCAGUCCAUUCUUAUUUCACCUCAUUCGCAGAAGUAAAGAAUAAUACAUCCUUUAUAUGGGUAGUGAUAUUAAUUUCAGUAGUCAGUUAUCCCAGAAGAUCUUGAUGCUAGGAAGAAUUCCCCAAAACCUAUCAGAGCUACAGUGGAAAAAGGUCUAAAUGACCAUUUCUGUAUAUUUGUACAUUCGUUCAAAGAAAACAGAAAAAGUAAAUGGAGGAGUGAAGACCAGUGCGUUCCAGCUGGAAAUGAUUUAAGCGUCGUAGGAGCAAGACUCCUUGAGGUACAACCUGUACAGUAUGUGAGUUGGUAAUUUGCGGUAGAAGAUGGAAUAGUCAAGGUUGACUCACGGUAUAAACUAAAAUACAGCUUAUUUAUUAAGGUGGUCGAAAAUUUAGUCAAUUCUUUUUCAUAAGUGUUAGUACCACUUGGCCCGUGCCCUUGGUCAGCUUGGUAUCAAAUAUACAACACUUGUUUGUUAUUACAAAUAUCUGGUAAAAUAUUGAUUUUGAGUUUUCACAAAGUACAUUUGUAAGAUAAGUGCAUUUGUAAGGACUAAUGUCUCAAGGGAUGACAAAAAUAUAAUAACAUCGUUAUGCUGGGAAGUGGAAAUGGAAUGAAAUGGCGAAUAUUGAGAAAAUAAUUUUCUUUCACUAUAAUGAGAUAGUAGUUGCUACCGACAAAAUCAAUAUUGCGCUUACACUCAAUAAAACCCAAAAUUAAUUAGACUGAAUACUAUUUCACCAAAAAAAAAAGGAAGAAAAAAUGGAUAUAUCAGACUAGACUGGACCUUCGUACAGAUGUCUGUGCGCUUGGGGUGUCUUUCAUCCCUCAAAAAAGUGUUGUUAUUGAUAGAAACUGCGAGUGUCACUUCUUCACCACCCGUGUAAUCUCAUGUAUCUAGCACCUUCUGGCAAAUUUGCGGUGAACCACCAACGACAAGAACACUACUAUACACAAUGUACUCCUAUUGCAUUAAUCACAGCCAAAAUUUCCAAUCUUCAUAAACCUGACUUUUCCAUCCGAGCUCCUUGAAGCUCUUCACUCUGUAUCCAUCAAGAGAAAGUGUAAGAUUCUGUUGUAUGUAAGCUAUGAGCAAUAUCAAGGCCAACCAGAUAUCAUGCCUGACGUCCCAACCAUAAUAUUUUUCAUGUAGUACUUGACAUCUGAAAUUAUAUUUUGUUUCUGACUAUCUUUUCAAAACAUUCUGCAACUAUCUUGACAUGAGUGAAGAAGUUUGCUCAUAGCCAUCGUAUCGACAUGUAAUAUUACCAGAACAAAUAGAAUUUAGCCCGAUACUUUUUAGUCAUAGGUGAAGAUAACAAUGUGAUAAAUACUAGCCCCAAUGAUGUAGACUACAUUAAGUAUAUGACUGGAAAUAGAUGUAAAGAAUACAUUACCUGCACUCCUUUUGUGGCUCGUCCGUGCACCAUGGGUUGUGAUCAUACUCGUGCAGAGAUUAGUAUAGGUAUAGCAAGAUUAAGCUUGUGACCAGGACCACAGAAUAUCACCCUGCAUGUGGCAGGGCCCGUGGACGAGGCUUUGCCCUCACAAUUGUUUCAUCACUGUGACGGAUCCAUUCUGAGAGUCUCCAUGGCUUUUGCCACUUCCAUUUAAAUUGCAAAAGCCAUUGGUGGUGACUUCUCUUCCAUCUCCAUAAUUUUCCACCCUGUCCUAGGGCUGCUAAUUUUUUCAUUGACAACUGCCCAAGGGGUACCCUCUGAGCUAACACAAAACCUGCUUAUGUCAGCCAAAGUAGGAAGGUGGAUAUCAAUCUAAUAAUAAAGGAUGGAAAAGGACUUUAACCUUUCUGUUUUGAUUUAUAAAUGCUGCUGACUCUCUUAUUGAGCCAUUGGCAAUGCCCGGUGUAUAUUUCAGUUGCUUCUGUGCCGGGACAGACAUUGGGGAGGGAGGACCACUCGUAUCAUCAGCAAAGUGUUCAAGUGAAUUGUGCAAGUUCCCCUGUCCAUGGCCAGGAAUGAAGAGUUAGAUGCACAAUAAUAAAAGUUUAGCAACACAAACUCUAGAAUGCUGAACACACUUCCAUCCAAUAUUAAGAAAACCAUUAAAAUGAACACAAUUUCUUGGCAAACCUAUAGACAGGCCUCAAAAGUCCUAGAAUUUUGUCAAAAAUCAUCUCAAUGUGUGCUUUCCGAUAGAGUAGUCUUCAUUUGUAGACUGAUAAAGUUCUAAAAGUUUUUAUAUGAUGCAUAAGAACAAAACUCAAGUGACGUCUAAUCUCACCGAAGCCGAUCUAGCCAGUGUGAUUGCAACAGCCUGUUCUCUCAAUUUUAGCUCCUCCUCCACUUCCUUUCUUCUUACCUCACUCUGUCGCAACAGACCAACAAGUUCUUUUAGUUGCUCUUUCAUUUCCUUGAUCUCUAUAUCUUUCUCCCACAGUUGACACCUGUUGCAAAUGCACAAGGGGCUAUUUAGAAUUGACCUCUAAUCACAGAAUUCAAAUAAGAGAAUGUACAUGUUCUGUGAAAUCUUUAUGGUUUAAGCAUAUAAAUCAAUGGCCCCCUGAUUAAAGGAAUUCUUUUAAUAAAUUCCAUUUAAUGUAUCCUUAACCAGAUCUACCGUUAGAGAUGCAUAUCACUCUCUGGAAUUCCAAUCAAUUUUGAGCACGGUUAAUCUAGUAGAUUUGUAUAAAUCAUGGAACUAAAGGUAUCAAUAUCCAAAAAAAGUCUGAAACUGAAAAAAGAUAAAAUAAAAUAAUUUGGGUUAUAUUUAUUUAAUAGAAAGCACCUUGCAUCUGCUAGAGAAUUGAACAUGUAUUGAAGCAAGUUCUUAGCAUCAGCCAUUGAACGCAACUGAUUCCAACGUCCACGGUUAGUGAAGAGACGGUCCCGCUCUUCUGCCUCUGAAAGUUGUGAAGCCAUUGCUACAAGUGAAUUAGAUGAUAUGCUCAGCAUAUUCUCAAGUGAAGAUAUUCGGGCCAUUCUUGCAUUUGGUGACAUAGAGGACACUCUGAACAAGCAAUUAAAUCAUGUUAACACGUCAAGCCAUUCUUCAUCAUUCCCAGACCAUCAAAAUGGAAAUAAUUUGGGGUGAAUAAAUAACUUUCACAACUUAUACCUAGCAAAUCCAUUCUUUCCCCUCGGAGGACUGAGUCCCUUUGAAGCAAACUCAUCCACUUGCUUCAGCACUGCCAACUCUUCCGCCAGUGCAGCUCGUCUGCAGAUUAUUUGUGUUAGCAUAAAGAAAGACGUUUUAAUUCAUAUUGGAAACAAAUAUAAAUAAUGAACCUACACUUGGCUCUGCUUCUCAUAUUCAAAACGAACUUCAUGCACAUUCACCAUGACCUCUAGCUCAUGGUCAAGCCACCGUUGAAAGGAUUUCUCAUUGCUCUACAUAUAUCAAUUAAUUCAAAAGUAUUAAUGAGAAUUAUACACAUUUAUUAAAAAUAAAACUUAUCAGUAAAAGAGAAAGCAAAGAUCAUUACCUGCCCAUUUGUUAAAUUUCCAUUUGUGACAGCUGGAAGAUAGCAUGAAAUUAGAUAAAUUGAGUAUAAAAGCAGAGGCCCAUGGUCUAAAAAUGCCAUGUAUCUGGUAAACAAAUAGCCCCUCCAGUAUAGUAACCAUUGAUCAAGUAUGUGAUGAAGAGUGAUGGAUUUUCUAAUCUUUAUAUAAGAGGUGCUGUAUGUUUACCUGAGACAAGGGCUUUCUAGUCAUCAGCCAUAAAAGGGUAAAACUGAAAGUGAAAAGUUUACCUGAAUUCUCACGGGCAGAAGAUUUACGUGAUUCCAACAACUCUUUUAGCCUCUUGGUGGCCAUUGCAGCCUCUUCAGUCUUUCUCUGAAGAACCUGCAUGAAAGAAAUUUGUUCCAGUUAACAGUUUAUUUCUAAUACGUAUAAAUCACGGAGACUUAUGAAGCCUUUUCUACCUAAGCAAUGGACUAGACUAAUAAUUUUAUUUUAUUUUUUAUUUUUUGAACAGAGUAAUACUUGAAAUGGACUCAACUAGAAUGGGCUCCACUUUUUCUUUCUUGAGGUCAAUUCGUUCCUUAUUAGAUUAUUUUGAAAUAUCAACUCAGGAAUUAGAACAUACUGAAUUUCAAUUAUAAUAUUUUGGGCAAUUCGGCAUUUAAAGCGAAACUUCCAUAAUAGGUUCUUAACUUGUCAAAGUGAAACAGCCUUAAAUAUGAUAGCAGUAACUGAACAUGCCAAAAAGUCGGAAACAUAGCAAACAGGGUUUGAGGGAGACAAACCCAUGAUAAGAAUCUAGCUGAUAAAACAAAUUUGAAGAAGCAGCAAACAUAUAUAAUGAAAAUUGGAAUUGAGGCCAGAUAGUUUGCUUUCUUAGACUUUUUGCUAUUAUCUGCUGUUUUCACCACAUUAUGAGGGCAAAGUCAGGAUGGAAAUCUUAAGAGGCAAAUAAAUUGCUACAUUCAGUGGUACAUUCUUCUUGGAAAUAUUAUUGAGAUAGAUUCAUAACAUAAGCAAGCAGGAAAGAUUUGCUCACCAAUUUCUGGCGUUGGUUCAAAGCUUGCAGCUUAUGCCUUUCAUACUCAUUUCUUCUUCCCUCCUUACGUAACUGCUUUCAUCGAUAUGUGAAUAAAUAAGUUAACAUACAUACAUACAUGCAGACAAUAUCUUCAUAAAGUUUACAGAUCUGAAGCAUACUCUAUACAUACUUUGUUUAAUUGUUUUGUUUGCGUUACCUUAUUCAAAUAUCUAAAGUAUAACUAAUCCGUAGGUUCUCUUAUUUAACCUCCUAAAAAAAAAGGUUCUCCUUCAGGAUGAAUAAAAUAUAAAACAGCUUUGGCAAUUAGUAAAUUUGACUACACAUUAUCAUAUGACUUUAUGCAGGGGUGAAUCCAAGCUUGCUCAGCUUGCUGAAUCUUUUAAUUCAAAUUAUUUAUUGGCAGUCAACCAGCUGCUAGAAUUCUUAAAAACGAAUUUAUAAUACUGAGUACUGCCACCGGGAGUUUAGGGUUUAAAGGAACAAAAGUGCAUGCAACAAAAUUGCAACUACAUAACAUUGUGCAAAGAUGAGAAUGAGUUUUGUAGUUUGCAGGCUUAACUACCUAAAGUAGAAUUUCAACAGUAUUGUCAGAAAGACCAAACCACGCCCCUUAAAGUUACAAACAAGUAGUAACAAAGAUACAAACGAAAAAUGUGUUCUGUAUAAAAAGAGAAUUCAAUGGAUCCCAACUAUUCCUGCUCCACCCAAUAAUCUUCCCUUACAUAAAAUCGAAUGGACAUAUAUCAUUUACCGGAAUGAGCAUAAAAGAUAAUGAUACUGCAUGUCUUUUCCAAAUUAUUUGUUUCACAGAACAAGUAAAGCACCUGCAAAAGUUCCUUCUCUCGAGAAGCCUUCCACUGUCGGAAUUGUUCAGCUUCUUGUUUUAUCCUAUGUUGCAAUUGAACCUACACAAAGAUGCAAGGGAACAAGAAGAAGAAAAUCAGCAGUGGACAGAGUAGAGACAACAAAAAAGGACUGAAAAUAACACGAUGCAUUAAAAGCCAAAGUGACAGUUAACCUUUUGAGCCUUUAUAAAUUGAAUUUCAUCUUGCAACCGCUUUGCUGCUUCAUCACUCUUUUGUUUCUGCUUUAAAAGUUGAACCUGGCUCUCCUGUUUUUUCUUGAGAUCCAGAAUCUGUUGUGCAUAGAUUAUGAAGACUGUUUACUACUUGAAUUAAGUUGUGAUAUUUAUAUGGAAUUGUGACAAAAGCCAACAUUACCUGUGCCUCAAGUGAUUUUAAUUUAUGGGCAUGUACAUCUUGCAAUUUUUGUGUUUGCCCAUCAGAAUUUGAGGCAAGAUUUUCAAUUUCAGUCAGCAAAUGAUCUCUUUCUUUCUGCAGCAAUAAAACAGGUGUGCAGAUGAGUCAUCUGUUAUUUCAAGGAGUGUGAAAAUUGAAGAACAGUUCAAUAAACUUCUUUUUGACCUGCACAGUUCGUUUUUCAUCCUCUAGUUCUGCUAUUUUCUUCCCAAAAUGUUGCUUGAGUGCUGCAGUGUCAGAGCCACCAACAAGUUUCAUCUCUGACUGCACAGACAUUAUAUGUAAAUUAUGAAGGGUGCUGAUGACUUCUUUGUCCAAAUGAUUUGCAAAAGUUGAAGAUAUACAGAAGAAAUGUCAGAAUGUAGAAGAAAAUUACUCCAGAAUCAUGAACCAGCCAACAGUUCUUAAGAUUUUUCUUUAAACAGAGGUAAAAUUCCAGGAAAAAAAAUGAAAAUAAAAAAAGAAAAAAAGAAAAAUCAUCAAAUAUUUUUUCAUGGGAAUCCAAACUGGGCCAGACUAUCUUCCAGAUGAUUGAGGAAGGAUGAGAUUAAAUGGAAGUACAUUACCCUUAUUAUCUCAUGCUAUGCUGUGUAAGAAGUUUAUGAAGUAAGAAUACACAGUUCCGAAAAUUGCCAAAUACUAGGAAUAAAAACAUAAAAAAUAUAUAUUCUGAUGAAAAGUACCUCUUUCUCCUCCAAACGCCUGUUCAAUUCAUUCAACUCUUUGUCCAUAGAAUUCUGUAGAAGUGUGUGCUCCCACUCCUUUGCGACUUCAUCAAUUUCUCUGGAAUCACCUGCCAAAAUUGACAUUGUAUUCUCAAUGUCAUAGAUCCAUUGAAAGGAAACUUGAAUUCACAAUAUCUGAAAGAGAAACUGAUUCAAUCCAAUAGAUGAAAGAACAAGUAGAAGACUGGAAGUCAUUUUGAAGCUUACCCAGUUUACCAAUGAUUACAGACAUUUUACCUAAUUACUAUAUCAGAGAAGUUUCAUACCUGUUAUAUUUUCACCCAUUUGAUAAUCAGUUUGCUCAAUACUAUUCAAGCUCCUUUUAAGCCCAUCACUUUUCAGAGGACAAGGACUACCAUCCUGAAAGAUGAAGUAUCAAUUUCACACGUAUAGUGAAUCAUCCAUUGAUCAAGCCUAACUGUAAUAAUAAUCAUGACUAAAGAAUUAUAGUCAACUCUCCCAUGUCCUUUUUUUUUUUUUUUUGUGGGAGGGCAACACAAAAGAUAAAAUCUCCCAUCUUUUAACAAAAGGAGAAAAGAACUAAUGGAAGAGUUCCAAAAGACAGAAGACAUGUUCACAUACUUGAGCGUCUGUUUCACGCUGCUCUACAUCAGUGCAUCUGCUGCGGUAUUCAUGGAGUUCACGGCAAAGAUCUUCAUUAGCAGCUUCAAGCCAAGCAAUCCUUUCCUUGAGAACCUAGGCAAAUGAUUAAUGAGAUAACUUAUGAAAUCGAUUAAGAUACAACUAUCUCCAUAAACGAAAUUGAUAAUUAUUUUGUUCGUUCAAACCAAACUAUCCUUUACAUAGAGAACCUCAUAAGUUUUACCAUAGCGUAAAGUAAUUAAUCCAGUAUAAUUUUUCUAUAUAAGAAGAUGUGAGAAUAAAAAUAUUGAAAAAUUCUUAUGAUCAACAGAAUAUCCAAGGUAAAAAUUUAGAACCCAGAUACCUGUACUUCAUCAGACGAAGAUCCUCCACCACGGGCGCAAAGUUCUGCCUGCAAAAACUCUAGUUGUUGACGCAUCUUCAGCAUCUCAGUGGACAUGGGAUCUCUGUUGACCUAUUUAAGACAAUUCAAAACCAGAAAUAAAAAAAAUCAUAAAUGCAUGAAAAAAAUUGUGCCUUUACACAAGUGUAAAGAGAAUGAAAUCAACAAUUUUCUGUUGAACUUACAAUAGGCUUAUUUUGUAUAUUUCGAGCACGAUUUGCAUAUUUUAGAGUGUUGAGGGUUUCCUCAGCAUUAAUAUCAGCAGGACUAAUGCAGGCUGUAGAAGGUAAAAUUGUAUUGAUAUAAGAAAUAACAUUAAGAUCACCAAUCAAAUGUCAGAGAUUGCCAAUGAAAAACCAGGGUAAGAAGGAACUAGAAUAUAUGAUUAAAGAUAAAGGAUUUACAGAGAUCAAACUUGAGGAUAAAUAAGUUACCUAUCAUAACAGUUCGGCUGUUACCACCAAGUGAAUCCUGCCAAAAUACCUGAACUUAGUCUAAAUAUAUAAAUAGAAAAGGAUGAAAAUAUUUAUAAUAAAAAACACAAUAACAAUUAAGAAAAAUAUCAUCAUAGACUCUCCUAAAGAGUUUCUGAAAAUCACAUCUCAUUUCAACCCAUUAUUUCCACAAUCAACUGGCCGGCUAAUACCAGAUUACGUAUGAAAUGCUUAGGGAGAAAAAUUCCUAUCAAUAGUUCAAUCUUUCUGGACCAUACUUCUUUAUACUAUCAAACUAGACUAGAUAAUUUACCCCUUGCAUCAGACGCAUCAAGUUACCUGCAAAAGCCUAGUAAGUUUACUGUCCCGAUAAGGCACAUGUACGCCUUCUUUGCGCUUUUUAUCAUCACCAAGAGCGCUGAUAACGUUACCAAGUGCAAGAAGGCCCCUGUUAAUAUGAACUCCUGUUUAAAUGUAAAUGCUCUGUUAUCAUGUUUUGACCAAAAGCACAGUAUGAUUCUACUUAUGAGAAAUCUCCACCAACCUUCCUUGAAACGCAAACCAUCAGAACCAGUUCUUUUGGCCCUCUCUGAUCCAGCAAGAUCUACCAAAUGCAACUUGGCACAUAGAUAUUCUUCAUUCAUACUCUCAUUAGGACUGCUGUCUCCCAGAGAAACUGGACUAAGCUUACGCAUUUGCUCUAGGGUGAUGGUGAAGAUGGCAUGUGAACGACUGUAUGAACACAUACCAAAAAUAUACACAUGUUAACAAAUCUGAUAAUACCUCUCAAAAAAUUAAAAAAUCUGAUAGCUACUGUAGAUUUUACAGUCAUUAUAGAGAUGCAAUGUUUUUCAAACCAGCAUGUUACACAAAUACAAUAUUCAAAAGGUUUAUUUGGGAAACUUUUUUUUUUAUGGAGAGAAAUCUUUGUAUGAUCCCAGUAUGUCCAAAAAUACUGAACUAAUAUUUGGAAAGGUACAUGACAAAUUUGGAAAGAUAAAGAUCUUUUUCCAUAUGAUGGAAGGAUAUUGUCAAAUAGCAGUUAUAGAUGAAAUUACCGAAACUUAAAUGUAACUGAUCAAAACAGAGUAGUAAAGAUUUACCUUGAUUGAUUGUUCAUGUUUGUACUCCCAGUUGCCCUGCUCAAUGAUCCUUGCUCUAAACAGGCCGCCAUUUCUUUUAGUGAGCUAACACUAACUUCAGUGGAUCCAGCCAACGUAAUAACACCAUUUGAUGUUUCUCGGAUUUGUAUUGGAGGUUUCCCGGGUACAGUUACUUUUCCUGUGUGUCCAUUUGCAGUAUCUGGUUUGUUCAAACAAGGGGGAUCUAGCAAAUCCCGUACCUCUUCUUUUAGAAUCUUUUGACAACACAGGAUUUUUUGGUUAGAUAUUUACCACAACAAUGCAUUAUACUAGAAACAUAUAAUAUUUUAGAAAAUACCCAAUUAUGUAAACAACUCUUCAAACCAUGACUUCAGCAGUACAUAGUUUGAUAGGGAAAUUCAGCUCAACAAAGAUCGAAAGUUUCAUUCAGUAAAACAGGAUGCCAAAAAAAUAUAUGGUAGCUAGAGAUUAGAAUUACUGUGACUAUGUUGCAUAACUGAACAGAAUGCACACAACAAGGAAUCUCAAAUUGAAAUAGUUGAGAAAAUGAUUUAAAACAAAGAAGCUACAUGAUGAAUAUAAUAGACAUCUUUAUCUCAUAUCUGGUUUGUUCAAACAAGUGGGUGUAGCAAAUCUCGUAAUUCUUCUUUUAGGAUCUCUGACACAGGAUUUUAGUUAGAUAUUUAUCACAAUAAUGCAUUAUAUUGGAAACACAUAAUAUUUCAGAAAAUACCCGAUUGUGACAAAAAUUCUUCAAACCGGAGCUUCAGUGGUACAUUGUUUGAUAGGGAAACUCAACUCAACAAAGAUUGAAAGUCUCAUUAAAACAGGAUGCCAGAAAAACAUAAGGUAGCUAGAAAUUAGAACUACGGUGACUACGAUGCAUAAGUGAAUCAAAUGUACACAACAAGGAAUUUCAAAUCUAACUAGUUAGAAAAUGAUUUAAAACAAUGAAGCUACAUGAUGAAUAUGAUAGACACCUUUUGAUCUCAUAUGACUUCAUGACAAGCAACAAAUACUAGAUAAAUAUAUCCUGUUUAGUACUUUAACAAAAUUUAUCAAAUUUUCUCUUGCAGGGAUUUUUCUGUGUUGCGACGAGGAACAUAGAUUUUCAGUCAUAUGACUGAUGUUUGUUCUGAACUUGAUAAAUUUUUAAGAGAACAAUGCUGAGGCUCAUAUAUAGAAGAUGGCACCACAGAGUGUAACUGAUGGAUAUACGAAGAAGAAGAAAGGCAUCAACAAACCUCAAUGAAGGAAACAUGCAAUUGGAAUUCGGUUUGAUCCUUUAGAGUUUCGAUUUUGCUGAACAGAACAUUCAUAACUAGAGGAAUUAUUCCCGUUUGGUAUCCAUCUUUGAAGCCAGUUCCCAUUGUAUAUGUUUUUCCAGAUCCUGUCUGUAACAUAUUGAAACGUUAACUGAAAGAAAGAUGAUUACUCAAGCAUACAUUGCUUCAAUUGAGCAGCUUUUUCCACGGAACAUAAUCUUUACCUGACCAUAAGCGAGGACAGUUGCAUUAUACCCUUGAAACAAACCAUCAACAAGUGGAGCAAUACAUUCAUCGAACAUGGCAGAUGAAGGAGAACCAGUGCUCCCAUAUACAUGAUCAAAAGUAAAGGAGUGUGUCCCAAUUUGUACCUGCAGCAUAGUAAAAACCAGCAUCAGAAAACACACACGCAAGCACAUAUAGACACAAAAAUUCACAAAAUUACAAGCACUGCAAUUCAUAUCUUAUAACUACUGAAACUCCAGAAACCUGUUAAACUUAAUUCACAAGUGGAAAUUCUGUUACUCAAUAUGAAACGGAAGGAAUAUUUAUGAGACAGCUUAAGUGCUAAAAUGGUGUAUCAUGUUUGGCCCUUUCAUACAUAAAGUACCAUAGAUAUUAAUCAUAUUUACAUAGAAAUACUUCAAAAUAUGAGAAUAGAGACGGGGACAAGCUGGGUGAUUCCAGAAAGUUGCAGAAGCUUUAGCUUGAUCUUAUAGUAAACAACAAAAAUGCAUAUGUAAUUCAGAUUAAUAAUAUACCGAUUGCCAAUAUGAAAUGUAGCAGACGCAGUGAACAGGCUACAGAAGAAAUAGCAAGAAGACUUACGGCACUGUUCAAUUUAAUUAAAUUUUUUCCUUAUCUCCUGAAACUUAAUUAGCUGAGGACCACUAUGGGAAAAAGCUGGAUACUCGUAAUUUACACCAAUAAGCUUAGGGACAGGCUUUGCAGAAGAGAGUAAAUGGACCAGUCUGAUUAUUCUAACGUUUUUCCAUAAAAGCAAACAAAGGCCAUGGCAAGGAAUUUCCUGAAUUGCAUCAUAACAAACAACAAGCGCAGCCAUUGCCUCUGAUUGGAACUUAUGAAACUAAUCCAAUCAGCGGAAGUAACUAGUGAUGACUAAAUUCUGUCAUCCAAGUCAAAAAUGCAAGACUCUCAAAAUUCUCACAAGACUGUUCAGCCCCUUAAGAUCCAGAUCUUCGUAACAUUUUUAACAGUGAAUUCACGCACGCUGAACAUUCACGUUCUUACUACUGUAGUGUUUCCACUUUCCUGCAGUAUCCAUACCUGAGGCUUCCCGGGAACGACAGCGACACAAUCCUUACAACCUUGUGCACGUUCGUCACCAAUGAGCGGUCUUACGUGCACGGCAACCUUCACGCAACAAUCCUCUCCACCGCCAGUUUCCAUAUGAAGCAGCUACGGAUUAAUUCGAGACACUUUUCAGAAACGGCAAGAACAGAGAGAACGAGCGUUAUUAAUGUGUCUGAAAGAUCAAUCAGUCUCAGCUAUAAAACCGUUGUCAUUGUCUCAGAAUUUGGAGAAUUUCGGACAAAGAAAGUGAUGAAGCUAAUAAGGGAGCAAGAUAUGAAAACUAAGAGUUAAGUUUCAGACAAUGUGUUAGAGAGAGAGAGAGAGAGAGAGAGUAUGUGUAGGAAAAAAAAUGGUAAAAGAUUAGAUACAGAGAGAGAGAGAGAGAGCGAAGGGUAGUUGGGGAAUUAGAGGAUGGAGAACAAAGAGGGAUACAAGUAGCAACCGAACAGUUUAACUACAAAGACAACAACCACUAUCAUUUUCCUUAGGCUUCACUGCAUCACAACAGCUUUCACGGUUGUGUGCGCGCAAAAGUUAAACUUUCAUGACACUCUUUCCCAUUUUGCCCUUCUCCUCGCACAACGACUCUCACCUUCCUUCCUUCAUGGCGUCGUCCCCCACUUUUCCGGAUCACUUUUACGGUUUUACCCUCUCUCUUCCACGUAUAAUACAAGAAUACAAAUCAUGAUUGUCCCCACAAUACAGUAGAAAAAAGAGGAGAUGGCACAGCACACAAGCCACGUGACAUGGAAUCAUAUAUUGAUUUCUUGAGAAGUUUUGGGCACGAGCAGACUAAAGAGGACUCCGUGUACAACUAAAUUUUUCUUUGCAUGUGCAGUGCAUGUACGGGAUUUGCUCUAUGAUUGAGAAGAAAGUGAACCGUCCUUAAAUUAUGUACAAUUUUAUUAGAACAUACACUAGCUUAAAAAUAAUAAAUGCGAAACAAAUGAAUAUUAAUUUUCAUUACCUAACUACCAAGGUCUUGAUUUAAAAAAAAAUUAAAAAAAUAAUAAUAGUAGCGUUGUCAAUGAGUUUUGGUAUUUGAUAGGAAGAAGAAAGUGAUGUGGGGGAAGGUGGUACUGGCAAUGGUAGAGGAAGAGAAGUAAAGAAAAGGGUGGGGUGGGAGAGAGAGAGAGACCCACACAAUAGACAUAGCCAGCUGGUGGUCUCCCAUCCUCACAUGGCCUUUUAGUGUCUGUAGACCUGACUGGACCCCACUUUAAAAACUUGGUCAGACCGAAACUGGUCCCCAUGUUUUUACUGAUUUUGAAGCAGUUCAUAAAUUCAUCUUUGGUCUUUUGCAACUUUAAGGAUCAUCUUCCUGUGUCAUGCCAACGCACCCGGCUUAGCCUGUGGAUACAAACCAAAUUAUAUCAUGACCUACGACCAUUUUCUGUUUUCUGACCUUAGAUUUUAAUUAUCAUUAAAGCCUUUUCGAAAUCUCUCUUUCUUUAUGGUUUAAAGGAGCUAGCUAGAUCAGAUCAGAUCAGUGAGUGAGUCCCUUGCAUACUUGCACCAAAUGUACUUUUGUGGCUCAGGAAAACACAUGCGGUGCACGAGCCGAUCAGUGUAAUGGAACAAUUUGUGCUUAGUGUUGAGCAUUCAUGGGGUCGUUUAAGAGGGGUUAAAGCGGACCCUGGAAGUAGAUAAACCUGACCUUCGGUGAUGAUAAACAUAGGGCUGUGCACGUUUUGGCCGGCAUUGGACCAGCGUAUCUGUUACAUGAAACUGUCAGAUAAAUAGUUUUGACAGCGAUGUUGAGGAUUUUAGGAUUGCAUUUUAAGCAGGCUAAAUUGGUUUUGCAAGCAUCAUCACGGGGUCAAAUCACAUGAUUUUUACUGUGAUUUUUUGUAUCCACAGAAAUGCAUAAACGAUAAAAUAAGGUUUUAGAAGGUUUGAUAAGAUUUCCCUACCACAUAAUGGAGCGUGCCUUACCUUUUUAAGUGGGCCUUAGCUGAAACAUCUUGUUCUUGUCAUUAUAAUAUUUCCAUUCUGGGAGAGCGUAACCAACUAAUUUUGCAAAUUUUGAAAAAGAAUAGAAAGUAUCUAAAUCUUGACAAUUAUUUCCCAUCUUUCAGGUGCUGUGCAAAUGUGGACGUAUUUCCUAAUUAACCCGUUAAAAGGCCUAAUAACGUACAAGUGACUUUGCCAUGUUGGCAGGUGGGUAAAAUUUUACCAUUCCUCUGCCUUUCGUAGCCUUUUUCUUUGCUGCGGUAGACUGCAAGUUAAGCAAGCCGCUGGGGAAACCAAUCCAAUUGGCUUCUGCAGUAAUCUAUCCAGUUGCGUGCUUCAUUCACAAGAAAGAAUUGCGAGGGCAAGAAAAUGAUGGAAAAAAAAAAAAAAAAAAAAAAGCUGAUGCAAAGAUCCUAAUCUGAAGUUUCGUUUCACAACCUAACUCUCCAUUCAUUGGAUUUUUCAUUUUUCCCAAUUCGGCCGUUAGUUUGGAUGCACACCAAGCAACCACAGAGACCCCACUUAAUGACUUGUGCUGGUUCAUCAGCUUUGUCCAGGCAUUGUAUUUUGCAAUUUUAACCUAUAAUAUACGAAGAAUUACGAUGAUACUUCUUGUAUAGCAAAAGGGAUUAAUUCUGUCACACGGUUCUUCUAAUACUAUGUAUGCGCUCUUCAAGUUGUCUUGUUGUCAAUCCCCCGACGGAAACCCAACACUGCGUUAUCACUGGAUCAUGAGAACAGUACAAGUAUGCAACGAUGUGACUGGGGGAAAAUUAAGUCCAUAGCUUUUUUAGUUUACUAAUUAAAUUUCAGAGACCAGUUGCUACUUCUGCAGAAGUGCGUUCUUUAUUCUACCCUCAGUGUCACCCGACUUUUUUCGUUAUGUGGAGCUUAGCAUCACAUGCUCCUACCUGCUUUACAUCACACUAUGACUCUCAUUUCUCAGUCCUUACUUUUUAUCCCAGACGCCCUCUUUCUGUCCCCUCUCAUUCUAUCACAGCCCCAUAAGCAGCUCUUUUUUAUUUACGUGAAUAAUUUUUAAUACCGUUAUUAAACUAAGUUUGGAGUGCAUAUCUUAAUGUCCAAUCCCAUUGUUCUGUUACUCAGUGCACUCAUUUUUAAGCACAUUUAACAUAAUCUUAAAGGGGUUCAUCCAUAGAGGAGAUAUGAUUCCACAUAGGCAUAAUGAUCACCGUGGCCCUUUUGUCAACCCAAAGCCAAUAUACAAUCUAAUGGUGCUUUAUUUUUAGUUUUUCUUCUCCAUCAUACAUUGUCUUGGAUAUAAACUGCAAUAUCGCAGCUAAAGCUCAAGCUUUUCCCCCUCUUAUACAGAACCUUUAAGUUAUUAAGCUUAAAAAGCAUUUGAUUUUGAACAGUGUGGAGACAUAGCAUGUGCAUUAUUGCUAGAAUUCAUUAUGCGCAUGCUUCAUUGCGUGGAUAGGCAUACAUCUAGCUGUGGGGCAGGCUCCUCUCAUGAAAUGGAAAUACUUUUUCUGUUGCUACUUGUAUCUAGUGAUAUUCAUUCAUCCAAAUCGAUUGUGUUGAUGAAUGUUAACGUGGAUAAUCUUCGGCCACAGAACAAGCCUUCCAACAAUUUCAUGGCCAUGCUAUAUCAUUCAUUCAAUCAUUGUUCUGAUUAACAUUUUAAGGUCAAUGAUAUUUGGCAAUUCUGGGUUCGUUUAGGGUCAUAUUGCUUCCUUGUGAGGAUUAGAAGAGCACACUAGCACUUGCUUCCGUAGAAGUCACUUAUUUUAGGGGAGAUUUGAAUUUGAAACUUGCCUUCACAAAUCCAUAUCUUCUCUUUGUUUAGUUAACACUUAACCCCUCCUCAUAUGAACCAAAAAGCAUAGACCUCAAAUCACAUUUUGGAAAUGUCGAUUAUGUAGUGUUAACAUUUUUACGAGUUUACAGUUUAAACGCUUGAAGAGGGAGAGGAGUUUGGAAAUUGAAAGAGAUUCCAAUGUGACCUCGGGCUCAUUUUCAACUGUUGAAAGGAAGGGUAUUGUUACACAUUUCAAAAUUUAUCCCCAAAAAAAAAUCCUUCCCAAAUGAGUGAUUUAUUGCGCUUACAUUAUUUACAAGCGAUGCCCAAGUUCGAACGAGUUUGAUGUUUCCAACUUUCCAUUACUCGCUGCAGAGAGCCUUGUCUUUUAUCUGGUUUAUGCGUUCAAAUCUUGUACCAGGUUGAGCCCUUUUUGGGCUCCAACAAACUCUAGGCCCAUUUUUUACUUUAAAAGCCCAACAAACUCAAACUUCAACGGACCUACGUGUGUGCGUGUGUGUGUGUAUAUAUAUAUAUAUUGAAAUGAAAAUUUCGAAAAAGGAGACCGAAAUAAAAAAUCAUACUAGUGCAUUGUUUUACACUUUCACUUUAACUCAACACCAAGCGACUGGGCUCAAACACUCUCCGCUCCUCAGAUAUAAAUAGAGAGAGAGAGAGAGAGAGGGGUGUCAUAAAAUUCAAUUAAAAAUUUUUCGGUAAGGACUACUGUAUUAAUAUAUAAGUUUCAAGUUUGUACUAAAAAGGUUGUAAUACAUAAAUAUGAAUCAUGGAAGAAACAAAGUAAAAUUAAGGGUUGGUUAUUCAAAUCCACCAAAUUCUUCUUUAUACUCAUUUUAAAAAAUAAUGUAUUAUUAAAAUAAAAUUUUAAAAUUACCAUUCACUAAUCUAUUAUGAAUGAAUUGAUGAGAAUUUAUGAAAUUGAGAAGAAAAAUAAAAUAAAUGAUUAAUUCAGUAAUUUUUUGAAAAAAUUAUGAGUGAGACUAUUUGAACCCACCGAUUUCCUUCCUACAUCUUUUUUUCUAAUUAAGAAUUUUAUUAUUUAAAUAAUUUUUAAUAAAAUUACUUAAUUAACCGUUUCUUUUCUUUCUCAUCUCAAUUUCAUUAAUUCUCAUUAAUUCAUUCCGAUAUAUUUUUUUUAACUGUAAAUAAUUGAUGUCACAAACUAAGAUAAACAAAAGCAACAUUUUAAAUUGAAUAUCAACAAUUUCUUAUCAGCCAUAAAAUUAAUAAAUAUCAAGAAAUUGAUUUUUACUAAACAUAAAAGUUGAUGAAUAUAAAGAAAAAAUUCUUAUAUGCAAAAAACAUAAAAUAAAGAUCACGAUCUUAUAAGAAAUACCAAAAAAUAAAUUAUAAAAUAGUAAAAUUGAGUGUUUAAUUUAAAGAAUGUAAGAAUAGAGAUAAUAUUUAAUGGUAAAGUAGGGUGAAAAAUAUUAAUGAAGAAAAAAUUUAAAAUUUUGAGAUUUUUAAUUUUUUAAUGAUAAAUUUAUUUUUUAAAACAGAUAUAAAAAAAAAAACUUGAUAGGUUCAAUUAAUUUCACUUAAAAAUAUUUAUAUAAUAAAAUUCAUAAUUAAACAGCGUAGGGAGUAAAUUGGUGAGUUAGCCCCAGCCUAAAAAUGAUUGGUCCGUGGUGGCAAGCAUUUAGAAAAAUAAAAAUUCCCUUAUGUUAUGUCGGUGCAGAGAAUUAAAAAAAGUGGAAAGAGAAAGUAAAAUAAUAAAUAAAUGGCUAAAAGGACGAAGCAUAUCUUCGUCUUCGAGUCGGCGUCGUGAAAUAUAGAAGCAUGGAAGUUGCGUAAGCUUCAAUCUUCCGUUUAAGAAUAUCAGAAGUCAACAUCCCGGGCAGCAAGCACGUACACGGUACUCGGUACUCGGUACUCGGUACUCGGUACUCAUAAGCUUGUUUCUUCUGCAAACAAACAUUGAUUAAUACAGUUAGUUAUACAAGCGAUCAUAAUUCAAACGUAAGAGUCAUCAUGUCGGGUGGUAUUGCUCGCGGCCGUCUCACAGAGGAGCGAAAAGCCUGGCGCAAGAAUCAUCCCCACGUAUUUGAUAAUUUUUUUUUUUAUUUUUCCUUUUUGUCGUUUUAACCGCUCGCUAUUUUCAGUUCUGUGUCUCUCCAUUUUAUUUGCACAAAUGUUGUGAGGUUUGAUUUCCUGUUAUAGGGUUUUGUGGCCAAGCCUGAAACCAAAGAUGGUUCCGUGAAUUUGAUGAUCUGGGAGUGUAUCAUUCCUGGCAAGACUGGGGUUAGUCUUUCUUUUACUGAGAGAGUGAAAGUUGGGAUUUUUUUUUUUUUGGGGGGCGGAUGGGGGGCGCUUUUGUAUAAAGUUUUGAUCUCGAAGUUUAAACCUUUGAAUGAUUCAAGGUACUGUGUAUUAGUUAGGGGUUAGAAUUAAAAGUUGUUAUAUUUUUCAUAUAUUCUUCAAUUAUCUGUCAAUGUUGUUUUUUAAUUGUAUGACCUUUUAUACAGCAUUGUCUGAUCUCUGCCCUGCGGGGAUUACUGUACAGUUUUGUAGUUCUUAUCAAUUUUAUUCCCCUGUUUCUUGUCCCGCGGCUCUUUUCAAGCUGCCCAGUAAUUUGGAAGAUGUAGUCUCAGUUUAAAUUUGCUGGAUGCUCCAAAUUCCAUUCUUGUCUAAAUGUCUCAUCAACUAAAAGAUCGAUAUUGUUGAUUACGUUUUUGAGAUGCAAACAAUAUCAGAUGAUUAGUUUAACAGACAGAGUGGAGAUACUGGUGCCAUUUGCUUGUCCACUAUUGAAUCUCCUAUUUUAGACAAUUUUAUGGUGAUUUACAAUUUUAUUUUUUUUCCCCCACUGAAAAAAAAAAAAAAAAAUGGCAGGGCUUAGCUUUAAGUUUUAAGGGAUGUGUAUAGUUACUUUCUUGUUAGUACCCAUAGUGAUUACAAUGAGAUGUUACUGCCUCAUUUGAAUAGUACCAUCCUUCUUAAUCUUGCAGACUGAUUGGGAAGGUGGCUACUUUCCUCUUACUCUCUACUUCAGCGAAGACUAUCCCAGCAAACCCCCAAAGUGUAAGUUUCCUCAAGGUUUCUUUCAUCCUAAUGUCUACCCUUCUGGAACAGUAUGCCUGUCAAUCCUCAAUGAGGACAAUGUAAGUUCUUCUUGCCGCUUUGUCAUAUACUUCCAAAUUAUGUAUGGUAGUGGAUUAGCUAAAAUUUCCAGUUUAGAUGACAUGAUGGCUUUCUUCUAGGGGUGGAGACCUGCCAUUACUGUGAAGCAAAUUUUAGUGGGCAUUCAGGAUUUGCUGGAUCAACCCAAUCCUGCUGAUCCAGCACAAACUGAUGGAUACCAGCUUUUCAUCCAGGUGCUUUAUUGGUUCAUAUAAACUCUCAGUUUUAAGUUUACUGUAGUUUCCAUUCUUAGUAUUAAAGAAUGCGGCCUUUUCCUUAAGCAAUAUGGCUUGACAUGAACAGGAUCCUGCCGAGUACAAGAGAAGGGUGCGACAGCAGGCCAAGCAAUAUCCACCUGUUAUAUAAUGCAAGCUUGCUUAAAUGGAUAUGAGUAACUCAUUUGUUACCUCACAUGGUUUAUGUCCAUCAUUAUUUACUACAGUAAACGCAGUUACAAGUGCACCAACUUUGGUGUUGAACAUGUUAUAAUAUGCUACCUGUAUCAUUUGUGAAGGGUGCUUUUAUUGGCUGUCUUGUUUUCUUCCUGUUCUGUUGACCGUUUGGCAACUUUUAAGGGUGUUACAAAUUAUGCUGGUAGUUAUGGAUAUUGCAAAUUAUGCUGAUUGUUAUGAAGUUAUGUGUUGGCUUUUCAAUUAAGUAUACAAAGAUGGAGUAGGUGAUAUAGUUGCUAAUACAUAAUUAUGAAAUUUUUUGGCAUUUAAGACUAUACAGUUCUUUUCUGGAUACAGGUACCUCAAUGAUUAGUGGGUGGUAUUGCUGUGUUGUAAGUUGCUUAAAUAAUUUGUUGCUUAUUUGAUGUGCUUGGUUGAUACGGGGUACUUGCAAUUGCAGUAAAAUCCGAGUGGGUUGAGAUUAGCAAGGUGAAUGUGUGAAAAUACUGGGAACGACAUGUAAAAGCUGAUGAUAGAAAGUGGCGUCAGCAAAUGUAUAAGUGUGGAAAGUAAGUUUGGGUGAGAACCUGAGAAAAUGAUGAUGGUAUAUGAUGCCACUGGGAGGAGGAUUCUGGUGGAUCAGCUGAGGGUGACAACCUGAGAAAAUGAUGGUAGUAUAUGCUGCUACUUCUGCUUUGACAAAACAACAAUUGAGUUGAUUUCUAGUACUUGUAGAUAUGAAGGUUUACACUUGUAUAUGCGUAUAUGUUUUUUUUCAAUAUAGUGGGUUAUUACUUGAUAUCUGAUUUCCACCUCUUCUGUGUUUCAAGGCUUUGCCCUUGGUGGCAUUUGAGAAAUUGCUGGUAAAAAUUGAUAGCCUGUGGUAAUAUCAAAGGUUUAUAACUUCACAUGAUACAAUUAACAGUUAAAAAUGGCAUUUUGUACAUCCAUUUGUGCCUUUGGAGAUCCUAUGUUCCUUGUACAACUGCCUUCUUUGCCAUUUCCUUCAGAUGGUUUUGCAUUUUUCCCCAUCUGUACUGAUAUAUCACUGUUCUCAUGACUGCAUAUGUGCCUUCUUGAUCUUACCUUUCUUUAUUUGAGGUGAUUCCUCAGUUUCCAACAUCUACCUAAUUUUUGGUGCCUAUUUGUACCCCGAAUCUAGGCCCUUCACUUACCAGCUUUUCAUUGUGGAAUUAGCAUAGCAAAUAUGACCUUAGGAAGUCAGGCGCUCACCCGUGGAAGUACUGAGUUGCAGUCCCACUGUCAAACACCAUCUAAUCAAGUGGAUGUUCAAGUAUCAAAACUGUGGCGCCCAUCUAUUACUGUCAUCUAUGGUUAGUCUGUUCUACCAUCCUUGUAGUUACCUUUUUGAUAGUCUUUUAGCACUUUUCAUCUGACAAUAAAUGAAUGGUCUGAUUCUUAAAAUGCGCUGGUUAUAUUUGUGGAGUGAAAUACUGAAAUAUGCUGAAUAUAUUUAGCCUUCCAAAUGAGAUCCAUUAUUUAUUUAUUUAUAUAUUGUGCGGGGACAUAUGAUUGAAGAAGUCAAUUUAUGGCGUUUUGUUUUAUAUGCUGACGAAGAAUUGGAUGGCAGUUUAUUAAGUUCUGUUUCGCAUAGUCCUAUAACCAACUGAAGAGAGUAGAAUUUAAUUAGCAAAAGCUAGAGGAAAUUAGGACAGCCUUCAAAAAUAGACACGAUAUUAAAAAAUUGCCAUUUCACCGGCACCCGAGGAUUCGCUCACAGCCUUCUCAAUCAUCUCCUUCACCACAAUUAAACUCCUCCUCUAUCAAUUGAGUCCAUCUCUUAGCCCCAGCCUCCAUCCACUCCUAAUCUUAGCACCCGAGUAACCAACCUCUCGAUAUAAAAUUGCUUACCCGAGAUUGGCCGAGUCAUUGUUGGCAGCAUUCUUAGUAUAGCUUCAUCUUCAAAUGUCAGCUAGUCAGCUAUAUAUGAAAACUCAAGUGGGGAGACGGAACCUGUAAUUUCUCCGACAAUUUAAAGAAUCUUCCGUCGAACCAAGAGAAAAUUUAAUAGGGUGGAAUUUUGUGAACUUAUUGUUUUCACGUGUCACAAUUUGGUUCAUAUUUCAAAUAAGAUCAGACCAAGCGGUGACUAAAUAAGAAGAGACCAAGCAUGGAAUGAAAGUUGCAAACUUGAAGAGCUUAGACAAAAAAUUUUAAUAAAUUGAAAGCCAAAACAUAUAAUUUUCAAAUAGUUGAGCUAAAGUGUAAUUUGAACCUGUAAUUUGAACCCUCAUUGUGGAUUUUUUUUGUUUCCGCCGGCCCUGCUGUACCGUANNNNNNNNNNNNNNNNNNNNNNNNNNNNNNNNNNNNNNNNNNNNNNNNNNNNNNNNNNNNGUGGUGGUGGUUGGAGAUAAUAAUAGGAAUAAGCUUGUUCAAAAUUUCAGGGCGAUUCAGCGGUAAAGGUAGCAAAAAUUUGUUUGUUAUCGGCAAUAAUUCUGUAACUUUGUUAUGGUUCUUACUAGACUAGAGUUUGAUUUUGAUGUCAUAUGACUCGUGUCAUACCUAAAAAAUCUUGUUUGUUCUCCCUGUCCACAGAGCUUGACCAAACAACCCAUAUGAAAUACGCUCGUUUUUUUAAUUCUUAUUCCUUUAUCAUGUGCGUUAGGUGUUGCAAUAACGACGUUGCGUGGGCACCCAUUAGCACUUGUGUCACUUUGCCAUAGUCUUUUGACCAGUGAAUAGGUGUCAUGUUUCUCUUUAAGGCAUUUAAUCUAGAAUCUGAGGUUGAUUUGCUCCGUUCUCUUUCAAUCAUAUCAUCCCACAACAUGUUACCAACAAACGGGACUCGACUAGCUUACAGAAUCUGUCAGGUACAGACUGCAGCAUCAGCCGUUGGAUGUGGUUGGAUGUGGAGUGAGAAACUAAACAAUAGAAAAUCGGAUGGUGGGAUGACGGGAGAUGUUUGUUACAGAAUCUGUACCAUAGACAGGUCCCCAACAAACGUAUUUUCAAGCAUCUUAUUUUGACCUUCAACGCAUCCCAACAAAUAUUUGACACCACAUUCUCUGUUUUUAUUUCUUUAUUAAUUUCUCAUUUUUAAUUGUCAACCAAUGCCUAUUUUUUUCAGUAUGCUGAGCAAAUUGUCUUCUCUUUUUAUCGAAGGAUCAAACCAUCUUAUCCUGAGUAAGGAGCUGUAAUUUUAUCUAUCAAUGUGGGGCAUUAGACAAUCUUUAACACUUUAAUAGUUAGAGCAUUUGUUUAAUUUAGCUAUUUGGCAGAUUAUCCCCCAAAGUGUUUGAUAACUCUUGCAACUUAACUUUGGCAAGAUAAUUGAUUAUUUUUUCACAAUUAUUUACUGAAAAUGAGCUCUAAAAAUGAAAGUUACUUGACAUCUAAUAUUUUUUGGGAAAUUUACGAAAAUAAUCAUAAAAUUUUUGCUUGUAUUAUUAUUGUAUAUUUAUAGUUAUAAAAAAAUUAGGUUUUAUUUCUUUUAGUAAGUUAAAUAUAAAAAUAACGAAUGGCUCUUUUAAAAAAUAAAUAAAGAAAAUAAAAAUUAAUUGGUUGUAUUGGAUUUUAACACGUUGAUACAUAAAUCAAUCUAAUAACAUUGAAUUUUUAUUUUACAAUCCAAUCCAAUUCGAUUAAAGGUCAAUCCAACAAAAAUUAGAUCGAUUUAGAUUAAAUCAAUCGAAUGCCUAUUUAGCUCUUUUCAGUAGCACUUAUCGUCAUACUUUUCUUUUCUUCUUUUUCUUUUUUUUUUCCUCGAGGGGGGUACAAGAUAAAUCCAAACUUUAGAAGCUCCACUUCAAAAAAUCAGUUGCGUCACGACGCAUAAAACCAGCAAAAACUGUGAUACGAGUCGUUUGAUAACAAUCGACAAUCACAAUUAGGCAUUAGCCUUGUAAUAAAAUUUAUAUAAUUUUCUUAAAUUAAUUAUAUUAAUGUCUAUUUCAACGACAAGUACCUAACUUAGCGGUCAAGGACGGUCCGCCCGGAAUCUGCGGGCAUAAUUAACAAAAUAAAUUUGAAUAAAAAGCAUGGACCGUUCGUUUUCGACAUGGUUAUGAUUACAGGACUUGACUAGCUUACAGAAUCUGUAAGCUACAGACUGCUGCAUCAGCCGUUGGAUGUGGUUGGAUGUGGAGUGAGAAACUAAACAAUAGAAAAUCGGAUGGUGGGAUGACGGGAGAUGUUUGUUACAGAAUCUGUACCAUAGACAGGUCCCCAACAAACGUAUUUUCAAGCAUCUUAUUUUGACCUUCAACGCAUCCCAACAAAUAUUUGACACCACAUUCUCUGUUUUUAUUUCUUUAUUAAUUUCUCAUUUUUAAUUGUCAACCAAUGCCUAUUUUUUUCAGUAUGCUGAGCAAAUUGUCUUCUCUUUUUAUCGAAGGAUCAAACCAUCUUAUCCUGAGUAAGGAGCUGUAAUUUUAUCUAUCAAUGUGGGGCAUUAGACAAUCUUUAACACUUUAAUAGUUAGAGCAUUUGUUUAAUUUAGCUAUUUGGCAGAUUAUCCCCCAAAGUGUUUGAUAACUCUUGCAACUUAACUUUGGCAAGAUAAUUGAUUAUUUUUUCACAAUUAUUUACUGAAAAUGAGCUCUAAAAAUGAAAGUUACUUGACAUCUAAUAUUUUUUGGGAAAUUUACGAAAAUAAUCAUAAAAUUUUUGCUAUUUUUACAAUUAACCCUCUCAACUUUUUUCUAUCAACAUUAGCCAAACACACGCUUGUCUACCCAAAUUACCCUUCUUUACAAACCAAAAGCAACUUUCUUUCUCCCUUUCGUCAAACCAAAUGCAGCUUUCCACUCUUGAAUCAUCAACCAACGGCGACGGCAAAAGGCAACGAUAAAAAUGAAAUCCGAUCAUAAUCUAUCUGAAUCCAAUACUAAUCGGCAUCACAUAGUGAUAUGAGUUAUUUUCUGAACUUGCUCGAGAGUUUCAGUGAACUGCGAAUUGUUGGUGAAUUUAGCGACAUGCUGUCUGUCGCACAAAGCUUGGUGCGACAGGCACCAAAAAUGGAUAUCCCUUGCCUAUCGCACCAACACUUGGUGUGACAUGCACCAAAAAUGGAUAUCCCUUGCUGAAGUGUUGGAGGAAUGUGUUGGAUAUCCCUUGGUGAAGUUGCCAAGUAUCGUGUUCUUCCCAUGCAGCAGCCAAGUUAGAAACUGGGGCAAAUGGGGCCUUAACUCUCUAGUUUGGGAUUUAAUGUUUGAAGAAAAUUUCGAUUUAUUGCUGCAGCAGCAGCUAUAUAUUGCCAGGCUGCUAGCCAACUUAGAAUUACAGAGCUGUUUAGCUGAAAAUGAACUUCGGCAAACUGUUACUCUUGUUUCUGACCAUAGGCUUGGUUGAGUCAACCGGUGCUUUGAUGUUUGCCUUCGAUGGCUUCAACACUUCAAAACUGUUGCUUUAUGGCAACGCAAAACUGGAUUCUGGUGCCAUUUCACUCACCCAAGAUACCACCUUCUCCAUCGGAAGAGCUCUCUAUCAUGCUCUGGUCUUCAUCUUCGUGCCUUCCGCAGGCAUCCAAGGCGCUGCUGCAUCUCAAUAUCUCGGCUUCCUGAAUAGAACAAAUGAUGGUAAUAUGAACAACAAUGUUUUUGGCAUCGACAGGAAGAUCACUGCAGAGAGAGGGGUAUUUUAGUCUCAAAGGUCUUUUUAUGGCUAAUAUUGAUAGAAGUUUGUUUGGGGGGUUAAGAUGAAAAAAGUCAAAAUGUUUAUGGUUAUUGAUGUAAAUUUCCCAUAUUUUUUUACCAAACACUUGUCCCUUGAUAGCAAUCAAGAACUUUCAUUUCACAACACCUUGGUAACAAACAAAAGGAGCCUCAACUUUCUAAUGAAUCAACAUGUAAGUGUUUUAUUUAUUUAUUUCCAAUAAAGGAGCGUACAUUGAACAUUUGAACUCCUGAAAAAAAGCAUAUCAAGGAUCAAUAGAUUGGACAACUUGAAUGAAACAUCGGUAUUAAAUAUGUACAAAGGAAUGAAUUCUUGAGAAGGCAAAAGUAUACAAGACACCAAGUUAGAAGAGCAAAAAUAUACACCCUCUAGUCCUCUAACUAUUUGCAGCGUCUGUUUCUGUCAUGUAAGUUUCGAAGUACAAAGUAGUCGUCGAGAGUCCGAUGUAGAAAUCCAUGGCGCUCGCACAAGAAACACAUGACUCAAAACGGAAGAAAAAAUAAUAAUAACAAUAAAACAACACAACUUGCAUUGGUGAAAAUUUGCUUGUGAUCGACCCUUUAAUCUCCUAGCUACAACACUGUGUUUGGUGAUCGUCCAGAACUCUCCAAUACAAUUUCAAAUAAAUCAGCCUCAGACUCCUCAUCAAAUUCCUCUGUUCGAUUAUUAGCACCAGUGUUGUGACCGCCUUUGGUUGAGGAUCGGUUAAGCCAUUGAGAGUCAAUUCUUCCCAUAGAGAAGAGCUCUUUGCUGUCCUCAUAGCCUAGUGCUGCAGCAGGUGGGUUUGCAAGAGGGCCAAUGAAGCACGGGUUUGAUGUUCUUUGUGCAUUUGCUGGUGCAUAUGUGAAAGCACUUUGUCCAAAAUUGACAAGUAUCAAAACAUCAAUAUUUGCCGCUAUAGUUGGAUAGAGGGGAGUUUCAAAUUCCUCAGAUUUGCAAUUGAUCACGUGCACCAGCUCUGAAUCUACUGUGAAGAACACUUUCUUUUGCCUCGGAUCAAACCCACAACCAAUCACCCUUUCUGUUCUUCCCCAUUCUGCUUUCUCGGAUUCAAAAACAAGCUUAAUCCCUGAAAGAAAAAGAAAUCAUAUGAUUGAUCUUCAAAAAGAAUUUUUAUUAUUUUAUUUAUCCAUUUUGUUCUUUUGUGGCCACCACAUAGAAGUCACUUGAGCACUAAGAAUGCUAAAGAAGUCACUUCACCACUAAGAAUGCUGAAAUAAAACUGUUUAAAAAUUGAGUUAUACAGAUAAUAUAGCAAUAGUUUAUAUGACCCCUAACUAAAAAUUGGGUCAACAGCUUCAUACCUACUUUAACAUACAUUGAAGACAGGCUAAAUAAAAGGAUCUUUGCAAAUAAUAAAUCUCUAUUAUAAGCCAUGAUCAUGUCAUAUAGUGGGCCUUUUAUCAUUAUCUUUCACCAAUAUUGGGACCUUUUAGGUGGAAGAGAUUUAUUCAUUAGUGGGAUGCUACUGCUCGCUGGUACAGUGAAUAAUAUCGUAACUGUUGUAUAUGUUGUAACUCUAGCCAUGGAAAUUAAAAAUAUAUUAAUAAAUAAGGAAAAAGAUGAAAGAUUUUACCGUCCAGAUAGACAGAACCAUCAGAAUUGAAUCCGAUUGAUCCCGGAUAACUUCCGGGGAGUCUCAAAGGAAGGGAGCCACCGGGAGUGAGCCCCAAAGACAACAUUACAACUUCGCCCUUGCCAUCAUCUUUAGCAGCAGCAAGCUUCAAUUCUUCAACCUUGUUCACACUAUGACUGCUAGUAACAUGGACUAGAGAUUCGGAAUUCGCAUUUGCAUAAGAAUUUUCUUGGAUGAGUUUAGUCUUCUCGCCUUCUCUAGUCUUUCCAACUGAUUGAGAUUGACCAUCAUCGCGAGCAUACAGAAUGGUAAUUUCAAAAUAGGCCUCUUGAGGAAAAGCAGAGUUGCCCAGAGGCGGCCCAGGCAAAGGCAGGGCUGUUCUAAUCACGGCAGCAGCAGACAUAAAAGGGCUGCUUGUAUUAACCUUCUUUAGUCCUGAAUUGAGCCUAAUCUUUUGCAUAAAAUCUGCUGAUCCUUGGCACACGUCCCAGCUUAUAUCCGCUUGCGUUUCUCUUCCGUAAUCACCAACCGCGCAUAUUCCUAAUAGGCUUGAUCUAGUGGACGGAGAUGACAUGUAGGUCGUGAAACCAAAUCUAGACCAUCCAUUUUCGACAGCAUCUGUCACAAGUUCCGGAUGAUCAGCCCAGUUGAACAAUGGUUUGGCUGAAACUCCACGUCGGAAAACGUAGUAAUUUCCUCUCCUCUUGCUAUCUAAAUCAAGAUGAUUAUGCGGACUCGGACCGUUCUGUUGAUGAAGCUGCUGCGGAAUCCGAGUUUGAAGACUCUCGGGGGUUGUUUGGUUCGCGUCAACAAAAUCCUUACGGUGUCUGUUGCAACACCAUCGCCAAAUAAACACGAUCAAAAGCAUUAUAAGAACUCCUGCGGAAAACGCCACGAGUAUAACAUGAAGCAUCUCGUAUUUUAUGUGGGAUUCGGAGAAUAGUUCUGUAAGGAAAUGGGGCAAGAAUAUGGAGAGGCAUCCAAUUAAGAAGAAACAGAGGACAGGUCACAGGCCGACGCAGGCGUGGACUAGGACUGAUUCAAGAAAGGCAGGAGAGCAAAAUAUUGUGCAAGCUAACGCAGUAAACCCAAAAAAAUAAAAAAUAACGUGGGGUUAAUGUAUUAAUUUAAUUAAUUCUAAACCGAAAAUAUUUCCCACUUAAAAAAAUAACGCGUUCUUUGAUUCAUUAAAGCUUGUGUUUGUUUAUGUCGCUAUGCAGUCACAAGCACUUCUAGAAGGGCCACGUGGGCAAAUACUUAUGGUGGGCUGCCACACUUUUCUGAAUUGACUUGUCUGACAAAUGGAAUUUAUGGAGGAGACAACAUGGAGAUUGGUUAAAAGGUGACGUGAAUGAAACAAAGGAACAUCAACUUAUUGUAGUACGAGUUUGGGAAGUUUUUUGUCUGACUAACACAGUAAACAGUUAAUCCUAAAAAUGUUGUGACCUCUGCUAAUUAACAGUGGUGCUGUCUGUCUAAUGAUUCAAUUCUGUUUAAACGAUAAAAGAAAGCAAUGAACACCAAUCCCUCGUGAAAAAGUUCAUUAAAUUUGGGUAAUUGAAAAUAAUUUGUUUGAUUUGCCCUCCUUUCCAUGACUCCACAUGUACAUUCCAUAUAGAAAUUUUGUCUCAUUUGGAUUUUGGGCGACAGCAAAGGCUAACUGUGCCUAGAUACAUCGGAGGGGGCACGCGCCUAGUUUUGCCAAAACCAAUUUGGGGUGCAUGUGGGGAAAAGUAGACGUGGGGACUUCAAUUCUUGUGUUAUAGCCUUUCUUUAAUUCAUUUAUUUAUUUAUUUUACUUUUUGUAUGGUAUCCUUUGGUUUGCAUUUAGAGGCAUCUUGGUUUUAUUUAUUUGAUUGUAAACCUUUUAUGCCAUCAAAAUUUGGUUACAGAUAGAAUGAGUUCUAUCUUCUGUAUGGAAUAUUUCUGCUCGCUGCAGAGGUAAGUUGAUUAUGUACAGGAGCUAAAAGAUGAAAGAUUUUGUUUUAUAGCAUUUGGGCAAUGGCUUAAAACUCAAAUUUUAUUGUGAGCCAUAACUUCACAAGAGAAACCCCACCAUAUAUUGUACAUACUUGGUUUGCCUUAAGUCAUUAUCAUUCAUCCCCUGAAUCGAUUGGAAAACAUGAGAGCAAUCAUCAGAAUAGUUUAUAAUUAUCCUGUUUCGUAGUAGUUGAUGAAAGGUGAAUAUAAUAAUUCUGAGGAUAACUGCCAUAAUUCAAGGAGACAUCAUUAAAGGGAAACAAGAAAGUUAAAAAGACACUUGAUUUGCAAAACCCUUAAAAUUCUAUGAAAAAGAGAUCUUAUAGGGCUUUGCUAAGUUGAAAAUAAGAAGCAAAUUUUGCUUGCGCUUAGAAAAGGUAGAAGGAUCCUUGUUUUUGCCAAAUUUUUUGCAAUAAGAAAUUGAGUGACGAGACAUAUCACUCAAGAUUAUUAGUGAAGUCAAUUAACAAAAGGGUUUUUUAAUUUUGUCCUUCUAUUUCCCUCUCAUACUGGCAUUGAUGGACGUCUCUCUCUUUUUAUAAAGGAAAAAAUGAGAAAGUGAAAGAAUGGCAAAAAAGAAGAAAAGUUAGCAUGACGAUCAUAACCUGCAACAAAUAGCUUCUUCUUUUUUUCUUCCCGGGGAGUGUGGGGAGAAAUUAAUACGGGCACGGGGACAAAACCAUUUAAGUAGGAGCCCAUUCAUUUCACUUGUCUCUCUUGUUGCGGACAAGACUUCUCACAAGUAAUGAUUGGCUAUAGAGUUGCUUAAUUCUACUGGCAUGCUAAUCUGGGACUUGUGAAAAUGAAAAUUACAUUUGACAUAUUUCCAGACGUUGGAAUUGCAUCAGCGCAGAGUAUCAAGUAUCGGUUCGUGCGUGUUAUAACAGUGGAUGAGGAUAUUCUCACUGGUAUAGUGGAUGUCACAGCUUUAUUAAAAAAAAUGAAUUAUAAAAGUCCCCUGCUGCAAAAAUUAAGAUUCUAAUGAUCAGAUUUUUUAAGCUAUCAGAAAUUAAAUUGGAAGCCGAAUCUACAAGCUAAAAACUUCGAAAUCGGAGACAACCUCAAUUGAGUUAAGAUGAAGGAAAAGCAGAUAAAAUAAAAUUCAACUCACUUAAACACUGGUUUCAUGAAUGUACAAAGUCUUCUAACAGAGCAUGAAUUGUCAAUAAGUCUUCUAUAUGAAUGUACAGUGCUCACUUGUCCUCAAGUGUGUGAUUUUUGAGAAAUGGCAAGCAACCCCAUUGUCUUCUUUGCCAUCAUAUUCAAUUAUUCAUCUUGAUAACACACUUCCGUGUCUUGAAACUUUCCAUCCAUCUCUCUCAAAGCUUUUCAAUACUACAGUUAAAUGCCAUAUUGGGUACUGGUUUCGAAUUCUCAACUUGUGAUAGUAGGCCCAAAAGACACAUGUCUAAGCCCAUGUUGGACAAUGGCAGGUCCAUUAAGAUCGGAUAAGACCCCCCAACAAUCUAUCUCGGUAUCCCCUCUAUCUGAUUAAAUUCAAUUCGCGUCUUAAUAGCAAACAAGAACAAAGAAAUGAAAAAAUGAAGUGGCUCUGCAGCUCGCUCGACGCACGCCCUCUGAAACCCCUGGUUCGUUAUAACAAAAGUGACUUCCAUUUCUCCCAAUCCCUUGUACUUGAGAAACUCCCCACUCAUUUCAACACCAAACUCGCUCUCAAACCCUCGAAGUGUUGCAUCAAAGCCAGCUCAGCGUCGGCGUCCAUUGAUAUCGACAUGGUGAGAAACAAGCAAGGAAUCUACACGCAAAAACAGAACAACAAAGUGGUGGUUCUGUGGGACCUCGAUAACAAACCCCCGCGGGGCCCGCCUUACGACGCCGCCAUGUCGCUGAGACGAGUGGCGGAGAGGUUCGGGGAAGUCACGGACAUCUCGGCUUACGCCAACCGGCAUGCGUUCAUUCACCUGCCUCAGUGGGUCAUCCAGGAACGCCGCGAGCGCAAGCAAUUCGACAUUCUCGAGCGCAGAGGAGUGGCGGUUCCAAAUGAUCCGUACAUUUGCGGGGUGUGCGGACGCAAGUGUAAAACCAAUCUUGAUCUGAAGAAACACUUUAAGCAGUUACAUGAACGCGAGCGGCAAAAGAAGCUGAAUCGGAUGAAAUCCUUGAAGGGUAAAAAGAGGCAGAAGUACAAAGAGAGGUAUAUAAGUGGGAAUGACAAGUAUAACGAAGCUGCCCGGAGUUUGUUGAAGCCUAAAGUUGGUUACGGAUUGGGCUCGGAGUUGAGGAGAGCGGGGGUGUUUGUUAAGACUGUUAGGGAUAAACCACAGGCAGCUGAUUGGGCGUUGAAGAGACAAAUGCAGCAUUCCAUGAGUAGCGGGGUUGAUUGGAUGUUUUUGGUGUCGGAUGAUAAUGAUUUUAAGGAGAUGUUGAGGAAAGCGAGAGACGCCAAUUUAGGGACGGUUGUUGUAGGGGAUUCUAAUAGAGGAUUGGGGCAACAUGCCGAUUUGUGGGUGCCCUGGAUUGAGGUGGAGAAUGGGGAGUUAACUGAGAGGGAUUUGGUGCCUAGGACGAGGAGGACCACAACUGAGGACUUUGAGAGGGAUGGUCAUGGUUUAUUUUCACUUAUUGAGUUUGACGGGGUAGUUGGUUUCGAGGAUGAGACUGAUUUGGAUAGUGUGGUUAAUGAACUUGUUGCUGAAAGGACCGAGUUUGGUGGUGUAAGGAUUUCAAUGUUUUCUGAAGGGGAAGAGGAAGAGGAUUAUUGGGUGACUGAGGAGGCAGGCGGAGAUUAUUUGUUGGAGGGUGGGGAAUUGGAAGAGCAAGAUAGUUACUUUUGAUAUAAGCAAGUGUGCUUGGUUAUAGAAGGCUUCUUAUUGUUUUGGUUUCGUUUCGUUCUCUAACCUGGGAUUAGUUUUCAAACUAAGAUCGAUUAUGCAUUGAGAACACGGUUGGGGAAGUGAAUUUUUCUUGUUGAUGGUUUGGUUUCUCUUGAGGUUGGAUAAUUAUGAACGAUUUUAUCCAUUUGAUGGUCCAAAUCAUUGUGCAAUCAUGAACAGGUCGGUUUUGCUAUCAAACUCUGAAAGUUGAUGCUUUUUAGUCUUCAGACACACAAUGGGUAGAUAAUCUCCUCAUGUUUCCUCUUUUAGUGUAUAGUAUUCCUAUAUUUAAUUUGCAGUUGCUACUGAUGGGAAUAUUACAAUACUGUGAUUCAUCCGUCUGCAUUGCUGUUUCAACUGUCCUCAUAGUAAAUGCUUUAACAUGCCAUCUGAUUGUACUUGACUAGAUUAAAACUUUAUUGGUGGUAUAAGACAGCUCUUUAGUUCUUCUCCAAACUUUUGUCUUAUAAUCCUAUCUAUGUCGAAGAAACUUAUUAUGGUAUUCUAAAGUUUAUAUAUUUGCACAAAUUUUACCAUUGUAGUUUCCCUCAGAGUUUGUGCAUAUCUAGGUUAAUUGGGUGGAAUGCAUUUUACCUUGAUUGAAAACCUGUUCAUAUCAUUGUCGUCUAUUUGUUGUUGUACAUGCUUUUGGUUUUCAACGUUGUGGCUUUUUGAGAAAACGUGAAAAUGUUUUAACGGUCCUAUUAACCAGUAUCUCAGGGUGAUUCUUGGUGUGUCAAGGUGCAGUGGAUAAAUACAACUAAGUUUAUGGCAAGUUCUAAAGAUUUAGAAGAGCAAGACAUGAGAAGCAAUGACGAAGAUUAGGAACCAUCUGUAUUCUGAUUCAAGAUGGAUUUAAUUAUUUAUUUAAAAAUAAAAUAAAUUGUUUCUUGAGAGUACCAUGGUGUGUUGCUACUACCUGCUCUGAGAACAGUGGAGUUUAGCAUUAACUGUGAUUCUGGUAUCUGCAAUAAGACCAUCAUUAAGGAUUUGAUAUAUUAUUCUGCUCAGUAACCUAUGAGCAGUGGGAACCUAACUUAUGCCGAACUAAGAAUUAUCCAAUAAUAUGACUUUGGGUUAGCUUAAAGUUAGGGCUUGAAGACAUCAGCACACCUAUAAGUUUGAUUUUUAAAAUAAAAAAAUGUAGGUUCUAGUGUUGGUUGUCAUGAUAAUAUCGACAUCUUACCUUGACUUUGUAUAAGAGGGUAUUCAACAGUUCUGUAACUGUAAUAUCUUUGUGAAACAUGAGAUGACAGUAAUUUUAUGCUAAUUGAGUACUUUGGUUUAGUGGUGGUGGGGUACAAAACUACAUUGUUUAGUGAGGUGGUUAUUCCGAUGACAGAAUUAGUAGCUCUUGUGAACUUAUCCGGGGUAAUAAUUGUUGAUUAAUUACUCUGACUACUCUACCUAGUUUUUCCUCUUAAGAGUACAAAAUUAAGUGGAGGAGGAAUUCAAAUAGAGAAAGAAAUGUACUGCUUAUGAUGGAACAAUUGAAGAAAAAUCAUUGGCCAAUAGCAUUUGGAUAUCUAUUGUACGUUAAGUCAUUUGUCUGAAAGAGAAAAUUCAGUGUCAUAAACUGGGAUCAGGCUAAGGUUCCCCCCAUAAACUGUUGUAUUUUUCUUCUAGAUUGUUCAUUAAUCUACAUAUUAGAUUUGGCUUGUGCUGCAAAUGCUGUGUGAAACUUCUACUGUCUUCAAAGAAGUGUUAGUCGGCAGGUUUUGGGGUGGCUGAAUCCUCCUUCAGAAGCAUUAGUUCCAUGGAUUCAUGGUCCCUGGCCAGCAGAGGUCCUUUUCAGUCUAGUGGACUUUAGUGAUUCUGAUUGACAGUUUGGAGGUAAGGUUCAAUGACUUGAAUCUUAGCUUAGAUCUUUACCCAUAGGCAGGAACUGCCGCCACUCGUACUUCGUUUGGCUACUUGAAACAGUGAGUUUCAUCACAUCAUGUUGUAUGACUGGGAUGUCUUGCUGUGGGCAAAGCUUACGUUACAUUACCUGUAUGUUACAGCUAAAAAUUUUUAAACCCUUAGAAAAGAUAAUAAUUAUUGAAAAGGUUAAUAAUUUUUAUAGUUUUACUUUAUACCCUAAGCUGCAGCCCGGUAAUAGAACUGUUAGUCUUUUAAUUUUUUUUUAAGUUCUCCAUUUAUAUUUAUAGCAAAUUUAAUACUAAAUUACUCAAUUUUUUUUCUAUUUUAUUUAAUUGAAUCUCUAACUUGUUUAAUUUUAUAUCUAUUGAGUAUUUAUUGAUUAUAUUAAUGGUCUCUUAUUUUAAUAUAUCAUGAUAAUCAAUAUUGAAGCCUUUUAUGAAUUGUUUAAUUUUAUUAAAUUCUUUACUUAGUUGAUCUCUUAACUUAUUAAUUUAUUUUAUAUUUCCUUCAUUGAAAUUAUUAAUUUCUAAUAUUUUGUUUACCCUUUCUAUAUCAUUUAUAGAUUAAUUUGAGUUUUCUAAUUUAUUUAAUAAAUACAGUGAUAUUUAAUUUAAUUGAUUAUUUCUCCACAUGUUUGAAUCAUUGAUUAGAUCAAAUGGUUGAAAUCUUUCAUUAAAGGUUUUGGUAAUUUAUUCACUGUAACAUCUUUUUAAUAAUUCAUUAGAUUUAUAAUAUAUAUAUCACAUAUAAUAUCUCUUAUAAUUUAAGAUACUAAAUUUAGAUUAAAAAAUCUAUGUGACAUCACUGAUAGUAUGUAUUUAGGAUAAAAAAUAAAUUGAAUGUGUGUGUGUGUGUGUGUGUGUGUUUGUUAGAAGAAAAACCUAGUCUAUGUCUCAAGAGAGAAAAUAAAUUAUAAAUGUAGGUACAAAAAUUUAUUCAGAAUUUGUAAUUUUUAUGAAUAUAAUAAUAAUAAUUUAAAUCUUUAUAAAAAUAUAGUAAAAACUUUAUAAAGUUUUUAAAAUAAUUAUAGAAGAGAUGGAUGAGAAAACCAUUAAUUAUAAAAAAUUAAUGAGGACUUAUUUGAAAAAAUAAGUAAAUAUAUGAUUAGAAAUGAAAUUUUUGAUAAAUAACAAUUACACCUGUACUUUGUUUUAGGUUAAAAUUAUUUUUAUCCAUUAGAUUUAAGAAAUAUCAAAAUCAAUGAUCUAUAUUUAUUGAUUGUUUGUUACAUUAUUUGUAAGGUAAGCUUUGCCCUUGCUGUGACAUCAAUGGAGAAGUGGAGAAAUGAUAUAAUGACGGCAGUUCCUGUGUAUCUGGGAGAGAAAUUUGUGUAUGAUAAGUACUGUGGGUAAUGAUGACGAAUUUUGAAGUGGACCAUCUGAGGGAAAGACUAGUUUGUUCAGCUUUAAUGCGAUAACCCAGUAUUUUGUUACAAUUUUCAUGAUUUCCAUGAUAUUUGAAAAUUUUGUAAUGUUGGAGAAAGUAUUGGGCACGUUUGAAAUUGAAGUGCAUUAGUUUUUAAGUUAAAAUUAUUAUGAAAAAAAAAUUAUAAUUAUAAAAUAAAAGUUAAUAAUAUAUAAUAAAUUUAAAUUUUUCUGCUGUACGGCCAAGGCGGAUGUACGGUACAGCAGAUAAAUUUUAAAUAAUAAUUUUGAUAAAAUUAUUAGAGAUAUAAUAGAUUUUUUAUUAUAUAAAUAUUAACAUAAUUUUUAGUCGUUAGUGUUUAUUAAAUAUUUUAUUGUUGUAAUUUUUAAGUUACGGUUGUUCAACUUCAAUCACAAAUGCACCUUCAAACAUGUAACUAAGGUAGCGUUUGUUUUUUUGUCUAAAAUCAGAAUAUAUUUAAAUUAAUCUGAAUUCUGAAUAGAUCUGAAUGUCUGAAUCUGAAUAAUAUGUUUGUUUUUUUGUCUGAAUUUUAAAAAAUAAGUAUUAAAUUGUUUAUUUUUUUUCAACUUAAAAAGUUGAAAAUAUAUACUUUUACAUUUGUAUCCUUAUUGAAUUUAAAUGUCAAAUAAAUAAUAUAUUAAAUACCAUAAUAUUUUAAUAUUUAUAAAUAAAAUUAUAUUCAAGUGAAUACAUAAUUAUUUUAGAAUUUUAAUAUAUAAAAUACCAUAAAUUUCAAAUUUUAUCGUAUAUAAUAUAAGAAAGAAAAAUAAGGGUAUUUUUAUGUGGAUUAAAUAUUUAUGGGUGAGUUUUGGGAUAGAUAUGAAAAAUAAAUUAUAAAGUAAGAAUAUUUUUAACAUUAAUAAGUAAUUGACUUAAUUCAGAUUUUUUCAUUAAGUAAAAAGUUAAAAAAAUUAGUUUAUUUUAUUAAGUCAACAUUAUCUAAUAAGUCUUAUUAAAUUACAAAAAUAAAUACUUUUAAUUAAUUUAAUUAAUUAAGUUAAAUUAUUUUAAAUUAUUAAAUUAAAAAAUAAACGCACCUAAAUCUAUGAGGAAAAAAAAUAAAAAACCGUGUGAUGCGAUAAAUUGAUUGUAAUAAUAUCAUCAUGUGUUUGGGCUGUUCUUGCCAGCAGCAGGUGUUUAUUUUGUCAAAAACAUGGCGGGCGUAAGAUUACGACUUUUAUUAGGAACGAGUACGGCACUUUUUAUAUUGGGCAGAAAUAAAGUGAAGCCGUAAUUGUCAAAUUUUAUACACAAUUUUUUUCUUGCGUUUUGGUUUUUUUUUUUUUUUUUAAUAAGCCACUUAGGAUUAAUAAAAUCGUAGAAAAUGGUAUUAUUUAGAUUUUAAAAUAUCAGAUGAGCUGAAGAAUACAUUCCAAAGUUGAAAAGCCUCAGCGGCUGCGGCAAACGAUAGCGCCGCUAAAAAUUGUACGCCGACGCAGAAUCUUGCACUAGAUUUACAAUCUGCUACGAGAGAGUUGAGAUUGAGGCUGGAAUUUGUCCCAUUAAGAUUAAGUUCAAGUUGCGAAGCAGAACCCCUAGGAAGUAGGAAACCUGCGUAAACAUCUACCUGGAGUGAGUGAGUGAGUGAAAGAGAGAGAUUAAUAUUUAUAUAUAUACAUUAAAUUUUUUUAACUGUUGUCGGUAUUAUAUUGUAUUAUUGCCGACUGAAUCUCCAAGUUGGCCAGUUGAUCAUACUGUUGAUCAAACUUACUAUUCAAAAUUAUAAUAAUAAUCGCAAUCCUUUUGUUUUAUUUUUCGGUUUGGAGGGAGCAGGGGUGCUCUCAGAAUGCACCGUUCUUUUCAUUCACUAAUCAAUCAAUUAUUUGUCCACAUGAUAUGAUACCAUUGUAGUUCACUUCCUUACUUUAUGUAUUAUUGCAAGAACUAAACUCAAAGAAAAAUAAAUAUAUAAAUUUUAAUACUAACUACAUCGCAUUAAAAUAUGUCUUUUUAUUCUUUAAAUAAAAAAGGAUCUCUUAUUUAAAAAAUUAGUCAGAUACUAUCUAUCUAAUUUUAUUUAUGUUUAUUCGAUUACAAUUACGCUUUCAAAAAAAAAAAAAAAAUUGGUGCCGUUCUUAACAAUGACUCACGACUUCAAAAAUUCUAAAAGAAGUGAUUCAAAGAAAUUGAUCGUGGGGGAUUUUGUAUUCAAGCUUUUCCAAGAGGCUAAAGUCAAUAAUUAUCAAGCUUUAAUUUUAAUAAUUAUGUCAAUUAUCAAACCGAUCCCCACUAUGAAUUAGACACAUAUUCAAAAUGAUGUUCGUGGCGGAGGCACUAACAAUUGUUGAAUUGAAUGGUACAUGUGGUGCCACUCAAAAGUUUACAAUUAAUCAGGUGAUUAAGAAAGAGAACCAAAUGGGAAAAAAAAAAUACGAAGUAAUCAGGAUUCUAAUAAUUGCAAAAUUUGCUAUUUCCAGUCCACUACAUGGUAAGGUGAUUGCGUGGACGGAAAGAAAGUCACACUCAAAACCCCCCAUCCAUUCAUCCACCACCGACCCACCUCUCUCUUACCUCACCCUAACUUUGGUUCCACUUGUCAACAAACCAAACUCAUCGCUAUCAAUCUCAUCCAUCCAAACAAAUCAAACUAAAUCAACUAACUAUUAUCCUAUUUCUCAAGUUUGACAGACCAAACCCAGGAUUUAAAAAAAAAGAAAAAAAAAAAAAACAGUCUUCUUAUUAAAAAUAAAAGAGGUUAAUUAAUUCUCCUUUCGUUGGCGUACUUGGACGUGUUACCAUCCACGUCGGCACUCACAUGCCCUCCAGCCGCUGUGUCUGUUCGUAUCAAAACAUUGUGCUACAAAAAUUCCUUUUUUUAAAAAAAAAAACUAUAUAUAUAUAUAUAUUUACACGGGUAUAUAUCUACCAUAAAACAACGCUGUUUUAUUAUUUGUUAUGGUGAUUACCUACCUCCAACCCUUAUGUGGAAGAAUUUUACUCUCAAGAUUUGUAUUACUAAUCUGCUUCAUUACUCUGAUUUUAUGAUAUAAUAUUAUCUAAAAUUUGAGAUGGUCAAUUAAAGUAUGUACUAAAUAGCCUUUUUAUGGAUAAAAAUUUCCCAUAAGAGCAUAAUAGUUUUAAAUUAUUAAUUUUAAAUUUUUAUUAUGUUACAUAAUCAUAUAACAUACAUAAUUAUGUAAGCGCCGUUGAAUUUUUAUUUAAUAAUUAUAAAAAUAACAUAAAUUUAUUAUUUAAUAUUUUUAUAACCAUUGAAUAAAAAUCCUAACAUAACAAUCUCUCAUUUUAUGAUUUGGAGCAGCUGAUGGAUUGUGUCGGCCAAAUUUGGAUUUAUCUUAAAGGAAGAUCAACGUGGCGGCGUGCUCAGACGACAGACAAGCUAGCAGCCAAGUGGGAAGCUAAUGCUUCUUCGCCUCUUUUCCUUCUUUUUCUAUAUAAUUUAAUUUAAUUAUAUGUAUAUAAUAAGCAUCCUCACAGCUAUAUCAUGUAUCAUAUGAAUUCACAUAUAUAAGUGACUUGUACAGCAUCUGCGGCAAUAAAAGUGGAGUCGUCUUAAUUAUUUUUGGGUUGGGCAUCGGUAUGUGUCCCUCAGAACUCACAACAAGAAGAAAACUUUGAUUAAUUAUCUACGAAAACGACAUGGAAGGAGGCGGGUGCUGCAGCACUUCGACUUCAACGAAAAGCCCAGAGAAGCGGAAGCCAAGGCAGCAGCGGCAACACCAACAGCAGCAGGAAAAGCCGUACAAGGGGAUAAGGAUGAGGAAGUGGGGGAAGUGGGUCGCUGAAAUUAGAGAGCCUAACAAGAGAUCCAGAAUCUGGCUUGGUUCUUACACCACGCCUAUAGCCGCCGCACGUGCCUACGACACGGCCGUCUUCUAUCUCCGGGGCCCUUCCGCUCGUCUUAACUUCCCCGAAUUGAUUUUCCAAGAAGACGAUCUUCGAGACGUUUCUGCCGCUUCAAUACGCAAGAAAGCUACCGAAGUUGGCGCUAAGGUCGACGCUUUACAAGCUGCUCUCCAUGCUGGUAAUUCAGAAUCUGAAUCCAAUACCAAUUCCAAUUCCAAUUCCAAUUCUAUUCGAUUGUCCGAGAAGCCUGAUUUAAACAAGUUUCCAGAGAGUUCUGAUGAAGAUUGAUAACACAAAAUACUUGCAAGCUCACAAUUACCUACCCUAGCCUUUCCACGUUUACGUACUGUUUUAUUCCCAUCAUCAGUUUCAACUUUGAAAACGUACGGAAUCACAAGGAUUCUGUUUCAUAUAUUUAUAUUAUAUAUAGGUCGAUCUUCUUACUUAGUAUGUAACACGUACGGCUGUUAUUUAGUUGAUUAGUUAUGGUCUUAAUUUUUUAGUAAACUUAAUUGUUCGUUUUUCGUGUUUUUCCUUUUUUCUAAAGAAAAAUUUAUUUAUGAAUGAACAUGUAAUAAAGCCUGGGAAAAUUAUUGAAUGAAAUAGGAGGAGGGAACUGAGAUGAAUGAUCAAGAAUUUUGUAUUGGUCUUACUCAUAGUUUUGUUUUGGCUGCCAAACCCGGAAAAAGAAAGAAAAAGAUUGUAGAUAUAAAGAUAGGGCUAGCAAUAGUGACGUUGCUUAUGAGCCCCUAUGACUUGCGCUGUGGCCUUGUGCUGAUCCUCACUCCUGAUGAUCGAUAAGCCUAAAUUGUCACCCUCGCGAAUAUGGUGGGAGCUUACGUGAACGGUCGCUUCCUGGAGGUUGAUGGGUGAUCAAAUGUGGGCGGUGAGUGUUUCUUCUGUUUCUUCAUUUAGUUUUCAAUUAAUUAUAUCAAAGUAUAUAUAUAUAUAUAUAUAUAUAUAUGGUUAUUUUUAUCAGUUUUGCUAGUCAAAAUAUUUUAAGCAAGGCUUCUUCACCUGUUAUCUGUUUGGGGACCGACUAUGUAAAACAUGUUAAUUUAUUAUCAUUUUUCUUUUUCCGUUUCUUUGCAUGCGGCCGUUUGCUUGCAAUUUGUAGGGACCAAAAAAAAAAAAAAAAAUGUAGCUGCCCAACUGUCCUCCAAUUAAAAAAAAAAAAGAGAGAGAGAGAGAGAGAGAGAGAGAGAGAGAAUUGACCUAAUUACUUGUUUGAUUUAUAAAUUAUCAGCCAACGAUGUUAAUGGAUCUUCCGGUCCUACUCGAUGUAUCUGUCUUGAAGAUUUGAUUAGCUACUUGCCAGUAGCUUAUGGAUGUGUUCGGUUGGCUAUUGUGAUCUUUUGUUUAACUAGAUUGCAAAUAAUUGUGCAAGCUCCGGCUUGGCUCUUCCAAGUGAAACUACUACUUUUUCAAUUUUUUAAAUAUUGAGGCCAUAUGUGCAUAUACAUAAGAUCCUUUAGACUUCAUUUUGUAUUAAUUAUAUAAUUAAAUUAUUCAUCUUUCGACCAAAAUAAAUGUAUAAAGCAAACGGAAACAAUGUAUUAAGAAUUAUGAUAUACGAAUGGAACCAGCAACACUAAAGUUUUACUUACAUAUUUUUUACAUUUUCACAUCACAACUCAUUAAUGUGAAAAGCUUUUCUUUUUCUUGUUUGGUAUAAUAUCGUAUGAUGAAUAAUGUAUAAACAGUUUUGAGGAGUAUUCUCUUUCUAAUAUAAGAUUUUCCUCAUCGAAAUUUAAAUUCCUCUUUUAAUAAAUCUUACUCAUAUAUUUUUGAACUCAAAAUUUUUAAUAUCUCAUCAUAACUCAAAUCAUAAGAAAAUUCUUAUUCCUUUAAAUUUUUAAGACACAAUAAGAUCAUUUUUAUCUCAAACUUGAAAGUACAAUUAAGACUAUUUUCUAGAACGUACAUGUGAUUGAUUACUGAAGGUGUUGAAUUUUUUUUACCUUCACACGUAUUUGUAGUUUGUGGAGAACUUGUCACGAUCAUUGACCUGGAAUCUGACGAGGUGAGUACCUGAAAAAGGCACUUUGACGUCCAAUUUAGUGUUUAAUCAAGAUUAAAGAAUGAAGAAAGAUGGAGAAUGUGAGUUUCUCUCUCUAAGUUUGAAUAAUACUUUUGGAGGUCAAAAACCAUUUUCUCUUAGAGACGAGUCUCUAUUUAUAGAUGAUAAGUGAUGUGGAUUUAGGAUUUUACUUUGAACCCUCAACCUAAUAACAUGUGUCCCUCGCCGUUUUUGUACUCGUGGAAGUAAAUUUGGUCGUAGGAAAUUAUUCCACAUGUGCAUAUUUUCCUGUCAUUAUAACCUUUGGCCGUAAUUUCCCUAGACCAAUGGGUUGAGGAAAUAAUUCCUCCUCUUACAUCUUUAUGAGCUACGAAAGAAUUUUUUUCUUGGAUACUAUUCCCCCAGAAUAGUUGGAGUGUUAUCACUCUAGAAUAGCUUCUUUUAUCUUAAAAGAUAGACAAAUGGCAUUGUUUGGUGCCUUUGAAAUAUGGCACUUACACUACUCCCUCCGCAAGUGUAUUUUCUUUAGAAAAUACUUUGAUUGACAUACGAAGUUCUGACUUUUGUUUUAUUGAGCACGUGGCCUUUUUGAAGAACUAUGCCUUGGGCGUUUGAAUAUAUUUUGAGAGGAAUAUAUUAAUGAACUUUUCUUUUUGUUGAUUUAGGAAAAAGGUGAACUAUUUCCUCUGAACUCAAGUUCCUAUAUGAAAUGUUAACUCUUUGAAUUUUUCCUCUAAACUGAAGUUUUAGAAGGAAAUGAUAGUUUUUCUUUGAGAUUUUCCCUUUAACCGAAGUUCCAGGAGGAAUUGUGAUUGUUCUUUAAAUUAAUGUAAUCAAAUCCACUAAAUUUUCCCUUUGAACUGAAGCUUCAAGAGGAAAUGUCAGUUUCCUCGAUUUUUUUUUUCUAGCCAUUCUAGUUAGUUCAGAAAUGGUUUAUGAUUGUUCUCCCCACAGACGGUGCCAAUGAAGGUGUUGGAUUUUUUUACCUUCACACAUAUUUGUAGUUUGUAAAGAAUUUGUCAUGAUUGUUGGCCUCGAAUCCGACGGGGUGAGUAUAUGAAAAAGGCAUUCCAAUGCCCAAAUUAGUGCUUAAUCAAGAUUAAAUAAAGAAGAAAGAUGGAGAAGAUAGGUUUCUCUCUCUACGAAUGAACAGUGCUUUUGGAGGCUAAAGACUCUUUUCUCUUAGAGAUGAGUCUUUAUUUAUAGAUGAUGAGUGAUGUGAAUUUAGAGUUUUGCUUUGAACCCUCAAUCUAAUAACAUGUGUCACCCGUCAUUUAUGUACACGUGGAAGUGAAUUUGAUCAUAGGAAAUUAUUCCACAUGUGUGUAUUUUAAUGUCAUUUUAACCUUUGAGCGUGAUUUUCCUAGACCAAUGGAUUGAGAAAAUAAUUCCCUCUCUUGCCAUCUUAUGAGCUCCAAAAGAAUUUUUUCUCAAGUGUUAUUCUCCCGGAAUAGCUGGAAUGUUAUUGCCUUGAAAUAUCUUUUUUUAUCUAAAAAGAUAGACACGUGGCAUUUUUUGGUGCCUUUGAAAUAUGGCAUCUACAAUUACGUAGAAAUUAAACAAACAAAAUUUCAACUAAACCUUUGCAGAGAAAGUCAAAGCCGCAUCAUGUAGCUUAAUCUCUCUCUUAAUUGGAAAGAAAACAGAUAAUUAUGGAUCGUAUAGAUCAGUUACAGAAGGAAAGAACUUAUAACCCAGUUCUAAAAAUAUCAAUAGUACCAGAGAAAGUACGUACUUUUUCCAAUUUAGCCCGCCAUAAUGAUUUAUUACUCUCGUUUUACAUACUCAAAACAAUUAAUUUCUGAUUAAAUGCAAAUUGAAACUCUAAUAAUAUACAAGCCAACUGGUUGUCGCAACUAUUAGGUUGUCAACUUCGGACUAAGCUAGCUUAGGUCGGUUUAAUUGGUAUUAUGGUGCCGACAGUAAAGUAGCUCGGGUAGUGCUAAGUUACAUAAUUUGUAACUUAUACAGCAAACUCAGGUACAGUUAUUUAUGAUCUCGCAAUCGUUUCACUUUCAUAUGUUGUCAUUUUUUUAAGUUGGAUGACUGCUUUUUAGUUGCUGCAAUAUCAGUCUUUUAUUUAACAAUUGUAGUACAAAAUUACUUUAACUUCUACGCCAUAGUCAUGCUAGAGCAGCUAAACAAAAAACACCAAAGGGAGCCUUAAAUUAUUAUAUGCACUAACGGCAUCUUUCUCCAUCCACUUUAAUGCCGAAUACAAGAGGAUUUUUCUUAUGAAUUUUAUUAAAAAAUAAUGCUAGAUUUCAUAAAUAAAUAAUAUAUAUCCCAGAAGAUUGAGACCAAACCAUGUUGCUGCUGAUUUGUGACUCCCACAUUCUUUAAGUUACUAAGUUUUAUUAAUAAAUUAAGUUAUGCGAUAAUUACAAAUCAACUUGAGAUAUUAUUUGACUCAUUUCUUCAAUGAUGUGAGGUAGUAGUUAUAUAUAUAUAUAUAUUUAAUAGAUCAAAUAAUAAAAUAUAGAAUUCAUUCAGAAAUUAUAUGUUCUAUUGCCCACAUAAUUAUAAGAUUGACUCUUCAAAGCGCCAACAACUCUCCACUAGGGAUGGCAAUGGGUACUGUCCACAGUGGGUUUGUCAUUACCAAACACAAAUUCGCACAAAAUUUAAAUUACCAAACUCAUCCGCAACCUGCAGCAGGUUUUAAUUUUUUUUAAAAAAUCCACCCGCUGUGGGUUUUGACAGUUACCAAACCCGCAAUGGUAUCCGUCGGAUUUUUUGUGGAUUUGUACAUUUAAAAUCACAAAUGUUCAAUAUAUAAAUUUACAAUAAUAACUUCAAAUUUCACAUAACAUACUCAAUUAAAUUUAACCAAUGUAAAUAAAAAAUUAAAAUUUCAACAUCAAUCCAGCAUAAAUUCUCAAAUUUAAGUGUAAAAUACACAAAUCCAUUAAAAAAAAUUAAAAACUAGAAUCUAAAAAUAUCAAUUACAUUUCAUAUUAUCAUUCAACACAAAUUCCAAGAAAAGAUCUUCAUUUUAUUCACCACCAUUAGCACCCAUCCAAUAUGAUGCCUACAAUAAUGAUUUAGAUUAAUAUUUUCCAAAGAAUAAUACUUUUCAAAUAUUAAUCUGAAGAAAAAAAUUAUAAUAAUGAAAUAAUUCACGCAUUAAGUUAAAGAAAAAUAGUCCAUAAAAACUUAUAAUAAGUAUAUAAUAAUUCAUGAAUUAAGUUAAAUAAACUUAGUUCCUUAUCUCAUCAACAAUAUAUUCAUUUUUAGAGAAUUUUCUAUUUCCUACUUUAUUAGAAGAUUAUGCAUCUACAAGUAAUAACUAUAUCAAGAAAAAAGAUAGAUGAUUAUAAGUUUGUAAUAUAUAACAUAUAUUCUAUUGUAUUGAAGUAAAAAUACAUUUUCAUACCAUUAAAUUCAGCACACAACUAAUUUUGAGCACACAGUAAAGCCUCCAACGUCUUUGGAUGAAGUCUAUUACGAUGUUAUUUGGCACUUUGCAUAAUUAUAUUAUUUUCUUUGUAUAUUUUUUAGAUUUAAAUAUUUUUCAAUUAAAAAUAUUUAAAUAAAUAUUGCGGGUCUAACGGAUAUCCGCCGAAUAUUAGACUAAUACCAAACUUACCCACAUUCAAGUGCGGGUUUCAAUUUGUAAUAUCAAAUCCGCCCGCAACUCGUAAAAUUAUCCAUAACGAACGAGUUUUGAUAGGCGGAUUUGGGCAAGUUUGCUGAUUUGCGGGCACAAUUGCCAUCUCUACUCUCCACUCAGGAAGCAUUAUGGGAGUGCACAAAACGACCAAUUGGAUUAAUUGGGCUACAAGAUCACGAUUCGUUCAUUGGGGUCCAACACGAAGCCCAAGCCUACUUUUGACAUGUGGACCAGCCCAAAACGCCAAACUUCUUUUUAUUUUCUCUGGAAGAAUAGUACAUAUUCUUUUAUUUUCUUUUCCUUUUUUGGGGGGAAAUAAAGGUCAGCAGUGGCAAGGAUAGUAAAACUAGGUCUAAACAUACAGAGAGAAAAUAAACAGAUUGAUUUUCAUUUUUUCUCUUUGAAAUGAGUUAUAGAGGUAAUGUAAUCGGUAAAGGCUUUGAUUCCAGAAGUAAUAAAGGUCUUUAUAAAGUAAUUGAUUUUUAUCCCUUCUAAAGGUAGCAUUUGGUAUUCAUCUUAAUUUAUCUGAUUCAUAUAUAUGGCUUUGCAAGACCUUUAUAAAGGCUUGAGAUUUGUUCAAUCAAUCAAAGAAUGAUUAAAAAUCCUCAAAAAGUGGAUUCAAAUUACUCUCUUAAAAAAUAUACCCCCUCUCAGACACAAAUACAGGCAAAUAUAUACAUUAAAAAAUUCAAAUGCCGGUAUCCCAUUUUUAUAGACCACGAACUCAUGACGUAAACAAUUAUUAAAAUACAGGGAAAAAAAUAACAAAAUUUUUUUCUUUUAAAUAUUUUUAUGUCUUUUUAUUUUAUUUUAUAAUAAUUGUGUUUGUUUAAGAAUUGGACCAAUUUAUGUCUGCAAGAGAAAGGAGAUGUAAAAGAACUUUCUGAGUUAAGAAAAUUGGACCAACAACCCAAAUAUCUACCGUCAGAUGAUAAGCGUCGCCCUCACGCAUGCGAUAUCUUUUGGCGGGAAGUUGAAUGCUUGAGCUGGUGGCAUAUAACAUAAUGUAGUGAAUAGACGUGGGCAUUUUGGCUCCCGGAUCAAUGAAAAUGGUGGAUGAUUUUAACGCACUACACAAAAAGGACGAUUGAUUUAUGCUUUAUGGAAUGCCAAUUCUAAUGUUGAGGAGAAGAAGACGACGAUAAAAGAGAUGUUAGACUUUAAGAGGAGUCAAGAUAUGAUUUAACUCUUCGAGUUUGUGCAAGCACCACAAGGAGGUUAAAAUAUUAACAUGGGAGAAAAAUAUUGGGAAAAAAAAAAAAAGCUAAAGAAGAAGUAUAAAGAAAUAUUAACAUGGGAGAAAAAUAUUGGGACCACAAGGAGGUUAAAAUAUUAACAUGGGAGAAAAAUAUUGGGAAAAAAAAAAAAAGCUAAAGAAGAAGUAUAAAGACACAGAGAGAGAAAGAAAAAAUGAAAAAAAGUUUAGUAAAUAGUGAAGGAUCUUUCAGUGCCAUCAAUUCAAUUAAAUGUGUUUGGACUGUCAUCCAUUUACUCUUAGAGCAAAAUCGCUUUCCCUGCACAUUUGCAGCCACUUUUGCUUACAAGACAGGACAAUUUUCUCACCAUGCGAUCAUGCUCCCCGUCUAUUCUUUUUCCUUUUCUUCCCUCUUUCUCGAGAGAAAAAGGAAAAGGAGGUUUAAAAAGCAAAGAGAAUUACACUGUAGAACCAUAAAGUCAUGAGCUAAGUGUUCAUAAAGAUGCCCCAUCUAAAUCUAAUUGCGAAUAUAUUUCAAUCAAAACAAUGAUGCCUACCCGCAUUCACUUUAUUUUUGGAGAUUAAAGGCUCAGUAACUAUAGCAUCAACAAUCACUUUCUAUCAAUUUCCAAACUAAAAAGGUUUCCAAGCAAAACGAAAAACUAGAGUAUAGAAAUAUAAAGUAGCCAUUAGCAAAAGUGGGUGAAGAUGACCCUUCUUCAUCUAUGAUAUCUAUUAAUUAUAUUUAUGAUUCUUUUAAGUAAUGAUAUUUGAUGCGUGGCAAUAGCCAAAUGUCAUAACCGACAUGUUAGCAAAUGGUCCAACCCCUAGCUAGAUGAAGUCGAAACUUCAAACACAAAAUUUAUUUGCAUUUAUUGGUAAGAGAUUUCAUUUUGCUUGGCAAUCGAUGAAGUCUCUGCAUAUUGAUUCCUGCAAUAACUUAGAACGGUUUAAGCCUACAGGCUCUAAAGGCCAAGGGAAACAUUAUUUUGGCCGCUUAAUCUACACAAAUUAGUUUUGAAUAUGUAAGAGCUAACAGUUCAAAUUGACACGGUGUUAUGAAAACUUUUAGGUAUAUAUCAUAAUAAGACAUUCCAUUUUAUAAUUUAUACUGAUAAAAAAGAAUAGUCCCAAGGUUUUGGCUGAGUUCCGUUUAAGGUUUUUUUUUUUUUUAAAUAAAUUUUUGCCGACCACAUAUAUUUGAAUCUUCGGGAAGAAAAGGGCCAAAAAAAAAAAAAAAUUUGAACUUUGUCUAUUUCUUUUUUUAUUUUUCAAUAUUAUAUUCAAUUAAAAUUCAAUACAACUCAACCCAUUUAAACAUACAAUCAACCUAAUAUAGUAAGAAUGAACAAAAUGUCAAAUAUCCCGUCUGCGUAAAAAUAUAUAGUACUCCUUUAAAACCCUAACAACAUAGGAACAGAUAACUAAUUUGUGUUUAAUUUAAAGCGCAGAAUCUCCCCAUGAACAAAUUAAUAUAUUUACACUGAAAUUGGAUCAACUAAGUGGAUUUACACCAAUUAAAACGUACUAGUAACCUUUCUUAAUUAGUUGGAAAUACAAGUCAAUGAAGUCUGAGCCCUCUUUCAAUCUCUAAAGAGUCGAGGAUAUUGAAGAUGUGCAUGCAUGUUAAUUGUUAAGGUUUAAAAGCUACAUGUCGUUUUGUUAAUGUAUAAUGAUAGUGGUACUGCUAAUCAUGGACUGAUGGACUGGUGGUGUGGUCCAUUGACACGUGCAAAUGAUGACAAUGUCGUCCCUAAUGAUGGAUUCCCACCGUUUCUUCCACUGUGUGGGUUCCACUCCUAUCAUGCAAAGUCACCUUUAUCUUUGACCGAAGGAAAAAAGAAUAAAAAUUACCCAUUUUCACUUUCAUAUCUUAAACCAGCGAAAUUUGCUUCAAUUUUUCAUGCAUAUGUUCAUCUCCAUAAAUAGAGCCAAAUCAUGCUUUAACAAGUGUCCAACUUACAGUCAUGGUUUCAACGUUGGCUUUUCCUAACCAGCGACGUGGCAUUUCAUGAUCGGUCAGUCAUCAUUCAGUCUCUCCAACUACUUCAGUCUCUUCAUGUUGAGUGGCUGUGAUUCAAUGUAGAAUUCUGGACGAGCACCUGAAUUUUGCAGCUGUUUUUGUUGAAUGAUCAUAGCUGCAGGACCCACUUACAUUUUCUUGUAACUUAUCGAUUGAUCAUCACUCAUAUCAGAAGGAUAAACAAACCAUUCGAUGCUUAAUUGACAUCAUCUUAGAUUCGGUUCGUGGGCGCUCAUCACUUUAUCUUAGAACAAUAAUUAAUGUGACAUGAUUUAAUAAUAAAUAAUUGAGACAACUGUCCCAACACCAGCAAUCGGAAAUCCCGAUGGUUCUCGAUCGAAUAUAUACUUCUUUUACUGAGUGUUUCUAGUUAACUGCAGGGGGUUCAUUUGUAGUUGCAGCUAGCUAUUCCAUAAUCAGCUGCUUUCAUAGCUGUGGACCGGAAGUAGUUAACAGAUAAAAGGGGUGAUGUGCAUGAUUGCGCCAAUUCAUUGGAUAAGUAACUGGAAACAAAUUAAAUUAACUUAGGUUAGGUGCGAAAUAAUGAGUGCCUACGCAAAUAGGAAUGAGAGAUUAUCAUUGAUUUAGGAAAAUUUGUCGUGAUUGAAGGUGUAAUCAGUUGUGGGAUUUGCUUACGUGAGGCCAAGAACAUGGAUUCAAGCACAUAAUCUUAGUUGUCAAAAUUGAUAUCAUUAUCCCACACAUUGUCUUCAAGCUAGAAUGACACCUGGCCAAUAGGAUUUGAACUUGAACGGCUCACUUUUUUGAAAUAAUCUCUCCCUUUCGAGGGAAUAGCUAGGGUUUUUUUUUUUUUUUUUCACCAUGCAAUGCAACCGUUUUACUUGGCACGUAUAUGCUGCUACCGUAACUGUAGAAUAGUAAAAUUCCUUGUUAAAGAAGCAAUGAUUGACAGGUAUCGUAUCUAUACAGUGUUGAAAGUAUAAUGAUCAAAGAAAUGGAUUCAUCGAAUGAGACAUUUCUUGUACAAGGUAUAAAGUUAAAAGGAUAAGGUGAAGAGCGAGUCCAAAUGAGUCCAAGUAAUCACGAUAAGGUAAAUCCCAUGACGAGUUAAGAAUGAGCUGUUCAGCAAAUAAACAUGGCAACUUUGUCAAUGUCAAGAUCCUCAUUCUACUGCAUUACCAGUCUUUGGUCGGAAGAGAAGGAGAAAAAUGUCACAUCAAGCCAGCGACCAAAUCUCUAAAGCUUGAAUUCUUGUACAAUAUAUAUCUAAGGAAAGAUAUAAUAUCAGAUGCAUGAAAGUUUCACCAUAGCGGUGGGAUGCUGUUAGAAUUUGUAGCUACAUUCACAUUUAGAAUGUUUUCUAAUUAUGACUUCGGGCGGAAUUACUCUUACUGGCCUAUUUUCCUUCUGCACUAUUCGCCGAACGUGCGAUCGAGAGUUAAAAACCCUGACAUAUAAUAAUUGAUGUUACGAAGAAGAAGUUACAGUUAGCAACUGCAGAUGUUUGUAUAAUUGAAGCACAUGCGUUUGUUUUUUAUGUUUCACUUCAUGUGCCCCAAUCACACGUGCUAAUGUGCAAUCACUCAAACGACUGUCCGUGAUUGCAGUCAUCAGUCCCCCACUUUGAAUGAUUCCAAAUUUAUUCAAAACUCAUCAUACAAAUUGGAACAUGGAAUCAUUACUUACUCACACACACGUAAAAUUUAUACGUUUGCUUAACAUAUUACAUAAUUUGAGUUGCAAUGUGUACGUACGGUGGCAUGUUAGGUACAAGACCCAAGAUAUUAGUAAUUUCUUUAAUUAUAAAUAAAAACUGAGGGAACGAAAAGAAAGAAAAGUGGGAUUUGGAAAUUUUUGAGUUUAGGAAUAAAUUGGAGCUACAGUUUCCAAAGAAGAGGAUUGUGAUUGCGGAUAUGGCAUGCACCCAAAGUAGAUUUUGUUCAAAUGUGUGUGGUUUUUUCAACAUUCUCUACCAAUUAAAGACGACGGCUUUCACUACUUUCUCUAAUAAAUAUCCGUAUCCAGAAAAGCAAAGAGUUGCAUUUUCAAGUGUUGGGAUUGGAGUAAUCCUUUUUUAUUCCUCUCCCUCUCCUCACUUUAUGAAAAAUAAAAAUAAAAACAAAAAUAAAGUUUGAGAGAGAGCACCGAAAAGCAUAGACACCUUAUCAUGAAAGCAAGAAAAAAACGACCCGAUUAGACGGGGCCAGCCCACACGCAUAUACAUGUAACACAAUCACUCACUCACUCACACAACCACACGCUCAUUUACAAUUGUGAAAUUAUUUCUAAUUCUACUGCUUUCAUCAUCGCUCACUCUCUAUAAUUACGUGUCUCUUUACUUUUCACCUUUUUCUUUAUCACUCAUCUAAAGUUAAUUAAAUGGAAAUUAAAACUCAAGUCAACCUCUCCUCAUCAUUUGGUCUUGGUUCUUUUAAGCACCACCUCAUGUCCACUUUCUUCACUUUUAACUCUCAUUCAUCUGGCUAUAUAAUAAGCGCACUCUCUCUAGCAUUCAACCCUCCACCAUGGGAAGCAUGAAGGUUCAUCAAUUGGCACGUGGAUUCUGGGAGCAUGCAGAGCCCUCUCUCACGCUUGGCUGUAAACGGUUACGCCCUCUUGCUCCCAAGCUCCCCAACGCAGAAAGUACUAGUGUCUCUUCUUUCGAUCUCAAGAGCUUCAUUAGACCCGAAAGUGGUCCUAGAAAACUUGUGUCUUCUGACGAGAAGAGAAAUCCCCCUCAGGUUGUCUGUCACUCACUCUAAAUAUCUUAAAUUAACCAUACAUUGUUAGCUGUAAUAAUGGUGGUUAAUAAAUUAAUUUAUAAAGUAGAUAUAAAUUUGAUGAUGCAUGCAGGUGGAGACGCAUCCGGGAGGCACAAGGUGGAAUCCAACGCAGGAGCAGAUAGGGAUACUGGAGAUGCUGUACAGGGGAGGAAUGCGAACACCGAAUGCCCAACAAAUAGAACAAAUCACAGCGCAGCUGGGCAAGUAUGGGAAGAUAGAAGGAAAGAACGUGUUCUACUGGUUUCAAAACCACAAAGCACGCGAGAGACAAAAGCAGAAGCGCAACAGUCUUGGUCUUAGCCAUUGUCCGAGAACCCCAGCAGCCACCGCAAGUUUUACCACCACCAUAUCUCUGGACUCUAGGGUAUAUACAUGUACCAUUAUUAGUUUCAAAUAUAUACGUUUAUUGAAUAAAACCAUAAAUUAUCUAAAUUUGAUAUAUAGGAAAGAGAGGAAGAGUCUAGCCCAUACAAGAGGAAGUGCAUGAACUGGACAUUUGAAUGCUUGGAAGAAGAAAGCAGGUCGUGCAAAGAGGAUCAAGGAGAUAGAACUCUGGAGCUCUUCCCUUUGCACCCGGAAGGCAGAUGAAGGGGGUUUGAUGAGUAAUUAAUUGAGAAAAAUUAAACUUUCGUUGAACUUUGUUCCAUUAUUAAUUUUGUGAUGGUGCUAGCUACAGCUAGCUAGCUACUUUGAUGUGCUUUUCUUUCUUUCUUUUGUAUGGGGGAAGAAGAAAGACAAGUUGUCUCUUUGUAGUACUAUCUCUAUCUCUCUACUGAUCUAUGAUUCCUGACUUUAAAAACCAAAGCGGUUUGUUAUUCUCUCUCUCCCUCUCUCUCUCUCUCUCUCUCUCUUUCUCUGGUGGGUCGUGGGUGUGAAAUAUCAUGUGAUGCUUUUGACUACAGGAGCUUGAUGAAAUAAAGCUUUUAGGUUAAAAGCAGAUAACUUAUAGACACUGAAGUCCACGCACCUACUUCUUCUUCCUUAAGCCUGCCCUUUCAUGUUUCAAGUUCAAAUGGGAAAAGAGCAUAAGAUAUUGCGCUACUGAGAUGACUUUCAUAAAGUAGCUAGCAUAUCAACUGUUACGAGACAUGCAAUUUCAUUUUUCUUCUCUUUCGGAUUGACAUGCAAUUUUUUAAGGACAAAAAAAAGAAAAAUGGUCCAGUGUGAGGUGGGACCGUUGAUCAUCAGUAGUUCCAAUUAAAAGUUUUCGGAGGGAAAGACUGAUUGAUCGAUGAAUAUUUUUAAAAUGAUAACUAACAAGAAUGGCUAGUAGAACGUUGAACUUUUAUCUUGAAUUUUGAAUCACAUUGGAACUCCCAGUUCUUCAUACCCACAUUUUAAUUCUCGCCAAAGUCAAGCGAACUUUUAACAAGAUAUAAUAAUUGAACAAAAUAUUUUUUUCUGGAAUAUAUAGUAGGAAAGAAAUAUAUUCAAUAUCUGAGAAUUACGUACGAGUAAUUAGGAAAAAAAAAAACAUUGAUUUACGUGAUAUAACAAUUAAUUAAUUGGAUUUCUCCUAAUCCGUGCUGUCUUGAUCAUUUUAAAAAUAUUGUGUAAUAUCACUUAUAUGCAUUUUUAACAAUGUACAUACAAGAUCUAACCAAGAUCAUUACGAAAAAACUCACUGUCUUUAUUUUAUAAAUGCUUAUUAAUUUAUCUAUGUAGUUAUUAGAAGAGUGAAAAAAUAAGCCUCCUUAGAAAAAAAAUUUUGAAUAAAAAUAAGUUUAUAUUAUUUUUUAUCAAAUUUUUUCCUCCACUUAAAAAAAAAAUUAUAACAACUCUCUCUUUAAUAUGAAUGAGACAAAAAUAACACAAUAGUAAUUGAAUAAGGGAGUCAUUCUUCAAAAUUUAAGAGGGAGAAGAAUAAUCUAUUUGAAAAAUCUCGUUUAUGGAAUAUUUUAAAACAUUUAUUGCUGAUAUGGCUUCUCAAAUGAAGUGGAGAUAUUUUUACAUAUAUAUUCUUAUUAUGUAUCUAUCAAUCAUUAGCUCGUAAAAAUAUUAACACGAAGCUUAUAUCAUCACUAAUCCAAGUCCAAUAAUGAAAUGUGCAUCUCUUGGAUUGGUCUCUCAUAGUAAGGGCUCAUUUGGAAUUACAUUUUGGGUGGUUUAAAAUUAAUUUUGAAUAGUUAAAGUUAAUUUUAGUGUUUGGUAAAUUUGUUUAAAAAUCACUUUAGGUAAAAUCAUCUCAUCUUAUAAUAGAUUUUAAAAAAAAUAAGAAAGUAGCAGCUUUUCAAAAUCUAAUUUUAUAAUUAAUUUUGUAUUUAAUACAAUUCCACCUACAUCUUUUUAUGUAUUAUAAAAUUACUAAUUUUAAGAGAUUACUAUUAAUAUAACCAAUUAUACUGGGUUAACAAAAUAAAAAAUAAAAUUAAUAAUAAAAAAUAUGUAUUCUAGUUAUCAGUUAUAAUAUGUGCAUAAUAAAAAAUAUUUUAUAUACAUGUUUAUAAUGUGUAAAUAAAUUUUAUUCAAUUUUAUGUCUAAUUCAAUAAUUUAUAUUCUUACAGCAGUUUAAUAGUAAAAUUUAACAAACACAUAAAAUUGCUUUUAAAACUCACAAUACUUUAAAAAUAAAUUACUAAAUGUUUAGUUGAUUCUCUUACAGCUAAUUAUUUUUAAAGCACAUGCAACAAUAAUUAUUUUAAAAGCUACAAUACUACCAAAUUGGCCCUAAUUGUGGUAAAUAUUUUGAAUCUCCUCGGGCCAAUAUGAAGUAGGGUAAGAAAGUUAAGAAAUCCUAAUUAAAUUGAAAUUUAUAAUACUUAGAAUAUUUUAAUUAACUUGUAUUCUAGUUUAAUUUUGUUGUCUAUUUAGAGUUUUAUUGUUUAAGUAUUGCUUAUUUGAGUUGUAUUCAAUUUAGGCAUGCGUCUUAUUAAAGUAGGUUUUCUUGUCAAAUUAGGAUAAGUCAUAGCUAGUAUAAUAACAAGGACUAGGUUAUUUUGUUAUCGAUCAUUUCUUAUAAUAAACUCUAUAUUUUAGUUUAAUAAUCAUUUCAGUUUUCAAAGUGAGUUUAGUUAAUUAUCAGCAUUCUGUGAAAUAAAUGAGUCCUAACCAUCUAAGUUCCUGAUACUUUUUUUUAGAAUCAACAUGAAUUUAAUUUAUUUCUUUAUUCCAGUAUUCUCAAGAAUCAAUCGAGUAUUGAAAAUAUCUCUAUCUAUCCAUCACUCCACAUCUUAUAUCCUUCCACUGCAUUAGUUUACACUUCUACUACAUCAGUUUCACUUCAAAGUGUUCCUUGAUAGAACUGCGUUGCAUAACAAUUUUAGGAGAAAAUCUUCUUAACAUAAAUGAUAAUAUGGCAAGAAUAUAGCUCUUUUUCAAGGCAUAUUGAAACUUAUAAUUUAUGAGUUUUACUACUUACCUAUUACAAUUUUUAUAAUACCAUGUGAUCUCCUUGAUUUUUAGGUUUUUAAAGAAAAAAUUAUUGCUACCACAAAAUAACAAUUUUUUUUUAGUUAAAAGUUUUAUGUCAACAGAGUAACAACACAUUAUUAUAAGAACGUAACAACACUUUCUCUUAAUUAUAGCGUAUUGGCAACCCAAUUUCUCUCUCUACCUAAGUGAGUUUAGUUCGAACACCCAAACUCAAUAUCUUUUCAACAACAUAAAUGCAUGUAUGAUAAUAAAUUUUUAAUAUCAACUUAGGUCCUAUCUUAUAUUAAUAUGUUGUAUCUUUUAAGUUACAGUUAAUAUGAAAAAAAAGUUGUAACUAAAACUUUAGCAUUGUAACUUUUAAGAUAUAAUUGCCUAGUGGUAAAAAACAACAUUAUUAUAUGUCACAUCUUGGUUUCAAGCUUCAAUCGGUGCGUAAGUUAAUAAUAAUAAGAGGAAGAAGAAGAUGAGGAAGAAGAAGAAGAAGAUUGAAUUUCACUCACAUGGGUAGGGAGGAACUGAUUUGCUGUUAGGUUGGAUAAUUAAAAAAAAAAAGUUUUUCGUUUGAUUACUUUAAGAAUUGCAAUAAAUCAAAUGAUAGAUUAUAAUUGCGCAACCAUUAUACCAAACAAGAGCCUAAACUUAUUUUUUUUUUUUUUAGUGGAGCUUCUAACACCCUGUGAAAACUCUUUUGAAACUCUACUUGUUACAUUUAUAACUCUUCCCUCAAUCACAAUUAUAGAAAAUGACAAAAGAUACAAUAGGGUUUAAAUUAUAUUUGAAUAUCACCUAUAAUAAAUUCAUUAAAAUUCUAAAAUAUAUUUUUUCAUUAUAAAAAUCAAUCUUUAGAUAACUUUUUCCUUAUUAUUUUAAAGUGAUUUCGAGUUUAUAAAAAUUAGUUAUAUCAUAUAUUAAAUUUAAAGAUAAUAGGUUUCGUAAUUGAGUAUAAAGACAUUUUAAUUUAAUUUUUUUAAUGUAAUUUCAACUAGUUAGAACAAUGUUGAAAAAAAUUGGGUUUUAUUAGGAUUUUAAUGGAGCGCGAAAAGGUUAACCUUUUAUUUUCAUUAAUUUACGCAGCAAACAAACUUAUGGGUGAUUCUCCUUUAAAAGUUUGAGUUGUGGUAUUUCAUCCCCUGAAUUUAUCUCAUAAUUUUUCAUUUCUAAAUGAGCCCUAAAAAAAUUUUAAAAUAAUUUCUCUAUUAAUAUAUAACUGAUACAAUUCCCAAUUUACCCUUACCAAGUAAAAAAGGAGGUGAAAUAGCAGUCCCAAUUAUGGGGCACAAGGCACUGCGAUACCGUUUUUCCAGGUGGCGGUGACGAGGACGACCAACAAAGCAAGCUCUCAUGAGCAUGUUAUUCGGUUUGUUGUUGUCAAACACUACAUAAAUUAAGGUGGCUCAAAACCCGAAUCUAAAGAACAUAAACAGGAAGCGGCUGAACUCAUAAGAGGCCAAGCUCCAGUUGUGAUAUUGGUGGCACUACGAGUGCUUAGUUUCUGUCAUUUUUUUUUAAUAAAAAAAAAUUUGUCAUCUCUAUAAUUGACUGAUAAUUUUACACGAAAUAAGAAAUUGAGAUUAAUUUAACAGUAAGCGUAAAAAUUGAAGUGAACUUUACUUUUGGUUAAUCACUUAGAUAUGAGUGUGAUUCUGUGAAGUAUGAGAGAAAUAUAUAAUUAGUAAUAAGAGUAAAGUAGAGAUUAACAAAUUUAUAAUGGGUUAAUUAAGAAGUGACGACUGGUCCAGAUAUUAUCACUAUAAAACUUGUGGGUUAAUUAUCCUUGGAAGCCCAAAUCUGUAAUCCGGCUUAAUCGAAAGCCGAGUCCAAACUCAGGUUCAAGCGGGUUAGAUGCGCUCAUCACCAGCAUAACGGCCCUACAAAUUUGGGCUUUAGGCUUGGGUGGCUAUUAACCCACAAAAUUUCACCUCACUUCCCGAGAAUAAGGCUUUUCGCACCCUUUUAAUAUCCUUAUACCACAACGCUUUUGUAAUCAUGGUUCUAUUGUAACUGAAAAUUACAUAAAAGGAUAUAAUAAAUUUAGUUAAACUAAAAUGCCUUUACAAAUUACGGACCCUAACUAUGUUUUAAUCCUAAUAUUUGUUAUAAUGAAUUUUUUUCUUAAAAUCAAAAUAAAUUUAAAACAAUGAAUGAAAAAAUAAAUGAUAUACUAACAUUAAUUUUAUAAUGAAAAACUAUGUUUGCAAAAUUUAUACUGAACAAUAGUGAAAUUUAAUUAAAAUUAUAUUGUAAUUUUAUAAUCUUUUUUGUAAGUUCGUACAAGAAAGAGACAUAAAGAUACAAUAGCACAACGACGAGGAUAAAACUUUAAAGCAGGUGAUGGAUUCCAAUUUUCAUUUCCAAUAUUGAUUCGACAGGUAAUCUAGUCUUUGAUUCUUCGAUUGACUUGUUCUAUUUGGUUCUAUUAUUAAUCGAGUCUAACCCAUUUCACAUGGACUCCAAUAUUUACACUGUAAAAAUUCAUUAAAAAAAAUUUAAUUAAACUCCCCAAUCAAAUUUACAACGAUGCUGUAAAAAUUCACCAAAAUUCAAAAUUUUUGCAUGAUUAUAAUAAAUCUUGAUUAUAAACUAAACACAACUUUCAUAAAAUGACAUCAUCUUUUCAUUACCAUAUGAUGAAAUACAAAUCUUGUAAGCUUCGCCCAAAAUCGAACGUGACCCAAGUUAAAAAAAAUAAAAUAAUAAUAAGAAUAAGAAUAAGAAUAAGAAUAAGAAUUUCAUGACAAUUCUUCAUGCCGACACGUGUGAAAGCUGCCCACACGUGAUGAACACGAUUUCCGCAUCAACUUAAACCGUCAUAUUAACCACGGGGAUUUUAUCACCAGGGGAUCGGACGGUCUGUAUUUAGUUAGGAAAUAAAACUAGGGUUUCUUCUAGUAACUUCGGUAUAUAAGCGGCACGGUUACUUUUGAAACGGUGCGGUGGCAGUGGUUUCUGCCCUCCCACCGAAAAUCGAAAAAAAAAAAAAUUCAAUUUCCUCCGUCGAACUCCGUCCGGUUUCCGUUCGGAUCGCCGACGAAUUUAUCCCUAUUUUUACCCCACCUCUCCUGUCCUAUCUUCGAAAAAUUCCAAAAAAAAAAAAAAGAAGAAUUUUCAGUUUCGGGUUUUUUCCCCUAGAAUUAUAGUCAUAGAAUCAGAUUAUUUAUCCUGUUAUCUCUCUAGAUUUUUAUUUGAGAACUAGCAAGAGAAGAGGGAAAUAAAAAAGCCAAAAAAAAAAAGAAGGAUCUAGAAGUGGUAGUGAUGGCACAGAUUCAGGUGCAACAUCAAGCGCAAAUGUCGGGGCCAAACGGAGUGGCGGCGGGUGCGUCAGGGAACCAGUUCCUAACGACGUCUCUUUAUGUUGGCGAUCUCGAUUUCAACGUGACCGAUUCGCAGCUUUAUGAUCUGUUCAGCCAGGUCGGUCAAGUUCUGUCGGUUAGGGUUUGUCGGGACCUGAGCACCAGGCGCUCACUCGGCUAUGGUUACGUUAACUACGCCAACCCUGCAGAUGGUAAUAUAGAUUUUUUUCUUUUGGACAGAUUUUUAUUUGAUAUUGUUUCUACCGAAUGGAGUUGGCUGCUUGAGUUGAUUAUUAUUAUUAGUAUUUUAAUCCUUUAGUCGCUAGUAGCCAGUUUCUAACAAUUGUAACAUUUCUUGGUAAUUCCAUUUUGUGAAACCCAAUAAAAUAUAUUGUGCGUUUCUGUUUUAGGACAAUAAUCAUGUGGUAAGAUGUCUGAAAAUUUGCGUAGUUACUUUGUUGCCAAGGGAUUCAAUGAUAUCUUGUCAGGUUUAGUUUGAAUACACUUAUUCUCUCUUCUUUUGCUUGUUUCUAUGUUGGUUGGAUGAUGGUACCUAUGUGGGAUUGGUUGCACACAUUGUGUAUAACUGAAGCAAAAUUGAUCUCUUGAAUAAAAUAUUAGCAUCUCCUAUGCAGGGAGAUAUAAUUUUCUCUUCCGGACUUUUUUGUUGUUGUUGUUGGAUAUGUAAUGAAGUUAAUUAAUUAUACAUUGUAUUUUGUGCCCGAAGAGAAAUGCUAUUUGUAUAUUUGGAUAGGAGAAAGAUAUUUUUCUUUCUUUUUUGCCAUUUUGUAACUUAUGCUUAUGUUGUCUUCAGCGGCAAGGGCACUGGAUGUUCUUAACUUCACUCCACUUAAUAAUAAGUCCAUUAGAAUCAUGUAUUCCCAUCGGGAUCCUAGUAUUCGGAAAAGCGGUACUGGGAACAUAUUUAUCAAGGUAUUCUUUUUAAAUAAUGUAUAUCCGUAUGUGUUUUAUUUCUGUUAUAUACUCCUGGUUCCUUGUUUACAUUUAGUCCUUUUUUUUAAUAAUUAUGAUUGCAGAAUUUGGACAAGUCUAUUGAUCACAAAGCAUUACACGAUACAUUUUCUUCAUUCGGAAACAUUCUUUCUUGUAAGAUAGCUACUGAUGGUUCUGGCCAGUCCAAAGGUUUCGGUUUUGUGCAAUUUGAGAACAAAGAAUCUGCUCAAAAUGCUAUUGAUAAGUUAAAUGGCAUGCUUAUUAAUGAUAAACAAGUGUUUGUUGGGCACUUUCUUCGUAAGCAGGAAAGAGAAACUGUAGCAAUUAAAACAAAAUUCAAUAACGUAUUUGUCAAAAACCUUGCUGAGUCAACUACAGAUGAAGAUUUGAAGAAAUUUUUUGGUGAGUAUGGAACAAUUACCAGUGCAGUAGUGAUGAGGGAUGGAGAUGGAAAAUCCAAGUGUUUUGGAUUUGUGAAUUUUGAAAAUGCAGAUGAUGCUGCCAAAGCUGUUGAAGCUCUUAAUGGAAAGAAAUUUGAUGACAGAGAAUGGUAUGUUGGAAAAGCUCAGAAAAAAUCUGAAAGAGAACAAGAGCUAAAAGGGCAAUUUGAGCAAGCCAUGAAGGAAACUGUAGACAAAUUCCAGGGUUUGAAUUUGUAUAUCAAGAAUUUGGGUGAUAGUAUUGAUGAUGAAAAAUUAAAGGAGUUAUUUUCUGAAUUUGGCACAAUUACUUCAUGCAAGGUUUGUGAUUUUUUCCCUUUUAAUUAUCCAAUUCCGUAUUUCUCAUUUGGUUGCUUUAUACCAAGUGCUUUUCCUUUUCCAUCUUUUUGCAGGUUAUGCGUGAUCCUAGUGGAAUUAGUAAGGGCUCUGGAUUUGUGGCGUUUUCAACUCCUGAGGAAGCAUCUCGAGCUGUAAGUAAGGCUGAUGUAUGAGCUGUUCUAACUUUCUUCAGGGAAAUCUUGUCAACAUUUGUUCUUCAUUCACAGCUUGCAGAGAUGAAUGGUAAAAUGAUUGUUAGCAAGCCUCUUUAUGUUGCUGUUGCUCAGCGGAAAGAAGAGAGGAGGGCCAGGCUGCAGGUAUCUUUAUUUUAGACCAACUGUUAUUAUUUUGUGCAAAGUGAUACUGCCUUAUUUGUAUGGAAAACUGGUAAUGCUCGUUUUGAUUUACAUGAACUGUCUAUUGUUUUUAUUUUUGCAAAUGUAUAUUUUAUUUAUGCAGGCUCAGUUUUCACAAAUGAGACCAGUAGCUAUGGGUCCCUCGGUUCCUCCUCGUAUGCCAAUGUACCCACCUGGCCCUUCAGGCCUAGGGCAACAGUUUCUGUAUGGCCAAGCACCACCAGCAAUAAUUCCUCCUCAAGUAAUUUUCUGUCUGAAGACCCUUGUAGUUCAAUUUGCACUGUUGUAAAUGGAGUCUACUUUGUUUAAUGUUAUGGUCUGUGGUCAAGGUUUCUUACUCAGUUUUUUUCCCUUUUUUCUUUAAAGGCUGGAUUUGGUUACCAGCAGCAACUUGUUCCUGGAAUGAGGCCUGCUGGGGCACCGAUGCCGAACUUCUUUGUUCCAGUGGUCUCGCAAGGUCAGCAGGGCCAGCGUCCUGGUGGACGACGUGGUGCUGGACCUGUGCAACAGACCCAGCAGCCACUCCCCAUUAUGCCGCACCAGGUCUGUCUCAUUUGAAAGCUAUUAUUGUUGCUUUCGAUGGGUAACCCCCCCCCCCCAAAAAAAAAAAUCAAUGUUGACGUCAUUUAUUCGUUGCAGAUGCCUCCCAGGGGUCAUGCCUAUCGGUACCCACUUGGCCGUAAUAUGCAAGAUUUCCCCUUUGACAUGGGUGCUGGCAGUAUGCUCCCUGUUCCCGUUGACAUGGGUGCUGGCAUACCUCGGCGAGAUGCGUCUGUUGGACAACCUAUGCCGAUAACGGCUUUGUCUACUGCUCUUGCAAAUGCAUCACCAGAACAGCAAAGGACGGUAAGAUUGUGUUUUGUUUGUUUGAUGUGCUUGCCUAUUUUUUCUUUUUUUCAUUCCCUAAUAUAUUUUUUAAUUUGUGGACAGCUGCUGGGUGAAAGUUUAUAUCCUCUAGUGGAGCAGCUGGAGCGAGAUGCAGCGGCUAAGGUAACGGGAAUGCUCUUGGAGAUGGACCAGACAGAGGUUUUGCAUCUUCUUGAGUCACCAGAGGCUUUGAAGGCGAAAGUAGCUGAGGCAAUGGAGGUUUUGAGGAGUGUUGCUCAGCAGCAGGCUAAUAAUCCAGCAGAUCAACUGGCUUCAUUGUCCCUGAAUGAAAACCUUGUUUCUUGAGCGCGUUGCUGUCAUUGAAGAAGUUUGGAUUAGUUGUGGUUUCAAACAAUUAAAGUCUUUGUUUUUGGCAUGGAUGGUGUAGGUGUUUGUGUAGUUUGAUCCUGGAUAUGCUGUCAAUUUGUUUUGUAGGAUUCUUCUAGGCCACAUGAUUUGUUUGCUUGACUGUUCCAAUUUUUAAGCGUGGUUGCUGUUUUCAAUUUCUGUGACUAAUUAUUUGGAAUUUGAUCUGGCUGCUGCUUCAUGUUUUUUAGAUCUUGCUGUUGCUGAAUUUUUUCUUUAUCCGAUGAUAAUUUAGUGGAAAAGGAGCUCUCCAUUUUUUUAUUAAAAUAAUACAAAUUCAUAUUUAUUUAGAGAUUUAUUUUGAAAAUGCUUUUAACCUUAUCACAUAAAUAAGUAAACACUUUUUAAAAUUUGUAAAAUUAGGUAGGGCUUUUGAGAUGUUCUUAAUAUCCAUAUUAUUUUUCCUAAAUAGUACAUCAGAUAUGCUUAUUAGUUAAGACUCUUUGUAGUUGCAAAUGUGAGGAACAAUGUCCUUUGCACCAAUCUUAAUGGAGGAAGAUAUGUAGUUUAAUGUUAUGAACAGAUUAUUUGUUUAAAUUUAUCGAAGUUUAUCCGGUCUAUUAUAAAUAAGGCAAAUGCUAUGUUACAAUUAAUGUAACAUACACACUCAACAAUAACCACACAAAUUAUGUGGGCUCAUCAUUUGUGUGGUUGUUAUUGAGUGUGUAUGUUACAUUAAUUGUAACAUAGGGGCUCCCUAUAAAUAAUUAUGAUCUUAAAUACAGACACUCUUUGCGAUUCCAAAUUCGUUAGAAAAAUAGAGCCAUCAAAUCAUUAGUUGAGUUGGUGAAUUAGUAAUUAUUAUAAUGAAGUACAAAAUAUGAAAGGAUCCGUGACAAUACAUGAGAAACAAUGUAAAGGAAAUAAUCAUAGCCGAGAAAAUAAUUAAUUACCUUAAUUUGUUUACAUAAUUGUAUUCAUUAUGCAUAAAUUUUCAUUCUUUGUAUAUUUUAUGUAACAGUUAUUUACUUGUCUAUGUGAGUUCUAUCUCACAGCUCGCUUGGGAUUACUUUUAUGAGAUUCAAAAGUGAUUUUGAAAAAUUAAAAGCUGAUUUUGGUGUGUAGUAAGUUUUUUUAGAAAUCGCUUUUGGUAAAAUCAUCUUAUCUUACAGUUGAUUUUGAAAAAUAUGAGAUAAGUAGUUUUUUAGGAUCUAAUUUUGAGAAUAAUUUUUACACUUAAUCCAAUUUCAUAUGUAUCCUCAUAUAUAUUAUAAAAAAUUAAAUUAUCCUUAUAAUUAGAAAACAAAAUCAUGAACUUUAAAAAGAUUACUAUUAUUACCAAUUAUAUUGAGAUAACAAAAUAUAAAAUUAAUAAUAUAAAAUAUUUAUUUUAGUUAUCUAUUAUUAUAUAUACAUGAUGAAGGUGUUUUAUGUACAUGUUUAUAAAUAUUUAAAUAAAUUUUAUUCAGUAUUAUGUACAAUUCAAUUAUUUACGUAUAUUAGUUUAACAAUAAUAUUUACUAAAUACAGAUAAUUACUUUUAACACACAUACAAUUAGUAUCGUAGAGAGUGUAGCGUUGACGCAACCAUUGUUGGGAACAAAACUAUAACAAGUCAGCGUUUUUUAAUUUAAUUUUAUAAAAUAUUAAUUUAAAGAAAUUUGUUGUAGGGGUAUUUUCGAAAAUGAAUAGUUUUGUCUAGGGUACUUUUGGUAUUUUAUUUUAAUUUUAUAUUCUAUAAAAUAUGAUAAUUAAAUAAUCAUUUUUAAAAUAGGUUUGACCUAACUCAAAUCAAAUAAAUUUUCAACCCAUCUAAACCAAUCUAAACUAAACUAUUUAAUUUAGUUUGAGUUGGGGUUGAAUUAUAAGAUGUGGGUUUUUUGCCCACCUCUACUUAUAUAUGAGAAAAUGAAACAUUUGCAGAACAAACAGUUUCAUAAUUCAAACUCAAUGCCGUGAUUUCUUUUCCCAAAACUGAGUGGGGAUCAUACGUUACCAUUUUUUUUAAUUUAAUAAUAUAAUAUUAUUAUUUUUCCAAACUUCCUGUGCAGGUACUAUACAUAUUUUUAAUUCUUUUUCCAAAAGAAGCCAGCACGUUUUCAUAUUUAUUAAAAAGUAAUCACCCUCAGAUUAUAAAAUAAAUAAAAGAAAAUGCCAAAUACACCCUUACUUUUCCUUCUAAGAGAUCAUAGUACUGAUAAAAGUUUCGUUCCUAGGCCGAAGUUUGUGUUGUAAAAAUGGUCAUGCAAUAUUUCUUGUGGGGUACCAAUCUUAGUUUUUAUUUAGGUUGGAUAGUUGUAACUUAAAAAUUAUAAUAUUAAAAUGUUUAAUAAAUAUCAAUUGAUGUAGUUAAAAGUUAAGUUCAUUAGAUUUUACAUUUAUAUGAUAAAAAAUUUAUUAUAUCUCUAUUAAUUUUAUUAAAAUGAUUAUUUAAAAAAUUAUAUUUAUUAUAUAUUGUUAACUUUUAGUUUAUAACUAUAGUUUUUUUUUCUAAAGUAACCAUAAUUUUUGAGCUACAAAACCUUAAUAUCAAAUAAGGCCUUAUUACUCAUUGUUGUACGACUUUUUACCAAUAUGCUAACCUAAAUGUCAAGGGAUAAGAGAGGGUCAAUAGUAGGCGUACUCUAAUAUUUUGUUGUUGAGCGGAGAAAUAAUAUUUACAAGUUGCUUUAGGGGUGAGCAAAUUCGGGUUCGGAUAAAACAAAUCGGAUUUCGCAUCAAUCGGGUUGGAAAAAAUAUAACCCAAACUUAACCUCAAUAGGAGAUCCAAUCCAAUUAGGUUAGAGCCUUGUUUUAGUUUUGAUUUUUUCAAAUUUUCGGAUCGGAUCAGAUUGGCUAAAAUCCAAUCCGAUUAGGUUAGAGCCUUCAUCUGAAUACAAUUCAAACCUGAAUUUUUUGGAUCGGAUUGGUUCCGAUUGGAUCAUUUACCUAGGGGUGGGCAAAUUAUCCGACCCGACCCGAUCCGAUCCGAAAAAAUUCGGGUUCGGAUCGGAUCGGGUGGUCAACAAAACCCGAUCGGGUUGAGACAAAAAAAAAAACUUGGGCAAAAAUUACAGAUUUACACUUACAAUAUCACACAGAUACACACAUGACACACUCACAUCUCACACGAAUACAGGCACUGAAUCAGUAACUCACACUCUCAUAGAAACAGAAUACAGAUCACAGUAUAGAGUACAAACUCACGGAUUUACAGUAAUUCACAAUUCAAUUCAGUAAUUCACAUUUCACAAAGUAUUCACCGCAACAAAACAAUUCAGGAAUUCACUCCAAACUAUUCACCGCAACAAAAGUUACAAAAAAAUUCAGUAAUUCACUAAGAAAACAACACAAGCGAAGUAAAGUAACAAGCAACAACUCACAGUCACAAACCCUCAUUUACGGUAUCACUAUCACAAUUCACAAACCCUCAUUGUCACACACAAAUCACUGAAACCAGCAGCCGUCAAGCACAAGCAGGCAGCAGCCAACCCACAGUCCCACACUCAUUCACGCCUCACGGAGUCACGGCCUUCGUCGCUCACCACACGCAGCAAACACACACGCACAGUUCACGAAGCUAGCUUCAACCGACCACCACACGCAGCCAGCAACCACUUCCGAGAACAACCCCAACCGAAGCCGAAGCUGAUUCGCGAAGAUCGUGACCCGAUCUACAGAUCUGCUACAACCAAGCGCCGGAUCCAUGCCUUGAAUCCUCCACUCCACCAUAACUCAGUCCGAUUGAAGAUCCACCCAACAAGCUGCCUCCAAUCCACUCGAGCCUCCACCAUUGGCAUCCACGGGUCACGGCUGUUGAGUGUUGACAUCCGGCCACCACACCCAUUCACGGUCACGCCUCACGGGUCACGGAUCCAGCCUCCAGUCUCAAAAGGUCUCUGACUCUCUUCACUCUCUGUUUUGGAAUUGGAAAUUUGGAAGUUUGGAAUUGGAACUUGAAGGCUUGAAGGCUGAAGCCCGAAUAAGCAAAGCAAGAGUGCAAGACAGCAAAUCCGGCUUUUCAAGUUAUUUAAGAGAUGGUAUAUAUUAUAUAAUUAUAUAUGCAUUAAUGAUUAAUUAUAAUUUUUAUUUGUUAUAUGUUAUAUGAGAAAUGUUAAUUGUAAUUUUGUAUGUUAAAUUGUUAAUUAUAUAUAAUUAUAUAUUGUUAAAUUUUAUCAAUAAAAUAAAAAUAAUAUGGCAUUAAUUUUCUGUUAUUAAUUAAUAAUUGAUUUUUUGUAUGAAUAGUAAUGUUAGAUUAAAAAUUAAAAUUAAAUAUUAUGUUACAAUAUAAAUUAUAAUUGUAUAUGUCAUAUGAUAUGUGUAUUUAUAGAAUAGUUUCAACUUCAACAAAAAAUUAACUAUUAACCAAUUUAAUUGCAGUAGUUUCAAGUUUCAACUUCAAUAAAUAAUUAAUCAAUUUUAUUAAUUGCAUGAUAACCAUUAACCAAUAAGUAAAUAUUAAGUGGUUAACUACAUAUAAUGUGGGCAUAAUAAGAAUUAAGAAUUUAAGAUACGGAUAUGUAAUUAAUAUUAUAUUAUUUUGGCCAAUGGAUAAUUAGAUAUUAUAAAUUAAAUAAUUAGUUUAAUUUCUUGGUUUUCUUUUAUGGAAUAUGCAUCUUGAAUUCUUGAUCAUAUAUAAACAUUAUGGUGGAAAAUUGGAAAUAUCGAUUUCAAAAAGUUUCAUAAAAUUAAAUUAACAAUUAUUUGAAUCAAUUUGUAAUACUAACUAUUAAGUAGAUUUUUUUAAUAGUCUUUUUGUGUUUUAAUUUAUGAAUUAAUGAUUAAUAAUUAUUUAUUUGUAUGUUUAGAUGUCUGGACACUCAAGAUCGAAUUCAAUAAGUGAUGAUGACAAUCAAAGUGUUCAAAUGGAAGGAACUCAAAAGGCAAAGCGGAAAAGACCAGCGAUAAAGAAAAGAUCUGCGACGUGGAAUCAUUUUACUUUACUUGAGGACAAUCCAAACAAAUGCAAGUGCAACUAUUGUGGUAGACAAUAUCAAUGUCAUUCAAGGCGUGAUGGGAUUACAAAUAUGAGAAAUCAUAUACUGGCUUGCCUUGCAUACAAGACAUUCCGGGAACAACAAGAGGGAAGUCAACAAAACUUGACAACUGAGGGUGGGGAAGGAAAUGCAAGUAAUAUGGUUUUGGCUAAAGGGUGGAGUCAAGACGUUUGUAGAAGGGCAGUCACCAAAAUGAUUAUUAUGGGUGAGUUGCCACUUAGUUUUGUGGAUAACAAAGGGUUCAUGCAUUUUUGUAGUGUAGCAAUUCCGCAGUUUGUUAUGCCAUCUCGGAGACUAUUGGUAGGGAUGUUAUGGAUUUAUUUUUGGAAGAAAAGACAAUGUUGAAGAGUUUGAUUUGCAACAAUAAAUAGCGAGUGUCUCUUACCACUGAUUUAUGGACUUCUGUUCAAAACAUGAGUUACAUGGUGAUCACAGCUCAUUUUAUUGAUAGUGAUUGGUGUUUGAACAGAAGGAUUAUUAGUUUCAGUGUGAUUGAAGAUCAUAGAGGGAAAACGAUCGGUAAAAAGAUUGUAGCUUGUUUACAAGAUUGGGGGAUAGAGAGGUUGUUUGCAAUAACUGUUGAUAAUGCCAGUACAAAUGAUGUUGCUGUUAAUUAUGUGACUAUGCAAUUGCUUGCUUGGAGGAAUGAUGAUGCAAUUGUAUUGGCGGGUCAGUAUAUGCAUGUGCGUUGUUGUGCACAUAUUUUGAACUUGAUUGUUGUUUCGGGGUUGAAUGAAUUACAUGCUAGUGUUGCCGCCAUCCGGAAUGCUGUGAAGUAUGUGAGAUCCUCCACAACGAGGCUACAGACAUUUAAAUUUUGAACAAACAUGACCAUAGGAUAAGAUUAAAAUUUGUAAAAAAUAAUUCAUUUUUUGAUUGUGAAACUGCUGUACGGCCAAGGCGGAUGUACGGUACAGCAGUGUCCAAAUGGAACAGUUGUUUUAGAUUGUCCUACUAGAUGGAAUUCCACCUAUUUAAUGUUGAUGACUGCGUUGAAGUUUCAAGCAGCAUUUGAUAGAAUGCAGAGGUGGAUAAACCAUAUGAGGCAUACUUUCUCGAGAAAGAAAAUAACGCUAAGAGGGUGGGCCCGCCUGGACCUGAGGAUUGGGAGAGUGCAGGGCUAAUUGUGAAGUUUUUGAAGGUAUUUUAUUAUGCCACUUUGUUAUUUUAUGCUUCUUUGAGUGUGACUUCUAAUCUUUGUUAUGAUACCAUUGGCUUAAUUGAGAGCUCAUUAACUGCAUUAGAGGGAAGUAAAGAUCCUUGGGUGGUGGCUAUGGCUUAUCAAAUAAGAGAAAAAUUUGAUAAAUAUUGGGAGUCUUCAGGGAAAAUAAAUAAAAUGUUAAUUGUUGCCUCUAUUCUUGAUCCACGAGCUAAAAUGGAUUUUGCCAAACAUAUUUUUGAGAUCAUUUUUGCCAAUGAUGGUUGGAAAGUUGAAAAAAUGACCAAAGCAGUGAAAGAUUUGUUGAAUGAGCUUUAUGAUGCAUAUAGUGCAAUGUGCUCUAGUUCCACACCAUCGAUGUGUAGUGAGAGUGUUCCUAGCGGUAGCUAUGGUGGUACAAGUUAUUCUCUUUAUUUUACAACUGAGGUUGGUUUGCCGGAGGGUCCUAGUGGUGAUGGUGAUGACAUUUUCCGAGUUUCUCGCCCUUUCUUUGGGUAUGCUCAAAAAGUGUUUGUUCAGAAUUAGGGCAAGAGAGUAAUAUCUGAGGUGGAACGAUAUUUGAGUGACCCAGUUGAAGAUCCAAGCAAUCUUAAGCUCAAUGUUUUGCUUUGGUGGAAAGUUAAUGGAUCGAAGUAUCCGAUAUUAGAGAAAAUUGCAAGGGAUGUCCUCGCUGUUCAUGUUUCCACAGUGGCAUCUGAAUCUGCCUUUAGCACAGGGCAUCACGUCACUGACGAAUAUCGGAGUUCUUUGACCCCUUGUAUGGUUGAGGCAUUGAUAUGUACCGAAAAUUGGUUACAAGCUAAACUUUUUGCUAAUCCUGUCUAUAACCUUCGGGAAGAUAUUAAAGAGCAGAUAUUCCAUAUGGAGCUACAAGAAGGUAAUAUUUUUCUCAUACUUUAUAAAGUUAAGAUGUAUUAUAACUUUAUAAAUAGCAUCUACAUUAGAGGGAAGUUACUUACUAAUUUCAUUUUUUUUUUGACAUUUUAAAGAGUUUGUAAAAUCACAAGCUUCAACAGUGGAAACAGUGAGCACUGAUAUGGGUGUUAUGGAUAUUUAAAAGGUAAUUCCUAAUAUAUAUUAUUAUUUAUAAUUUCAUAUUAUAUGUUUAGGUUGUAAUUUACACUAUAAUAAUAGACAGUAGUUGUUAUAGUUUUAAUUCAAAGUGAUGACAUUAUAAUUGUUUCAUUUAUUUUAGACACAUUGAAAUUGUUGGAAUGGUAUUACUUAGGAAUUAGGAUUAUUAUUAAAUUUACUUGAUGAUGAAUGCCAUGAAAUAAGCCACAAUUGACUUAAUUUUUUUCUCAUAUUUAAUCAAGUACACACAUGAAUUGGGCAUAUGUGUUUGUGUUUAAUGUCCCUUUAUUUGUAAUGUGGCUUAAAGAAAGUAGUUAAACGGUUAUCUAUUAUUUUUUUAAUUUUUCCCUAGGGGAUAUAUGCUUCAAUUCUUCAACUUGGAGUAGAAGAAAUUGAAGUUAAAAGUUGUCAAAGUGCUUGCGAGGAACGGUGGAGCCGUGGAGGAAGUUGAUCUAGAUUUACAUUUAAACUUUGUUGUGUUUUGGACAUUGCGCUUUGGAUGGAGACUAUUAAAUUUAAACUUUGUGUUAAUUUUUAAUUUUGAAUCAUUUGAAUUUAAUUUUAUAGUAGUUUUCUCUUUUUGUUGGUUGAAAUGAAUGGAUGAAUGAAUGAGGGAGGACAAGGAAGGUGGGAAAUAAAUGUCUUAGUUAGCAAGGUGACAAGAAUGAAAGAGAAAUGUCCUUGUUUUAUACAGGACAUGCACGUUCAUGUAUUAAUAAUUGAUUUUUUGUAUGAAUAGUAAUGUUAGAUUAAAAAUUAAAAUUAAAUAUUAUGUUACAAUAUAAAUUAUAAUUAUAUAUGUCAUAUGAUAUGUGUAUUUGUACAAUAGUUUCAACUUCAACAAAAUUAAUGUGGAUUCCAGUCCACUGAUUGAGUUUUGCCAUUUGGUAGAGGGUUUUUUUUUGUGAUUUAUUAUAUUUUAAUAUUAGAUUUAAUGGGUUUUAUCUUUUACUAUAAGACAUUAAGAUUUAUUAUUGUGCCACAUAGCAAGUCGUUAAGGUUUUCUUUGAAUUUUGAACAAACAUGACCAUAGGAUAAGAUUAAAAUUUGUAAAAAAUAAUUCAUUUUUUGAUUGUGAAAAACUUUUGGACAGGAGAAAUUCUAGCGUGAUGUUUUGGGUCUUCAUAAUCUAAUAUGAAACCACUAACAAAUAAUAUUUUAACAUAUGUACAUAAUUUCUAAAUUUAUAAGUUAUUUAAUUAAAAGUCAUACAAUUUCUUUUUCCUCCCUUUCACUCUCUUCCCUCUAAUUAAAGAUAAUUAAUGGAGUUACGUUUAAUCCCCAAUUGCCAAAUUAAUUAAUUAUAACCCGAAUUGACCCGAAUUGAUCCAAAUAACCCAAAUUUAAUCCUAACCCAAAUUAACCCGAAUCCGAUCCGAUUACACCCGACCCGAAUUAACCCGAAUUUAAUCCGGAUCGGAUCGGAUCGGGUUAUAAGUUCGGGUGGAGUUCGGAUCGAUUUUUAUCCAACCCGACCAACCCGAAACCCGAUCGGGUUGAUCCGAAUCCGACCCGAACCCGAUUUUGCCCACCCCUACAUUUACCCACCCCUAAGUUGCUUGAUAUAUACGCCUGGUUACCACUGAAGAAAAUAUUUCUUUCUUGCCAUCCAUUGUUGACUAGUAAGGGGAAACCCGGCAAUCAGGUAAUUAAUAAGGAGGGCAAAUUAUAUCAAUCAGUCAACAAGACUUGAUGUAUUAUAUAGACAUCAACAACUUUACCUACCAGUGGAACAAUGUGACAUUGAACAAAUAUAUAGUAAUAUAAAAUUAGAUGGGAGAAGGUGAAUGAAUGUGUUACCUCAGUUUAAUGUUCAAGUACAUAGUUUUAUUUAUAAUGGUCAGCCUGUAAAGCACGAUUGCAAAGACCAAAUAGAAAAAAGUAGCUAGCUUUGCUUGAGCGAAGGAUGAAUUCCCCAGCAGUUCAAUACAUGUCAGAAUGCUUUGUCCAGCCAGAGUACUUUUCAGAGGAGAUGAAACAGCCCUGUUACUUGACACCAUGGGAUCUAGUAAUGCUAUCGGUACAAUAUAUCCAGAAGGGCCUUCUGUUUAGGAAACCAGCGAUACCACCAGCAUCAGUUGAUCAAGUUGACUUCAUCAAGACUCUCCUAGACAGGCUUAAGCACUCCCUGUCCCUCACCCUUGUUCAUUUCUACCCUCUAGCCGGGCGCCUCGUCACACGACAGACCGAUAGCCCGCCUUCUUAUGUGGUCUUUGUUGAUUGCAAUAACAGCCCUGGUGCUAAGUUUAUCCAUGCGUCUUUAGACAUGGCAAUAUCCGACAUCCUUUCACCUACUUAUGUUCCUUUGGUGGUCCAAUCCUUUUUUGACCAUGAUAGAGCUUUGAACCAUGAUGGUCAUUCAAGGCCUCUGCUAUCAAUUCAGGUGACAGAGCUGGUUGAUGGCAUCUUCAUAGGUUGUUCAAUGAACCAUGUCUUGGGUGAUGGAACCUCUUUUUGGAAUUUCUUCAACGCAUUUUCUGAAAUCUUUCAAGCACAAGGAAAGAUGGCUUCCAUCUCGCGCCCGCCAGUCAUAAAACGCUGGUUUCCAGACGGACGCGAUCCAAUUAUCAACCUUCCAUUCACUCAUCGUGAUGAAUUCAUCCGAAGAUAUGAAGCGCCACAACUUUUAGAGAGAAUCUUUCACUUCACAGGGGAAUCCAUAGCAAGACUCAAAGCUAAGGCCAAUGCAGAGGCCGGCAACAAUACCAACAAAAUCUCCUCCUUUCAGGCCUUGUCUGCCCUCGUCUGGAGGUCCAUAACCCGGAUACGCAAUCUACCACCGGAUCAAACAACCGGUUGCAGGAUGGCCGCCGAUAAUAGACCGCGAUUGGAACCACCAUUGCCUCGGGAGUACUUUGGAAACUCAAUCAAUCCUCUGCGAGGGGUUACCACGGUGGGUGAGCUACUUGGACAUGACCUUGGAUGGGCAGCUUGGAAGCUGCAUCAAACCGUUGUUAACCAAACAGAUAAAGCGGUGCGUGAAUGGCUUGACGCGUGGUGGAAAUCUCCGUUUAUGUACCACCUAGAUCGGCUCUUUGAUCCAUUUAGUAUAAUGAUGGGAAGCUCCCCAAGGUUCAACAAAUAUGGAAAUGAGUUUGGCCUUGGUCAAGCAGUGGCACUUCGCAGUGGAUAUGCACACAAAUUUGAUGGGAAAGUGUCAGCAUAUCCAGGACAUGAAGGCGGGGGAAGCAUAGAUUUGGAGAUCUGCCUGCCACCUCAUUCAAUGACUGCUCUUGAAGCCGAUGAAGAGUUCAUGGAAGCGACGUCCUGUUGAUCCCAUCUAGUCGCGCUAGGUCAGCUCUUCCUUGCGCGCAGAACAAGUUCCCAUUUACCAUUUAGUAAGUAUACGAGCAAUAAUGUGAGAGUAGUGUAAUUAACAACUCUGCAGUAGUUUUGAAGCUAGAGAGGCUGACGCGAUCGGAGUUAGGGAAGCCCUUAGCUGGCUUAAGAAGUUUGCUUUCCAUUCUGUAAUUCUAGAGAUGGAUAGUUUACAAGUUUUCAAUGCUUUACAUGAUAAGACUAGUUAUCCCAAUGAUUUUGGUUUAAUUAUUGAUGAUUGUAGAGCCUUGACUCGCUCUCUAGGAGAAGUAGCUUUCUCUUUUGUUCGUAGAUCUGCGAACUCCGCUGCCCACACUGUAGCUCAGGUGGAGAGUUUUAUGUCAGGUUCGGGUGAGUGGAGGUUUGUUCCACCCUUGGUUAGUUGAAGCUUUGGCUGUUUUAUGAAUUCCAUAUUUUCCUCAAAAAAAAAAAAAAAAAACUCUGCAGCAAUUUUAAAUUUGCUGUGCUAUUCUACACAAAAAUGAUAUUUUCAUUUACUCCAAACAUGCUUUUGGGGGUUUAUGUUUUCUCCUUGUUUGGAUUUCGAAUCUUCUUCUCUAAUUUUCUAACUCAAAAAAAAAAAAAAAACAACUCUGCAGCAAUUUUAAAUUUGCUGUGCUAUUCUACACAAAAAUGAUAUUUUCAUUUACUCCAAACAUGCUUUUGGGGGUUUAUGUUUUCUCCUUGUUUGGAUUUCGAAUCUUCUUCUCUAAUUUUCUAACUCAGGUCUCUCCUCUUGCUUUGUCGAGGUUUUUUUAUAUUUUUUCUACACCCCGAAAAAAAGAAAGACCAAGGAGGAGAUUUUAAUUGCGUUGAAUAUACAGGCUGCCACAUAACUCUGUCUUACACUUUAAAACGUCUUUAGCAUGAAUGCCAUAACUGUUCAAGUUUAAAACCUCUCUCAGAAUGCAGGAAAGAGAUGAAGUCGAAGCCUUUGUCUAUUUGACUGGUGGGUUUUUACCAUACUCCCUGUAUGCUACAUAUUAAUUAAUUAUUGGGCCGAGGCCUAUUAUCAUUGUCAUUUGGGUUACAAUUCCAGAUUUCGGACGGGACAAGCCUUUGCUUCCCAUAUUCAAAACACCCGCAUCUCUUUUAUCGCUGCUCAUGGGACAUACACAAUUGACGAGACCACGGCAACCUGCGAAGAUAAAUAGCUAGAUACUCGCUAGCUCGUAUUUAACACGUGUACGAAAGACCAGAUUUAAUAGCAUAUAUAGAGCGAGUGAAUAUCGGCACAUCGCACCGCUCUUCUUUAUAAAGAGAGACCGAGGAAAGCAUACCCGCAGAAUCUGGAACAUCAUCAGAGCAAGUAUAAAUUAUUUCUCUGUAGCACCAAUUUUCCAUGCUACACAAAUCUUAACAUCGAAUACCCUCGAAAUCAACGGCUAUAACGGAAGUAGCACAAAAAUUCAGCACUACCACCAGUUACACAUGUCGCUUCUUUCUUCGCCGCUUUGACGCAAUUAAAAAUGUUGUCUCCACCUUCCAUUUAAGCCGUCGGAGAAAUUUACUCAUUAGCACCAAUCUAAAUCUGCCACAUCAUCCAUAAGAACCGAGAUUCCACGCUCCAGGUGGACAUACUACAAAUAAGGAAAGCAUACACUUGAGCAGGACAGUAUCACUUCACUCGUACAAAGAAACUUUCUGAGCACGCUACUCUUUCACUAUAAACCUCUGAACAGAUUUUCUCUUGGUUGCUGUUGGUUUUUUCGGUUUUCUAUCCCAAAACGCGUAAAAAGGCGAAUGGGAGAUCCCCACCGUAGCGACGGCAACAGGAAAAUGGAGUCGUUUUCGCUUCAUCCAGGUUGCCGGUUCCAUCCUUCCGAAGAACAACUCCUCUGCUAUUACCUCACCAACAAAAACAAAGGCACUGAAGAAGAAGAUACCAAUCUCUGCGAUAAUGAUUUGAUAAAGGAGCUUGAUUUGUAUGAGCACGAACCGUACGAAUUACCGGAGACCACGUGCUAUGCGUACGGAUACAGAGGAAGGAAGAGACACUGGUAUUGUUACGGUAGAGUUAGUGUUGUGAAGGGCAGCAAAUGUAGAAAAGGAAAGAAUGGAUAUUGGAGGAGGAGAGGGAGAGUGACAGAGGUAGUUGUUAGGAAUACUAGCUGUAAUAAUUAUAACAACAACAACAAUAAUAAAAGAGGGAAGUUGGUGUUGGGGACCAGAACCAGUUUCGUGUUUUAUUUGGGAAAUUCUUUGAAAACUGCUGUGAGAACCCAUUGGCUCAUGCAUGAGUACGCCCUUGAUGACCAUGUCGAGGUACUCCGAAUCAAGUUUCUGUUAUGAGUUUUUAUUUUCUUGUUCAGCUAAAAUUCUGUUGUGUUCGGGUUAAAAAUAUUUUGUUGCUAUUUCUGAAGUACACUAACAGAUGAAACGGUAGUGGUUUUUUAGUGAAUUUAAAUGCUUGAAUAUUUUUUCUGUUGUAAACCACUGCUUUGGUUUCUUUUUAAUAAAAUCUGGACAAUGUGUUGAAAAAAAUUGUUCAUUUUAACUACGGUUCUAGAUGUCUGAACUGGAAUUCAUACUUUUUGCUGCCUAUUGUUUAUGUGAGAAUUGUUGAAAUUUGUUCUGUCGGAGACUCUUGCUGAUCGUUGAGCAUGUUCCAUUUUCUGUGAAUAUAUCUCUGGCAGAUGUUCUUUAUUGAAGACUACGAGCAGGUUGAAGCAUAACUUAAGAUCUUAAUUGUCUGUCUCUUUUGCUUUCUUUGGAGAAUUUUUUCCAAUUUGGUAGCAUCAUUUCACCUAAAUUUAUUCCACACCUGACCUCGUUCGUACUCUCUUCAAUUAGUUGAGAAAGUGGUCAAGUCUUUAACUUAGCAAGCAGUUAGCUCUAUAUCUAACCUCACAUUAGUGAAAAAUGUCGCAGUUAAAUAUGUACAAAUAAUCUACCUGUACUCCUUUCUCAUAAUCUUCUUAUUGUACUGCUCUUUGCAACCUCCAAAGUUGGUGCCAUUUGAACUUUGGAAGGUAUUUUUAUUCAAUUUAUUUUUUUAUCUACUCAUUUAGUUCAGAAGUUGAGAUGGUUUUGCUUUCUUAUUCAUGGGACAUAGAGACCAAUUGAUUUGUGCAUGUUAUAAUAAUCCAUUUGAUUUGUGCAUAAUUAUAGUUAUUUUUCUUGUGUUGCUGCCAUGUUAUCUCAGUUUUAACCUGCUGCAGGCCUCUUUUGUGCUCUGCCGAAUAUUUGUCAAGUCUCGUGGUGGAAAUAGCAAAUCAGAGGUUAGUUUAAGUAGUGGUGCCGGAGAAAGUGUUUCUGCAGUUCGCCAUAUUGGUAUUCAGCAUGAUGGAUUUCUUAUACCAGAUUCCUCUGAAGGUAAAGUAGAUGAUGACAAUUCUAUAGACAGGAGAAAUGAUACAUGCAUAUAUCCAGUGAGGUUGGUUAGUCAGCUAGAUGGCCAUGUCACAUCUAGGCCUGUUUCUGAUGCCAGUUUCCAGUUUCCAGCUGGCAUCCCAUCAAAGGAGCAGGUAAUAUAUUUCAAAGCUUCCCCUGUUAAUUUAUACUGUCAUUUUUUUUUCUAAUGUUUUAUGUUUAGCCUUUUAGAACCAAGGAUCACAGAUUUCCCUCUGAUACAUUUCCUUUCACUGGGUAAAGUUUUAUUUGCACCAUUCAGUUGUUUUAUGUUGGAUGUUUGAGUGAAGCAGUAUGGGAUCACACUUCAUGCAUCUGCCUUAAGUCACACACAAUAUGCCACUUUAGCAUGUUGAUUGCAUAGAGUGCAUAAGUUUCAUUGCAAUUUGUUGCACGUAUAAACUCUUUUCUUCAGCUUUCCUGAACAAUAUCAAGUUUUCUUCAGAAACAGUCGGCAACUUCUUGUUGCAAAGCAAAUUUUUUUCAAAGAUGUCGGUAUUUGCGACUCCAUGUUUUGUUCAACUAUAAAAAAUCAAUCCCAACUCUGGUGAAUUAUUUACUUUUACUAUCUUAAUUAGGUGUCAAGCACAUACUUUAGUUGUUGAUCUGAGGUGCCCAGUCUCUGAGCUCUCAACUAAUUCAAGUGCUGUGAAAUCCGAUUUAUAUCCAUGUAUCUUAUGGAAUCAUGUCUGUAUUCAUCAAAUUACUUACAUUUCUUUCUCCAUUAUGGCUUCUGUGUAGGUCAGUACAUCUGGGCUUGCUGGUACUUCUCUGUUGACUGAUGCUGUAGAAACCCAGCAGUUACAAUCAAUUUUGGAGGAAGAUUUCAUUGAGUUGGAUGAUCUUGUGCCAUGAUGCCCCAGAUUAAACUGAAGUAUAUGUGGAUAUUAAUGAUACCGGAAUUGAGUUACUCUUGCCAAUAUUGAUUUGAAAUGGGAAUUACCACCCAGCAAACAGAAAGGUGGACUUUAAUCACCCAGCAGAAAAUAUUAGAGUUUGUAUAUCAGAAAACUUUCUAAAAACUUUAGAUGCAGAAAUGUACUUUCAGUUUUGAAGUUGGAGGAGAUGUUGUAACGGAUCUGCUUUGCCUGUUAAGGUCCUUAUUCUGGCCGCAAUCUUUCUGUUUUUCUUGCAAACUUUAAAUAUUGGCACUAGUAUUGGCUUAGAUAUGAAUUUGACAAAACAUUUGGCAAUUCAUGUUUUGUUUGGCUUGCAGAUUUCUAUAACAGGCGUUUUGCUCCACUUCAAACAUAAAGAGAUUGACUUAUUGGUCGGGUUAUAUCGUAUGCAAUCUUGAGUAUCAGCUGCUUCACCUGGCUUGUUUGUCAUGCAUUUACUCUGCUGAUGGCAGCAUUCUUGGUUGUGGGAAUAUUAGCUCUUCCUCUUGUUACUAUGGUGCCUUCUUUCAUCAAGGCCUCUGUCUUAAAUCUUCUCUGUUUUCACUAUUUAGUUGUAAAUGCUGUAAUAUGUGUCAGUAUUUCAAUGGUGUUUAUUUCCUUUUGUCACAGCAUAGCCUUAUGAUGAAGAUGCUUAGAGUGUUAACAAUGAUGAUGACAAAUUGCAUUUUUAAACCUACUUGUGAUGACGAUUUGUACGUAUUACAUUUGAUUAUGACUACACUUGAUGCUAAUUGACUAAUAACGAUUGUGCUGCUUUCCUUGACUCCUAAUAACUUAUUUUGUUAGCCUUGCUCAUAUAUACUUCUAACAUUUGUCAUUUUUACUCUUUUACUGAUUUUUGGGCUGGAUUCAUGGUUGUUUCUCACAGUAUCUCUACUGACAUGCCAAAGCUUUCUUUUCAUUGCCUAGAAACUGGAGAUAGAGAACAAAAUCUAGGAAUCACACGAGCACAUGAGGAUUGCACAUUUGUACUUUUGCUCUUUCUUCCUAGCCUUUAGGACGAAGUUUUCUUGCUUCUUUCAACUGGACAAUGUUUUUUCUCUGAUGGCUUUCCUUACACCGUGUAGUAGCUGCGGAAAUGUUUGGGAUGUUAUUACAUUUUCUGCUUUCGUUUACUGUGCUGUAAAGCACCGUCAAACUAUUUUUGAGCUUAAGUACUUGACCUCUUGAUUCUAUGGUUUGUAAUUUACAAAUAGAUCACAGAAAGCCACCUGGUGGUUUGAUCUGUUCAUUCGUUGCAAUUUAGGAAUAGAAAGCGAUUGUGGUGUGAAUGUUUUUCACAAUUGCCACAUAACUUGAGUUGUAAGCUUGCCAGGGUGCUAUGAUCUUUCAGAGUACUUGUCAGAAUGACAAAGCUGCAUGGUAAUCAAUUUCACAAAAUUUCCUGCUGUCAUAUUAACUAUUGGCCUAUUGCACCUCGUUCUGUUGCCUAGCAUUCUUAUUUUUCUGAUGAUUUUUCUCUUAUGUAACUACUUGCAAAGAUUAAUAUUAUUCUGAGUGGAGCUAUUUUUAAAACGUGUUGCCAUGAAUUGGUCUAGAUUAUCUUUAUUCUUUUGUUAGAGUGUUGGAGACUUGGAGCACAUACUGGAACAUAUUCUAGCUGCAUGUGUGCAUCUCAAGGUUGUUGGUGGCGGAUUCACUUCACAGUCCACAACGGUGGGCAGAGAUAAAUUUACCGACCCUUUUUUGGUCCGCCGAAGCAUUGAUACAGGUGAAUUGACUUAAGAUUCUGGAACUUGUAUGACAAUGUUGUUGCUAUCACCCCAUGUGCGUUAUUUUUGUAUCUAAGUUAAGGACAAUAUUCUGCGUUGUGUGUGUGAAGUGUGGACUGUCUUUAUCGUUUUGUCUCGAGACCCCUUAACUUUCUUUUUACAAAGUUCAAGACAGAAAUUGAAUGUAACAAAGUUGCCACGGGCGGCUGUUUCGCGUUAGCUAUGAGACAAUCUUCCUCCUUCGUAAUACAUACAAUUUCAUUAGGCGAUAACAAACACUUUUGACACUUUUCCCAGUCCCUAUUGAAACCCAUUUAGAUUUUAAUUAGUGUGCAAACAGUUGCCGUGCCCAUGUGCAAUUGUGCAUAAUCAUUAUCACACAUUCAUUCAACCUCAUCAUCUUCUCAUAAGCUAACACAUGCUGUUGUAGGUGGGUCAUUUUAGUCGGUCCUGUUUGUUCUUUGGCAGACCCAGUUUUGGGGGGGGUGUCAUAAGCUUUAUAUGCCUCUGAAAUAAUGGAUUCAAUUACAUCUCCCACCCACCUUAGAGGAGAAAAGAAAGAAAAAAAAUGCUAUUGCAAAGAUAUUGGGCGUAUCAGUAAUAUGUUAAAUGACAAUUGCCAAUAACAGCAACCGAUGCCCUUCUCUGACUCAUCCCUUAAUUCAAUUUAUGAGUGCCACCGAUGACAGCAAAUAUCCAUUUAUUUUCUUCCUUGUGGGAAAAGUCAAAUUAGCCAUUUAAAUUUCGUUGAUAGUCGUGCCUAAAAGCAUGAGCAAUGCAUAGCCUUUGUUGUCUUGUGUUGUGUAGCCGGUUUGGUUAGGUUGUCUAAUUUAUUCUCAUUUUGAAAAGCAUAGCAAGUUCCCAAUAGUGCCUUUGCCCUUUGGUGGAAGAAUCGCUACUUCUUAUAUUAAUAUAAUAUAUAUAUAUUUUUUUUUCAUACAAGUAGUACGCAAUGCUGUAUUAAAUAAGCAAUCCAUAUGGACAUAUUAGAGUCUGUUUUCGUGCUCAAAAAUAAAAUUCAAAGGUGCAAAGCAAGCACCUUUGAAAAGAAAGAAAGAAAGAAAGAAAGAGCAAGGUAAAAAUAAUGAAAGGCACUAAUGUUAUCAGAAUACAUUACAUGAGGCCCACGCCACGAUUGUGAUAUGAAUGGCAGCAGACGCAACACAAAGGAAGUUGCAAUUGCACAAAUUCUAUUGAGACUUUGUGUCUUUGCAUUCACACUUCUUUUAAGCAAAAGUAAAUAACAUAUUGUCUUUGUUAGCUACUUGUAUUGUCAUUGUAUGUCCAGGUAUCAUCGCUACCAAAGUAUUAUUCUCAUCAUAUACAUUAAAAAUAGGAUUUUGGCACCUAAAAUUAAAUCGACAGCGCAACCAAGCGGCACUAGUAAUAUAUUACGUACAAAAAUACAUACAAUACAAUUUUGGUCAAUUACAGCCCAGACGAUUAAUCGAUUUAUAUGGUUCAACAAUGUGAUGUAUGACACAAGUUCCCAUUAAUGGACAGUCAAAAUUGAUACAAGCAAUCAAAGAUUAUUAGGUAGAGGAAGAAAAUCUAAGCUAUCUAACAAUGGGGCCGACUAACUAAUUAAGCUAAUGACACGUGCGUACUCAUGAGAUAUGAUUACAAUUAGAAGGACAAAAAAAAAAAAAAGAGGAGAGUGAAGUUUGACGUUAAUUUUGUUUUGGUCACACAGCUCAAAUCACAAAGGUCCCCAAAAAAAAAAAAAUGAGAGAGAGAGAAGAAGAGGGGUAUGUACGAGUGCAAAGGCCAAAAAUGCAUGUGAAGGUAGGCGGAAAAAAAAAAGGGGCCAGGGGCAGGGGGCAGGUGCUUGGCGUGAAGAAGAUGGAAACAAAACGCGAGAGUGGGGCUUGCCUACACCGCGCAUUGAAACACGGGGUAUUUUGUUUAGUUUUUAUUCAAAAGGAAAAGGAGCAGUCUAUAUCUAGAGAAUAGAGAAGCGCCAUUCGGUAAGAAGCGGCCCAACGGAACGCAAUUUCUUAUUAGUUUCAUGGUUUGCUUGCCAAGUUGUAGAAUUUUUUUCUUUCUUUUUUUUUUUUUGAAUUUUUGAAUUUUAUUAAUAGAAAUAGAAAGAAACUGCUCUUAUUAUUAUUAUUAUGAUCAGUAACACAAUAAUAAAUUAUUAAUAAAAUCAGUCGGGGUUGUUUGGUAAAUUUAGGGAUUACUGUCCGCUUUUAAUCUCUCCCCUUCCUUGUUUGCUCCAUAUUCUCAUCUUAUUUCAAGGCCCCUCUUCUCUCUCUCUCUCUCCCUUUCUCUCAUUGUUUGUUUUGGUGCUCGCCCUUGAAUCUCCUUCUCUUUCUCUUGCUUUUGCUGUUCUUAGGAGAGAAUAGAGGCCCGUUUAUCCGCAUUUAUUUUGCUUCUUUUUUUUUUUCCCCAUAUCGAUCGGUUGAUUCCGCUCAGGUAAAUCUCUCUUAUUUGUUUUCAUUCUUUUUUUUUUUUUUAAAGAAAAAAAUACUAGCGUUGAGUUAUUAUUUGCUUUGGUUUUUGAUUUAUAAAACCAGCUAGGAAAAAAAAUGCCUGGUUAAUAAUCAGCUCAUGUGUGGACGCGUCUUUGUUUAUCUGCUCACCUUUCUGGGUAAGAAAUUACGGGUCCACUGUAGCUCGUCUUGAAAUCCUUGAUUUUUUUUUCCUUUAUCUAAGUUUUCAAAACUUUUUAACGCUUUUGAGAUAAUUUUCAAUAUUUUAAUUCCAACUUCUGCUGUUGUUCCAAUAUCUGCUGCUGCUGUUGAUUUAUAUAAUGUAAUUGUUGCAUACUUGCGUUGGUAUGACGAUGUAGCUGUAAUGUUCUUGAUGUUUAUCCUUUCAAGGAAAAAUUUAAAAUUUUUUGAGCUUUGAUGAUGUACAUUUAUAUUUGUAUAUGUGGAUGCCCGUAUUGACAGUAAAAUAUUGAUUGAUUGAUCGAUUAGUUUUUCGGUUUACUUAGGCCACUACUGCUUUCUUAUGUUUCUUUGUGAAAUCGAUAAGCCUGUUGGCAUAAUCGAUGGCUGUUUAUGGUCCAUCUUACAGUCAUAUUCAUAUUCAUGCCGUUGCGGUCUAAUUGUAUGCAUGUCGAUGAAUGGAUGUAUGAAGUUUUUCAUAUUCAUAUCGUUAAAUCAAGCUGCUUGUGCAAUUAGGUCAAGUUGUCUUCUAUUUAAUGCCUUUUAUACGGCUGCAUCAUCUGGGAGUUUGUUUACCAGCAAAAAUUAAUGUUGUUCUCCUUGUUUUACUGUGGCAGGUUUGCUGUCUUUUUUUUGGAACGAUAAAGAGUAAUUUAUACGGAAACUUAUAUCUGCCCUGAUGCAAGGGCAAAGGGGUACUAUUGGUUCCUUGCCAGAAACCUUAAGCUUUGACCAUGGAUCUACCUCAACUUCUGCUGUUGAUCAACAAAUGUUCUGGAAUAAUAUGCGGAAUCCUCCAGAAAGUCGACCUCCAGAUAAUAUGCUAUCACCCGCCGGUACAAGGACAACCAUGACAUAUGUGAACUCAAUGAGUCAUGAACAGCAAAUGUCAACUGCUUGGAGCUUAGGUGAACCUAGCUCGCAUGGCCCCCAAAAUAAGGUUACCCAUGAUGAGCGGAGAACACAGCAUGGCUGGCAAUGUGAACCUACUAGUAGUAUGCCGGUGGAUGGCGCUAAUGUUAAUCCUAUGUUGGUGCAAAGUUCCAACUCCAAUAUGAUGUCCCAAAAUCUCAACUUAAAUGCAGGUUUUGUGAGUGAUGAUGGUGAUAAUUUUCAAGUCAUGGGAUGCCCUAAUUUACACAAGUCAGGCUCAUCAGUAGAUGAGCGGAUUCCACCUCCUGGUAGUUCUGAUUCUUUUCUACUGCCUUCAGGAAGUGGUGGAUAUCUGGCCGAAGAGAAUAAUGGUAGACCUGGUAGUUCAUCUGAGGGUGGUCGCCGUGCCUCUUGCAAAAGAAAAGCUCUUGAAGGAAAUGUCGAAAAUUCAUCUGUCGGUGGAACUUCUAGUUACUUUCAGCAUGCAGAAAGUAGUGCUUGCUCUGCUGUAUCUGCUUCUUACAAUGGAGGCAGCAGUUUAAGUAUAUCUGAUCCUUCUGGGCAGGUGAACUCAGGACGUGGAUUAGGUGUGAGAGGACCAGUUCGUGAUGGCCUUCCUGAAUGGCCUGUGGCAGGAAAUGCAGAAAGAUCCAGAAGAAACUACCGUGUGCGUAUACACCCUUCAAACCAGCAAAAAGUUAUGCCCUAUGCUCAAUUUCCAACAAACGCUGCAGUUAGACAUUCUAGUAUUUCAUCUACCCAAGAGUCAUCAAGACUUCCACCGAAUGAUCAAUCUUUGGACUCAAUGACAGCUCCAUCAGUCGAAAAUACAGGUCCUCAAAGUCAGCCUGUUCUAUUGCACGUACCCAUGUUUCCACAAAAUUUGCAACCAUUUCGGUGGGAUAAAGGUUCUAGCUCAAGGAGUGGAAGUUCAUCCAGUUCUAAUGGUGCCAGAGAUAGGGAUGUUCAACGCGAGGAAGCCAGACCAAGAAUAAUGGGAAGAAAUAUAUUGGAAAAUCCUAUGUUUAUUCCUGCACCUGAUUUGAGAAAUUUGGUUCGGAGUCCGGCAAAUAGAAGUUUAGCUGGUGGAAAUAUAAGUACACCAGGAAAUGUUGCUUCUUCAUCUAGAGCAGGUUCAAGUUCAGGUGUUCAUCCACCAUCUGCUCCUACAUGGGUUCCUCAUCCAAAUCCUUAUCAAUAUCCACGUAGGUUUUCAGAAUUGAUUCGCCGAUCAUUGACUUCUUCCUCUGGUUCUGAGUCUGCGGGGCAGAGCAGUAAUCAAACGCCACCGCGUUCAGUUCCGCUUUCCCCUGAAGAGAUGGUGCUUUCAUCUGGAGCUGGUAAUCAGAGGCAUCAUCCGUCUUACCCUAGGUCAGCAUCACGGUUGGAGAGACAAGACGGUGUACUUGGAUUUCCGCAUCCAUUGCGAGCUUUGGCUGCUGUCGGUGAAGGAAGAAACAGGGUUCUUGUAUCUGAGGUCUGUUCUUGAAUUUUCGGUUGUCUGGCUAUGAUGUUUUUCCCCUUAGAAUUUCGUUAUAAUUUAAUAUACUGAAUAUGGAUAACAUUUUGGUUGGUCCUUAUUAUAUCAAAAUUCUGAUCUGUUUCUACUGUGAUGGUCAUCAUAAUCUCUGCUUCCUAAGUUAAAAACUCAAAAGUUGUGAUGACUAAUGUUAUCUGUUGACUCAUAUAUUUCUUUGCUUUUCCAAGAUGAUGUAUCAUUUUCAUCCCACCUUUUCUAUCUGUGUAAUGUAUCUUUAGGAUCAUGUGUUUAUUCUUUAAAAAAAGAACAAAGAAAAGGGUGUACAUGAGGAAACUUUUCUCUGUAUGAUGAGGUCUCUUGCAUCAUCAAUGUCGGCAAGUGCUUUUCUUGCUUAGUUUCUUAUUUAUCAAUUGAGGCACUUUAGCCAAACAUUUCAAAUUGCUGCUGUCUGAAACUUAAAUUUUGUUUAUCAUUUGGACAUUCAUUGUUUUUCUAUUCCAUGUUUAGGUGUUGUAGCAAACACUAAUUGUUUCUCUUCUUUGUCUGUGCAUGCGCAUGCAUGUGUUCAUAUUUAAUUUGAAAAGUAAUCAUGUAUUAGAAAUGUUUCACUUCUUUUUUUUUUCCCCUCUCUUUUUGUGCCUACUGUGUUUCCUAAUUUCACUUUUUUCAAUGUUAUCCAAUACUAUUGGCAAAUGAAACAUUGAAUGGGAACUUAUAUUGUGUUAUCUUCAGCAGAUUCGCAAUGUGUUGGAUCUCAUGCGUAGGGGAGAGGGCUUGCAAUUUGAGGUUAGAUCUCACAUCUAUGUAUAUAUUAAUAGACAAAAUCACUAGCAUUCUAUGAUGACUAACAUAAAACAUGGAAAUACACAUAAUUUUAUUUUGUCUACAAUUCAGGCUUAUGUAAUUUAACAUCGGUAGCCAACUUUCUCUUUUUGGUUUAUGGAUGUUGAACCAAGUGUUAAAAGAGAUUAGGUACUUCUUUAUUUUGUUGAAAACAAGGUGGCUUGACAUUUGACUUUGUCCUUGUCUGUGCCAGGAUGUUAUGAUUCUUGACCAGUCAGUCUUUUUUGGGGUGGCUGACAUUAAUGAUCGGCAUAGAGAUAUGCGGCUUGAUGUUGAUAAUAUGUCAUAUGAGGUAUAAUUUGUACAAGGAUUUUUGACAUGUAAAUUCCAGCUUACGGAGAAUAUUUCGUUCAUAACACAAUGUUUGUUGGGAUUAUAGGAAUUGUUGGCUCUGGAGGAGCGCAUUGGAAAUGUGAGCACAGGAUUGACUGAAGAAACUAUCAAAAACCGUUUGAAACAGCAGAAAUAUUCAAUUUCCCUGGGAUCCCAACAGGAGCAAGAACCGUGUUGUAUCUGUCAGGUAAUGACUUGCUAUAUUCUGGUUGAUUCCAGUUUCCGUGAAUUUGUCAUGAAGUGAUUUUAUUUUCUUCAUUGUUUACCAAUGUAUUUUUUGCUUAAUCUUUGUUUUGUAAUGCACAGGAGGAAUAUAAUGACGGAGAAGAUACAGGAAUACUACAUUGCGGGCAUGAUUUUCACACCAGUUGUAUUAAACAAUGGCUGAUGCACAAAAAUUUGUGCCCCAUUUGCAAAACAACGGCCCUGUCCACCUCCUCAUAGAGGAACAUUAGUUUUGGGCUGUGGUUUCUCAAAUUGGAUGAUCAUGAAUUUGUUCAUUAUUGUAUUCCUAAACUGGUAGGCAAUGCAAUGUGCAACCUGCCAAUCCUAUGCAUCCUCGUUGAAGCUCGUCCAGGCCUCCCCUCUCCCGUAGCCAGAUCUUCCUCACCCCCCCUCCCCUACUUUUUCUCUCUGGCUAAAUUUUAUUUUCGGAAGCAAUCGAUGUUUGUAACCGAAGAGAGCAACUCUAGCCUUUAGUUUCUCCGUUUGCUAAUGAACAAUUAAUUUAAGUAAUGAUGCCCAUUGAGCAUUCAGAUUAAUGCAAUUAAAAUUUAUAUUACUUGUUCGCUUUUUUUAUUGUGGUAUUUCUUAAGAACAGAAAGGCUAGUCAAGCUUUGGUUGGUGUGAACUGAGAAUGAUACAUCAGUUAUUUAUUUUCCAUUCUAAUUGGAGACUGAUGUCCCAAAUUUUCCUGUAAAAGAGAGCUUAUGAAAGAGACGAUACACGUACUUGGACGUCUCAUCCAAUCAAAAAAUAAUUUUUCCCAGUCGGUGCAGGGGAUUGGGGAUCUCCUGAUCAUACCCUUCUGUUUUGUAACAUUUCUGAAGCAUGGCUUAUCGGUGUCGGGGAGAUCGCAUUUAGCGGGCUCUUGGCCGAAGGAUCUUUACUUCCAAAGGCUUCACGUCACCGAGCCCACUAACCAAGCAUGCCAUUUUUGAAAUGAGAAUGCGUGGAGAUGGAGGCCUAACCUUGUUGGUUACCUAGUUACUCGAUUUUUUGUUCCCAGCACGCCACAAAAGGUGACAUCGGGAAUUGCAUUCUUUUCGUGGCUUAAUUUCAGUGUAACCCUCUAUUUACUAAUCAACUUCAAAUCACCCCUUGCUUGGGUUGGAAUUGACAAUUGACCUUCCUUCAGUUGACUUGUGCAAGUACUUUUUAGCCAUUGACAUUUUACUCAGUACUCAAAAUUUUCUUUAAGAAGACAGCUCACCCUUAGUCCCCUACAAAUUAUUAAUUUUAAAAUAAAAUUAAUAAUAUUCUAAUAGACAAUCAGGAAAGUAAAAAGAGCUUUUACCUUCCCUAAAAAUUUAAAAAAAAAAAUAAAAAUAAUGAUAAUAGUAUUCUAAUAAAAAUAAAGAAGUAAAAGAAUUUUUAUUUUCAUCUUUUUCUUUCGCAUGUUUAAUUUUAUCUUUGAUUUUUCAGUUUUAACAUUUUUCUCUUUAAAAUUUCAAUAAUGUGCUACUUUGGUGCUUCUUAGAUACAAAAGCCACAAACAAAGGAAAAUUUUGAAAAGGAAAAAAAAAAAGACCAAGAUACAAUUUAUUAAUAUUUUUGCAACUAUCAUAGGCUGUCAUAAUGCUCUAUAUUAUUAAUCUUCUGAUUUUGUAGGUUUUGGCUACGUAGUCAAAAUUGGAGGAGGGAGUAAGUUAUGGCUGAUUAAGAUAGCACAAUCCGUAAUUUGAGGAAUACUUUUUUAUUAAUUUAAUUUUUAAAAUCAUUUAAGAUAGAAAUAAUAAUAAAAUGACAAAUUUACCUGUAGUUUAAAAUGUAAACGGAAGCAACUAACAGAUUAGGAUUGCGAUGAUGAUUUCAAAAAUUUUGGAAAUAAAUCGAUGUUUGUUAAAAUUUGAAGGGAAAAAGAGGAAAUUAACCCUCCUUUUGGUGCCUUAAUUAAUGCUUCGUUCAGAACAACGGUAGACGUUUGGUUGGAUAAGGCUGUGAAGUCUGAAAUCUGUCUGACUGUCUCUUUGACUUUCCCCGGCAGAGGUUAAAAACAAACCAAUUUUGCCUUUAUAAAUUGAGAAAUCACGGGGAACCAACUCUAAUUUCAAUUUAAUCCCACAUAAAAAUUAACAAAAGUUUAAAUAUUUUAAUAGAUUUUUUAAAGUUUAAAUUAAUGAUAAAUUAGAUACAAAAAUUUGUCCGAGUGAAAUUGAAGUGAGGUUUAUUAAUAGGGUGCAUAUUAUUAUUAUUAUUUUCUAAAGUAUUUAAAAAUUUAAUACUUUUAAAUAGCAUCUUUAUUCUCUAAGAAUUUCAACAUCAAAAAGUUCAAAAUUUAAUACUUUUAAAUUUCAGCGUGUGUUCAGAAAAUUAAAAGAUAUCAAAACUUAUUAUUAUUAUUAUUAUUAUUAUUAUUAUUUUACUUGUUUGGUUAUCACAAACCCAUUGUGCAACACAUUGGUUUUGGACCAAAAAGUCUCUCUUAAAACUAAUAAUAUAAAAACUAAAAUCAAAUAUUCACAACAACAUUAAAAAAACUAUGUAUAUAUAUAGAGUUUCAUGAAGCUUUCAACACCACUAAAAAAUCACUUUUUAAAUCAUUUAACCAAUGAGUGGAUUAUUGGCAACCCUCUAAAUGUCUCUUAACACCUCUUUUUUUAAUUAACCUCAUUAAAAUAUUUUAAAAUUUAUAAAAUUCUUUUAAAGCCUCCAUCAAUGAAAAAAAACUCUUAAUUAAAACUUAUUAGUGUACAUGUUAUUUAGUAAUUUUAUUUAUUUUUAUUAUUAAACCCCAUUUCAACAAUAAGGUUUCUUCCAUUUAAAAAAAAAAAAAAAAGGCAACCACUGAUGGAUGGUAAACUCCUCACCUGAAAAUUAGAGAAAAAAAGCAACUUUUUUAAUUUAUAAAAUGUUAGAUUUUUUUAAGGGAAAAGAAUUAUUUGACUUUUGAGUGGAGGUUUAAUUAGAAAUUGUCCUAUUAUGUAAUUUUAAUAAAUGUUAAAAUUAUCCUCCAAAAAAAGGUUAAAAUUGUAAACUAAUUAAAGGGAUUUUAAGAGGUAUUUGGAGGGGUGUCAAUAAUCCGGGUUAUGAUUCUCUCAUAAUCUGAUCAUGUCCUAAGCAAAUAACUCAGUUGCUGAUUGAUUGUUAAUAAAUGAAAAAGUAAAAGAAGUUAAAUCUUACCCAUACACUACCACUAAAAGACACAUAUCAAAAGAUUUUUAAAAGCUCAGUAAUGAUCAGACCAGGAGAGGAUCUUGUUCCCAAUAAUCCCACUCUUAACCAAUUACUAGUGUUUGAUAUGUUGGAAUUACUCUUAUGAUAUCAAAGUGCUUUAACAAUCAACUAAAAUAAAGUAUCAUAUGAUGAAUUCUUAUAUAUGAAAAAAGUUCGUGAUGAUUUUUCUAAAGUAUUUUGACUAUUAAUCAUAAUCAAAAGAAAAAGGAGUAUAAAUGACUUUCAAAAAAUUAAAAAAGAAAAGAAAAGAAAAAAAAAGGAUUCAUUAAUGCAUAAUGGGGGGAUGGGGAACAUAUAAGGUGGUAGAUCUGAGAUAUAACAGAAAAUUCGGGGGGAAAAUAUAAAAGCGAAGUAAUAGGUAGGAAGAAAUUGAAACCGAAGAAAUUGAAACCGAAGAAAUAAUGUAAUUAGGGCGGGAGAUUAAUCAAAUUUGAUUAGAGAGAGAGAAUGCUGUUAAAAAGAAACAAAUACGAAAAGCCAACAAAAGAGCACAGAAAAAGAGAGAGAGAAAGAAAGAAACAGCACCCCGGGGGCACAAAACCAGAGGAAGAGAAACCGAAGCGAGAGCAGCAGAAACACUCUGUCUGCGUUGCACUUUACUAAAUCAAACAAAACCAUUCUCUCUCUGCUGAUUUGUUCUUUCCUUUUCCUUGUCCUUUUCUUUUUCUUUUAAGUUUAGUUUUCGAAAAUACAAUUAUCUUCUGCAAAUUCAUGGCCGAUCUGUACGGAACAACGCCGCCAACUGCCGGCCACGAACCAGAAGAAAUCUCUUCAUUUUUAAACCAAUUUAUACACAAUUCAUCGUCGUCGUCGUCUUCUUGUUUUUUCGCUCAGCCGGAGGAUCGCCACCCUUUCGGCCGAUCGGCUGACCCCUCUGUUCUCGACUCUUCUUCUGCUGGUCUCAAUUUCUCUAAUUUGGUCGUCGGUGCCGUGGACUCCGAUACCAAUGAUAGUGAGGUAGUUUUGUUUGUUUUAUCUUUUUUUUUAAAAAAAAAAAGUAUAAAUAUUUUUAUUUAAAAAAAAAACUCUGAAGUUUAUUAUUAUUACUAUUAUUUUGAAUGUAGAAGGGUCCUGAUGCAUUGGAGGUGCCAUCGAACGACACGGUUCGAACUAAAACGUCGUCUAAACGGAGCAGGGCUGCUGAAGUUCAUAAUCUGUCAGAAAAGGUUUCCCUUCAAGCUUGAAUUUUCUUUUUUCCCCUUUGUACUUUUAAAAGUGGAAUUUUUACUUUAUUUAUUUGUUCAUGGACUUUGUUGAUGUGUAUGGUUUAUUGUUUGGAAGAGGCGGAGGAGUAGAAUUAAUGAGAAACUGAAAGCUCUACAGAACCUAAUUCCCAAUUCUAACAAGGUUGUUAUUUUUGCUCUGUGUGUAUUUAUAUAAAUAAUUUUCGCCUUGAUUUUUUUCUUCAAAUAUAUUUUCUAGCUAAGGUGAAUGAUUGUUUGGUGUUGUACUUGUAUGAUAAUAGACUGACAAAGCUUCAAUGCUGGAUGAGGCUAUCGAAUAUCUCAAGCAGCUUCAACUCCAAGUACAGGUCAGUUUUCACUUUUCAUUUAGACAGAAACAUGAGAUUAGGAUCUUCUGAGGAUGAUGUUGCUAGAACUAGAACUUUGUCUUUUCUGACUGAACUAUAGUGUGCAUAAAAAUUGAUUUAAAUUAAUUUCUGGUUCGGAAUUUGAAAGCAAUCUCGACGUUUACAUGAUUACCAUCAGCUUAGCACCCUCCAUGGCAGUUGAAAAUUGCUCUACACAUAACCACAGGAAUGAGUUUACUAGUGAAUAUAUGUUGCAUUUCACGUUGUGAUUGAUGGUAAAUUAUCCCAAAUACCUCCCUGUGUGUCUUAGUAGUUGUUAGCUAGUUCACUUUCCGUAGCAUGCCAUUAUUAGCCACAGUCAACGAAUCAAGUCAUAAAUUAGGAACUAUCUUGUCCUUUGUUUCAGUGGGUUCCUUAGGGAUCAGUUUGGGGAGCUAAUAGAUAAUUUUGACCAUCCCAGCCCAUGGUCAUCAGAAUCUAUGAGAUAUUUUAUAAUUCUAAACUCACGCAUUUGUUUCUAUCCAUAUUUGGGUUUGUGUGAGUAAAUCCCUUGUUUCCCAAUUCCAAUUUUUCUUGUCUUCUAUUUUUGGAUUUUCUCAGCACGUUUCCUGCAGUCCGUACUCGCGUAUAACAGUCUGGAGGACCAAAUUAUUUUUAACCAUCAGAAUAUGAAGUUUUUAUAAGUUGUUAGAUGUUGAUUUAGUAUUUCCUUUUUCAGACUGGAUCAAAAUACUAGCUUUUGGUGCAUUCACUUGCCUUCAGAGCAAUAGUGUACUUCAUUUUAUCACUAUCAUCUACCUGUACAACGACUAUAUAAGCCCAAGAACUAAAGGUGAAUGUGUCAUUCUGUUUAUAAGAUUCUUUGUUGCAUCAAGUUUCUAGUAAUAACUUGGUAGUAGGCUGCACUAGGACUAGUUAUUAAAUCAGGAUUGGAUUUUGUGUUGCCCAGAACUCUGUUCCUGUUACUUCUUCACUUAACACAGAGAGCAGUAAAUAGCAACAAUAGUUAUCAAAAUUCAAUUUUUUGCUUUAUUGUGAUUGGUUCACAGAUGUUAACAAUGAGAAAUGGAUUGAGUUUGCACCCAAUGUGGUUACCAGGAGUACUACCAUCUAUGCAACUGCCUCAGAUGGGAAUGGUAUUUGAUGAGGGUAAUGGACUGUUGAAUACCGAUGGAGGAACCGAAACAUUUUCUGCAAAUGAAGAAAGCUCGGUGCAAACUGGUUUUAAUCUUUCCAGCCAAUGUACCAUCUCUGAUCAGCCAGUUGCCUUACCUUCAGCAGCAAAUAUUAGCACAUCAGAAACUGCAUUUGGACUUGAACCACUGAUUCAGGCUCACUAUGGACCCUUCACUCUCCCCUCUUCUUCCAAGGUAAACUAUACUGUGAGUAACUAGUGAAUUCAUCUCUGUUCUAGGAUCUAACAAAUGCCGAUAUUUCUUGCAAUAUGAAGGAAAUCUGCAGUGAAGGUGCACCUCAUCUGCAUUUGGAUAUGAAUUUCAAUGGAAAGAACUCAUCUGGCGUGUCGUAGCCAAGAUCUUUAUCCUCAAAGAUGUAGCGUAUGACACAAUAGCCACCUUCUUAAAGAGUUGCAAUUGGUCAAACACCAUAGAAACUGCAAAUAAUCCUAAAAAUUGCUGACGUUUCACAGUUAAUCAGCUUUCUUAUGUCGCAAGCCACAACAGUUUGAACUGUUGACAUCUGUUUAACUUAUAUAAAAAUCUAUUUCAGAAGCAUAUGGAGUCUUAUCAAUGACGGAACCAAUUUUUUUUUGUAUAUUGUGCGGAUGCUUCUAUUAUGCCUUGUAUGAACUGGAACUGUGUUUGAUGGAUUUUGAAGAAAAUGAAGAAGAAAAUUUUCCAAUGUGAUGUGCUGAAAUACAAAUCUCUUAUGGUGAUCAUUGAUCAACGCGUACAAAAGUUGUAGAAGAUGAUGAUGCCUCCUGAUGUCAAACUUCUUGAUUGAGACCUAAAUUUUUUCUUUCAACUUCCAUUAGGAUACAUUGAAAUGAAAAAUCAAGGUAAAUGAAAAAUUAAAAUUUCAACAUCAAUCCAACACAAAUUCUCAAUUUUAAGUAUAAAAUAAACAAGUUCAUAUAAAAAAAUCAUAAAUUAAUAUCUAAAAAUAACAAUUAUCAUUCAACAUAAAUUCUAAGAGAAGAUGUUCAUUUCAUUCACCUCCAUUAGCACCCAUCCAAUACGAUUCCUAUAAUAAUAAUAAUUAAGAUUAAUAUUUUUUAAAAAAUAAUACUUUUUAACUAUUAAUCAGAGGAAUAAAAAUUAUAAUGAUGAAAUAAUCCAUGUAUUAAGUUAAAGAAUAAUAAGUCAUGCAAAAUUAUAAUAAGUAUAUAAUAAUCUAUGUACUAAGUUAAAGCAUGUUAGGACUAGGCAUGUUGCAACUUGCGUUGGCACUUUACAUCAUUUACUUUAUAUAUUUUUAAAUUCAAAUAUUUUUAAAAAAUUGUCGGUUGACGGAUAUUCAUGCGGGUAUCCGUAAGAUAUUUGGUUAAUACCAAACCUACCGACAACUUAAUGCAGGUUUAGAUUUAUAAUACUAAACAUGCCCGCAAUCUACAAAAUUAUCCUGUAGUGGACAAGUUUUGACAAUUGGGUUUGGACAGAUUCAUGAUUUUGCGGGUACCAUAUUGCCAUCCUUAGGCUCUGCUGGUUGUAGCGCAAUCCUUGUGACCACAAGCUUUUGAGAAAAUGAUGGGCUUCAGGCUACUUUUGCGUCGCACUAACACGAAGAGGGACGAACAAAUCUACACGCCAUGUGCAACAGAUUCAAUGAAAGAGAACAAUUAUAACUGCUCUCGCGAAGUACCAACAAGUCAUAAAUUUUAUGUUGCCAUUAGGAGCGGUAGCGUUUUCAAGUAUGGUGACUUACAACUUUUGACUUAUUUGUGCUUGCACAAUAACAAUACCUUCACACUAAAAUCAAGCUAAUUUAUUGCCGACCAUUGUGAUUGUGAAGUAAGUUUCUAAGCGGUCAUUGUGUACACGGAAUGCGAAUCCUUGUUGAAUUUUUUAUUAAAAAAAAUUCUAGGAGAAGUCUUGUGCGGGAAAAUUUUCACCGUGUCAUCUAUAAGGCGUCUAAUAAAAGCCUUACUACGUAUACUUUCAUUUGAAGAGCAAUCAAUCAUCAAAUUUGUAGGAUGAGUGAGAAAAUUAUAAGUGCACGUUACAACUUGUUCUCGCUUCCCCGUAUAUGGUUGCCCAGUUUAUUGAUUUUUUAUGACAAAUUGGUAACUUACAUCCUCUAAACACAUGUUGCCAUAUUGGUAAACUUAAUACUGAUAUGGACAUCCCCAUAUUAAAGGUGAAAAUUUGUCCCAAUUAACUUUCAAAAUAACAAAUUUAGCAUUCAAUUGACAAACAUUAAAAAGAGUACUGGAUCGUUAUUUCAAGUAUGACUUAUAACGAGUGUGACAGCUGUUACGAAAAUGAUUGAAUUUAUCAAAAAUUCAAAGAUAGGGAGUGAUCUUAGAUUGAAUGGCCAUAUGGGUGAGGACUUCCCUUAGUAUAACAAAUUCCGGAGACUGGAGCGGAAAAGAUCAUUUGCUUGAACUAAUUUUGAAAAGAGACAAGGGGUGGCAUCAUCAAAUUCAAAUGGGUGGUUUGUUAUGAUAUUUAAUUUUAAAUAAUGAGUUGAUCUAUCUCUUAUGGAUGGUAGAUCAGAGGGAGUUAGUUUCAAAGUCAUGAUUGUCAUUCAGAUACGAACAAAAAACUCCAGCUUUAGCAGUCGUACAAUAGAGCCAUUCUUCAGAGAAUCUUAUAAAAGUUUUUGAGAGUUACGGAUAAAUGCAAUCACCUCCAGACUAGAGAAAGUUUCUGAAACUGAAACUUUUGCGUCUUAUGAAUAUGAAUAUUAAAACAAAGAGAUAAGAGAGAAAGACAAGGAUUCUCCAAAAGACCAAAGGCGCUAAAUGGCGUGGUUUCUUGUAAUUUUUUUAAACGAUAACGGCCAUUGCCAUAUUAUCAUGGCUUGUGCUGCGGUAUCACGCGAUGCCCUCUUCGAUUUCACCCUUUUACUUCACCUAAAUUAUCCAACUGCCACACACUUUAAUUUUGCACCCAUUAUUCCACGCUUUUCUACUAACUGGACUAUUGUUUUAGAUUAACAAGUAACGUUAAUUCUAGUCAUUCAUGGAAUUUUGAAAGCAAUGACAUUAUGUCAGUGUCAUAAUUUAAACUCGGCAUAUUUGAGAAAGGUGAGUGUUGUAAAUAAACAAGUGAAGGAGGGUUGGCAAAGUAAAAAGUGUAAGAUGGCCGGUUUAGAAAUCUUGACUGGCACGCACGGGCUGAGCGUACUUAUCCGUUUUUGUUUGGAAACCAAAUAACGGCAUUGUCUGUCUCAUGAUUGUAUUUUGGUCACAAAAAAAUAAAAUAAAAAUAAAUAAAACUAUCACACUUCCGCCAACUUUUUUCCUUAUAAGAAAGAAAUGCAGACAAAUCUAUGCUUGCAAAUCGUCUUGUCAAGUGCCCCAAAGCAAAACAAUUUGCGGGUUAAUUCUAGUUUUGAUGUUUCUGGUGUUUCCAGCGGUAGUGAAGAGAAAAAAUUAGGUUAGAGACCAUGAAACAGCCUGAUAAUUCAAGGACUCAUAGCCCCACGACGGCCGAAAUGGAAACAACACCAGCAGAAGCAGAAGAACAAGCACGAGCACAAGUGGGUAAAAAGAGAAGUAGAAAUAUUGGAAAGGCUGUAAGCGGAGGUGAAUCGGAGCACGAGAUGCAUAUAUUGACUGAGAGAGAAAGAAGGAAGAAGAUGAGGAACAUGUUCUCUAAUCUUCAUGCUUUGCUUCCUCAUCUUCCUCCCAAGGUAUUCGAUUUACAAACUCUUGCUCUUUCUCGCUCACUUCAAAUUUUAUCAAAAUUUUGCUCCCAUCAAGAUAUAUUAUACCCUAACUAUAAUAUAGUGUUACUAUACAUAUGAGUUAGGGUUACUAAAAUAUAUAUACGAUCAAUGGGCAGCUUCUUCAAAUUGAAUCAUUGAAAUUUUCUUAGUAUAACCUUUUGAUAUGGGAUUUCGUAUUGGAAAAACAUGAAGAUGAUAAUAAUUUUCCAAGUUUAUUAUGUAUAUUUCACUUCAUCUAUAUAUCCAAAAUUGCUUGGAUAAGCAGUCCUCCUGUUAUGCUUGGGGACAAUUUUAUGUAAGAAGUUCCAACUGCUAGCAAGGCAAAGUUGAUCUCGGCCGAAGGCAAAUGUAAUAAGACUAUAAAAUAUAAUACGCCAAAAAGCCUUGUUCUCUCUCCUUUAUAUAUUUAUAUAUGUUGCAUAUGAAUGAACCAUGCAUAACUUGAGCCAGCCUCAGUCGUCAAAUUGUGAUUGUAACUUCGAGUCUACUAAUUUGAAAUUUCUAAUUGAAUUAAUUUAUCAGAUGGCAUACUUGACGACAGCGUUUCAAACUUUCAGUCGCUUUGGAUGAUGCAUUUUGCAUUAUCGAUAGCUUAAUUGGAGCAUAAAUUCAAUGCCUACCAUAUAGCUGAAUGUUUAUUAUAAGGUUUCAAAUUAAAAUUUGCAAUUAAACAAUUUCAUACAUUAAUUUCUCAACGUUAGACAAACAUCGCUGAAUGAUGCUUUGGAUGGUCAUUAUAUUGUGCUGGUAAAAUGCCGACUGAUCUUAAUUUUUUUGUCUCUUGAAAUUUCAAUGAUCUGCAGGCAGACAAAUCCACCAUUGUUGACGAAGCAGUAAAAUACAUUAAGACUCUUCAGCACACUCACCAAACGCUUGAGAAACAAAAGUUUGAAAAGGUCCAGGGUGCAACUACUGUUGAUCAUGAACAAUCAAUUAUCGCAUCACCAUUAGAAGCAGUGGUCGAAUCAAGGGAAGCAUACUUGGCUGAUCAUCUGGGAUCAUCAGUACCGAAGAACUUGUCAAUGGCCGCAAACAUUCAUCAUUCACUACAAGUGCCAUCUGAUUGUUUUCAGACAUGGUUUUCUCCAAAUGUAGUAGUGAAUAUGUGUGGUGAUGAUGCUCAAAUCAGUGUCUGUUCACCAAGGAAGCCAGGGUUAUUGACCACCAUCUUCUACAUACUAGAAAAGCAUAAUUUGGAUGUGGUAUCUGCUCACGUUUCCUCUGAUAGGUAUCGUAGCAUGUACAUGAUUCACGCUCAUGUAAGUCCUAUACAUAUCAACUUAAUUAAUUAGCUUUCUUCAUAUUUAUAGCAAAUUUUGUAUUUUAGCAUUCAGUUGAUCAAUCCAGCUAUUGAUGCUCCAAUAAGUGGACAUGUAUAGAUUAGAUGAUUUAAGACCUGCAUACAUAGUAGGUAGGAGUUGAAGGCAGUUAUGUUUAUGGCAUCCACGAGGCUGAUUCUUUGCUAAGAUUUAUCACUUUUCAUUCCCAGGCUAGUUGUUACUGGUCACCCUUAAGUUAAGGACAUAUCUUAAGCAAAUCAAGUUCUCCAAGAAAAUUUAUACUGUACCCUUCCAUUACACUUCCCUCUGUUCUGAUUACCUUUUUCUCUUUUAGGGCAUAUCUGUACUGUUAAUUAUAUUGGUUAUUAAAGUAAAGGAAGAUUACUAGAUAAUGACUAUAUAUAUAAUUGGCUGUAAUUGUUCUUUUCUUAACGGAGUCUUCUUAAUAUAAAUAUAUCAGGCAGGUGGAGCUUCUGAUCAAUUUCCAGAGUCCAUAUCGGUUGAGGAAAUGUUCAAACUAGCCGUAGGAGAAAUGAACUUAUGGCUUCUGACGUGUUGAUUCUAAAAAUUUCUCGGUUAAAAGAAGCUACCAGUUGAGGAAAGCAAUAUUGGGCCUUCGGUUAAAAGUGGGAGUUCUUUUGAUUAAUUACAAAGGAAUUGGCGUAUACUUGUUUUUUUCCGUUUUGUUUCCUUUAUGUUAUAUGUUCCAUAUUAUUAGCUGCUAGAAUUAGGCAAGUAUAGAUGAUGCUCCUUUCUACAAAAAAAAAAAAAAAAAAAAAAGGAUUUCCAUUAAUGUAUAUAAACAGUAGAUCAAAGCAUACGCGCAAGUUCGGUUACUCUCUUCUUGAAUUUGCUUGUAUAAAUACAAGUUCGGUUACUCUCUUAUUGAAUUUGCUUGUAUAAAUACAAGUUUACUUUUGGGAAAUUUACAAAAAUGGCCAUAAAACUUUUUUAUUUUUCAAUUUUAGCCCUUCAAAGUUUUUUCUAUCAUAACUAACCAAACACCCUAUGUUUGGACUACAUUACCCUCAUCACUUUCAUCAAAUUUAUAAAGUCAUGCCACUUUUUCAAUUCCAGUACAAGUAAAUACGGAUCUUCCUCAACAACUUAACAAACCUUCAUCACUCUCCACAAACUUCAUCAUUCUCGAUAAAUCAAUUGCAUAAUUGAAUAUAUAAUCAUCAAUGGGAGAGCUUCUUAAAAUUAGUUUAUGCUCUUACAUAAUGUAAACCUUUAAUUUAUUGAUUUUAUCAACUAAGUUCGAAAUUAAAGUGGGUUUUGUGGCAAAUAUUGUUAUUUUUCAUUCAUAAAACAAUGUGAUUUGUUAAAGUACUUAGUUUGAGUUGAGAAAUGAAGAAAAAUCAUUGAAAACACAGAAAAAUCGGGCAAAAAAAUGAAAUUCAGAACAAGUGAGACAUGCAAGUGGGACAGGUGCAUGUCUCACAUAAACGCACUGCAUUUAUGUGCGAUAGGCACCUGUCCCACUGCCUAUCGCACAUAAACCCACGGAUUUUAUGGAAUACAUGAUUUUGGAUUUGAUUUGUCUCGUCGUAAGCUUCGAAACGGUAUAUUAUACGCCUAAAACGGACAUAUAUAGCUCAAGUUAUGGCUUUCGAAAUAUAUAUGAAAUUUAGUGAGACAGACACAUGUCCCACUUGUAUGUCUCACUAAAUUUCAUAUAUGUCUCGAAAGCCAUAACUUGAGCUAUAUAUGUCCGUUUUAGGCGUAUAAUAUACCGUUUCGAAGCUUACGACGAGACAAAUCAAAUCCAAAAUCAUGUACUCCAUAAAAUCCGUGUGUUUAUGUGCGACAAGCAGUGGAACAGGUGCCUGUCGCACAUAAAUGCAGUGCGUUUAUGUGAGACAGGCACCUGUCCCACUUGCAUGUCUUACUUGUUCUGAACUUCAUUUUUUGCCCGAUUUUUCUGUGUUUUCAAUGAUUUUUCUUCAUUUCUCAACUCAAACUAAGUACUUUAACAAAUCACAUUGUUUUAUGAAUGAAAAAUAACAAUAUUUACAACAAAACCCACUUUAAUUUCGAACUUAGUUGAUAAAAUCAAUAGAUUAAAGGUUUACAUUGUGUAAGAGCAUAAACUAAUUUUAAGAAGCUCUCUCAUUGAUGAUUAUAUAUUCAAUUAUGCAAUUGAUUUAUCGAGAAUGAUGAAGUUUGUGGAGAGUGAUGAAGGUUUGUUAAGUUGUUGAGGAAGAUCCGUAUUUACUUGUACUGGAAUUGAAAAAGUGGCAUGGUUUUGUAAAAUUGAUGAAAGUGAUGAGGGUAAUGUAGUCUAAACAUAAGGUGUUUGGCUAGUUAUGAUAGAAAAAAACUUUAAAGGGUUAAAGUUGAAAAACGUAAAAAUUUUAUGGCUAAUUUUAUAAAUUUCCCUUUACUUUUCCAUUCGACAUAGUGACAGGCUGCGAUCAUGGGUCCAAGUCCAACAGAGUCCAGCAGGCUCAGGGGUGCUUUAUCAAUAGCAGUGGACCUAAACCAGACAGCACAUUUGAUGUUAAGACUUGACAGUGCACUUUGUCACAUGAAGAAAUAUAAAAAACGCAACGAAUUAAGAAUAGAAAUAAUUCCAAAUGUGUAAAUAAUAUAUUCUUUGAUACCACUGACCUAAGACCGCAUGAGGCAUCUAAUGGAGGGCAAUUAUUAAAGCAACAAUAGUCAAAGACCUUUUCCCCCUACAUAAAGAUAUUUAAAGUUUAAUCCUUAAAUUAAACUAAUAAUGCUCCUCCGCCUGUUCCCAUUUCAUUUCUUUCUAUUUCAUUCAUCCCAAUUCCCACAAUAAAAUACGUUGUGAAUAAGAUAUCAAAUUCCACAAACGUAUCUCAGACUAGAAACUCCACUGUGCAUGGAUUAGAGAAAUGCAUUUAGGUCACAAAAAAACACUAAUGGGUAAUGGGGUUUUAUCUCCGUUCUAGAAGUCCCAUCAUGCCAGCUCUGUCUCUCAAAACAAAAAUGACCUCAUUCAACAUCAUCUCUGCCCGCUGCAGCAAGUGCUAGUCCCAACAAAAUACGACACACCACACUCUGUCUCUCUGUUUCUUGUUUUCAUGAAAUUAGGAGCCGAAAUUUGACUCACAAAGGGCUUUGCUGCAAUGUCUCAUUACUCGUUCUUGAACGAUCAGCUCUCUAAGAGAACCUCAAUUUUCGGGUUACGUUUAUGGGUUGUUCUUGGUAUUUGCGUAGGAGCUGGAAUAGUUCUAGUUCUCUUCCUCAUAUCUCUUUGGUUCACUUCAAAACGCAAUAGCAACAACUCAAAACGACAGCUCAACGCUGCCAAGUCAUCCUCUCUCUGCAGCAACUACAACAGCAGCAGCGGCAACCCAACAAUUCCAAACAUUUCCAAAGAAAUUCAAGAAAUCCGAAUCGACCCGGACUCCAACUCGAACUCCAACUGCAAACCUCAUUCCGCGCCAAAUCCUGACCCGUUACCCGAACCGGAGCCAAUUUUGGUUGAAGACAGCCCCGUUAGCGGCCGCAACAGAAUUCACAUCGAAAUAGGGAAAGACCACCGGAUUGCUUACCCGGAACGGGCCUCCGGGUCGCAUCACGGGUCCGGUGAUCAGACGGUGGCUGCGGCAAUUACGCCGGAGGUUUCACACCUGGGAUGGGGCCAUUGGUAUACUUUGAGAGAGCUUGAGGUGUCCACUAAUGGGUUUGCUGAUGAGAACGUGAUUGGUGAAGGUGGUUAUGGAAUUGUUUACCAUGGCGUGUUAGAGGAUAACACCAAUGUUGCUGUUAAGAAUUUGCUUAACAACAGGUGCUGGAUGCACCUUUUGUUUUUGUAAGUUUAUGUUUUGCUAUUGCAUGUGGCUUUUGUUGAAGAGUUUGUUCUGGUUUGCGACAGGGGACAGGCUGAGAAGGAGUUUAAGGUUGAAGUGGAAGCAAUUGGACGUGUCCGACAUAAGAAUUUGGUGAGAUUGUUAGGUUAUUGUGCUGAAGGAGCUCAUAGGUACUUAAGUUUGAUAAAUUCUGAAUCUUUGAUUGGUUUUACCUAUUUGCAUGCUUGGACUUUCCGUGGAUGUCUAACAUUUAAAGAUUUGUGAAUAGCUAUUAUCUCAUGAGCUUUCAUGGCUUCAGUUGAAUGUAAAUGCUUGGUCGUUGUAGGAUGCUUGUUUAUGAAUACAUUGACAAUGGCAACUUGGAACAAUGGCUUCAUGGAGAUGUGGGGCCUCACAGCCCUCUUACAUGGGAGAUUCGGAUGAAUAUAAUACUUGGAACGGCCAAAGGGUGCAUUUUGAUUUAAGUGAAAGUAACCAUAUUAGCUUCAAUCUGUCUUAUAUUAGUUGCUUGUAGCUUAAAUGUGAUGAAAAUGUACAGGCUGACAUACCUGCAUGAGGGGCUUGAACCAAAGGUUGUUCACCGUGAUAUCAAGUCAAGCAACAUUUUGCUCGAUAAGCAGUGGAAUCCGAAAUUAUCCGACUUUGGCCUAGCAAAGCUUUUGGGCGCAGAGAGGAGCUACGUGACAACUCGUGUGAUGGGAACAUUCGGGUUAGUUGAAUUAAUCUUUGUGAAAACUGCUUUGUCACUUUAUUUUUGAACUUGUUGGACAACUGAUCUAGGCCAAGGAUUAGAAUUACGACUAUCUGGUUCUGUUUUAUAGGUAUGUGGCACCAGAAUAUGCUAGCACUGGGAUGUUGAAUGAAAGAAGCGAUGUAUACAGUUUUGGUAUCCUUAUCAUGGAAGUAAUUUCUGGAAGAAAUCCAGUGGAUUACAGCCGCCCUCCAGGGGAGGUAUGUAUUCCUCAAAUGAAUAGCUUGAUGACAUUGUCCUAUUGUUCCUCUUUCUUUUUGAUUUGUUGUGUCAAGUUCUAAUUUCAGGUGAAUUUAGUUGAGUGGCUCAAAACAAUGGUCACAAAUCGCAAUGCAGAGGGUGUUUUGGAUCCUAGGUUGCAAGAGAAGCCUUGUUCAAGGGCAUUGAAGCGUGCUCUUUUAGUAGCUUUACGCUGUGUGGACCCGAAUGCUCACAAGAGGCCCAAGAUGGGGCAUGUGAUACAUAUGCUUGAAGCUGAAGAGUUCCCUUUCCGAGAUGUAAGUUUUGGUCAUGUCAUCGGCAUAUUAUUUUUUCUAAAGGCACUUCUGUAUUCAACUCUGGUUAUGCAGUUAUACCUGUUGAAAAUUUUCCUUUUGCAUGUGUCCUUGUUUUUACAUUGAACCUGGUCCCUUACAUUGAUGCAGCUGUGAUUGUUAGACUUUCAAACAAGUAACAUAAACAUUUCUUGAGAAACUGGAUAGUAGAUCCUCAUGAUCAUCACUAUAGUUUCUAAUGGAUGUCUGUUUGUACUUGUUUUACCUGGAUCUGGUGGGGUAAGAGAAUGCAAGAAACUUUUUUUUUUAAUUAUUAUUAUCAUUAUUUGUUAUCAUCAUCAUCAUCAUCAUUAUUAAUUUUUUUUUUUUUAACUAGAGAAUGCAACAAACUUGAGAUCGACUACUUGGGUUGAACUAUCAUAUUAGACCAAUGACACGUAUCCUCCCUAAAGUUUGGUUUUAGUCAAAGGUCAUUUAAGGAAAAAAAAAACACUCUUAUAAUGCAGAUUUUGAGUCAAUCUUGAACACUAAUGGAAGAAAAACUCAUGAUGCACCAAUUGUAUGGGGAAAUGGGGUAGCUGAGCUCCAGGCCCUCCAGAAUCCAUUAGAGAGAUAUUUUAAUGCAAAUUGUGGUCAGACUGAAAGCAAUGGUGAAUUUUCAUUUUCUACACAUUGAUAAGCACAUAGAAAACAUAUUUACACAUUAAUGGGAUACAUGCUUGCUCACAUUUAUCUUGGUACUUAAUCCAAGAUUAUCAUCUUUUACCAUGUGACUUCAGGAACGUAGAGCUGGAAGGGAACAUGGACGCUCGCCGCAUAAUGGUAUUAAGGGUAGGUUGAUGGAGAAGGGUGUAAGCGAAUCAGGUGAUAGCAGUGGAUAUGAAAGUGGUGUCCAAACCAACAAGCCAUUAUGGAGAAAGCUAGAACCUGAAGAGCAGUAGCCUUCCCACAUUCUGUAUAAGGUGAAUUGACACACCUUGGUUUCCCCCUUAGCCAGGUUUAGUUGGCUUAUGCUAAUAUUAUUCUGCCUGUAUAUGUAAUUCACAUUUGUGAGCUUGUCUGUUUCUCGAGUCUGUGGUAUUCCCUGUCCUGCUUUUUGGCAUUCUAGUUGAUCCCUGAUCUUUCUUGCUAAAUUCAAUGUCUGGAAAUUCUGAAGAAUGUGAUAUUGCUGAAAAUCUUUUUGUUAGUCAAUGAUUGUUUAUAUAGAUAGCAAGAAGUUGAAAUUUACUCAUAUCCUGCUCUGCUCUGUAUACUAUUUUAAUGCUGUGCACAUGCGCGCUCUAUAUAUUGCGGUCUUUCCAUUUUAUUUUUCUGUAUGCUAUUUUUUCUCUUCAGUUUUCAUUCUCUCUGCCAUCAGUAGACUGCUAGAAUUGAACAAGUAGAAAGGAUUGUGUAUAAAUCAUUUCUUAGGAGGAUGAAACGACUUUGUUCUUUUCAUUUCUCCCCACUUUGACACCCACGUGUUGAAAUACACGCUCAUGUUAUCUGCGUGUAAUUUUUUUUUUGGAUUUCAAAUUUUGAUUAUAGUUUGUGUCACCGACGAUAAGGACAUAUGAGAGAUGUUCAGUCAAUGGAGAAAAAAUGCAGGUAGAAUGGUAGAUCCAUUCUAGCUUAUAUUAUGAUUGAGAUUUGAACGUUCAAAGUAUAUUCCCUAUUAAGACAAAAACUUUUUGUGUCUGUUCGUUGAGGGUAGAUUAUGGUUUGGGGCCUACGAUUCACAUGCCUAAUACUACAGAUAUUACUAGUUUCAUAGACUUUUAAGGAUGUGGGGGCUCGUUUGGGACGAGAAAAAUCUUCCACAGCUAGUUGCCUAGAGAUGUACAAAUUGGCCUUAAAUCUUUGGACCCCUCCAUAUUUAUAUUAAAUUUUGCUGGUUCUGGCGGAUUAGAAAAUUUACCUCUCAUGACUCACCCACUCCCAGUCAUCAAUCUAUUGUUCUCGAUCAAAUCAGUUCCUGGGCUGGUACUGGCUUCUACAUUUUUCCACUUUUUGGUGGCUUUAAACGAUGCAUCGCUUUUCUUCUUUUGACGCUAUCUGUAUUUAUUGACUUGUUCAAAACUGUUUAACCAGUCCCUGAAAUAUAUGUAAAAUAAGUCGGCAGAGCCAGAGCUUGAAAUUCUCUUCAGUCGUCUGUCUCUUUGUUCACAUUUUAGCUACUCCGUCUAUUUUUACAUUUUUGGGUCAUCCUACUAUCCUACAUUUGAGCUUUUACCACUACCCGUUGUACAUUAAAUUAAUUUGUUUAUGCUGAAUGAAAAAUAUUUAAAAAAGAUUAAAAAUAAAGAAAAUCAUAAAUAAUCAACAUAAAAAGAUGUUGAAUGAUGCAAAAUAUGUAAUAAAUUUUAUUUAAAAUAUAGUAAAAUGAACUGUGAAAAAAUUAUGAAAUAAUCAUAUUCUUACACUUUUGAUUAAAACAAAUAUAUUGGGUGGUUGUUGCAAGUUAAUUUAAUCAACUCUAGUUUUGGUUAUACUUUCUUAUUUUUGGGUUAUAAAAUUCUAAUUUUCAUGUUGUCAUUUUUUUUUAUUAAAGGAAGAAUUAUAAAAUAUCCAUUUUUGUCAUUUCCAUUACAUCACACAUAAAUGGGUUUUACCAAAAAUAUCUUAAAAAUUAUUUGACAAAUGAUCUUUCAAUAAUUUAAAUUUAUCAAAUACACAAUUAAAUUAUUUUCAAAGCUGAUUACUUGACAAUCCUAGAAUGAAUUAUUUGGGAAUUCAAUGCAAUCCCAAACAUAUACUAAGGUUUGAAGUAAUUUAAUCCACAAAUAAUUAAUUCAAAGUAUACUUAUAUAAAUUCCGGUUUAAUGUUAUAAUUUCCAAUACCCCAAUAAGAUAAUCAUUUGAUAAUUAUCUAAUUUUUUGAUUUAAAAACUUUUCCUGAUAUUGGCAGGUUGAGGUUUGAGUCACUAUAUUGAAAAUUAGUUCAUUAUAUAGGUCUAGACUCUAGAUAUUUAAAGUGUAAUGUAACAUCAAAAAAUUGAUAAAAAUAUUUCAAUAAAUGUUUUUCAAAAUAUCAUUAUAUUUAUGAUGAAAUAUUAAAAUUAAUUUCAUUAAUUUACAGUCAUGUAUUUUCAUGUGACAUUGAGGGUGUCUUUGGUAGUUUUCCAGUAUAAAAUGAUUUUUUUGAUAUUUUCCUAAAAUGAGGGUAGCUGAAUGAUAAUGACCUUUAACAUUUUAUUUUUAUUAUAUCUUUUUGUUAAUUAGAACGCCAAUUGCUUGUCAAAAACUUUCGAGCUUCUUGCUUUCUGAUUCUGGCUGUGUGUGUCCAGAUGGUGCUGCCGCCUGUUUUGACAAUCGUAAUUCUGCAACUGCAAGCCUCAGGGAGGAAAGUGCAAAGGUUGUACCUGCCUCUGCCUCUGCCUCGAUCAUGAAUCUCAACUUCUAUUGGGAUGCAAUCAAAGCUGAAGGCACGGGUCCAAGUUAGGACGUAGAAGUUUUAAUUUAAAAUAUUUAUUUUAUUUUAUUUUAUUUGUAUCUCAAAUCAAUUUAUUUAAAGUAAUUUUGGGGAUAAAAAUGUAAUUUCCGUUCUAAUUUGUUUUUUAAUUUUAUUUAAAGCAUAUGGGGUCAAAUUCAAAUUUUAUUGGGGGAUGAUUCAAUUCGGUUAAAGUACAAAUGUAACUUUAAAAAAAAAAAAGAAUUAGACUCGGCUCCACAAUGUAUGUAUAUAUUUUUUAAGAUAGAGAGGUAGACAAAGUUUAAAUAAAUUUUUUUGUCUUCUACCUUCCUUAAGAUUCAAAUUCAUGUAGCCAGUUAAAUAAAUCUACAUAAAAAUCACUUAGGUAGUCCCUAAAGAUAGUGCAAUUAUGCCGCUAUGCUCAAUUAAUACUUUUAAUAUAUAGAUGAUUAUUUUAACAGCUAAUUACUAUUAAUUUUUAAUAAAAAGUUGUACGAUUAACAAACAAAAUCUAAAUAACAAAUAUAAUUUUGACUUUUUAGAAAAUUUGUUAAAAAAAUAGAUUUCUUUAUGAUAUGUUAAAAGAACUACAGUUUCAAUAGUGGGGUUAUUAUGAACCAUUUGAUUUAAAAUGAAAUACUUCCAAUAGAUAGUUAGUUGUUACCCAAAUCACAGGUAAUCCUUAAAUCUUAAUUUAAUUUGUAUCUACCUUAUAUCCUAUUGUUACAAUUUUUUUAUAAGUCAUAAAUAAUUAUUUUUAAUCAUUGAUUCAUUUUAAAAGAUUAAAAAAGUAGACUUUCUUUUAAUAUGGGCAUAUAUUGUAAACAAAAUUAUUAUAAAUUAUUCCACAAGACUUUAAAAUUAUAUGUAUUUUAUAUGAAUUGUUUUGGUGUAUCAUUUCAUUUUAUUGUUCACAAUACUAGUCUUGAAAAUGUAAUAUUAAAUUAUACGCUUCAUAGAUAUCUCAUCAACUUAUAAUAAAUGGUUCUUGAAUUGAAUCACAAAGUGGAUGAUACUACCCAUAAAUAGAUAGUUUUUUAUUGUUAGUUAUUUUGAAACAAUGUUAGACAUAAUAUAUGCUGAAUACUAUAAUAUAAAACAAUAAAAUAGGAUUAAAAUUAUAAAAUCACACACAAUGAAAGUUAGAGAAUUAUGUAAUGAUAAAUAUGUUCAGAAAUUAUGUAAUCGUCCAUUAAAAAGAUCAAAAAAAUUUUAAAUCAAUAACAAUAGAGACAAAAUAAUUGAUUUUCAUUGUCUCUAUUAAAUAAUAUAAAGAUUGAUUGUCAAUCAAAAUAAAAAUGGUUUCAAUCUUUGUUAAUCAAUCAAAAUCUCAAAUACCAUGUCAAUUGUAUCAUUUUUGUUUUUAUUUAUUUAUUAAUUAUAGAUUCAUUAAAGUAUUCAUCCAUUGUAGGAAUUGAGCAUUUGUGCUUAUUAAAAUGAAUUUCAUGAUUUCAUUUUUUAAUUAAUUGUAAGAUAAAAACAUUACAUAUGAAUAUUUUUUUUUUUUUGAACUUUUCACUAUACAUGUAAAUUUUCAAAAGCAAUAGUAAUGUAUUACGAAAUUUAUAUCAAUCAAGUAAUGCGAUUAUAAUUUAGUAAUAUAAGAUACAUUUUUGUUUGUAAUUAAUGAAAUUUAUUUACCAAAUGAUUUAUAAGAAAGAAUUUAUACACUGUCAUUUUUAUAACAUUUAUAAAUAAAUAGUAGAAUUAAUUAUAUUUUGUAGCGAUGAAGUAUUAAAUAACCAAAUUUUGUGUCUUAAAAGUUGUGUUUGAAUUAGUUUAUUUUCUUUUCAAAUUAUAAAUCUCUCUCUCUAUUAAUUAUUUAACUGGUAUAAUUUCUUAUCCUUUAUUGAAUUUGAGUUAUUUAAUUGAUAAAGAGCAAUAUACUCAAUCAACUUAAUUCCAGUAUCCAUGUUGGGAUUUUUACACUGCGUCCUAUUAUCCUAUAGGCACCCUAAAAUAUAUAUCAGAAAAAGAAAGCUUUUGUUGAGCGACAAGUUUUUUUUUUCCGUAUUAAAUCAUCUGGUAUCAAAAAACUAUAUUGAAUCCCGACUAAUUCCAAUUCGAUUCGGAUAGAACUACUAACGCGCCAAAACACUUCCAGCAAGUUGUUGAGCGACACGUUGAGGCAGAGAGGAGGAGGGAUUAGUGGGAGUUGCGUGGGCCCUUCCUUCCUGAAGUGGAUGAAAUUUUGGGCGCGUCUUUCAAAUCUCUAACCAGACUCAAAGUCCCAGAGUAACUCUUCGAUCUCUCAGGGGUUUCUUCUCCUAAGUUGUAAUAUUAUAAUCAGUGUAAACCCUAAACUCUGCAUUUCAUAUUAUUUUGCUUUUAGAUUUGGCAUAAUUUAACCUUCUUAUAAUUGGAUUCGCAUUUGACUGCGAGUCUGCGACUCAUUUUUCUCAGAUAAAGCUGAAGGUUUAUGUUUAUCGGAAAACUUAUAUUGCCGAAUUGGAGUAUAGUUUCACUUGUUUUAUUUUUUUAAUCUGCCGCUGUCAUAAUAUAACUACAAUUGUGGUUAAGGCUGAUAAGCAAAUUACGAGGUUUCGUGAAUGAUUCAUACCGAUUCCAAGACUCAUACAUUAAUCUGCAUAUGACUUUCUCUGGUUUCGGUCCGGUUUACUUUUCUUCUUUGUGUCAUUGUCAUACAAGAACUGCACAGGAAUAUAUAUGUUUUUAUUAUAACAUCAUUUGGGAUCCAUUUUAUUAUCUCUGACUCUGAGUCUGUUCUGCAGACUGAUGCUUUAUUAUGAUUAUUGACUUAUGAAAUCAUGAUAUCUUAAGGAUGAUUAUGAUUUUGCUAGGUUUUAAUGGCCACUACGGGGCUUGAAACUGUGUGGUUGUACUGAUCAAUCCAUUUGAGGUAACCGUAGCUCACUCUCGGAGAUUCUCUGUCAAUCUCUACACUCAAGGCAAAAUCCAGCAGCUGAUAUUUCUGAGUGAACUUUAGAGUGCUAGGCUCUAUCCUGAUAUUCAUUCCAGCAGGAAACUCCAAAACUGCACGAUAUAUUGAAUCUUCUGCUCCCACGUUUUUCACAACCCUGCUGAAGUUCUUUGCCGUUGUUUCAUUGGUAAAUACGGCUGCAAAAGAUGGGUAAUUCAGGUCAGUAGAUUCUUGGCUGCAAUUCCAUUGAUUUCUUCGAAUGACAGCUUUCAUCUGCUUUUCAUCAUAGCCUAGGCCGCACAGGAACUCGACAUAAUCCUGAAAGUCUGCGUCAUAGAUGAGUCCAGGGUCCAUUGCUUUGUUUGGGUCGAUAUGGCCUGCCCCAAAAUCCAGUGGCGUGGCAGGAACGACACCUAUUUCAUUUUCAGCAAAGUUAACGGGAUAAGCCGUAGUCAUUAUAGCUGAUCGGAUGGCUGCUGGGCUCCAAUCCCGAUGGAUAGCUUUUAGUAAAGCUGCAACUCCAGCAACAUGGGGUGCUGCCAUGGAGGUGCCUGAAAAUAGGGCAUAGUCUGUCACCAAUUCAUAGUUGCCGAUUUCAAUGAAUGGAAUGUUAGGCGCAACUGCUGCCAGUACGUCAACUCCUGGAGCCACAAUAUCUGGCUUUAGAAUCCCUGGACUGAUUGGGUCCGGUCCCCUUGAAGAGAAUGAGGCCACAUGAGGUGCUGGUUUUGUACCAAGCUCUGUCAAGAUGAACCUCAUUGAUUUCACUUUUGAUUUGUUUUUCCCAGUCACAUACUGUCUAAUUGACGUCCCAGCAGAAGUUGGCAGAAUCAGGCUGGGAAUGUAAUACUCAUCUGAAUCUAUAUCUGGCGUGUCAGUCAAGAAGAUUGCUGCAUAAGCGCCUGCCCUGUCAACCUCCUCCAUUUGGGAAUAGGUGUCAAUUCUGUUGCUGUUGUCACAGAUAACAACCUUUCCAGUAACCUCAUCGGGGUUCAAUGAUCCCAAGUGGCAUAUUGACUUGUUCACGUCACUUUUGCUAUAGUACAAGGGUGCAUCGGUAAUGUAAAUGCUUUCUGGAAAGUAUGAUAUUCCUUUAAAGGUUAAACCAUUAUCUAGAGUAACUGUUGCAUGGAAGCUCCUGUCAAGCGUGCCAGCUCCUACAGUCGUGAUCCAAGGUGCUCCAUUAUGUAUUGACCCUGGAAAUCCAUCAUUGCCUGCUGCACAGACUACGACAAUUCCAUUUUCAAUAGCUGAGAGAGAAGCAAUGGCGAUAACAUCAUUGAAAUAAGGUGUCUGGUCAAAGCCAAGAGACAACGACAUGAUAUCGACUCCGUCAGCAAUUGCUUGAUCCAUGCCAGCAAGUACAUCACUUGCUGCACUCUCUUCUGUGUCUGUUGCCCAUAGGACCUUGUACAUGGCAACAUGUGCUCUUGGUGCUAUGCCUCUCGCAGUGCCUUUUGCGUAUCCAAAGUGACUUACUCCCUCUACGUGGUUACCAGCUGCUGUGGAUGAUGUGUGAGUGCCAUGACCGAAGAAGUCUCUUGCUGAGUCAAAGUCAUAUUCCUUGGAGACAUUUAUACCUGCGGCUUGCAGCCCUUUGCUGAAAGAUCGAGCACCGAUGAGCUUCCUGUUGCAGACAAAAGGACUAAAUGCCGUGCCAUUCUCACACCGGCCAUUCCAUCGUCGAGGCACUGGUGGCAUUCCCUUGUCAUGAAAACUCUCACUCUCUGGCCAAAUUCCUGUAUCAAUAAUACCUAUUAUUACACCUUGACCAUAUCUUGCAGAAGGCCAUAAGCCUGAGUUAGGUUUUAGUCCAAGAAAAUUUGGGGAGUGGGUGGUGAAUAGUUUGCCAAAUGACUCAGGGUAUGUGGCAAGGUGAGCUGGAGAUUUCUCAAUUUCAGAUAGUUGGGAAGGUGUAAGCCUGGCACUGAAACCUUGAAUUACAUGAUUGUAGGAGUAUAACAACAUGUUGUUGCGAUCAGCAGGGUAUGACGCUGACUUUAGGAUUGAAAGGUGCCAUGACUCGUGGGUUAAGAAAGCCGAUGGCUUGUGAGAAUGGUCCAUGUGGAUGAUGUACGUCUGGUGGUCUUCAUUUCUUGACUCUGCAUUGCCGCUUCCCAGUAACAACAACAGUAGCCAAGGCAAUGCAUGGUUCAGAAUCAAACGGGGAAAAGUUAUUCUUCUGGUCAUGGCUGAUGUGCUGAGGAGAAUGUUGGGGAAGAUAUUCAAGGUUGGAGAUUGAGGAUGAUGUUAAAAGGUGGAGAAUAUAUAAAUGCCGUAUAAGGAAGCUCUCUGAUGCAGGGAAGUCUCUCCUUUGUUAUUUACAUAACACUAACUUUUAGUCCUGUGUUAUGUUCGACCUGUUUUUUAGUAAGUUUAUGAAUCGAUGUUUUUGCUUGGCUUAUUAAUGACAAUGCUUUGUUUUUUCCCCCAUUUUCUUUAACUUUUCAUUGGGUCCACCAGAUCAACUGUCCAAGAUGACAUUACUCAUAGAUGCCUUGAGGGUGAAACAUCCAAUAUAACAGUUGGAUACAGUUUCAAAAUCGGCGCAGCUUUGCUUUUGUUGCCGAUGCUUUUCAAGUUUUGACCUUCCCUACAGCAGUUAACUGCAGAUAUAAAUUAAUCAUCUCGUAAGUCUAUCUCGCAAUGGAAUCUGCUUAAUUUAUCCGCAUAUUUAGUGACAAAAGAAAUAGCUUGAUAUGAAUAUAUUAGCACAAUUCAGUGUUGGACUCAUCACUCGUCACCUUUUUCAUUUGCUGUUAUAUGAAGUUAACUGUAAGCUAUUCUCCUUUUGACAGUUGACACUAUAUAUAGGGUUUACAGGAAGCAACCAAAAUAUAGAAUGGUGACGUUACCAAUGGCAUGUCUGUGCCUGUACUUUUCCUUUCGUAGAACUUCUGGAUUUUCUUUCUCCCUUAAAAUAUAAGCUAAUUGAAUGUGCUGUGGCCUGCAGAACGUACGAAAUUAAACCUUGUUCGGAUUUUCUCAAGGUUUUGUUCCAGGCCUAGCCGUCCCUAGCAGACAUCGAAGUUGAUGUGCGGCAUGUGCCCUGGGGACUUUUCUACAAACUUCCUGAUAUGCACAUAAUAAUAUAAACAUGCUAUAUUGGAUUUGACUCCCUCGAUAAAAUAUGUUAUAGUUAUAUUAUAAAUUAAUAUUUUCUAAAUUUAAUAUUUAUAUUAUAUUAAUAUUUAUAUUUUGUUAUUAUAAGUACAUUUUGGAGAUAAAGAAAAAAAUAAUUGGAGUUGGGGAAUAAUUAGUCACAGUAUUAAUGACUUAAUAUUGGAACAAAUAUUUGAUUGCCAAUUUUACGAAAUACGUGAAAAGUCAGACCGGGAACAUGAAUUAAAAGAGAGAGAGGGAGAUUUUAAUUUAUUCAUGUGGAGGAGAGCACUAGAGAAUCAAUGGAUAAAUUUAUACGUGGCAACAUCGUGAUGGGCUAUUUGGCUUCGGAUUCUUUUGGCUUAGUAAUUGUUCAAGCCGGUUUGCAUUAUUAUAUUAAAGGAAGUAUUACGGGCAUGAUGAGAGCAGCCGAAUCAGGGCGGAAACCGAGAGCAAGGAAAGUCGAUUGAAGAUCGAACUGAUAUUUUCAUUUUUUUUUCCCAACCAAUUUGCUGUAACGUUGUCAAUAAAAUUUAUGAAUUUUUUUUAAUUUUCUCAUAAACUAAAUUUACUUUGUUAGAGAUGUAAUGUAGUCUGAUUAGAAAGAUUUAAUAUCAUAAAUUUAUAUUAUUUUUAAUUAUUAUUUCAUAAUUGAGUGUCCAUUAUUGUGCAGAAUGUUUUUAAAUAUUUUAUCAAUAUUUGAGGAUACGUACAUAAUUAAGAGGAAAUUUAAGUAUUUUUGCUCUGUGUAAUAGAUAUCAUGAAUUGAAGGUGAGACAUAAAUGUGCGAACGUAACUCAUAUAGUUUUCCUUAAGAAUUGACAUAGAGUUUAAUUAAUUUUUACAUAUUCAUAUAGAGUAUAGUUUAUUAAUAUGUGAGGGCAAAUUUUACAUUACACGGAAGAGUACUUGUCAUCGUGAGUAAUACUCUUCAAUUGCAUUGAUGAAAGAAUUGAAUUGAAUUAGUCAUGGUGAAGUUGAAUUUCCUAAUACCUAAAUCUCCCAAUAAUUUUUGUUAUUGCUUACAUCAUUAUUUAAUUUUUAAUUAUCUUAUUUUAUUUUAAUUUUUAAUCUAAAUUCUCUUACUCAAUUGUUUGAAUAAAUUAGGAUUAGAAUAAUUUUAAUAGAUAAUAAGAUAUAUAAUGUACGAUAAUACUCUACUUUACAUAAUGUUACUUAUGUCAACUAAUACACGUUUUAUUUUUUGCAACAAUAGCCUGCAGGAUUUUAUAAUUACUGAUCACAUGCUCAUAUCUUGCUGUUUCCUAACCUCGUAAAUGUCAAGCAAGAAAUCGUCAAACAAAGACAAGGUUAAUAAGCCAGCUGCCACUUAAUAGGUUGAAUUAUCAACGUAUUUAAUUUGACUUUCCUCCUUUCUUAUCGACCAAACUUUUUAUAAUCCAUCAAAGGAGACGAGGUUUCACCAAGAUUCGAAUGACGCUGAUUUUACCAAGAACUUACAACAAAAAUAACUACCUAUUUUCUUUAUUUGCCAAUUCAUUUGAACGACUUAUUAAAAAUGAUCUGACGUACUAACUUUAUAAAGAAGAUUGUGAGUUUCUCUAUUGAAAUAAAAAUAUUUCUUUUACUCUUUUACCGUUUUCAUAAUAUUCAAUAACUCCUUUAGUAUUAAUAAUUUUAUAAUAUUAAAUAAGUGGUAUAAAUUAAAAUAAAAAGAUUUAAAUACUAAAAUAAGAAAUUUAAGUUUUUGUGUAGAUAAAAAAAUUAUUAAUUAGAUUUUUUUAUACUUUUUAUUAUUUUAAGUAGUUUUUUUUUAUAAUAACUAUUAUUUUAUAUUCACAAGAUAAAAUAUCAAGUAAAUAAUUUAUUUAUCCCUCUUUUCUCAUAAAUAUUUUUUGCCAAGGUGUUUUAGUUAUUAUAAAAACAGUAGGAGAGCAAGUAGUAUAUAUUAAUUUUAACAGGAGAAAAGUGGCAUCUUCCAAUUUUACAGUGCAACUAAUUUGUUGGUUCUGUUUUUUAUUAUUGAAGCACGAAGCGUUCCAAACUAUAGUGCAAUAUUUCAUGUUAGUUGAAUGAAAAUCCAAUUUUACAGCCUAUCUAAAUUGCAACCAUUAAAGGUAAAAGUUCUAUGAUGUGUUAAGAAACAUUUUUAAAAUUAAAAAUUCACAUCCUAUGGGUUAUUAUAUUUCUCUUGCUGGAGAGAGUCUGUUUAUGUGCUAGUUAAAUGCCUUUUGUGUCAAUCUAGAGCUGUCGUCAAUUCUCACGGCCUCCAUUUGAAAUGAACCUAUGUUUCUUAUAGGUUCAUUUCUUGCAUUGCAUCUAUUGGCUUCACAUGGCAAGAAAAGUAAACGUCCAUUAUACGAUGCGACAUCAUUGGAUGUGACUCCAAUUACUAUGUUUACUAGCUAAGACAUUGUACCAACUAAAUUUCCUGCCACUUGCAUAACAGCAAGAUUUAAUUAACUAAACGCCAAGUCUUGUAAAUUUUUUGAUAUUUUCUAAACUGAUGUCCAUUUCUAUAUAUACGCACAAACCAUAGAGACCCCAAUAACACAUGCCUCAAGCUAAUUCCUUUUCGGUAAAGAAAUAAUGGGUUCUGUUAAUGGUGUUCCUCAAUUAUUCCUUUUCGUUCUUUCAUGGCUUCUGUUGGCUUUCCAUGCUAACUCAAGUUCAGAUGAGAGAUCAACAUACAUAGUUCACAUGGACAAGUCCCAUAUGCCCAAAGCCUUCUUUAACCACCACCAUUGGUACUCUUCGGUCGUUCGUUCCCUCAAGUCAAAAAAGCCAACCAAAUCAAAUCACCAUCGAUUCUCACCCACUCUUGUGUAUUCUUAUGACAAUGCUGCUCAUGGUUUCAGUGCAGUGUUAUCUAAACGGGAACUUGAGACUCUUAAAAAGUCUCCAGGUUUCAUCUCAGCUUAUGCCGAUAAGACUGUGACACUUGACACCACCCACACCCCUGAAUUUCUCUCCCUCAAUACUGCCAACGGGUUGUGGCCUGCUUCAAAAUAUGGCGAAGACGUGAUUGUCGGUGUUAUUGACACCGGGGUCUGGCCCGAGAGUGAUAGCUACAAUGAUGAUGGUAUGGGCUCACUUCCAACCAGAUGGAAGGGAGAAUGUCAAGCUGGACAAGAGUUCAAUUCCUCCUUGUGUAACUCAAAGCUUAUUGGAGCUAGAUAUUUCAAUAAGGGUAUUAUAGCAGCUAAUCCUGGGAUUAACAUUAGCAUGAAUUCUGCUAGAGAUACCAUGGGACACGGGACCCACACAUCCUCCACAGUAGCUGGGAAUUAUGUGGAUGAUGCUUCAUUCUUUGGCUACGCUAAAGGUACAGCAAAAGGUGUGGCACCACGGGCUAGAGUGGCUAUGUACAAGGUCAUCUUUGAUGAAGGGCGCUAUGCAUCUGAUGUCCUUGCUGGUAUGGACCAGGCUAUUGCUGAUGGUGUUGAUGUAAUUUCAAUAUCAAUGGGAUUUGAUGAGACGCCAUUGUAUGAAGAUCCUAUUGCAAUAGCCUCAUUUGCUGCCAUGGAGAAGGGCGUGCUGGUCUCUUCUUCAGCAGGAAAUGCAGGGCCAGCGUUAGGGAGCUUGCACAAUGGAAUCCCAUGGGUGUUAACUGUUGCAGCUGGAACCAUUGACCGUUCAUUUGCGGGCAUAACAACUCUUGGGAGCGGGGAAACCAUCAUUGGAUGGACCAUGUUCCCAGCCAAUGCUCUCGUAGAACGCUUGCCAUUGCUAUAUAACGAGAGUUACUCAGCAUGUAAUUCAACUAAAUUAUUAUCUCAAUUACCAACAGAUGCCAUCAUCGUAUGCAAAGAAGCUACAGGUUCGGUAUCUAAGCAAAUAUCUGUUGUUAGUGCAUCAAACAUGCAGGGAGCUAUAUUUGUUUCAGAUUAUGAUCCUGAAUUAUUUGAACUUGGUGGUUUGAGUAUACCUGGCGUGGUAAUUAGCACCCAUGAUGCACCGGCUGUCAUCAACUAUGCCAGAAAUGGCGUGGAACCGGUGGCAAGCAUCAAGUUCCAGCAAACUGUUCUUGGCACAGAGCACGCACCAGCCGUGGCUUUCUAUACUUCUAGAGGUCCUUCACCGAGCUAUCCAGGCAUCUUAAAGCCAGAUAUAAUGGCCCCUGGGUCACUAGUUUUUGCUGCUUGGAUUCCAAAUACUUCUACAGCCCAAAUUGGUUCAAAUUUACUCUUGACAAGUGAUUACAAUAUGAUUUCUGGGACAUCAAUGGCCUGCCCUCAUGCUGCUGGUGUGGCUGCCCUCCUUAGAGGCGCACACCCUGAAUGGAGUGCAGCUGCUAUUAGGUCUGCAAUGGUGACUACAGCAAAUCCAUUGGAUAACACUAACAAUCCAAUCCGAGACAAUGGUCUAAUCAAUUUCACGUCUGCUUCACCUCUAGCCAUGGGAGCUGGUCAAGUUGAUCCAAAUCGGGCUCUUGACCCGGGUUUGAUUUAUGACGCCACCCCACAGGAUUAUGUGAGCCUCCUCUGCUCUAUGAACUUCACCCAAAAUCAGAUUCUGUCCAUUACAAGAUCAAACCGUUACAACUGCUCCACCCCUACCGCAGAUCUUAACUAUCCGUCUUUUAUUACUUUACACGAUAACACAAGUACAAAAUUUGUUCAGACAUUUCACAGGACUGUGACUAAUGUGGGAGGAAGCGCAGCAACAUACAAAGCCAAGAUCACAGCACCUCUAGGUUCUGUAAUUAGUGUCUCACCAGGCACAUUGGUCUUCGGAAAGCAGUAUGAGCAGCAGAGCUACACUCUUACUAUAAACUAUAAGACAGAUGGUGGAGAAAUUAUAUCAUUUGGUGAACUUGUUUGGGUUGAAGAGAAUGGGAAUCACACUGUGAGGAGCCCUAUUACAGUGUCGCCUUUCAUGAGUUAACUUUGUUUGUCUUUGUGCCUAUAAAAUAAUUUAUCAUGUGAUCUGAUCAAAGUGCAGGAAUAACCCACAUGUAUGUGAAUCCUGAAUAAGUUGUAUGGAAAUCUUCAACAUUAUCAUUAAAGGCUUGAAUCAUGUGGUGUUUUUGAUUUUCUGCAAGUCCUUUUCUCUUUAAAGGACCAUCCAUUCAUGUUUUCUUCAUGUCUUCAACAUUAUCAUAUUUUCUGCAAGCCUUGAGAAUGAUUUGUGAUUUCAUUCUGAGGAUCAGCAUUAUAAACCUGUUCUAAAAGUAUUUAAUGAUUGAAGCAAGCUAUGAAAUGCUAAAAAAACUAUCGCGAAAAGAAUCCAGAAUCCAUUUCGUAAAAGAAAAAUUUUCACAGCCUCAGCCUGGCUCAAUUGGCCCAGCAAGGCAAUGGUAACACCAAAUACUCACGCUACCCGGCUCCCAUCCCAUCAUGCAAUCUGGCAAAGACUUUGUACAACCAAUUGCGUGCCGGAAGGAGAAAAGAAAAUGUAUACUCUUUUUUUUUCCCUUUUUUUUUUUUUUUUUUGAAAUUAGAAAACGACAUGGUUUGAACUUUUAUCGCAAAAUCAUUAAUCACGAUAGCUGGCACUUGGAUUUUGAAAAUGGUAAUGUAUUCAAGGUCCAUUUUACCUUUUCCAUCGCAGAGUAUGUGACUGGUUUCAAUCAAAAUAAUUACGACUAUAUUCGGUUAGCUCUGGACCGUUUUGAGUCUUAAUCAAUAGUUUACUUAUGUACAUUGACAGAAGCCAAAAUUGAAGGUAUUAAACAGUAAUACAGAUUUGCAGAUUCCCUUGACAGUUUACCUCUCUAGAUAUUUCACACUAGUCUUCAGUGAAAACCUACGACAAUUUGACCGAUCAAACAGUUUAGAGUUAAUUGUGAAUACCGAAAUACAUAGGAGCAGUUUGUUUUUCUAUCACAUCUUCGGGGAUAUAGCUUGAGAGCUAAAUUUGGUUGUUUUGACUUCUGUCCAGCAGUUGCAAUGGACUUCAAUUUAACAAAAGGCUAAAGCGAUCGUCCGUAACCAAAUAAUUGGCUCCAAAGUCUUAUUCCUUGUAAUUAAAUCUAGAGCUAAUUACAAUGUGCACGUCUUCAACAAGAGUCGCCAUUAUGCAUAAUCAAUUCGGUAUGAAAACAAUAGCUGGGUACAAGAAAUUUUUAAUCUGAACAUACAUAAUGUGGGGGAAACAUGUGGUGCAACUGUGGUACCGUGUCACAGUUGCAUCCAGCCGUUGGAUGUCAGUAGACCCCACCAAUCCAAGUGCAUCCAACGACUGGAUGCAACUAUGGCACGGUACCACAGUUGCACUGUAGCCUGAUCCCAAAAUGUGACACCCCAAAUUGACGUGGCAUGAACACGUGACAAUAUAGAAUAUUAGUGAUUCUCAAAUCUUAUAACUUACCCUUAAUAAAUAUCCAUUAAACUCCUUAAGAGAGGUCAGGGGUUCAAGCCCCGCUCCCGUAUGGAGUCAUCAUUUUGACCAACAUUUUACCUUUUACGGGCCGACUUAGUGCGAGCGGAAAUUAGUCUGGGUUAUGAUAAGAGUUUAAAGGUACCUCCCAUAUUUAGGGCUCACGCAGGAUCACCUCGUGAUUCAGACAACAAAAUAAAUAAAUAUCCAUUAAACUUAAAAUACUUGUUCCUCAUUUUACAAUUAAAAACACAAGGUGCUAGGAGCUAAAUUCUUACUCCAAAGCUAUUUAUUGAAUGACCAAUUUGCUUUUAUUUAUUAUCCGUCUAAAUCGAAGCUCCAAUUAAUCUUCCAACAGCCUAAAUUUAUGGAGCUCUACUAUUCUAUUCCAAUCUCCUAAAACUACUAUUCUCAGCGUAUUAAAUGUUAAUGAUGAGGGGGAGCUAUCAAUUUGAUAAAUAAAUUCAUUCAUAAAAUUACUAUUAUUUAACGACAUUUAAUGUUUUUUCAGAAACAAAUACCACUUUUACAAAUCACAGAUAUAUACCUUUAUUUACUCAACAGUAAAUACUUUAUCGAUAAAAAAAACAACAACAAUAAUAACAAUGGUAAGCAUAAUAAAUAAAACUAUCAAAUAUUUUUGUUCAUGCUACAUAAUAUCACCUACACCCCUAAUGAUUCUAUUCAAAUAAUAAUAAGUUUCUUGGAAAGAUAUGGUCAUAACAGUUUCCCAAAAAUUUUAGAAAUAACAAUAACAACAAUUAUGUGUUGCAAGAAUAACAAACUAGUUAGUCUGUAAUGAUAAUAGUAACAAUAAUAUUAAUUAUGAACUAUGAGCCCAAACAUUAGAGGUUUUCAAAAUCCAAUCCAAUAUGUUCAAUCCGUCUGAUCUGUAAAAAUUUGAUCUGUGGAUUGGUGGAUUUGAUUGGAUUGAAAAUUUAAAAAUCCGCAGUCGAUAAAUUAGAUAUGGAUUUACUUAUAUAAAUCUGUAAAAAUCUGCGAAUCCGUAAAAAAAAAAAAUUAUUUAAGUUAGAAUAUGGCAUUAGUACUUACUAAUAAAUAAAUAAGUUAGAAUAUAUUUCUAUUAACAUCAUAUUAUAUCUUAUCCAAUAUAAUAUAAAAUAAAAAUAAUUAAAUAAACAAAUAUAGCUUCCUAAACAGUUAAUUUUCAUGUACUGAUAUAAACAAAUGAGAUUUUUUUUUUCUUUUUGAUGUGUUAUAUUUUGAAACUUUUAAUGUAUUUUCUAACUUUAUUUAAACAAUUAAUUAAUUUAAAUAUUAUUUAAUCUUGAAUUUGAUCGGUGGGAAAAUUAUUUUUAUAUUAUUUUUUUAUUUAGUUAGUUCGUGAAUAUGACGGAAUUAAAAAUUUUUAGCUCGCAAACCAAUCCGUAAAAUGGUGGAUUGGGUCGAAUCCGUAUCCGAUUCGCAGACAUAUGAAUUGAAUUUCACCAAUCCGUGAUUGGAUUGGAUUAAAACUUUAUAAUCCGCAAAAUCUUAUCUGCAAGCACUCCUACCAAACAUUAUAGUAUAUUCAUACCAUGUGGUAUCACUUGAAUUUUUGCUCAAUAAAGAUCAAGAGAAUUACGAUCCAAACAAUUACAUAUUCAAUGUAUCUUUUUCAACACACGAAAAAUUGUAACUUUUGGAACUUUCAAACAUAUUUAAUACUUAUGAAUCAUUGCAAUGGUAUUUACGUUGGAAAUAAAUGCUGAAAAUUAAAAUUAGAGUUAUCUUCAAUUAUUCGUUAAUUGUGUAAAGUUAAGAAAAUAUUUUUGAGUGAUAACAGAUUUUCUUUAAACAUAAUAAGUUACGCUAUUUGAAAUUAAUUUUGGCUGAAUAUUAAUUAUGAUAUCAAAUGGUCGUAUAUACAAAUAAAUACGUUAAUAUUAUAAAUGAAUUUACUUAGUUCACGAAAAAUCCUAUUUUCUACGAACCCUUAAGAUCAUCAUCAUGUCCUUCGUUGAAAUAGAAUUGUCUUUAUCAAUCUCUCCCGAUUUCUCGCUCUCUCUUCUCUUGGUGCGUAAAUGAGUAAAUGUAAAUAACUAUGCCUUGAACUUAUUAUACUAAUUAACUUUACUUGAAAACGUGCAAUUAACUACCAUCCUAAUUAAGUAUAAUUUAAUAAGCUUUUAACCAAAAGAAAACGGUAACUCUAUCUAUUAAUUAAACGGAGUUAAUUAAAUUUUAAAAUGAAAAAUGAUAAGGCAAUAACAAUUCUUUAUCCCACCAUCUUUAAUCUAUCAUUACUGUUAUUAACGUAAGCUGGGGUUUACGCUGCAAAGGAAGAACCUACUCUGGAGUGCAAAAAGUUGUACAAAUUGAUUCUAUAAUAAGAAGAUGAAAGUCACGUUCACGUAUCCUCCUUGCAGAUAAGUCAAGAUUGUUAAAGAGUGACAUAGAUUAGCUAUGACUUGCACAAUUCUAGCCACAUGGGGGCUCUAAGACCACUAAUCACUUGAUUUUGUCAUCGGAAUACUUAUAGCCAAUCUGCUUCACACUUUUGAGGAUGGGAGAAAUGCUCACUAGCGUUGGCCCUUCGUUUCCUGCUUGAUAUAUAUACAUAUAUAAUUGCCGCUGCAAUUGAUAUAGAAGCUGAGAUAUAUAUAUAUAUAUAUAUAUAUAUACAUAUAUAUUAAAGAGUGGAACUCUUAAGGUGCCCAUACUUCUCAAUUUGUAUAUAAGUGUAUCAGCAAUUGAUAAUUUUGUUCAGAAAUCUUAUCGCACUUGCAAUAUCUCCUACAUGGCUUCUCGGUCUCAGCGUGUUUGCUUGAACAUUAUUUGGCUUUCCUUCAUCUCUAUCUUACACUGCAGCUCCACAUUAGCAAAUCACGAUAAUUAUAUUGUCCACAUGGACUUAUCGGCGAUGCCGAAAGCAUUCCGAGGCCAACAUGGUUGGUACUCAGCCACGCUUCAAUCUGUCUCUGGAAAUGCUGGGGCAAACACCAAUAUCUUCAACAAUAUUUCCUCUUCCAAAUUACUCUAUACCUAUAGUCACGUUCUCAAUGGCUUCAGUGCUAGUCUCACUCCUGCUGAGCUGGAGGCCUUGAAAAGCUCUCCAGGCUAUAUUUCUUCCAUUAGGGAUUUGCCUGUUAAACCACACACCACACAUUCAUCUCAGUUUCUUGGCCUUAAUCCGAAAUCAGGGGCAUGGCCAAUUUCAAAAUUUGGCCAAGAUAUUAUAAUUGGGGUGGUGGACACAGGGGUAUGGCCAGAAAGCGAAAGCUAUAACGACGGAGGCAUGACUGAAAUUCCAUCAAGAUGGAAAGGAGAAUGUGAGAGUGGCACCCAAUUCAAUUCCUCAUUAUGCAACAAGAAGCUUAUUGGAGCUCGGUUUUUCAACAAAGGUCUACUUGCCAAAAAUCCCACUAUCACCAUAGCCAUGAAUUCUCCGCGCGACGCAAAUGGACAUGGGACUCACACUUCAUCCACAGCAGCUGGAAGUUAUGUUGAACGUGCAUCAUACUUUGGCUAUGCCAUAGGGACUGCUCUAGGCACGGCUCCACUGGCACGGGUGGCCAUGUACAAGGCUCUCUGGAAUGAAGGUUCUUUUACUUCUGAUAUAAUUGCUGCAAUUGACCAAGCAAUUAUUGAUGGAGUUGAUGUUUUGUCCAUGUCAUUGGGCUUGGAUGGGGUUGACUUAUAUGAAGAUCCCGUUGCCAUAGCGACAUUUGCAGCCAUUGAAAAGAAUAUCUUCGUCUCUACGUCUGCGGGAAACCAAGGGCCAUUCAUUGGGACCCUACAUAAUGGCAUACCUUGGGUUAUGACAGUUGCUGCUGGUACAAUGGAUCGUGAAUUGGGCGCUACUUUAACUCUUGGAAAUGGAAAUACUGUCACGGGCUUGUCUCUUUAUCCGGGGAAUUCAUCUUUAAUCGACUUCCCAAUUGUUUUCAUGGAUGAAUGCCUCAAUUUAGCUGAACUGAAGAAAGUUGGGCAAAAAAUUGUUGUGUGCCAGGACAAGAACGAUUCCCUUAGCAACCAAGUUGAUAACAUUCAAAAUGCGAGCGUCUCUGGAGGUGUCUUCAUAUCCGAUUUCGACGGACUGGAAUUCUUUCUGCAAAGCUCAUUUCCAGCGGUAUUCAUGAAUUCGAAAACUGGUGACAUUCUCAAAGACUACAUCAAGAUCGAGAAUAACGCAACGGCAACCAUUCAGUUCCAAAAAACUGAGCUGGGAACGAAACCAGCACCAAGUGUGGCCAGCUACAGCUCUAGAGGCCCAUCAAUCAGCUGCCCAUUUGUCUUGAAGCCUGAUGUUAUGGCUCCUGGGGAUUCAAUCUUAGCUGCAUGGCCUUCAAAUCUUGCGGUGUCUCAGACCAACUCAAAGCUUAGCUUUAGUAACUUCAAUCUACAGUCAGGGACAUCCAUGGCAUGCCCGCAGGCAGCAGGAAUAGCUGCACUUUUGAGAGGAGCACAUCCCGAAUGGAGCCCUGCAGCUAUCCGAUCGGCCAUAAUGACCACAUCAGAUUCCACUGAUAACACCAACAGUGAUAUUAAAGACAUUGGUGAUGAUAACAAACCUGCCACCCCCAUAGCCAUGGGAGCUGGACAUAUCAACCCCAACAAGGCAUUAGACCCCGGGCUCAUCUAUGAUGCAACCACUGAAGAUUAUGUUAGUCUUCUUUGUUCAUUAAACUUGACCAUGAAGCGAAUCCAAACCAUCACGAGGUCCUAUUCAGUCAACUGUUCAACAUCGUCUUUGGAUCUUAACUACCCUUCUUUUAUUGCCUUUUUUAAUGCAAAAGAAUCAAAGUCCGUGCAAGAAUUUCAGAGAACAGUGACUAAUGUUGGAGAAGGAGUGUCAACUUACACUGCUAGUGUGACGCCAUUGAAAGGGUUUAACGUCAGUGUCGAUCCAGAUAAGUUGACUUUUAAAGGCAAAUACGCAAAGCAAAGCUACAAGCUGCGCAUAGAAGGUCCAAACCAAAUGGAUGAAGAAACAGUAGUAGUAUUUUGUUAUCUGAGUUGGAUAGAGACUGGAGGUAAACAUGUGGUGAAGAGUCCGAUAGUGGUUACAAGCUUAGGCACCGAAGCACCUUCGUAGAACAUAUAUUAACCAACUUAAUUAAUUACUCGUCCUCUUUACUUUAUGAAUAACCUUGUAAUAACUUAACCAUUGGUUGGUAAUGGAGCUUACUUGUUCCUAGAGUUCAAUAAAAUGGUAAUUAAAAUUUAUUACAUUCUCAAAUGAUUUUUAUAAGACGAAUUGGUCACCUUGGUCCUGGUCCAUAAUUGAGCUGAUUCCAUCGACUUACCUUGAUUAUUUGAUUCUCCGGGAGUUUUUUUUUUUUUCCCUUGUUUUUUAACCUCACGUGUGAAGUAAAAGAUUUUUCAUCUUUUGCGCAAAAUUAAGUAAGUGCUGAAUUUAUGACUAGUAGUGAUGUGUAUGAAACAUCGGUGGCUCGCGCGGUCUCAAAACUGAAUUUUUUUGCCAAGUUACACAAGAAACUCGUCCUUUAUCUUUCUCUUUUUAAUUAAAUGCUCCCACGCCAGAAACAUACAAAAUAUCCUGUGUAGAAAAUGACGUGACGAAUAGGCUGCCUGUUAUCCAGACGGCAUGCAUACACAAAAAAAUCACACCGUACAAUAUUAUUUGUCUAUCUUUUCAAUUUUCAUGAAUAAAAUAAGCAAGCACACUAUGACUCGUACGCGCUUCCUCUUUAUCUCUUCUGGUUUCUUGCAUGCGUGUUCUCUUCUCAAUUAUUUUUGCUGUCUUAGCCAUCACUCACCGCCUCUAUCUUUCAUUUGAAGUUUAAGGAAACAUUACAUCUUAGCUUCAUUAAUUGAUUUAUGAAGAGUAGUUAUGACAAGUAAUAUAUAAUUGAGAAGAUAAUACGCUCUCGCUAGUAAUACGUUUAAUUCAACGGGUGUUGUGACAACCUUGGAGCUUUGGUGUUGCUUGCUCCAUUGCCUCACGAUAUUAUACGUGCACUCAUACAAAAAUUUCCUUGGCUACAUGUACAACUAACUCAUCACUGAUUUAGUAGAUUGGCUUUCAAUUCUUUUCAACUUGAUGGUAUGAUAUCGCAAGCAAUUUCCAACCAAACUGUAAUGGUACGUAUUAAUUAAUGAUAUGCUAACGUGGACCUUAACUCUUUCUUUUCUCAUUACCCAUUACGUAUUUGGUUUUUAAGUCGAAUCUUUGUAAUAGUAGAAGGUAAGAUCUGUGCAUGCAUCAUAAAGAAUUAAAUUGUUAUACAUCUACCUAAAAUCUUUAAUUACAAUGUGUAAGCAAAAUAUGUAUAAAUUAUCUAACAAUUUGUAUGAGAUGUAGUUAAAUUAUUGAACUUGUUGAUAGAAUAUUGUAUCUGAGCGCAUCAAAUCGAGCGAAUAGUCAUGAGAGAGUCAGGCGGAGAGGGCCCAACUCACAUGUAUGCAGCAAAGUCGAGGCUGUAGACGUAACAAUGGUGGCAGAAAUCUCUCCACGUUUUAGAUUGCAGAUUUGUUUUACUUAAUUUAUUGAGCCCAUGCCCUUUCGUUCCCGAUGGGGGAAAGAUGGAAGCAUACAAACACUACGGCCUAACGGUAGAAUCUACAAACUUCCAACUCAGAUCCAUCGCUUUUGUCAGUUAAGAAGAUCAUUAUUUGGUCAAUUGGAUGAUCCAACGGGAGAUCCGAUCGCGUGGUUCUUCGAAAAAAUGGAAAUAAUGUAACAUAUACGUAUUUUAGUUUAGUUGGCAAAGUCAUGAGUAUUGACAUUGUAGUGUAUGUAUCUUUUGACCUCCAUAGCGAUGCGGCCAUACUGCGCAUGGGAAUGGGAUCAAACAAGGUUAGGCUUCGUGUGUAUUGAUUGGCCCACUCAAAAUCCCCCCGUAAAACUCUUUUUUCAGUUGAAAUUAAUUAAAUUACCAAACACAAAUUGAUUCAUUUCCUGUUUUAAAUAAAGAUUCAAUCAAACACUUAGGAAAACUAUUCUUUUAACAAACUUUUAACGCCUAUGCUAUUUUAUAAUCUAUAUUUGUAUUUUAAAUUUUAAUUAAAAAUAUUUUUUCAAAAAAAUAAUAAGAGCCAAGAAAUAUGAAAAUAGAAUUUAUAUAAUAAGAAAGAAAAAGUAAGAGAAUUUUAAUAUUUAAAAAUUAUAUGCAAUUUAAAAAGAGAUUUUUUUAAUAUAAAAGUUUAUGAGAAUAUGGUUAGAAGGUAUUUUUUUUUUUUUCAAAAAACAACAUUCAAAAUAUAUGUCAUGAGAAUUUUAGAGGGGCGUUAAAGAGGCCCACUCUAUCCAUACUGCAUCGAGCAACCUAACGGAGUCAUGGUUCUGAAGUCCAAUGGAUAAAUGGGUCUCAGCACUCUGGGCCAAUUGACUAGGAGUUGCAAUGAAACAGUCUUCCUGAUCGCUGAUAAUGUUGCUUAUGGCUAAAUACAUCAUAAAAUUGUAAAUUCUGCUUUCUCUGACUAGUGCUCACUUUUAAAUUAAUAUUAUUUAUUUUAAAAUUAAUCUCAUUAAAAGAUAAAAAAAAAACAUAAAAAUUAUUAUUUUUCUUCUCUCUCAAUUUCAUAAUAGCUUAACUUCUCAUCUGUCAUUUUUUUAAAUUGAUUCAAAAUCCGAAUGUAAAUACUAACGCUUAAUCAAAUCCUUAUUUAAAAUUAAAUAAAAUCUUAAAUUAUCACACAAAGUAAAACUAGCAUCAUUAAUGAUAAUAAAACCCACCACUUAUUCAUAAAUUUUAAUAUUAAAUUCAUUAUAUGUUAGUGGUGGUGAUGAUAAUAAAUUUUUUGUCAAUAAAAAUGAGUGAUAGACUGAUGGUUAAACUAUAAAGAAAGAGGACGUGGCGGAAAAGGAGAAUCCGAUCGCGUGGUUCUUCGAAAAAAUGGAAAUAAUGUAACAUAUACGUAUUUUAGUUUAGUUGGCAAAGUCAUGAGUAUUGACAUUGUAGUGUAUGUAUCUUUUGACCUCCAUAGCGAUGCGGCCAUACUGCGCAUGGGAAUGGGAUCAAACAAGGUUAGGCUUCGUGUGUAUUGAUUGGCCCACUCAAAAUCCCCCCGUAAAACUCUUUUUUCAGUUGAAAUUAAUUAAAUUACCAAACACAAAUUGAUUCAUUUCCUGUUUUAAAUAAAGAUUCAAUCAAACACUUAGGAAAACUAUUCUUUUAACAAACUUUUAACGCCUAUGCUAUUUUAUAAUCUAUAUUUGUAUUUUAAAUUUUAAUUAAAAAUAUUUUUUCAAAAAAAUAAUAAGAGCCAAGAAAUAUGAAAAUAGAAUUUAUAUAAUAAGAAAGAAAAAGUAAGAGAAUUUUAAUAUUUAAAAAUUAUAUGCAAUUUAAAAAGAGAUUUUUUUAAUAUAAAAGUUUAUGAGAAUAUGGUUAGAAGGUAUUUUUUUUUUUUUCAAAAAACAACAUUCAAAAUAUAUGUCAUGAGAAUUUUAGAGGGGCGUUAAAGAGGCCCACUCUAUCCAUACUGCAUCGAGCAACCUAACGGAGUCAUGGUUCUGAAGUCCAAUGGAUAAAUGGGUCUCAGCACUCUGGGCCAAUUGACUAGGAGUUGCAAUGAAACAGUCUUCCUGAUCGCUGAUAAUGUUGCUUAUGGCUAAAUACAUCAUAAAAUUGUAAAUUCUGCUUUCUCUGACUAGUGCUCACUUUUAAAUUAAUAUUAUUUAUUUUAAAAUUAAUCUCAUUAAAAGAUAAAAAAAAAACAUAAAAAUUAUUAUUUUUCUUCUCUCUCAAUUUCAUAAUAGCUUAACUUCUCAUCUGUCAUUUUUUUAAAUUGAUUCAAAAUCCGAAUGUAAAUACUAACGCUUAAUCAAAUCCUUAUUUAAAAUUAAAUAAAAUCUUAAAUUAUCACACAAAGUAAAACUAGCAUCAUUAAUGAUAAUAAAACCCACCACUUAUUCAUAAAUUUUAAUAUUAAAUUCAUUAUAUGUUAGUGGUGGUGAUGAUAAUAAAUUUUUUGUCAAUAAAAAUGAGUGAUAGACUGAUGGUUAAACUAUAAAGAAAGAGGACGUGGCGGAAAAGGAGAAUAAAAUAAAAAUAAAAAUAAAAAAUAAUUUUUUUAAUAAAGAUAAUUAUGAUAAAUAAUAAAAAUAAUUUGAAAGAGUUAAAUAUCGUUAUUGUUUAAAUAGGCAAUUUAAAAUUUCAUUGGUAGGCCACCAGACCCACCCCCGGCAAAUUUUUUUUGAAAAAACAUCUGCAAAAUUGAAGGAUUCAGCGUCUUUAACUCUGGAGAUAACUUUUUUUUUUUUUUUUUUUAAUUUAAUACAACUCCCGAGAUAACUCUUACUAUCCCAAAAUUUAAACAGUAUAAAGGGCAGACGAGGUAAACCCAUGCAAAUUCGUUUCUAUUUUGGACUGCCAUGUGCAAAUUGGGCCGGGGAGGGACAGAGGGACAGUAGACUUUACACAUGCUCAUUUCGGAGAUUGUAAAAAAAGAAGGGUUGGAUUAUUUAACAUGUUAUUUUUAAUUAGAUAUACUGUAUCCUUAAAUAUAUUUUCAAUAAAAAUUAAAGUUACAAAUAUUUAAAAGGGAUUUUAAAUUUCUUUUUAGAGAGUCUGAACUAAUAAAAAAAAAAAGCAAGCAAUUAUAUGAAGAACGUGGCUAUUUGCACUCUAAAUUUACUCUUAAUAUUUUAUUACUAUGUAUAAUCAUGUAUUAAAUUUAAAAACUUAAGUUUUAUUUUCUAUACUAUUUAAAAUACCAAAAAAGACUUAUACUUAAACUAGUUAAAUUAAUUUACUCAAAAUACCAAGAAAUCAUUUAGCACAUCCAAAAUGAAUUAAUAACAAUUUAAUUAUAACAAUAGAACUAAAGUAUGUUCCAAACAAAUUCGUUAACAUAAGUUUUAGUUACUAGUUUUUGUCUAUUAAAUAAUAUGAUCAAUAUUGGUUUUUACACCCCAAUUUUUUUACCAAACAAUUGAAAAUAAAUGGCCAUUAGGCCAAAAAAGAAAAAAGUAACUGUAGAAAAAGAAGAAGUACAACAGGAAAAAGAAGAAAACUAAAAAAAAAAAGGAAGAAGAAGAAGAAGAAAGAGAAGCAUGUAAAAAAUAAUUUUCUAAAUAAAAAAUUAAAAUAUAUGUUUAAAAUAUAUUAAAUAUAUUGAUUUGCUCGUAGUGUAACUAAAUAUCAUUUAAGAGAUUGGAAGUUAAAUUUUUAAGAUUUAUGGCAAAAGAAUUAUUUAUUAAAUAGUGAGAGCAGAUAAAUAUUUACAGUAAUUAUAUUAUAUUAAUUUAUAAAAAAAAUUGUUAUUAGUAAUUUAUAUAAUAGACAUUUUUAUAAUAAAAUAACUUAUUAAAAUAAGAGGGUUUAAAUUAAUUUUUAAAUUCAAACAGCCUCGCCGUUAUAUGGGAAAAGGUUUUCGAGUACCCUCGGUGCCAAUUCACACUCGUUGAAUGGAGUAGUUUGGCACAUGGGUUCACGUGUUUGUUGUAAAAGCUUAGUGCUAAAAUAAAGAUAAUUGUGUAUGACUCACAGGGUCAUAAUUAAUAAAUGAGCUAGUCACUUCAAUUGCAUUAGACAAAGUCAAUUUUUAUUUCUCUCUUUUCUUUCUUCUAUGAUCAUUUGAGCAGCCACCGUCGGAUACGCACCCACAAAAACAUCUGGCAAUCAAGUCGAAGCGGGGCACAGCCAAUACGGCAAUACAUUAAUAAACAGUUGUGCGGUGCCAACUGGAAAUUGGCUGUCGGGCUCGGGUAAUCAGUUCCUGGCUGCUUCCUUUGCCAAACCAAAUACCACACCUCCACACUUUUAUUUACUCCAGUACAUUGUACAAAAAUUUUCCGGGUCGCUUAAGCCAAUUAUAAUAUUCCACGUGUUGAGACAGUAGGGUUCAAUGCUUACCUGAAAUCUCCUUCUCAAUUAAUUUCAACAUUCAUACAUAGGCAUAGCGCGGCAGCAUAAUCUUGAUCUUCUUUACUAACGGAACACAACAAUGCACGCCAAGACAGACUCAGAGGUGACCAGCCUCGCCCCCUCGUCUCCCACAAGAUCUCCACGGCGUCCAGUUUAUUACGUGCAAAGCCCGUCGAGGGACUCCCACGAUGGAGAGAAAACGACGACGUCGUUUCACUCAACGCCGGUGCUCAGUCCCGCGGGCUCACCGCCUCACUCUCACUCAUCCAUCGGCCGCCACUCCCGUGAGUCGUCUUCCAGCAGGUUUUCCGGGUCUUUGAAGCCUGGAUCCCGCAAGAUCUCGCCCAAUGAUGCCUCUCGAGGUGGACAGAGGAAGGGACAGAAGCGAUGGAAUAAGGAGUGUGACGUCAUUGAGGAAGAGGGACUUCUUGAAGAUGAAGAGCGUCGAAGCGGUCUCCCCCGCCGUUGCUAUUUCCUCGCUUUUGUUCUUGGCUUCUUUCUUUUGUUCUCUCUCUUCUCUUUGAUUCUCUGGGGCGCUAGCAAGUCCCAGAAACCCAAGAUCACUAUGAAGGUACACAUGAAAUUAAUUGUGAAUCGAUUUGAGUUGAUUUUUCUGUCAUCUCGGGGUUUUUAUUUUAUUUUAUUCUCUUUUUGGUCUCGCAGAGCAUAAACUUCGAGCAUUUCAAGAUUCAAGCUGGUUCAGAUUUUUCUGGAGUGGCAACUGAUAUGAUCACAGUGAACUCUACAGUGAAGAUGAUCUACCGUAAUACCGGCACAUUUUUUGGCGUCCAUGUAACAUCGAAUCCUCUGGAUCUAUCUUAUUCUGAAAUCACAAUUGCCUCAGGAGCCGUAAGUCAUCACAAAUAUCCUUCUAAUUUUCGUUUUAGUUUUAGUUUUAGUUUUAGCUAGUUUAAGUUUUGUAAUUAUUUGGGGAAAGUGAAAUGGGUACGUAUUGGCGUUGCAGAUUAGGAAGUUCUAUCAAUCGAGAAAGAGUCAGAAAACAGUAAGCGUUGCGGUGAUGGGUAACAAGAUCCCAUUAUAUGGUAGUGGAGCUGGUUUGAGCAUCAACAGUACAACGGGCAGCACAAGUCAUCCAGUGCCUCUCAAUCUGAACUUCGUGGUCCGAUCCAGAGCUUACGUUUUGGGAAAAUUGGUCAAGCCUAAGUUUUACAAGAAUAUUGCGUGUUCUAUUACUUUCGAUCCCAAAAAGCUCAAUGUUCCUGUCUCCCUCAAGAACUCUUGCACAUAUGACUGAAUCUGAAUGAAUGAAUACACAGCAACAAAGACAGAAAAUCUAUUUUUUUUUUAAAAAAAAAUAUUAAUGAAGCACGUUGAAGAGACUUUCGUGCAUUCUUUGUUGUUCUUCCUCUUUUUUUUUUUUUUUUAAUAAUUUUUUGGGGUUAAAAGAAGAUGCCAGUGGAGUUGAGUUACAGCUAAGCGGGAGAGCUUUUGAGUUGUUUGGGCAAAGGGGUUUCAUGCGUGUGUGGACUUUUAGGCUGCCCGGAGAGCGGAGAUUGGAAAAAUACCUUGCGUUUAGAUAGUGACUUGCGUGUGAGUGAUCUUUCGUCUUUUGUUAUAAUUUAUUGAUUUCUUAGAUGACGAUGUAAUGUAAACUAUUACAUAUUGUUUAUAUAAUAAUACCAUUGUGUUUCUUGCGGUCAACUCUUAAUUGCUAAAGAAUUAUUAUUCAGCAAAUUUCAUCCUUUAUUAUGAAGGCAAAGAUUAAGCUGUGAGAAUAUAUUAUGGAUAAAUUACGGUCAUAAAUUUAUCUAAAACUCUCUAUAGACAGAAAGACUUGAACCUCUUUCUUAUUAUCUAUGUGAUUUCCAAACAUAAUUGAUAACACCAAAUUGUGAUUAUGAAAUAAAAAUUAAUAAUACUGCUGUACGGCCAAGGCGGAUGUACGGUACAGCAGAUAUAUAUAUAAAUAAAAAAUAACGGCAAAGCUUAAUCAAGAAUGCUACAAACUUCUGAUCUCAGUGAUACUUUGCUUUGAAAGACUUGAAUGAAGGGUCUUUUAGAUGUGCACUAUACGCCAAUCACAUGAGUUAUAAUGACUUUAAGUUUUGCUUAACUAGAAUAAGAAUAACUUCGUUUUGCAGAGGCUUAAAAGAAUGUGUUCGCAAACUCCUUUAUCAACAUUGAAAAUCCUCUUCAAAUUAAGCCAUUGUACAGCAAGCUUGCCCAGUGUUGGAGACGUUAUUAUCAAGACUUGAGAAUCCUGCAUAGUGUAACAGGAUAGGCAAUGGUUAUUUUCUGUGCCAAAACAAAUCAUAUAUUGAUUCGACUUAGAGUAUGGUUCGUAUUUAAUAACUUCAAUGAGUUAUAAGACUGUUAUAGUCAUAUCUGAUAUGACUUUCUUGAAGCAUAAGCAAACCUUGCACCGUGGAUAGAAUUUAUAGAGUUUGCUUGCUAAAAGGUUGAUAAAAUGUGUCAUUGAUUUCUAAAUAUUGGUUUCUGCUGGCGUUUCAUUCUGAAAUUUCAUCUUAAAUUGCUUGGCACUAACAAGACAGUGUGUUAUGCAAGCAAGAAUAUGAUAGUUUGCAGAAUGAAGAUUUAGAGUGAAAAGGAGUUGUCCAACAUUGUUUCAGGGGCAUAUGCCGCAUAUCUUGCAUUUGAUAGAUUUAACUCAGAAACUUACUGACGCUACAAGCCACAUCAGCACCACUCCAUGAUCAAACUCUAGAUUGAAAUCCAAUUAGAUGGGUAAUUUAGGAGAUCUCAAGUCUACGAAUUUGCGUCAGUCUAUCAUUUUUUCGGGACAUUGACAAAAUAAGAAGCAGUAAGUCAACAAAGCAAAUAACAAAGAGCGAGCUUGCAUUAGGAAGUAGUAAUAAAUGAAUGUAUAAUUAAAAGAAAACUGAAGAAGAACAAAUGAAUCUAUCUCCCGCAAUGGGUGAUUGUGGAGCAACCUCUGGUGUAGGGGUUAGCAUGGCCUCUGGCUUUGUAACAGUUGUGGGUAUAAUAAGACCUCCCUGAACGAGCUGGGCAAGGAACCCUGUUGGCAGAAAGAGCUCCAUACGAUAUGUAAUAAUGCUUUCCUCUCCUGUACAGAGAUCUCCUGGUAAUCCCACCAUCUUCAUCCUGGCGUUCUUCUUCAUCAUCAUCGUACGCAGACAUUGUCCAUGAUUCCCACCCAUGUCCCUCAGUACUCAUCAGCGGGAAGCUUGCUUCGUCAUACCGAGCUUUCACAGUGAUGAUCAUAGAGACGACAAGGAGCAGCUUUAGAACUGACGAGAAUGCCAUUGAUGAUCGAUGUGAUCAAUCUUUAUUUGGGUUAGCUUUCAGCAUUCAGCUAGCAGGAAACGGGGAGUGAUGAAUUAUAAUAGUAGUUAGUAGAGACUAGAGACUACUACGAAAGGCAGUGCAUGUGGCAGAUGAAGGGUUAUGACUCAUGAAUUAUGAGAUGGUGGUGAUUGCAGACAAUAAAUUAAUCACGUGAAAAUUUGAAAUUUUUCGCCGACUAGAGCAAGAGAGCAGAUGACGUCAGUCGCACCUUGUUGCCUAGCUCCCUUAAUUAAUUGUUUUGUUCACAUGUUUUCGUUUCUCCUUUUUGGGAUCUACCGUUUGCCACAUGCAAUGAUGCCAAUGCAGCGUGAUGUGAUAUGUGAAAUUUUGUCUUUCAAGUCUUUUCACUUGGCUAUAAAACGAGGAUAAUAGCAACAAACAAACACACAAUUUUGUCUUGGCAAUGUGACUGUUUUCCUAUUUGAUUUACUAAAACUUCUUGGCCAAACUCCUAUCUUUUUAUGAAGGUCAAAUAUUUACACUUUGGCCUAGUUAGGACUGCUGCUGCGCCUUAAUUAUUCUCAUAAAAGUUUGCCAUGCAUUUCUAACCGUUAAGAAACCGUACUCAUAUGAUAAAAUGUGACAUUGAUUGCAAUUAAAAAAAUAAUAAUACCAAUCAUAAUCUCUGGAAACUAUUUAGGUCCUAUUUAAGAUUGAGGUGCUGUAACUUAAAAGUUACAGUUGCCGUAGAAAAAAUAGUAACUAUUAAAUAAAAGUUAAUAAUAUGUAGUAAAUAUAAAAUUUAAAUAAUAAUUAUAAGAAAAUUAUUAAAAAUAUAAUAAAUUUUUUAUUAUAUAAGUAAAAAAUUAUAUCAACAUAAUUUAUAAGUUAUAACAACUAGUGUUUACCAAACACUUUAAUAUUGUAACUUAAAAACUAGAGUUGCCUAAGCUCAAUUCUAAGCACACUUUUAAUUAAGGUGAUAGAAUCCCCUAUAUUAAAAACAUGAGAGUUAUGCCUAGUUUAAAUCUCAGUCAUGGUUGGGAGGUAAUUGACGACUUAAAAAAUGAGAGAGAGAUUAAAAAAGGUAAUAAUAAUAACUUUAAAUUGAUUGGCGGGACAGCAAUUGGGCUAGCCAGGCCCCUAGGCCUCACCGUAGAGGCCCGGUCCAAUAAGAUUGAGUUAACUUUCUUGAAGGGCCUUUUCAACAAGCAAAAGAUAUUUUAUGGCCAUAGUAGGAAAUUUAGGAAACUUAUGAGGAAUAAAUGUAAAAUAGAAGAAUCUCUGGCAUCGACCAUCUCGCCCGUCUCUUAAAUGACAGAACUCCAUUUCGCCUAUUCCUCUCUAGAAUUGUCUUAACGAUGGUUCGGCCUCAGCACCAUUUCCAGCAAAAUUACCAGCAGCCGCAACAGCAGUCCAAAAGCUUCAGGUAUUUAUACCUCAAAUUUAUUUUAUUUUUCUUCUAAGACCUUAUUAUUUUUGUUUGAUCAUUUAGAUUUUUUUUUUAUUCCGUCAGGAACUUAUACGCAAUGGACGGUCAGAUUUCGCCACCAGUAGCUUAUUACAGCACCGCCAAUAAUUUACAGGAUCAAUCUCAGCAUCCUCCGUACAUUCCUCCCUGUAUUAUUCCUUUCUCUCUCUGUGAUUGUUUUAAACUGCUGAUAAAUCACUGUCAAAAUAAAUAAAUGAAUAAGAAGAACUGAGAGCCUGAGACCAUAUAAAAUUCUGUUUCCUUUGUUUCUCAAGAAUUGGAAAUGAGAAAAAGAGAAUUAAGCUAGUUUGUGGACUUUUUCUUGAGCUAAAAUGCUAAGUUUGGCUAAAUUUCGAUUGUGCGUAAUUUAUUCUUUAUAAAAAUAAAUAAAUAAAUAGAGAGGCAUAAUUAUUUCAUCUUCUGAGCCCUGACCUGCAGAAAAUAUGAAGUUUCACAUUAUUUGUCAUUUAUUUCUGUCAUAGUCAUAGCAAAAACAUAUAUACCGAUUUUUUUUUUGUCCUUUAAUAUUUUGUUUUUCUUAAAUUUUUUUUUUCAGUAACCUACUAAACAGACAUAUUAUGUAUAUGUUUUUAUUGCAGUUCAUGUUGUUGGGUUUGCACCUGGUCCGGUAAAUGCAACGGAUGGCAGUGAUGGGGGAGCUGAUUUGCGGUGGAACAGUGGUUUAGAGCCUAAGAGGAAAAGAUUGAAGGAGCAAGAUUUUUUGGAGAACAACUCGCAGAUAUCAUCAGUGGAUUUCCUGCAAGCACGACCGGUAUCAACAGGAUUAGGUUUGUCACUUGACAAUACACGAAUGGCUUCCUCUGCUGACUCGGCUUUAUUGUCAUUUAUUGGUGAUGACAUCGAUAGUGAACUACAGCGACAGGAUGCUGAGAUCGACAGAUUCCUCAAAGUUCAGGUGAAGAUUCUGGAAUUUAUUGGUUUCCAUGUUUGUUUGAAAAAAUUGUCGCCUUCUUGAUUUUUUUGGAACAUUUACUUUUCUAGCAUGGUUAUACUGAUUGAAAUGAUAAUCGGUAUCAUAAUGAUUGAAUGUGAGCAUACAUGAUGUUUUCAGGUGGUGCUUUUGUCGUGUUUGUUAAGAUACUUAUGAUAGGUGCUUAGUUAGGUUGACAACACAGUUUACUGUGGUUUAUGUUGGUUAAUGUCAAGUGUUAUGUGAAGACAUAACCCAAAAAAAAAAAAAGGUGUUAUGUGUACCUAGGAAUUUGAAAUGACGUCUUUUGCUUCAUUUUUUCUCUUUCGAGAGAAUUUAAUUCCCGCCGCACUAGAUAUGGCGCAAUCUGCCUCCCUUCAAAAACUUCUCAUUUGAAGUUUAGGAGUUUUCUGCAUUUGGCCCUUCCCCCCAAAAAAAAACCCGAUGUUACAUUUUUUUGGUAGCCUUUUUUUGUGGUUCGUUUAUAGCCAAAGAUGUAUAUGGUUGAAGAAGGGAACACAUAUCCCACAUAUGCUUGACAGGGCUGUCAAGAACAUGUCAAGUAUGUGGAUUUUUGCCUAGAUUAUGUUGAAUGAUUGAUUGACACCCAUCUGAACUCUGUAUACUAACAUUUUUACCUAAAAAUCUAGCGUUACAUUUAUUGAAAUAUCCAACAUUAUGAAUUCAAAUCAACUUAAUGAGGUGAUUAAGCCAUUCUACGGAAGUAGAUCUUUUACUAGUUGGAAGCUCCAAAUCAAGAGUAGGUGUCAACUCUUGAAGUUUUCAGUAUCCUUUACCGUCUUCGUGAUGUUGUUGUAUGUUUCAUAUCCUUUUUGAUGCAAACUUGUGACAGAACUAAGGUAAAGAAGACAGAGGGUAUUUUGGUGAGAUCAACAUUGUCUUUGGCUGUAGGAAGAGUACAAAAGUAACAAAACUAACUGUCUUUGGCUGUAGUAAGAGUGCAAAACUAACUAUGUAGUUUUCGAAAAAAUAAUAAAACGGCCAUCCAAAUAGUGUUAUUUAGGGAAAUAAAAACCCAGAUGGGAGUCCUGUCUCCUGUCUUAGUUGAUGAGUACUUAAUUUUUUGUUGGUUUGAGAUAUGCGGCUGUUUGCUUUGCUGCUUUUAGAAUUUAAUUGCAUUAAGGUUAUUUACAGAAACAGAUUUCACAUUGCUUUUAUGACUCCUAAGUUAGAGGUGAUGGAUGAUGUUUCCAACCUUUUGCAUUUAUCGAAAUAUCAUCUUCAGGACACAGUCUAUCGUUUUAUUCUUGGUUUUGCUUACAAUGAAGUUUUCUGUUUUGUAACUCUUGCUCUCUAUAGCCUCUUGCGUACUUGUUUUCCUGUUUCAUAAAUGUAUAUUGUUAAAGGAAAUAUGAACAAGUGAUAAUCAUUGUCACAUUGUGUUAAACUUUUUCUCUCAUAUAGUUGCCUUGUUUUGAUAUUGUUAUAUUUAAUUGUUUUGCUUUAAUUUCUGUCUUCAGUGUCAUUUCAUGAUUCAGAUAAGAGGAUUUUGCAAUUUGAUUGUUCCAAGUUCUAAGUUCUUCAUCAAUAUGAUAGGGUGACCGAUUGCGGCAAGCCAUUCAAGAGAAGGUUCAGGCUAACCAACUUCAAACCAUCUCACUUGUGGAAGACAAAGUUAUUGAGAAACUUCGUGAGAAAGAAGCAGAGGUGGAGAAUAUUAACAAGAGGAAUCUGGAGCUUGAAGAAAGAAUGGAACAAUUGAGUGUGGAAGCUGGUGCUUGGCAACAGCGGGCCAGACACAAUGAAAAUAUGAUCAAUGCCCUCAAGGUUAAUCUUCAGCAUGUAUAUGCUCAAAGUAGAGACAGUAAAGAAGGGUGUGGUGAUAGCGAGGUUGACGAUACGGCUUCAUGCUGCAAUGGGCGCGCCAUUGAUUUCCAUAUUCUCUGCAAAGAAAACAAUGAUAUGAAAGAGCUGAUGACCUGUAAGGUUUGUAGAGUGAAUGAAGUAUCAAUGCUUUUGUUACCUUGUAAGCAUCUCUGUCUGUGUAAAGAAUGUGAAAGUAAGCUCAGUUUUUGCCCCAUCUGCCAGUCAUUUAAGUUCAUAGGGAUGGAGGUCUAUAUGUAACAGGAUAAAUGUGUAAGUUUAAGAUUUGAUGUUAUGCUAAUGGUAUAUUUUGAUUGUCGAUGAUUGCUCGUUACCUCUUUGCUUCUUUCUUGGUUGUUACAAGCUGUAUUUUCAGUGCUUUUAUCAGAAUUUCUUGUUUUUGGAUUUUCUCUUGUAAAGACAGACAUAAAUUGUGUGUGUUUCUAUUCCAAUACCUAGGUUGCAAUGGCAUGUAGAAUUCUUAGGCUCCACACAAAAUUUCUUUUACCUGCAGUUCCAACGCGCUGCAAGAUAUUUAUGUGUGUCAGUGCUGGAUUAAAGUUAGGGAACUAGGUGGAAAUAUAUGUCAACUUGCAUGGUUUGACAUUUUAUCUUCUAGUUCAUUUCUGUUGUGGGGAAAAGGAAAUCGUUUCGGCGUCCUAAUGGUAUAUCGUCUUUCUAUUUUAACUAAUUCCUUAGGAUUUUCACAAAUUCCGUUUUGGAAUAAUAAUAUACGUUUGAAAGAUACAGAAAAAACAACAACAACAACAAUAAUAAUAAUAAUAAUAAUAAAAAGAAGUGCGUUUGAACAUUGAUUUAUUGUUUGUGUGUCAUUAAAUGAAAAACAAAACGGGCGCCAAGCAGACUCAAGACUGUUAAAGCUUCCAUCGAGUCAUUCGGUGGACUCAAUGAACUGGGCCCAUCGAGGCUGAAUCGAACUAAAACCCAGUGGGCUAUUUUCACUAUUAUGUAUGUAUUACGGCUGUGUAUUUUUUACUUUAUUUUUUCUGAACACCUGCAUCUGUUAUAUUAAAAACAAGAUUUCAAGCAUUUCUAAUUGGUGCAUGUUUGGUAAUGUAAUGAGUUAUUUAAUGGUUAAAAGUGCUCAUCUAAUUUAAAAUGCUUUUUAAAAAUUUUUGGAGUUAUUUGGUUGUAUUUCUAGUAGAAUAUUUUUAGGAUUAAAUAAGUAAUUUUGUCAUUGCUAGAAAAAUUUUAAAUUUUAUUUAUUUCACAAAUUUUUUAGAGUAGAUUUGUGGAGCUUUUUUAAGAGUUAAAUUAUUUAAGAAAUUCUCUUUAUUUAUUUCACUAUCUUAUUUUAUUUAUUUUAUAACAUAACUUUAAAAAUUCUAUAUACUAAAGUAAUUUUAUAUUUUUUUUAAUAAAAACACUCUAUUUGAAUAUACUCUAUUUAGAAAGUUAUACCAAACGGUAUAGAAAAUGUGGAUGUGCCAGUCAAAAUUAAUUGACUUUUUAUUUUUCCCCCCUUUUCUUUGAGAAGAGUAAAUAUGUAGGAGGAGACUGGUAGAUGAAUCUCAAUAAUUGCCCAUAAUUUUGACAAUCAAGCUACUCAUCACUACUUUAGCCUGUGUACCUGAUCUCUAAAACUGUAGAAAAGGAUAUAUCUUGUACUUAAUUUGUACCUAAUCUGCACUUACAACUUCUUGUUAAAUCAAACCUAGAAAAAUAAUUAUUCAGUUUCCGAACUUAUUAUUAGAAAACCAGUUUAUCAACUAUGUUGGUAGUUGAACAAACCGCGACAUCUCUUACUCAUUCCGUUAUUACAUGCAAACAUUACAUAUAUAUAUAUAUAUUUUUUUAGCUGAAGCCGAGCCAAUUCUGAAAAUUGAGCCUUGAGCCUUGAGCCUUGAAAAUUAUAGCCCGUAUUAUUAGUUAUAAUAAUUUUGCUUUGAACUUUUUGUCAAUUUUCUAGUAACCAAUAUGUUAGUAGUAGAAGAAGAAGAUAGACUUGGGAAACAAGAUGUUGAUUUGGGGGGUAAUGUUAUAGUAAUUAGUAAUUGAGAAAAGAGGGAUGGUAGCUUUUCUUUUUAAGGGGGAGAGAAGAUACAUCAACUUUUUUCUAAUCAUGCCUUAGAAAGUGAUGACAAAGAGGAAAGUGAAUAUGCUUCUUCCAUGAUUAUAACUAUCUGCCAUAUGUAUUAUUAUUGUGAUUUGUUUUUAUUCAUUAUUCCACCUCCACUUCCACUUCCACCGCAAACCCCAGCCGAUCUCAGUCCUGUCAUGUCCCUUUACUUUUUCUUUUUAUUCGUACCAUCAUCCUUCUUCUUUAUCUUAUUAUUAAAGGAAUCAUCUAAAACCCAAAUCUGAUCAUAUGUAAUAAUAAUAAUAUACUAAUGUUUUUAAUUAUUUUACUAUAUGAGUAAAAUUCAAAUUUCAAAAUUAAGGAAGAGUGACUUUAAUAGAGUUCAAUCAUCUAACACCCACCUUAUUCCCCAUAAAAGCUGUUCUUUUAUCUAUCUCCUUUCUUUAAUUUUUAUCUGCUUUCUCAAGUGGAAGUGGGGACUCCUGCAUUGGCUUACCUCCACUUUGUAUCUCUUUUGCCUUUCCUUUCAUCUUAGAUGUACAUUCGUGAAUGAUUCUUCUGGGACUCCAAUGUGUAUGUGUUCAGUGAUUCUUACACUGUCAAAGUUAUACGAUUUUGAACUGAACAUGUAGCUUUUUGAUGCCCACAGCCACAACUGCUGCUGCUUCGUGUAUGCGGGAUCUUUUAGUGCAGUAGUAAUUAAAAGGAUGACCCCAUUGUAAAUGAAAUAUAUAUAUAUAUAUGAAAUACACACACACACACACACACACACAGACGAUAGAUAGAUUGCUUCACUUGAGCGAGGUUGAGGGAUUUUAAUUUCUCUCUACUCUAUAUUUAUUUCUUCGCUCAUUUCUCUAUAUAAAAAUGCUUGAGACGUACGUAUUUUCAAUUAUCUAAUCUUACCUACAUGUGCACUUAAUUACUUUCUAGCACGACACGAUAGUUAUCUGUCUACUUUGAGAAGCUUCAUGGAAAGACAAAGAAAACUUUGGGAAAGUUGGCAUAAAUUAAUUUGCGUCAUAUAUAUGAGGUUGAAAAUCUAUAUGAGUAAUUAAGCGGUUGGAUAUAUUUCAGAGUGUCUUUUUGAGUAUGUUCUUUAAAGAAAUAUCACCAAUAAAUUUAGAAUCUGGGCGUACGUCAAGCAGGUGCUCAGUUUAUGAAAGCAUGCUUUUUUAUUAAUAUAUUUUGCAGAAACAAAAAGAAAAAAAGGUAAUUGCUGGUUGCUAAAUAUAUAACCCCAGUUCAUUACACAACAUCUUUUUUUUUUCUUUUAAAUUUUUCCCCACCAUUUUCUUGCACAUUGUUUCAUUUCAUUAGUUUUCAGACUCGGCCAAUGUUCCACAUCUGCUUCACAGUCACUCGUCCACAAACAGCAAAUAGGUAGCUGGGAGUAACUGCGGGCAGUCCCAAGUUCUAUUGCUUGUCGGCAUCUUCAGUACUUUUGGCAACAGCCAAGAGCGGUCCUAGGAACAAAAUUAAACUACUUCUCUUCAUUAAUUUGUCUCUAGCUACCUUAGCUAGCUACUUCCAAUAACCUUAACUUGUUUCGAAAGACUAAUCGCUAAGGUUAAUUUGUAUAUUUUAUAUAUUAAUUAUUUGGCUUCUUUUGUUAAAUUAUAAAAAUCAGAAAGAAAGGAAACAAGAGUUAACGUGUGUGUGUUAUAUAUAUAUAUAUAUAUAUAUUCAUGCAAAUUCAUUAACAUAAAGGCAAUAACAGUAUAGUAAGUAAUUGCUUUUAAGGAGUGGGAGUGGCGCGUGUAAGAAUGAAAUAAUGCACAUCAUUUUCACAGAUGGACCGUCGGAUAUGUGCGCGCUGAGUGAACGAUCUAUUCCUUACAAAGCUUUUUGCUUGACAUGAUUGACCAGGCAAAAAAGAAAGGGGUUUUCUCAGUGGAUAAUUAGGUGGCAAUAAUAUUUGCAUGAUUAUAUAUAUCAUUUGGAAUAUAUAUAUAUAUAUAUAUAUUGCAUUUUAAAUAAACAAAGAGACGAACGAAAUCUGGACAGUCCGGAUCGACCCAACACUGCAAAUGAUUUGAGGAUAACUGCAGUUCCCCAGAAUGGAUCACCAUCCGAUCAAUUACAAAACAAUAAUUAUUAUUUUUUUUAUAAAAAAAAAACAUGCAUAUAUUUUUCUUUGACGAAUUUCGAUGAGAAUCAGAUAUGCAAUUGUGUAUCAUGAAUUAUUGGCUGUCGUCAACAGAAAAAGGAAAGGAAAAUAAAAUAAAUGUCGCUUUAAGCACUUUGCUUUGUGAGUAAUGGACGUAAGAGGUGGGUCUUUGAAAUUGAUAUAUAUGCAUGAAAUGAUGGUGAAGAUGAUGGAGGGACCCAAAUGAGGUUGAUGAUGAUGAUGAUCAUCACAAGGGGAAUCCCUUGGAUUGAGGAGUAGUAUUAGCAUAUAGCUAGCACAGCAGCAGCCUUGAAUUGUGGGACCUUUUUCUUUAACGUUUUAUCAGCCACAGUAUAAAAAGAUGUGAAGACGAAGAAGAAAAAGAAUGUGAUGUGCAUGUGAUCCAACAGCCUUUAUGUUCCCCUCUUCUUCUAACCAAAUGUAUAUAUAUUUUUUAACCCACCAAUAUUAAUUCCAAACCAUCUUUAGUGUUUUUUUUUUUUUUUUCAAUUAGUUAAUUGAUCACCUGGGUCUAUUACUUUUUUGCACAAUCAUGUUUAGGUCUAACAUUACAUUGUUGUUAAUGUUUUGUACUAAGACUUAAUUUUGGGCCCAUACUCCAUUAAAGACAUUUUACUAGUUAGCUAGUGGAAUUCAAAAGACACCAUAUCACAUCAAUCAUUCUGUAGAAUAUACUGUAUAUAAUAUAUCUCUAUCAAUUAUAUUCUCUGUAUACACGAUAAAGUUUCUCACGUUUGUAGUAGGAGCUUUUUCACGUAGAAGUUGAAUUGAUGCCUUUAAGAAAGAAUAUUGAAAGAAAGAGGGAAAGCAAAAGAAAAGAGAAAGGAAAGAAGGAGAAGAAAGAAAGAAAGAAAGAAAAAUGAAGGGAAAGAUAUCUAUUGUUGUUGCUCUCCUUUUAAUGUAUCUCCAAAGUGAGUUAAAAUGAGCUUUGUUUCAGUGACAAGCAACAAUAGGCCAUGCAAGACUAAAUUCUUUGCUUUUCAACCUCUUUUAUGGAGGGAUAGAGCUUUUGCAUGGAAAACAAAUCCUUUAUUAUAUAUAUGUAUAUUCUAAUGUUCCAUUGAUAGAUUCCUUUUCUGUUUAAUCAAUCAAUUUAAAAACUUUCUUUACUUCAUUUGGGUCAAUGUCUUAGUUCACUUUUAAGUCCAAUAAAUAUACAUAAUUUCUUAAUGAGUGAGGCAGAAUACAUAUCUAAAUGGCUACGUACUUCUUAAUUAGCAAGCAAUUAAGUCAUUUCCUCGCGACUGGAGACCUGAUGAGGGACCCUAGCAUUAUUAUUUAAUUAACUCUAUGAUCACCAAUUUGAAAAAGAGUGACAACAAAAGUAUUUGUGCUGGCUAUUGAACUAAUAAAAUCUUAUAUGAUAUGGUUAUAGAAAAUUUGGGGUCCAAAAUCCGCAACGCCAGAUCGAGCUAUAAAGGCCCCGAGAGGCCCCAAAAAAUAUACCAUCUAAGAUGCAAACAUAUAUAUAUAUAUAUAUAUAUAUGCUAUGUGUUACUAAAUUUCUUAUUCAGGCUACGUUUUAAUUGCUCAAUAGUUUUGGAAAUACUCGAAAUCUUUUUUUUUAUUUUUUUAUUAUUAUUAUUCAUUAGCUAAUUGGUCAAACAAUCCUAUAUCUUUGAUUAAUAAUAAUGAAAUUCAAUCUAACUUUAGAGGAACAAGUCAAUAAUAGUUGUUUCAGUUGUAAACUAAAUAUUCACCCUCGUGUUUAAAACUCAUCAAAAUUCCCAAGUCAUUAUUAGAGAAAUGUGAACUUUUGCUUUUGUUUUUGUUUUUGUUUUUGGUUUUGGUUUUUUUUUUUGGUGUGUUUUUUGCUCAUUUACCCACCAUUGAUCAAUAAAAAAUCUAAUAAGAGUAAACUAGUAAAAGACAAAAGCUAAAAGUUAAUAUGACUCUUUUUUUUUUUUCUUCUUUUUUCUUUUUUGUGACAAGGGAGUUUUGAUGGUAUUGAAUAUGAGGGGAAAAAUAAUUAAUGUUUAACAAACAACACAAGGAUUUGAUGGUCUUCUAUUAUAAAGCCAAACCUGAAAAAUCACAGCUUUUGGUAUGGGUAGGAGAAGUAGGGGUUGACUGAGGCGAAAGGAAUAGCAUGUUCCACAUAUUUUCCUUCAAAUAUUAAUAAGUAUGAUGGCGGAGUAGCAGCACAGGAUUGUGUGUGUGUGUGUGUGUGUGUGUGUGACUGAGACACUGAGGGAUUGUCACCUCUAGAAGGACAAAGUUGUCAAUCAAAUAACGCAAAGGACAAAUCCUCUGAGUAUACAUGAGUGCAUGCAUUACAAAGACAAACGGAGAUCUUGUCCGGUCCAUUAAUUAAUAUCGGUGUGCCAUUUCCUCGUGGGAUCCAUAUCCCCUCCCCUCGUGACUCUUCCUUUUUUCCUUUUUAUUUCAUUUCUUUUUUCCUCUUAGUUCUCAGAAUAAGUACACACCGUCUCUCCCAUUUUGAACCAGUUCUCUUUGACCAAACCCUAGCUCUCUGCUACGUAUUUCACGAACCCAACAACAUUAUAUUAAUUAAUUUUGAGUUCAAAUUGUAUAAUAUGUGACAUUUGUAUAUAUCUGUACGUAUAUAAUAUGUUUGUGUUCCUGGGUCCUGGCCAUGGUGGGAAGAGAGGAGGAGGGGGGUCAGUGAAACAGACAAAAGAGAGUGCGAGAAGAGACAGAAGAAAGAACCUUGUAGCUUGUCGCGUAUUUAUACAGACUUUGAUUCUUUUUCACUUUAGAAAUAGAGAGAUAGAGAAAGAUAGUUCUUUGAAUAUUAUAUAUAUAUGUUUAGUAGCUUAAUUGAUUAUUAUUAUUAUAAUAUAAACCUAUCAACUUUUUCUUUAUUUAUUUAUUUAUUUUUUAUCCGUAUUCGCUCUGUGUUUUAAGUUGUCUCUCCUUGAAAUUCUCAUUCUAGAUUAACAGAGAUAAUAAUUUUUAAUUGUCUUAUAUGUAAUUCCUAGAAAUUAAUAACAAUAUUUUCAAAUGUAUCGGCGGUGGUCAUGUGAGGAGGAGGAGGAGGAGCAGGGGGCUGUGCGUUGUGGGGUUCACUUUUUCACUGCGUUUUAGAAAUUGGAAUAGAAUCUUCUUGGCACCUCAACUUAUUAGAGGUAAUAGGAAAAUGGUGUUUUUAUGUGUGUGUGUGUGUGUGUGUGUGUGUGUGUUGGCUUGGGGGUGUGAUUGUUGCCAGUACUGAUGGUGGUGGGCUCGGGAGGAUCUGUCUAAGUUGCUGACAACUUGUAAAAAAUAAAAAUUAUCAGCCUUUAUUUUCUAGAUUUCCAGUCUCAGUAGGUCCACAACCUUUUAUCGAUGUCUGAUACAAACAAAAAUGCUUCAUAUAAUUUGUUUAACUGGCUAGCUAGAUUUGCUCAUCAACUGCCCAUCCUCAUCAAUGCCAUAGGGUCCCAUGCCCUCGUGCUGCUGCGUACAUUUGCUUGACAGACCCUCUAAUUAAUUAAUGAUCACAUAAUUGGUUAGCUUAAUCCUCUAGAUUGCUCAAUUUGCUGCGCUUCCAUUAUUAAUCUGUUACGGUUUCGAAACUAAUUACACAAUGACUGGCUAGGUUAGCUCGAGUAAUAUUAUUGUGUUUGAUUUGAUUCUCUUGAGAUAGCAGCCUCCUAUGAUCUGUAAAUUAUGACAGUAAAAGUAAUGGGUUGUGGGGGAACAUAUUUGUUGGAAUUUGGAAGCAUCUAGAUUGAUGUUACAUACAUUACACAUGUGACGCCUCCCAUAAAUAUGCAUGCAAUAUGAACAUCAGAAUAGAGAGUAAAAUAUUUAGAUUUUCAUUUAUUUAUUUUACGAAGGCAAGAAAAAAACAAAAUAGGAAUCACGAGAAUGGCAUACAAGCACAAGAUAAAAAAAAAAGAAAAAAAAAAAAGAAGAAAAAACUGUUUCCAUGUCAGCCGCUGCGAAAUUUUCACAGACCGCAGAAGGGGUAAGUUACUUACAAGUCUGUGUGUGAAUUGUGAAGUUGAGGGGGGGUUUAAUAAAAGCCAAGAUAUAGAUAAAAGAAAGAGAGAGAAGGGCAUCUCAAGUUUUAGAAGGUGGUAUUUGCUCAGACCAUAGCUAAGGGCCAAGGGACAGUAUGUAUUUCCCAUUUUAAUUGAAUAUCGGGACUUGAAGCUGACAUUUUCUUCUUAUUCUUUUCAAAAUUUGAAGCUUCUCCGUAUAGAUGUAAAUGUAAAUGUAAAUGUAAAUAUAAUGCAAAAUAAAAGAAUUAUUCAACGUCACAUGCAAAGCAAUGAAUCCUCCUAUUUCCCUCCACUAGCUACUCCCUCAAAUUUUAAAUGUGGGUCUUGAAUAUUUUGGCUUAUUCAGUGGAAUCAAAAGAGAGAGAGAAAAAAAAAAAAACUUACAUAAGGGAAGAAAGAAAUGAAAUGACAAUAUUAAUCAAGAGAAUCACAUUAAAUAAAAGUGAAAGAAAGGAAAUAAAAUGGUGGGGGACUGGGACAGUUUAACUUUGUUUUUCCAAUAAUGAGAAUCAUAUAACAUGAUCAAAAUAAUCAGUUGAGUAUCUAUGUGAAAUAAUUAGUAAUCAUUUUCCUAUAGUUUCACUUUGAACAUGCUUCUGUCCCUACCUUGCCCGACUGUUCACUUACUCAUAACCAAAAUGAUGCAUUUCUCACUUUUAAUUAUAGGAUCCCUCGAUCUCUAAUAACCACUGACUUCCGAUAUUUUAUUUAAUUUCAUGCAUUUUUCUUUCGCUUGUUGCUUUAUUUAUUUAUUUAAAGGGAGAGAGUAAAAAAAAAAAAACUAAUUGAGUUUCCGAUAUGAGAAAAAAAAAAUUCUCGAGAAAUUAAAUCAUGAGAAAUUGACGUGGAGAUUACAUGGAAUGUUGGGGCAUUAUCCGAGAAAGAAAUUAGGAAAAGCUGAAUUUUUUUUCAGUUAUAUAUAUGUGUGUGUGUGUGUGUAUUCAUGGAACGGAAACUUUUGGGCCAAUAAUUCAAUUGAAUCACCUGGGACACGUCAGCAAAGGAAAGAAGCCGAGCCGAGAGAGAAGUGCCAAAGUUGGAGGCUCAAAGCAGAGGCCAAAGGCUAUGUAGAGUCUGUACAAUUGUAAGUUAGUGAGUAAAGGCAGCAGUGGUAUAGUAGCCAGAGAUAGCAUGCAUGUGUGUACUACUGUUGUAUCUAUCCAUUGAAAAGUUUGCAAAUAUUAUUAUUAAAUUAAAAAGAAAAAUCAAAAUUUGAAGAAAGAAAGAAAGAAGAAGAAGAAGCAGCAGUAGAAGAAAUAGAAAUAGAAGCUGAGAGAAGAAAUGUCGUCACCAAAACUCUUUUUUUUUUUUUUUAAAUAAAAAUAAAAGAGCUCUAGUUAAAUCCCAUCACGUAGUUCGAUGUAUCCUUUUACCUUAUAUAUCUGCUAGAGUAGAGUAGUAGUAGAAAAUGAUGGGAUUCGAAAUUGGAGACUGUGUCUGAUGAGUUGGGUGUGUUAUUAAACAACAAACGGAAAGCUACAAAAUGAAAAGACGACACUCGUUUGACGUGAGCACUUAACUCAAAAGGCUAAUUGCACAGUGUAACACUGUGCGUAUUUGACCAAAAUACCCUUAGAUUAUAGCGGUAAAACGGGGGAUGACAUUGUAAAUUAAAAAAUUAGAAAGACAGGCUGCAACCUGCACCUGAACCACCCUUGUGGCUGAUUUUUAAGUGGGUGUGCGCGGGAUCCCUUGUCAGAGUCAGAGAGAGAAAGAGAAGUCACGGGUUUGUCUUGAAAUGCCCUUAUUUCACAGUCCUAGACAGACAGACACAUAUUCUCUCUCACUACAUAACCGAGGAGGGGGGGAGGAGGAGGGUAACAAAUUAAUUAUAAACAUUCACGCUGCCAAAAAAUAUUUUACUAUAUAUACGUUAAAUAUAUCAAUUAAUUUAAUCAAAACAUUUUCUUUUUCUUUUUCUUUUAAUUUAUACAGUUCCACACACUACCCUUUAUCUGCUGCCAUCAUUUUUUAUCCUCCGAAGAAAUCACCAAUUACCCAUCACAGCCCCCCUCUCCCGACUCUCUCUCACUUGCUCCCAAACAAAAAAAUUUUUCUUGUUGCUUUGUUUUUGCUUUCACCCUUCUUUCAAUGGCGCUUAUGUUAGACAAUUGCGAAGGCAUCUUGCUAUCACUAGACUCACACAAAUCAGUACCGGCGCCAUUCCUCACAAAAACUUACCAGCUGGUUGAUGAUCCCACCACAGACCAUGUAGUUUCCUGGGGCGAAGACGACACCACCUUCGUCGUUUGGCGUCCCCCUGAGUUCGCACGUGAUCUUCUUCCCAACUACUUCAAGCACAACAACUUUUCUAGUUUUGUCAGACAGCUCAACACCUAUGUAUGUAACACGAAAUCUUAUUUCUCUCUCUUUAAAAAAUACCUUUACUUUUCUAUAGUUAGUUUGUCGUUUCGGUCACCGCAGAUACUGGUUUUUGAUUUCGUUUCUGCUCUCUUGUUUUGAUUUUUUAGGGUUUUAGAAAGAUUGUGCCGGACAGAUGGGAGUUUGCUAAUGAGUUCUUCAAGAAAGGAGAGAAGCACUUGCUGUGUGAGAUCCACAGAAGAAAGACUGCACAGCCACAAGUUGCCAUAAACCAUCAUCACCAUCAUCAUCAGCACCCACAUUCGCAUUCUCCCGUACUGGUCAACGGUCCAAGUUUCUUCCCAUUUCCGAACCGAGUCAGCAUCUCUCCAUCCGACUCAGACGAACACGUUAACAACUGGUGUGACUCGCCGCCAAGAGGAGGCAAAGGCACGGGAGUUUCUGCUGUCAUGAGUAGUGGUGCUGGCUGCGGCGGCGGGUACAACAAUAACAAUAAUAAUAUUAAUCUUAAUACCUCGGUUACUGCCUUGUCGGAAGAUAAUGAGAGACUGAGGAGAAGCAACAAUAUGCUUAUGUCGGAACUUGCACACAUGAGAAAGCUUUACAAUGAUAUCAUAUAUUUUGUGCAAAAUCAUGUGAAGCCAGUUACUCCUAGCAAUUCUUACCCCCCUUCUUUGCUUCUUUGUAACACAACACCAAGUGCUGCUGCUGCUGCUCCUAUGUGUGCUAAUACAACUCCACUGGUGCAAAAGCCUUUAAACCAGCUUCUUGGGUAUUAUCCUACUAAUGGUACUAACCCUAAGCAAGCUACCCAUCAUCAAGCUCAUGUUUUGAACUCUCCUACUGCUACAUCACAAAGCUCUUUGACGAUUCUUGAAGAACCCAACAGCAAUAGCUGCAAGACUAAGCUGUUUGGCGUGCCUCUACAAUCCAAGAAGAGAGUGCACCCCGAGUAUGCAUCUAAUUAUCCAGCAAAUACGGAGACCAACAAAGCCCGUUUGGUCAUGGAUAAGGAUGAUCUAGGGUUGAAUCUCAUGCCUCCUUCCACAUGUUAGUUUCCUUUAAUAAUUAUUUCAUUAAUGAUCUUAGCUUUUUCUUUUUCUUUUUAUCUUCCCUUUUCUUUCUGUCAUCAAUUUUCUUGCUUGAUUUGCCUUUGUUACGCUAUCGAGCCUGAGAAUCUGAUGAUAGUAGUAGUUUUAACGAAAUAUGCGUGUGUGAGUGUGCGUGCGUGGGUGUGGGUGUUUGUGACUAUGUAAAUAACUUGAAGUGUCGGUAUUAUCUUUGUUCCCCACAGCUAUGAAUGCAUGUGGGUUUUGGUUAGAGUGAAGAUGAAAGCAAGUUUAAAUCGUCCGCAACAACAUCUUUUUCUUCUUUGAUGUUCUUCUAUUUCAUUGGUGCAAAUUUACUGCCUUGCUCAGAUUUGUUCUUCUUUGUAUACUUUUUCUUUCUUCAUGAUUUUUACGUCUGUAUGUUUCGGUUACAUUAAUGCAGGAGAGAGAUUGUGUUUGUCCGUGUUUGUGUUUUAAUGACUUCCUUCUCAGUUCUUCUAUAAACCAAGAAAAAGCUGAGAAGGGUUUCAGUUCAGACUCUAGCUGGUUCCUUGCAAUGUCUCUAGGGCUUUCUCUGAUAAGUCCCAUUAAUGCAACGUACAAGUGUACAGCCGUGCUUUUGAUUUGAAAAUGCUUCGCUCUCUUGUAAAUUAAUUAAAAGACCGAUAAGAACGAUUAAUAAAUAAAGGCUAAAAGGAAAAUUGGCUGACACCAUAUGAUAAUUUGUUCCUUAAAAAUCUUACUAAUUAGUAGUGUAAUUAUGAUUAUGGUCAUCACUAUUAUUGUCAAAAAGAAAGCAAAACUAUAAUUUAGGAAAAAGAAGGUUAUCAUGUCAUAUCUCGUUUGAUGAAGCAGGUUGUAAUCUCUAUUUCUCUUGUUUCUAUGAACUGUCUGUCAGUCACGCAAAAGAACAAAUACAAAGUUUUAAGAUUUUAGAAAAAUAAAGUAUAAUUUUAUUUUAUAUUUAAAAAAAAAAGGUACAAACAAAAAUAGCGAGUUAUUCGAUGAUAGCGAAAUGUAAGAUAAGUGACGAAAAAUGUUUGUUUGAAAUGUAUCUAUCAAGGCUUCUAUACUUCUUCUUCUUCUCUGAGGAUAAGAAACCUUGACUUUUCCUACUUUAAGUAUCUGAUCGACCAUCUUCAAAAUCUCUCCUUGGAUCCCUCUUACCUCUAUUCUCUAAUUCCAAGCUCUUUCUUUUCUUCUUCCAGACGAUACCCAGAAACACAGCGAGAGAGAGAGCUUUAACUUAGCUCCUUUGACCGGUAGGUAAUCUUUUUUUCUUUUUUUUCUUUCCUUCUUUUGUUUUUUAAUAAAAAAAAAAAACCUAUUUCUUUAAUGGCUUUACUGCUCACUUUCUCCAAUAUCCCUAUACAAGUAAAGUUUCUGGUAAUGUUUCACUACGAAUUUUAACUUGGUUCUUCUUUUGCUCUCAUGGGAAUUAUUAAUUUCUAAGACAAGGAAACUCUGUGACACAGAGAUGAAAGCAUGUUUAAAAGGUCCAUUGAAAUAUCUACAGGGCUAGACUGUAGACGGAUAAAAGUAGGAAUAUAUAGUAUUCUUAGAAUAUCUUUGUCGUGUGUAAUAAUUUCGUCGCCUACUAUUACUAGUACUACUCAUAUGAAAGAGCAAGCCCUAACCCUAGCUAAUUUAACACUAUGAUAAAUUCUAUAAUAAUAUACUCCCAUGGGCUAUCUGGGCUUCCCAAUAGCUUGUUUUGUCUUUUUUGAAGAGUGUCACGUGACGAGAAACUGCACGUGUGAUGCUGAAGAAAAGAAAAGUGGGUGAUUUUGGGUCUUAAAAGUGGAUAUGGAUCAUCCGGUAAAAGAAUAAAGAAAUGCUUUAGCCUUUAAGGAAGGCAAUUGUAUGUUAUUGCUAACAGCCGUAUUGGAGGACCACAUGACCAUGUUUUUGAAACUUUUUUUUCCUCUCAAAAAGGAAAAAGAAAAAUAAAAUUAUGGGUAAAAGAAACGAAACGAAAAGAAAAGAAGACAUACACGAUUGCUUCGUUUUGUCUUUUGGAAUACACUUUUUUAAAUUCCUCUUCACAUUUUUAUUGUACACUACUCCUGUCGACAGUUUUAUAAAAUAUUGAUUUAAUAAUGAGAAAAAAACGUAUUUGUUAGUGUGGGUUAAUGAAUAUAAUUUCUUUUACAUACACACUAGGGUUGGGAAUGCGACUAGAUGGGUUGAGAUUUAUCAAUCUUAAUCUUAUCCCAAACAAUAAAUCGGGACAAAUAAUUGUCACGAUCUCAUCCCGAUUGGAACUUCAAAUCUCGAUCAGAUUCUAAAUUGUCCCAUAUGAUACGAGUUUUCUGUCAUACAAUGUAGAUUCUAUCACAAACGACAUGUCAUACGAGUUAAUCGAUAUGUUGUAAUUUUUCAAUCAACGCAUCAUAACUAAUAAACGACUUGUCAUACAAAAUUAACGAACAUAUAAUUCAUUAAACUGACUUAUCAUACAUUUAUGAAAACUCAGAUUUCGGGCCAUUUAGGAUCCAAAUGAAAAUUUUAAAAUGCCGUGAAUCCUAACACGAAUAGUAAAUUGGGAUAAAAUUUUAUCCCAAAUCCCGACUAGGAUUGCAGGAAUUUCUACCAACCUUAACACACACAAUAUUUUUUAAAUAUGUUCAAAAAAUUCUUAGCUCGAAGUUAAUGGGUUGAUAGUAAUAUGUGUCAGUAGCAUCCCGGAUUAUUAUUCAAUAAGGGUCAUAAUGUGAAACAAAAAAUUUCAUAGGAUUAUAGUUAGAAAAAUAAACGAACACUAUGAAUCGAGAGGGGCCAAAUAGUAAAAUUUACAGAAAAGAUUUAAAAAAUUUCUAUUUGGACACUUACCUUAAAUUAGUUUCUUCAUCAUUGUUAAUCUUUUAACCAGUGUAAAAUUUUAUUUAAUAUUGCCACAUUAUUUUUCAUUUAAAGUGCAUCUUUUACUUUGAUCAAACUAAUAUUUAUACUGAAGCUAAGGUCUAACUUCGAUGAGGAACUGGUUUCCUAAGGCUCAUGUGGGGAUCUGAACAUUAAUGAUUGCGUGAGUUAAUAAAAAAAAUAAUAAUAAUAACAUCUAUACUAACCAAGAUAUAAAAGUUGAUUGAUAUGUUGAGAUACAUUUUUUUUUUUUUUUUUUUGUAGUAGACCGUCUUGAAUGUUUAUCAACUUAAUGAAGUUCCAUCAUUAAGUUUUUCUCCGAAACUUCGAAUUAUUUUACAUUAUAUAGCAAAGUGAUUUUAUGAUUUGAUAAUAAACCUAUAGUGCCAAUCAAAACGCAAACAUUAUUAAAAAGAAUUCAAGAAAAGCCAUUGAUCGGCGGUACCCGAAAAGGGGUACCGGCGUACCGCGUACCGGCCAUUGAAAUUGGAAGCAAAAUAAAAGCUAAAGCUAAAGCAGGCAUUAUGAUGGGCGAUAUAAAUGGGUUGUGGCCUAUUCAUCAAAUGAGUGCGAUCAGACUAUUGGUGGGUGCUUUUACUAAACUGUUGUUGCCGUCAUUAAAAAAACAGUGACAAAAUAGCGUGGGACUUUUGACACCCCCUUGAAAUCCUUAUAAAACCCAAUUGAAGUACAGUAACAUCCCAUUCGUAUUAAAAAAAAAAAAUGGUCCCUUAACAUUAAACCACCCACAUGUCAAGGGCCGCUCAAAUCUCUCGUAAAUGGAGAUUAAAUUAGCGCACAUGGGUACACUUAGUGGAAGGAUGUACUCAGUAAUAAGCCACCUCACACAAUUAGCCAGCCAUGGUGCGCUUAGUAAGUGAACAAAACCAAGCUCGAAUUCUAGAAUUCUCGACAAUUUGCAAUUGCCUAUAAAUUUUUACACUUUUACAUUCUAGAACCUAUGAGGUAUUUAGGCAAGUUGGUGCACUUGUUAGGAAACUUCAAGAGCUAGGUAACCAACUCUAUAGAUAGGGUCUAGCACACACCAUUUUGCUCACUACACAGUACACACCACCAUACCAGCGCACGCACACAUACACAACACACAAGCAACUCAAACACUGAUCUAAAAAUCUCUAUUGUAUUUUCUCUUUGUGAGUAAAAAAAAUAUAUUUGCCUAUAUUGCUCUUUCUUUCCUCUAACCUUUUCGUAAAAUAUCUUGUUUGACUAGAUUCAAAAAAGCAUUAGGCAUAAUUAACAACUUUUGUGUUAUAAGUUGUUUAAAUACCACACGAAUUAUUGUACAACAUACUCAUCCCGUGACACACCACUCACUUAGAAUAUAUAUGUGGAUAUUACUUUAAUGAUAUUUUAUAAAAAUAAAUUUUUUAUUUUAAUCAUAGAUGUAUAACGGUAUAUUUAUAGGAUUUGGAAUAUUACAUUUGUAGGACAGUGUCACAAAUAAAUAAUUAUCAUGUGUAUAAUAAUAAUUAAUUUUUUUUUUUGUUUAAACCACCCGAUUUCCGGCGACCGCAUUGGGCCCCGACUAAUUCGGAUUCGGGGUGUAAUCACAAUUAAGGCUCUUUACCCUUCCCAAAUGGUGUGUUUAGUGGGGAUCGAACCCGAGAGCUCUUCUCACUUACCCAGCCUGCGUCACCAACUGAGCCACAACCGUUUGGUAAUAAUUAAUUAUUUUAUGUUAAUAUGUUUGAUAUUUUGAAGGUCACAAAGAAACUUUAGAUUAUGAAUUUGUCAAUAAUUUAAAUUCAUAGCUUCUCCUUGGAAAUUAAUUUUUAUUUAAGAUAAUACUUGUUAAGUCGUCAAAAAUUAAUUAAGAAAUGAAAAUAAAACCCGCACAAAACCCUGCAUUGUCCGAAUUCAUUGGCAUCUUCAUUGUCUCCCCGGGUUUUAUAUAACGCCGCCGAAAACUUAGAACUUGUCCAAAUUCAGCGGAGGAGUAUCUUCCGUUACAAAAAUAUAUAUACGUGAUCUUGAUCAAGAACUAGCCGGCAACCGCACUUCAAAUGUGAAAAAAAACAAAACAAACUUGUCAAAUCAAUCAAAAUGGAGUUGCUAAUCGCAUCAUCGUCAGUCGCCGAUGCCGGUAUCGGGUGCUGGGACCUAGAAUCAGGUGCCGAGCAGCUCCGAUACAAAUCGUGCGCCUCACCUCCGCACGGACUCGCUUGUGUGGGCCAACGCUUCCUCGCCUCCUCGCAGCUUCGCGAACAACCUUCCGCCUCGUCCGGUUCCAUCCUUUACUGGUCCUGGUCCAAGGUUGCAUAUCCACUGUUUGUUUAUUUGCCUCAAUUUUAAAAAUAUAUAUUUACUUUUUUUUUGGUUUAAAUAAAACAAAUUUUGGUUUAUAUAGCCUCAGGUAGAAGUGAAGAGCUUACCAGCUGAGCCGAUUAAGCCGAUUGCUGCUAAUAGCCACGGCACCUAUAUUGCUGGUGGGGGUCAAUCGGGAGAUAUCUACAUGUGGGAGGUAAAGUCGAGCUUGAGCUUUAGUUUUAAGUGUUCUGUUUUUCCAUUAAUGAAAUUUGUGAUAUAUUAUUUGUGAUAUAGGUUGCAAGUGGCAGAUUAUUAAAGAAGUGGCACGCGCAUUAUAGGGCCGUUACUUGCUUGGUUUUUUCACAAGACGGUUCAUUUCUGAUUUCUGGGUCUGAGGAUGGAUGUGUUAGAAUUUGGUCACUUCUAACGUACUUGUCUAUCCUGUUAUUGUUAUUUUCCUUGUUAAUGAGCUGUGUUUCUUGGUGGUUUUGAUUUAUUGUGGAUUAUGAUUUACACCGUUUUUAUUUUCUAUUGUCAAUUUUAGGGUAUUUGAGGAGUGUGAAAGCCAGCGGGCAAGCCAUCUGUAUUUGCAUAGUUUUACUGGGCACACUCUGCGUAUAACUGAUAUUGUUAUUGGCUAUGGAGGAGUUAGUGCAACUAUAGUGUCAGCUUCUGAGGAUCGAACUUGCAAGGUUGGUUAUUCUGCUUUUAGUUUGAUAAGUUUUGCUACCUUUUUUUUUUUUUUUCUUUUUCAUUUUGAGAGAAGAUAAGUUUUGUUACUUAAGCUAUAUAAAACUAGUUCUGGAUGUUAGAUUUAACUGUGGUAAUAUCAGUAGGCUGGGAGUUUUGCUUCUAUGAAGCUUCAUGAAAAUUGUUUAUAUACUUCUUUUUUAUUCCAAAACCACCUUCAAAAUGUUUUCUGAGCAAAUGAAAAAUAGUAUUAUGUAUAGUUCAGGAUUUGAGAUGCUGAAAUGCUAUGUUAAUGAAGAGUGCUUGCUUCAGGGAAGUAAUAACCUAGACUAACAGGAGCUUUUUAAACAAUGGAUUUAGGAAAUAUUUAUCAAUCGUUGGAGUUCCUAAACACCAGGGUAAUGAAAACUGAUUUCCAUAUUUCACUGUAUGCAUUUCUGCUUCAUUUUUUAGUUACUUUUGCUAUUAUGAGGUUUCUUUGCGUUGAUGUAGAUGGUAGUGCCCACAUUUUAUCACACAGUGGUGCAUUCCUAUUUACUUAUCGGAAAAUUAGAUAUGUGUACUAAAUUUUUUCAGUACAUUGUGUUAGGUGUGGAGCCUAUUGAAGGGAAGAUUGUUGAGAAAUAUUGUAUUCCCUUCAGUAAUUGAUGCAAUUGCAUUGGACCCCGCUGAACAUGUCUUUUAUGCCGGCAGUAGAGAUGGCAGUAUCUAUAUUGCUGCACUUAAUGCUGAAAGUCCCUCUACCAGUAGUUACGGGAUGCAUAUCAUUGGUUCAUUAUCUGAUCACAGGUUUUUCAUUUUGUUUUGAUUCCACAUACUACUGGAUGGAACAUUUGUCUACUCUGUUAUUCUUUUCAUUUUUUUAAAUCUCUAUACUGCCUGCAACUGUUUGGGAUUUCCUUGUAGUUUUUAUAUUAGUUAGCUGUUUAUUUGAAUUUCUUUUGCGGCAUAUGUUUUUGCAUUUGGAAUUACCAAUGAGGGUAAUUCAUGGCUUUUGAUUCUAUUCAGCUCUCUUGACAUUUAUAGCUGCUGUUGAUGGAACGUGGCUAAUCACAAAAUUUGAUUACAAUGUCAAAGUGUCUUAAGUUUUCCUCGAAUCUUUAAGUGUGCUUACAAUGUUUCUUCAAAUGUUUUAGACCUUUCCUUUCCUAAAUAUGGGUCCCAUCAGUGGAAGUCGUGUGAAUGUAUUCAUAAAAUAAGAAGCCUAACACAAAAGAAAUAGUUCUACAGAUGCAGACAAACUAGUCUUAUGUCCAAGCUUAUCCUGAACUUUCAGAUAUAGGUCUUGGGUUGCGUUGGAGUAGUGCUUAGCUCUUAGCUUUUCAGAUGUUUUCUCUGAUGAGCUUCUAACCUAUUCAAGGUGCAGCUUACCUGUUACUGUUACUUAGUUUCCUUAGAGAUAUCUUUAGAUUGACUAUGAGGUUCAUAUCCAUCAAUUGUGGAUCCCAUUGGUCCUAAUCACUUUCUUGUGCUUGCUAUUACUUUGAUUAUGUCCAAUUAAGAAUGUCAGAUGUUUCCUUUUGUUGAGAAAUGUUCCAAUUAUUUUGCUAAUAUCUGAACAGUCUUCUUUUAAUAAAUAUAAAAUGGCCCACCCACCAAAUAUAACACACACAUGUCAUCGUAUUAAGUAUGCCAAAUGGGCUACUUUUGAGUGAUAAAUCUCCCAGUACUGAAAACGAGAUAUCAAGACACUAUUAAAUAUUCAAGAGAAAAUUACGAAAUAUAUACAGAAUGCAAUUUCUCCCACAGUGAUGAGUUUUACUGGAUUUCCGAACCCAUUGCUUAUCUUCUGAUGUAGGAAGUCAAUUUAGGUUAUUUUAGGUAAUUUAGGAUUCUAGAAUAUUUAUUAUUUCAGGAUUUUCUAUUUUAGUUUGAGUCAAUUAUUGUAUGUAUCUUAGUCUUUUAUUUCCAUUAUAAUUGUGAUUUAGUUUUCCAUUUUAGGUUAACUUAGGGAAGUGGGUUUCCUCUAUUAUAAAUAGAGAGACCUUGUCAUUGUUUUGAGAACUUCAGAUUCAAUUAUUCAAUAAAACCCCUCUUUUAUAAUUUCCUUUGGGAUUAUUUAUCAAAAUCUCUCUUGUAGAGUCGUUUGGAAUAGAGCGUUAUCUAAUCUCGUAGAGCGUUAUCUAAUCUCGCAUUACGCGUAUUUAAAAAUCUCAUUAAGUCGUCUUGGUUAGAAUGAUAUCUAAUCAUGCUUCGAUUAAGGCAUAAACUAAUCGCGUUGGUUUAGUCCAGUACUAGAACAAUAUCUAGUGUUUCCUACCCAAUCAAUUCCGCUUCCACUACGCCUCGCUCCAUCAUCUUCUUAUUGCUUUAAUCCAACCUUAUUUUUGUUUUCGUGGUUACUUUUAGAUAGACCGUUUGCUAGUAGCAGCCCUAGAAAGUAUUGAUGUGAUGAAUCUUGUCAUGACAUGCUGCACCAUCAUAUAGGAGAGCCAAAGAGAAUUAUUUUUGCAAGCCACUUUCCGAUUAAUAGGCUGCAGGUGCCCAUACUCUGUUUGAAAAGGAAAAUAAAGCUCUUAUUCCUUCUUCAUACUGGUAUAACAUGGAAACACGUCUUCCACAUCAUCCAGUAUAUGCUUCCAAAAUAAAUUGUAUUCAUUGGGAAUUUAUGUUUGAACGGUUUCUAUAAGGAAGACAAUUAUUCUGCAAGUGAUUGCUUGCUUAUGCAGCUUUACGGCGUGAUAAGCUUCCAUUAAAUUGUAGAGAUGGAAUUCUCUGUUUACCAAAGAAAGUUUGUUGGAUGAUCUAAAAUUUGAAUACCUUUCAUUUACGUAGAUAGGGUUUUUGGCAUAUUAACCUGUUUUACCCUUGAAAUUGUGGAUUUAUAAUGUCUUCUUGUUUUUCUCACUGUGAACAGCAAGGCUGUGACCUGUUUGGCAUAUAGUACAGGAGAUUUGUUGAUUUCUGGGUCAGAGGAUGGCAUGGUUCGAGUUUGGGAUCCAAUAACUCAUAAUAUUGUUCGCAUGUUCAGACUUGCAAAAGGUUUUGUUCAAACAACCUCUCAAUAUUACUUCCUUGUUUGUGUUAGGAUUUUGUUAUUAAUAUUAUUACUAUUAUUAUUUUCCUUAUCUUUAUUUAUCAUUGUAAUGGGCAUGUUUUUAUCUUAGAUUUUGUUAUGUUUUUACAUCGUAUUAAAAGUUCUGUAGGAUUCUUUUCCCAAUUGAAACUGAUAUGAUAAUUCCAAAUGGUUCAUUUGGUAUCUCUUAUUUGAGGUGCUUGCAUUUUGUGCCCAUCAGUUUAAAGAGUUGAAAUUCUAAUUUGUGCUUCAUAGAUGCAAAUUGUUUCUUGUCUGUUAUGUACAGGCAUUCUUGUUCCAUAAAACUCUUCCUUGGUGUUGGCUGGCAUUUUUGGGCUGUAUUGUUGCCAUGGUUGUCACCAUUUUUUCUGGAGUUAAUAUUUUCCCUCAUUUUUCCAGUAUAUCAUUAAAGCUACUUGGUUCUGCGCUUUACAGGACCUGUGAACAAUAUUCUUGUUGUUAGACGACCACUGUACCUCAAUUUGGGAUCAUUUUCAAAUCCGCAUACUUCCUCAAGGAGGCACGGUUCACAGUUACCUCCUCCGCUGGAUAAAUAUGUGACUUCGGCAGAUGAAGAUGUGGACAAUAAGGGUGUCAUACGUCUUCCCUCUCUUUACAAUGCUCCUCGAGAUGCCUCAUACAUUAGUCAUCGCACGAUUGAUAAUCAUUUAAAAGAACUCCAGGUUUUUAAUUGCUUUAUGUUGAAUAUUCUUGAUCAUCUUUAUUAUGUUAGGUAUGAUUGUGUUUUUCAUAUUGUUAAUUCAAUGUACUGUUCGUAGCUUCCUAUGAUGACCCAAUUUUUGCAUAUACGUAACAGCAUAUUAGAUCCUCCUGAAACCCUUGUCUGACCAUACUCUCUUUACAUUCUGCAGCAACAAGGUUCUUCUGCUGCAACAGAAAUGGAGGUGGAAAGGCUGAAGCAUGAGUGUAAUCGAACACUGCAAAUGGUUCAGCAGUGGAAGAAAAUGUACGAGAACUUGCAUGAAUUCUGCGUUAAUGAGCUUUUGGAUGGAGAUCAAGUGGAUGGCAGCAAACGAAAUGCUGUCUGAGAAGGCUGUUCUCCUUGUACAAACAGCUUUACUGGUUUAGCAGUUUUGCUAGUGGUUGGAGGGAUAAACUCUAGGCUCGACCCUUUUGAAGGAUAUUUCUUGGUAUUCAUUUGCUCCUUUUUUUUCUUUCUUUUUUGGGUUUUAUGCUAUAGAAGGUACAGUUUUUGUUGGGUUUUGGGAGGUUUUCCAGUGAUGCUCCCGUCCUGAGUCUGAAAACCUGACUUUGUUUUACAGGCUAUGGAUUGACGCGUUCUAUAUUUUCUCAUCAUUCCGUGGAUGACGCACAAAAUUGACAGGACAGGCUUCUGGUUUUGAAAUUGGUUUCUAUUUAAUUUAACUACAUUCACUUUAACGUACUUUAAGUUGGGCCGGCACCAACAAGAAACAUUGUGUAGCUAGUUUGGGCCUAGAAAAUGAAACCAUAAAGUUGAAUUAUUGACGCGCGCGCGCACACACUUGCCUACGGCACCAGGCCACCGAUUUCUUUUGAAUUUUAGGGGGAAAAGGAAAAAUCGAUAUGGUUGAAACUACCAAUGUCUCCUUAGACUACAACUCAAAGAUAAACGCAAUCAAUAUGAAAAGAGAAAUAAAAAUAAAGAAAGAUUAUUUAAUAUAUAAAUAAAUUUGUGCAAACCAAUAAUAUAUAUUGAACAGAGAAAAAAAAUCAUACAUAGUUAAUUCUAUUUAUAUUUAUCCUUAAAUAUAAUUUUAAUAAAAUAAAAUUAAUGGAGAGGUGCCAAUAGUACAAUUUUUUGAAUGAUGAAUAACUCGAACCCUAAGCCCAGAAUAUUACAAUUUAAAGGUCGGAAAAAAGCCGUGAGAUCACCAUUCAUCAAACAUAUAAUGAGGAAUAGAGAAACAGUUAGCUAGCACCAGCAAAACAAAAUAACCAAAAAUUUUGGGGUGCUGAUUGCUGAGCCCAACUCUCUUCAACCCUUUUUCCUUCCAACAAAGACCGGAGUUGGCGUGCAAUACUGUGACUUGUGAAAAAGCAAAAGAGGUUGCCCAAGCAAACCCCAAAAGCCAAGAUGCAUGCUUUGACCGACUGACUGACUGUUGCAAAUUGCAAUUUGGCAACAAAAAAUGAUCCCAAAUUCAUGUGUUGUGUUGACAAUCAUGUAGAGAGAGAGAGAGAGAGAGAGAGAGAGAGAGAGAGAGAGAGAGAGAGGGACCAAUUCUUAUUGAACAUACAAUAUCAUAUUAAAUAAAAUAAGAUUUCUUUACUUCUGAGAGCCUUUGCCUGCAGUUCCCGAUGAGGAAGGGAGAGCGAGAAAAGAAAGAAAGUGGGGGAUACAAAAGUUAAUUUAAUAGUAUAAUAAAUACUCAUUUUAUAAUAUUACUAUAGUAAUAAUAUCGAAUGCAAAGGCAUUAUAAUUGAUAACAUAAAUUAAUAGGAAGUGGGGAAGACAAGAUAAGGUGGUGCAAUGCAAGCGUGAUCAUGCUAAGUUGUAAAAAAAGAAAGAAAAAACAAAAAUGCCAACCCAACAGCAAAAUCUCUAACCCUGGAUUCUUUUUUAUCCAAUUGAGUCUCUUCUUGCAGAGAAUAUGUCCCUCUACUCAUUCAUUCAUUCAUGUCCUUUUCUUUUCUUUUAAUAAUUUUAUUUAAUAUUUUAAAAUUAGAGUUUUCUCCGUAAUUGUAAGUGAGAGAGAAAUAGAAUGGCAUCUCUCAUUCUGGUCUGGACAUGCAGUGCUCUGAAAUCAUGGUGCGCGGAGCGUUUUCAGUGUUUCCGAUUGGUGUUGCAGAAAAUAAAAACAAGCAACAAACAACCCAACAAGACCACUCAUAUAUGUUUCUUUCUUCUUUCUUCUUAUAUCUUUGUCUUUUUUUUUUCAAUUUAAAAAAAAAAAAAAACUUUUUAGCACCUUACACAUCUGCUGCUGAGUACAACUGUCGCGAUGAGGCUGAAUACGCCAUUUUUCGUCUAAUUAUUAAUAAUGUGAUCUCCAAUUACUGAAGUUAAAGAAAAAUAAUGUUACAUAACAUGCAUGUCCAAGUGCCAAAGGUGGUUGCUGCAUGGAAUAUUUUUAUUUAUUUCAAUUUUACAGAGAUAGGUCACGUCCAUUGAUUGAAUGUUCUUAAUCUCGAAUAUUGUUAAGAUUAGUUGUGUAUUCAUGUGUCACAUUUAGGAUCCACCAGACCACCAGGCAGCUACGGUUUAUUUACUUACGUCCGUGGCUUGCAAAAAGGAAAAGAAAUGAUCUUCCAGUAAUAUUGAAACUAAAUCAAGAACUACAGUUUGCCGCCAAUAAACAAAUUAAAUCACUGGACACCUAGCUAGAUAAUUCAAUUUGAAACCACAGCGUUGUCUCUUGCCAAAACGGCAAACGUAGAAUUUGUCGCAUUAUACAGGCCCUGACUCUCACCAUCCUGAUUAAUAGCACUGGAGGUCUCCUUAUUAAUGUCUACAUCAUAUCAUUAUGAGCUGAGUCGGUGGUCCACGAGUAGGUCCACUAGGGAUGGCAAUGGGACAGAUAUGGGUUGGAUUUACUCUGCUCAAGAUCCAAAUCCAUAAUAAAAAUCAAGAUCCGUAUCUGCUCCAGAUCCGUUAUGAAUCCAUAUUUUUCGCUCCAUAUCCAGAUCCAAAAAAGAAAUAAAUAUCUAUAUCUGCUCCAAAUCCGAAAAAAAAUUAAAAUCCAAAUUUACUUUAGAUCCGUCAUAAAUUCUAAAAUUCCGUAAUAAAAAAGUAAUAAUUUUUUAGAUUGAAAAUUGAAGGCUAAAAUGUAUUGAUAACAAAUAAAUUAUAUAAUUUUUCUCAAAAAUAUAAUAAAUAUUGUAGCUUAUACUUCUACACCAAAACAACAAAUAAGAAAGAUAAUAAAAUAUCAUUCAGAAGUAAUUACAGGAGUAAGAUUAAUCUAAUAUUCUAUUGUCUCCUUCAUCAUUCUAAUAUCCACGACACACCUACCCUCAUUCCUACAACAUUAGAUAAUGACAUAUAAAUUAAAUAUGAUUUAUAUUCAGUCCUUUAUUAUUUUUAUUAUGACCAUAUUUGACUAAAUAUAUGAAUAACUAUAUUCCUUAAAAAUUAUUUGGCCAAUAUGAUAAAAUAAAUUACCAGGUUAUAUUACUUGGAUUGCAAUUUGAAUAUUGUAUGUACAUGCUUUGAGGCUGGCUGACCUUUAAAUUUACAAAACUAACCUUUAAGUUUUAAGAGUUUAAAUACAUGGUAAAUACUACUAAUAUGCUAUGAAUAAAAUAUAUUAUCAUUAUCAUUCCACAAUUAUUAAGAAACUUUUAAAAUAAAAUAAAAUAAAAAGAUGAGUGGAUAUGCAUAUGGAUUUAGAUAUUAAGAUAGAUCUAUAUCUGCUCCAGAUCCGUCUUAGAUCCGCACAUCGAUAUCUAAAUCCGAUCCAAAUCCAUUUUAAACCGAUCCAAAUCCGAUCCGAUUGGAUUUGGAUCACAUGGAUCUUGGAUCAAAUCCAAUCCAUUGCCAUCCCUAAGGUCCACUAAUUCCUAUCAAAGUCCGCAAUUUUUUUUUUUUUGGUUGUGAUGAAUGAAAUAAAACAAACUAAAAUAACUCAAAAUUUUAAAUAUUUACUGUAGUUUUUGGUGAAAAUAUAAUAUUACAUUUGAUCUUGCUAGUUUCAUGUUGUUAUACGAGCUUAAAAAAAUGAGAUCAUGACUCUUCCUGAAUUAUCUAUCCAAUUUACUUAAAAAAAACGGAAUUAGUAAAAAUAAACACAAAUGCUUUAAAUUAAAUUAUUUUCUUCGGGUCUUAUUUUGUCAUAACGCUUCAAGCCCUCUUAGGGGUUGUAGGGUAUUCAGGAAGAGUCAUGAAUUGAUUGUAGGGAAUCUCGAACAAAUUAGAACUUUAUCUAUCCAUCCAUAAAUGGGAAUUUGAAUUAUUUGCUGUAAUUGCCCUGACUUUUUGUUUCCCCUGCCGUGACUCUUUAUUUUAAUGUAUUACCAUUAUGAGUUUGGUUAAGUGGUUUUUCAAUAAGUUUUAUUUAGUAACUCAAAUUAAUUUUGUUAACUUUCAAAAGUAAUAAAAAUAAUAAUAUAUUGCGAAUGCCCUUCCCAAUAAAUUGUACUUAAAUGAUGUCUGUAGCUUUUUUUUUUUUUUGUUUUUCGUUUGGCAGUGAAAUUUAAAAUAAGAUAAUAAUUAUUUUUUUUAAAAAAAAAAGGGUAAAAAAAGGCUUCCAAUAUUCGUACAGGACACAUGAUCUGUAAAGCCGCAAGGGAAACUUAAAUACGAUAAGAACACAUAACGAAUUUGAUUAAAAACAACGCAUGAGAUAUGUAUGUUUCAUCUUUGUAUUAUAAAUAUUUUAAAUUAUCAAAAUAAGAAAUCAAGAAAGCAAUUAAUGAUCACAAAGUUUAACGAUGGUGAAAAAGGUAGCCGGUAUAAUUGAUAAAGGCAAUGCGAUGGAGUUGGAGUUUUUUGAUGAAUUAGGUAAAGUUGGUUGACAAAGCUAUUCCAGCACAUGGAGCGGCUCGCAACAGGGACCUGAUCCCUCUCGAAAAGCGUUCCUGUUGCGAUAUUGAGAGAUAGUUUUGGCUGUAGCUCCAGCACCAUAUCAAGAUAAUACUGCAACUUGUCAGAUUUUAACAGUAUAUGUCCAGCCAGGGUCCAAAUAAUAUGUAUAUAUUACACAUAUUCCACUGGACCAUUGACACGUGUAAUCUGCGAAGGAUCCAAUGGCACAAGUUAGCCACCGGCAACUGGCCGGUACCGGGGAAAGCAACUCAUAUUAAAGGUGUCUGGUGAGAUUUCUGACUCCUGUCAUGUGAGAGUGGGGUUUUGGGGUUCUUAAAAGAAAGUGAAUUUUAAGGCAAAGUUAGACCCCGACUCAACGUUGUAAAAUAUAGCUUUCAUCAGAGAAAAAUAAUGAUUCGUGCACCAACACAAGCACUUAUGGUAUGAUGAUACUCCCUGGAAGUACAGUUGGUAGAUCUGAGCCCUUCAGCUUCAAAUUUGGCGGACCCCUGCAGAAACCAAUUUCAUCUCGUCUCGAUAUGCAUGUGAAAAUUUCUUUUCAAGAAAAAAAAAAAAAACAAUUAAUUUAAACCCGUUCUUUAAUUGCAUAAUUCUUCACAAUGGGAAAAUUACAUCGUGUCCUGUUUCUACGUUAGUUUUGAAAAUUAAAUUGAUUUAUGUAGUAAAUUUUGACGGUACACAAACAAUAAUGUACACAAGACCACAGAUUUUUGAAGAUCUAAUCAGAAGGCUUCAGAUUACCAUUGUUAAACACCAAUCGAUACUUUAACGACUGCUUAAACAAAAAUUGACUAUAUGUAACUAAGUCUGCUUCACUUCUUAAAGAUUGGUGGUCCAGAAUUUCAAUGGUCCUGAUCAAAAUGAGCAUGCUAUGGCUACAUCAUCAUACGCUUUGAAUUUCAAGGUACCAAUCACCAUAAUUGAAUUUUCACUUUCUACUAUACUCCAUCUUGAGAUUUAAUUAUUGUUUCAGAAUAUAUAUAUAUAUAUAUAUAUACAUGAAGAAACGAGGAAAAAAGAAGGCUCAACUACUUUAAUAUAUUCAUUUUUUAUUUAUAACAAAGGUUAAGAAGAUUGGAAGAGCAUUUAUACUAUUACACAUAUAGUAAUAAAUUGAACCACUUGUUAUAUAUAGGGUUCUCUCAGUAUAAUGAUAAGUCUGUUCCCGUGCCGAUAUAUCACACUAUUAUACUCCUUUUUCUUUCUUCACUUGUUCUCCUUACCCUUUGUGUCUAUUUCCUUCUCAUCGCUGCACAUUCUGAUAAAACUCCUAGUCUACACUCCUCUCUUUUAUCUUCCCCAUUCCUCUGUCUAUCCUAUCCAUCAGUUUAAUUUUUCAGUUGCUCUCUUCACACUUAUAUAAAGACCAUUUUCUUUAAUUAGGAGAGAGAGAGAGAGAGAGAGAGAGAGAGAAAGAGUGAAAUAAAGCUAGCUAGCUAGCUAGCCACCCAACCAACCAAAAAGCGAGCAAUGGAAUUUGACCGGUUAAAGUCAGCUGCAACAGAAGAUCAGAUGGAGAUGAUGGUGAUGAUGAUGCAGAUGGACAAGUUCCCCGAGUUCUACGGGGCCUGUACCAACAACGAUGUCGCUGAAUUGCUCCCAGCUGAUCACACUUCUGCCACCAUCACCGCCAACAACAAUAUUGCUAGUUCCACGCCACAUUUCGUUGAUAACAAUAACCGGCAUAUUGUUUCAUCACCUUCUUUCUCAAACAUGCUAUCUAAUAGUAACACGUCGUUAAACGGCACCAGUAUCACCGCAGCUCAAGACACUUCUAUACCAACUUAUUUAUCUUAUUCGCCCAAUGAAAGAUAUUGGAGAGGAGGAGCUGGAGAUUCAAAUAGUUCUACAGGAGUACCAUUAUCGCAGAAACAGAACUCAAUGGCGGCGAUGAGAGAAACGAUAUUCAGAAUUGCAGCUAUGCAACCAAUUCAUAUUGACCCAGAUUCGGUGAAGCCACCAAAGAGAAGGAACGUGAAGAUAUCAAAGGAUCCUCAAAGUGUUGCAGCAAGGCAUAGGAGAGAGAGGAUAAGUGAGAGAAUAAGAAUACUUCAAAGACUUGUCCCUGGAGGAACCAAAAUGGACACUGCCUCUAUGUUAGAUGAAGCAAUUCAUUAUGUCAAGUUCUUGAAGACUCAAGUGCAGUCGCUGGAGAGAGCUGCCGCUAAUCGGCCUGCUGGAAUAGGGUUCCCUGCAACACUCACUACCGGAAAUUAUCCUCCUAUUAUUGGAAAAGAAUAUCAGCAACCUGCAGUUCGAAAUGGUGCUCUGCAUUAUGGAGAUGCUUAGCCAGCUGGAGUUCAACUAAUUGCAAUCUACAUGUAGCGCUGAACUGAUAUGUUAGCUUAAUUAAUUAUUAUAUAUGGGGCUGUAAAGAUUAAACUGAUCGUCAUGCAUGCAUGACUGUCAUAACUCUCCUGAUAGAUUUACAGUGUGUAAUGGUCAUCAAUUAAUAUCCCUGUUGAAUUGUUAUGAAAUAAUUAUUGAUUGAGAGUCGCUGGAAACAUAGAUAUUAGAUGGCUCAUAAAUAAGAGUUUAAUUCUAGAGAAUUUCUAUCUCUUCCUUUUUUUCAUUUAUCAUGCCUUUAUAUGAAAGGACUAAGUGGCCGCCUUUUCUGAGGAAUUCUUAAAUUCUCGCAAUUCCAAUGACAGAAAAUAAUCAAGAACCUAUCGUCAGAGAUGUCGAGUUAUUGACAGAAUGAAUAGCCUGGACAGCAGCAGCACAUUUGAUCUUCGGAAUCCGAAGCUAAAAUAUGAUUAUUGUUUUUUUUUUUUUUUACCCCACUAAAUCGAAUGAGAACAAAAACUAGAGAGAGAAGCUUCUUUGUUGAUAGACUGUUGUGUGUAAACUUGAGACCAUUGGUGAACAAAAUCUCCAUGCUCUUGAGGUCAAGUGAUGACACAUCAUCCACGGCAAAACUCUAGUACGGGUACAAACAUCAUGGAAGAAAAAUGAAAGACAAUUAAAGUACAGUUGUCUGGUUAGAUGUGACAGGUGCUGAAUCCAACUAUGCAUUAGGUGAGACACGGUGGGAUAUAGGAGAUGAGUUGUACAGAAAUUGUAUGCAACUUUUGGUGAGUGUGUUACCUUUUCUUGAUGAUUUCCUCCAGGUCACGUUCAACCAUGGAAAGGGUAAAGAGGCAAAGGAAGUACAGAAGGGGCAAAAGCAGCGCGUAAUAGUGACAAAGACGGAGUGAGAGUGAGAGAAAAUGCAUGGGAAGUCCACGUGAAGGACUGACAAAACGCGGUGAUGGGCUCUUUUCCAAUGUGGCACCGUGAUGACGUCUUUGUCCGUCGACCACUUCGACACGUGAAGCUCAAUCUACUCGGUCAACUCGGUCUGAUGUGGCAAAUCCACGUCAGAUUUUCUCAUUUAUUUUUCCUUCUAACCAAAAACUUAACAUUACCAUCAAUUAAUAUAAAAUAUCAAUUAUCUCACGAAACUAUCAGUUGAAUCAACUUCCGAACUUCCUAAAAAUGUGAUUAAUAAAUAUUAUGUUCUAUUAUUUAUAGAAAUUUACAGACAAGUUAUUUCAUAUUAUUUAUGAGCUUUGAUUUAGUCACCUUUCUAGGAACGUGCAAGUUGAAGUUAAAAUAGAAAGACAGUUGUAGUGAAAGCAGUCAAUCAUGUUCCAAUUUUAGAAAGUGAUUAAAGCAUUUAUCAUUAUAUAUAUACAUACAUGCAUAUAUCAUUUUAUUCUAAGAGAUUCACGUGAACUUCAAGUGGUUAUGUUUGGAAUAUAGCAGCAAUCGAGAUGUUCUUGUCACAGAUGAUUGCUACGAAGUUUUAACAUCUUCCAAUAAUUAAUUCGUUUCCUUAAGGAAUUAAAGAUCAUCCUAGCUUUUAUAUUACAAGAGUUUUUAUGUUACAGCAUUGAUACGAGAAACAUUUAUGUAUAUUUGACAUUAUAUAUAUUUUGUCAGUGGAAGAUAGAGAGUGCAAGCAGAUUGUUAUGUACAGUGUAUUUUUUGCAGUUUUGUGGACUGCAGUUUCAUAACUUCCAAAAGGAACCUCAUUUGAAUUGUUAAAUAUUCCAACUUCAAAAUCAGUCCUUAAUAAAUAAUUAUCUAAACUCAGUUUGGCAGCUCUUGCUGAUGGCCUACAUCCUCUAAUAUGGACAUGCUUGCUACCCUUUUCAGCGAUUAGUGGCAUAUCCAUUUCCCAAAAUAGCUUUAUAAGGAAAAAAAAUGAAAGAAAAAAAAAACCAACAACUCCCCAAUUCACGAAUCAUUUUCUUUUUGGAGUAGAUUUGUUUUCAUAAACAAAAUCACGUCUAUUUUAAACAACCCAUCUCCAUAUUGAAGUGAUUGGAUAUGUUUGAGAAAAAGUUUGACUCAAAACCUUUAAGAUGAUAGGUGAUUACUCGGUAGUAAUAAGCGUCCAAGAAUAAUAUUCAUGCGAAGUUUUACUUGCAUGCCUCACGCAAUGCGGACUAAGAUUUGAUGAGCCAAAAACUCACAGAUGAGUUGGAAGACAAGAGCAUGAAAGUGAGAGAGUUUACUACACGUAGGGGAAUCGAUUUAACUAAGACUUUGGCUCUAAUACUAUGUUAGAGAAACUGUUUUACCCGAAAUCUUAAGCUAAUAAGUAAGGCUUCACAAUAAUAUUUAAGACAAAUAUUAACAAGAUAAAUUGAUAAGCUCGUAAAAAGUGCGAGUGUUCUUUAGUCAAAAUGUGCCACACUCCAGUGAAUUAUUUAUUCUGGAAUUUUUUUUUCAUAUCCUAGUUAUACAAUCAAUCAUGAAUAAUAGGACAAGUAUAGCUUUAUUUAAAAUAAGAGUCUUGGUAAGUUAUCAACUCAUCAGUUUCUUUUUCUUUUUUAUUUUUUGGUAUGGCUCAAUUGUUGUCAAUCAAACAACUAAAGGGUUAUGAAAAACUAUUUAUGAGUUGAUAUAAAUUACAUAUAUGGUAACUUAAUUAGCUUCUGCCUUAAAGUGAAUAUCAAUUUGUUCGACCACAAAUAUUAGUGGAAAUAAAUAUAUCUUCCAUAGGUGAGGCUAGAAGUCUCGCCUCCAACUAAUACAGAUUUCCGAGCUAUGCUCAUAAAUCUAUCUCGGCUUUGCUAUGAUAUAUGAAUUCAAACUCCAAUAAUACUCCAAGAUUGUAGUAUAAUCGGACAGUGUAACAACUUUACUUCAAAUACAAAAAACAAUGCCCUGUAUUUAAUGAUUCAUACGGCCACGGUCGUGGUCUCUAAAUGGGAUUAUAAAUGGGCCGGGCUUAGCGAACCGAAGAAACAUAUGGAUUAGUAAUUCGUGGUGAGAAUUUUGACCCAGCAAUCAAAGAAAAUUCUUGAUAAUUUUAGGUUGGUGGAGAAAAAUACAACGUAAAGUAAAUAUCAAGUUGUUCAGGAUUGGGCAUUGUUAUUUCAGGCUAAAAGGCAAUGCUGAGUAUUAAUUAUAUUGUUGAUACGCACACACAUAUUAUAAAAGAAGGUAAGUUGCCUCCCAAGUGCCAAUGCUGGAAGGAAUAGAAACUGUUUGUCUCAAUUUCAAGGAUGAGGAACAAUUUAUCCCUUCCGACGAGAAUCCAUAUCCUAUUCAAUCAACAGGUAAAUAUGCAAAUAAAAGCAUAUAAUACUUUACCAGGGAUUAUAAAACUUAUUAAAAAAAAAAAAAAAAAAAAAAAAAAGGAAUACGAAACAGGUGAGACAAAGUCAAAAAAAUAAUCAGAAAACCCAUGUGAGAGUUGCUACAAAGGUUCCAACAUCCGAAUACUAAGGGUUCUUCCAUUUUGAAUAAGGGGAGCCCUCUUGUCCGGCAAAUAUAGGGCACUGUCCUUUUCUCCCCCAUAGGUUCAUUGUAUUUCUUUGGACAUGCUUUAAAUAUUCACAAAAAUCUAAGGUAGUUUUUUUUUUUUUUUAAUUUGAAUGAAUCUAAGUUUUUUUUUUUUAAGGUUUUAAUGGGUUUGAUUUUUUUUUUAAAUAUCUCUCAAUAUAAGUGGCAUCUUAUUUUUUUAUAAAUUAAAGAAAAACUUAAACAUGGUUAUUUGAUAUUUAAAAAAUAAGUAUAUUAAGUAUAUAUACUUUUAAAUUUAGAAAUUUAGAAAGAAAAUGAAAUCAAUAAAAUCUUAAACUCCAAAUAUUUUAACAAAUAAGCCAUAAAUCUCAUUCUCUUCCUGCUCAAUCACGAAUCAUUCUCGGAUUCGUGAGUUUAGAAAAUAAAAUAAAUCUCAUUAGAGAAUUCUACAACCAUUGCCACGUCCUGAAAACAACAAUCAGUUCCCAUUUUGAAAUUACUCGAAAAAUUCAUUAACUGUUGGGGAAUUAUUUGGAACCUUUGCGACGCUAUCACAAUAGUAUUUGCUUAAACUUUGUUGGUAACGAUGAUAGAUAAAUGUUUAGGAAAUUCUGAUAAAAAAAUUAUUUUCUUUUUUAAGGAUUCUAUGUUCGAUUUUAUAAAUACGACACGUCACGUGAUAUUGAAAAAGUAAUACUCAUUAUUUGCAGAUACAAGGGAAUCCUAUGUAGUCAUUCUUCAAUUUUCACAUACUGUAUCUAUUCCAAUCUUGUGUUUUAUAACAAGACUUUUGUGCUUUGUUUUAGUAGGGAAAAAAAAAAAGGUGGGGAGAAAACAGAGAGAAAAUGAUAAGAUAUGGAGGAAACCAAUCACAUGAAUACAUAUUAAAUAAGAAAAAUUAUUAAAAAUGUUGGUUGGUUGUUUGGGAUUGGGUCUUGGAUAUGGGUGGUAGCCUAGCCGCCUGAGUCUCGAAGAAGAACACAAUCUAAUCUAUCAACCCAAUAUUCUUCCCCAAUCUGUCCUUUUUCGCAGGGGAGAUGAAUAUCAUCACAAAAAAUCAUGGAAACUUUUGACCCCUUUUUGCUUCUAGAAUCACUGGCGAGACCAACAAUUUAAUAUUUGUCAUAUCCAUCGGAUUAGGUGAAGAAAAUUAAUAAGGAAAAAAAUGAAUAAAUAAAAACGAUCGUUUUGCACAUGAUCAACUACUAGAUGGCAACAACGCGCCAUUUUUUUUUUUUAUUUACUUCCAAAAUGAAUGUAUUUUUGGUGGUCCAUUCAUGAUGUCUUUUAAAUUUUCGGUGGACGAUUUGUUCGUCACAUUUUUCUUUCAUACAUUUAAUAAAGAAAUAAUUUCAAGCUCGGUCUCUAUCAAUUACGGAUGCGAAGAAAAUGUGAAUUGCUUUUCGUUCUAGGUGGUAAUAAAUAAAUAGCAUGGCCUCGUAAUUUAAGAGACUAAAUUGAAAGUAACAUAUGUACAUGUAAGACACAGUUUGCGAAUGCAGUUAAAUUCAUGCUUAUGGUGUGUUUAUCAAUUAGUAAUUGGAAGGAACUAAAAUUGGAAUGUGCUGAAAUUGAAAUGAGUUGAAAUGAAAAUGAAAAAUAAAAAUUAGAAUAAAUUGUUUACUUAAUUAGUGAAAAUCAAAAUCGGUAUGGGUUUUUAUUUCCAUUAAUGUGUCUACUUUGUCUUAUAAUCAAAAUAGAUUAUUACAAGUUACUAAAAUGCUCUUAAUUACUUAUUAUGUUUAUUAUUAUUAUUUAUUAUAAUAAUUAUGUUUAUUAUUAAAAAAAUUAUCUAUUAAAAAUAACAACAACAACAAUGACAAUAAUUGUUUUAGUAUCCUAUUCUUUUUUGUUUCAAUCAAACUAGCUAUUAUAAGAAAGAUGACAUUAAUUGAUUUGGUAUUCGAUUCUUUUUUGGGUUCAAUCGGAUUAGCUAUUAUAAUCAAAUUAAUCAUAAUCCAAAUUUCGACGUGUUAGCUAUUAUAAUCAAAUCAAUCACAAUCCAAAUUCUUUUGUUAUUUGAUAUUCAGCAGUACGAUGCUCGAUAGCGAGGAUAUGCUUUGGUGUGAGGCUCAUUAACCGGUGAAGCGAUUCUAGUGGUGCAAUCGUCGGCUGUUGUUCGUUUGAUUUUGUGUUGAAAGGGAUUAGGAUUUGGUGAUUUUCAUUUAUUUUUUUCCUUAAACGAGGACAAGUUGGGAAUUUGAAAUUUUGGUUGAAGGUGUUAUAAGCAACCACAUGAAUGGAGUUCUAAUUCCCAACUCUCAGUAAUAAGAACUUCAGUAAUCAUUCCUAAAUUGGUGUGGGUCCACCAAUUUAAUUAUAAUCCUUUCAUUAUUUUAUAAGUAAACAAGUUCAUGAAUUUUAUUCCCUUAUUUCUAUUUUGAUUCUCAAUCAGUAAACACGUCAUUAAAGUGAUGUAGUCGAGGAGCAAUCUUCUUCUAUUAAGUUCUUAUAUAAUAAUAAUAAAAGAAAAAUGUAUGAGUUAAUCUUGAUUAUGACAAACUAGAAUAGUUGUUGGAUCAUAUAUAAUCAAUUUGAGUAGUGCUUUUCACAACCCUUUAAAAUCCUUAUAAAAAUUCUAUUGUUAGAAGAACUCACAUAAAAGGACAAAUAUGACUUUGUUUAAAUUAAAAUAUCUUUAAACUUAUAAAUCAUGAACUACCCAUACUUAAAUGAUAUAAAUACUUAUUUUAAAAUUAAAAUAAUUUUGAGGCAAUAAAGUAACAAAUCGUAUAAUGAUAAGAUUUUUAUUAAAAAAUUAAUGUUUAAUAUUUAAUUUAACUCUACUAUAGUUUUUUGUUCUUUCUAUGAUUUUGAUCAAAUUAAGAUGUGUGUGUGUGAAAUAAACAGCAUUUUAUAAGAGUUUUAAAGGGGUGUUCGGAGCUUCACUCCAACAAUUUACCCUAACUAAUAUGCAGGCAGAAGUCUUAGAAGUUGUCACGGGGAAUCGGCCCAGCUCCUUCAAUGAUCUGCUCUAUUCACAUACUACAUUGGACACUAUUUGAGCCAGACUAAGCUGCUGGCUAGAAUUUGCGGGGCUAAAGUGGCUGAAAUGCUCUCUUAAGACCAACCCACACGGAUGGUGUACGUAGCCCAAUUUCGUGCAAUUUGUUCAGAUAAAUGACAACCAGCAGCUUUUUGUUAUUAUUUUUGACAAUUAACAGACUUCAUUAUCAUUAACUGUUAAGUAAGGUUAUGAGAUCCCUAACUGUGACGGAAAUCAUAAUCUAAUCUAAAAUUAACUUGAUGGAAACCAUGACCUAAUCCAAAACUAACUUGGACCAAACCCUAAAUUAAUUUGAAAAAACAAAGCAAGCAAUUGCAAAAUUAAGAGAUCGAACAAGGGAGCAGGGAGAUAAUUACCUUCAUGCAAUUGAGAAGUGAGAACAAUGGAAAUGUAAAAACGUAAAUGGCUGGAUCGAACAAAUCUUAGUUGGAUUAAAAAGUGAUUGGAGAUUGAGAAGGAGAGCCGUGAUCAUAUGAUUGUCUUCUUCUCUUUUUUUUGGUUCAAAUGAAAUCAAUUUAAGCUGAAGAGAAGCUUGAGCGGUCCCAAUAGCUUAGUUUUUUAAUUGCAUUUUUAAUUUAAUUUUUUUUCUAGAAAUUUAUCUGAUCUUGUCUAGGUUUUUAAGCUAGCAAAACCAAGACAUUGUGAAAUGAAUAAUUUAAUUAGCAACUAAAGUCAUGUUCGGGCAUUUAAUUAGGCAAAGCCAUUGAAAGGAAUAAUUUAAUUAGUCAGGGUCUUUAUCUUGCUUUUAAUUUUAGCACAAAAAAGUACUUUUAGCAUUACUCAUCCACUUUCCGACUAGUCUAUUCUUUAUCAGCGAGAGUAAAUUACCUUGAAAAAGCAAAUGAUUUUUUUUUUAAUGUUUUUUGAAUGGCUCUUUUUUAUCUUUGUAAAAAUAUAUGGUCGGUAAUGCUAUUGUUGGUUGUAGUGAUACCUUUUUUUAAGUAAUCCUCCAUAAUCAAAUUUGGUCUUUCCAACUAAAACAAUAACAAAUUUUUUUCAAAGAUCCAACUACCGUACCUAAUAUCUUACAAACGUAGGCAUGGUGGCUUUAGAUUUAGAAGAAAAACUUAAUAUAACAUAGGAACACUAGCAAAUAGUCCACUUCUAAUUUAAGAAUGGAUGGUGAACAAACUUCGUGGAUUUAGAACUAUUGGAAAAUGUCUACCUUCACGUGAAGGAAGGUAGGAAAUGUUAAAACAAGAAAACUUUUAGUAAAAAGCAUCACCUAUAUCUCAAGAAUAUUCAUGUUGUAUCACCAAUAAUCAAUAACAAAUUAUGCGGAAGCGUACUUGAAUUUAUAACGUUGAAUUGCUCUUUAGGGUUGUGUGGUUGGCUUUUCAGAUCAACACAUUCUCCUAAAGAAUCCUUUAGUAUUAGUAUUCUCUGUGUUCACUCUCCUUCUGAUGAUGAGAUGUCAGAAAGAAUAGAAAAAUACGUGUGACCUAGAGACCAUAACCACUUAUAUAAACAACUUUUUCCUGUAUUCAUUAGGUAUUCCUAAUUUUGUCCAUCAUAUAAUUAGAAUACAAUUAGGUUUUUACACAUUAAAUGUCCACACCCUAUUAGAUACAUUAAAAUCCAUAAUACCGAAAACUUAAUAGAUCAUAUUUAAUUAGGUUUAACCAUAUAUGAAAAUCCACAAUACAUAAUUAUUCAGAUAUAAGCUCAACGUUGGAUUAAGGAUCUAACAAUGUCAAAUUAAAAAAUCCAACAGGAAAAACAUAAAAAAAAAUAGAGCUAAAAAAAAAAUUAAGCCACCAAAGGGAAAUUUUUUUUUUAAAAAAAUAGUUUUCUAGAAGAAUUUGGAGUUAAUGGUCAUCUUCUUCUUCUUCUUUUUCCCCCCUAAUCUUUAAAUAAUUUUCUAUCAUGAGUACAUUUAAAAUAGUGUAUAAUUGAUAUUUAACUAUUUAUAUAUUCUUAUCUAGUAAUUACAUCUUUAUAAAAAAUUAGGUUAGAAGCUUCUUUCCAUUGGCAGCUAUUAAGUUACAACAAUGGACCCAAACAUAGUUUCCUACGACUUCCUAUUUUUUUUACAAGUAUUAAUUGAAUCAUAAAAAUUAAAAAAAAAUUAUUUUAGGUUUUGAUGCUGCUAGAUAAUAAUCAGCAGCUUAAUUAACUGAACAGGAGUACAUUGGUCUUUAAUAUGCAUUAUCAUUCUAUGCCAAUUAGAAUAAUUUGGCUGAAUAAUUUUGUAAAUAUAGAAUUGAUGAUACGAUAAUAUAAGCUACCACAAGCGAAUAAUUUCGUCUAUUUAGAGUUUGCAUGGGUAGCGAGGCAAUGUUAGUAAUACAGCAGAGAUAUAUGCACCCAUUAGCUUUAUCUGAUGUGAUGAUCAUAAUGUCUACUCGAUCGUGAAACCAUUAUGCCAAUAAGUGACUCAGAAAAAUUAAUUGACUACCUCGGAAAAAAAAAACAAAUAAAAAAAAAAGGCUUGGCUACAAGUAACCGACCAAAACUAGAAAGAAAAUUGUUAUUACGGUUUAAUGGAGCCAGCAACCUAUCACUAACCAUUAUCAAAAUCGAAAUAGAAUAAUUUGGUAAUACGCAUUUCGCAUAUUGUAUUAAGCAAUAUAUACCAAAAGAAAAGUAUAUACAUAGAGAUGCAACUGGCCAAGCAUCACAUCUCUAGCUAUCAUCAUAAUUUGCUUGCGAGUGCUUAAUGGCUAACGAGGGACAAUUCUUUGACAGUGAUCUGGUUCUGAAGCCGAAAGAAGCAAAAUUGCUUCACCUGGUGCUUCUACUGUUAUCCUCGCAUUUAGCAAAAAGAAAGUUUUAUUGAGUGCUCAGAAGUGGUGAGGCGCGGAAGCUUUCCUCAACGAUGGGUUAUACUCAUCUCCGGGCUCACGCCCCAAAAAUAAAAAAAUAAAAAAAUUGUCAUUUUCUAUUAAUUUUUUUUUCGAUAAUAGUUAAAUAUAAUUGAUAAUAGGAUUAUUUUCAACUGUAAAAAUCAAGACAUCGAAAAAAACUAAAAUAAUUAUAUAAUUUUUCUAAUGAAAAGAACAUUGUUGAAAAUAACUUCAAAAUUGGUUGAUAAUAAAUUUAGCUUAGUAGGAAAUUUUAGUGCCAUUGGUACUUAUAACCACUGUAACUAAUUGUUUUUGGAAAUGUAUAAUUAUUUUUUAUCGUUUCAAAAAAAUGGUUGAAAAUAAAAUAAUAUUUUUAAUUACUGUAGUUUUUUUUGUCAAAAAUAGAAAAAUAUUUUUAACUGUACCUAAGAGUUGGUUGAAAAAUAUAUUCAAAGAAUAUAAAAUUUUAACAGACAACAUGGACACCAAUAAUAUUUUUCACUAGUGUAACUUGCAAGGUUGGUCAAAGCAAAGCUUUAAAGGUAAGAAAAUAAAAUAUAAAAUUAGAUAUCAUCUAAAAGAAAAGUAAUUAUAAGUUUUUUUAUUAUUUUUUUUAUCAAACAUGAACUAGAUAAUUAAAUAAAUAAUUAAUUAUUGUACUAAUUUAAAAUAAAAUUAACUUCUACAAUGCACACAGAGUUUGAACCUUCAGCCAAAAAAAGUAAAACAAAAUAUGAAAGUGCCAACCACUUGACAUGAAGUAAUAUGCAAUAAAUUAUAUAUUAAAUAAUUACUAAAGGAUUGAUUUUUUCUUUUUAAGGUUUUACUAGGUGUAACAAUAAAAUUGAAUUACUUUAUUUAACUUAUAAGAUACCAUUGAAGAUACCAAUGAUUGAUUACAACAUAUAUAUAAUGUAUGAUAUCUUACAAUUAAACAACAAUCAACUCUGAAAUAGCGUUGUAGUUGAAGAAAACUCAAUAAUAUAUUUAUGAUCCCAUUCAAUCUUAUAAACAAACUUGAACUUACAUUAAUGUUUAAGUCUCAAUUGUAUUAAUCAUUCUCGCUGAAUCAAUUUAGAGAUUGAUUAUCAAACUAAUUGAUGUUUUAUAGUUAAGCAAUUAAACAAAUAAUGUCAAUGAUUGAUCAUAAUUAUUGUUGACUCAAUUUGGAGAUUAGCUAGUUUUCAAAUUAAUGUAAUUAUCUCGUGACACUUUUCAUAAAUAGAGUUUAAUAGUUUUCAUAAUUUUAUCAUACUCUUAAUUGUGGAACAUGGAACACAUACUUCUUACAUAACAUUCAUUGCAUAUAUAAAAAAAAAAUAGAUAAUUAGUAAUUAACAUUUAAUUAUAGUUGAAUUUUUGUUUAUUAAAUUAGUCUAAUUGUCUAAGAAUGGUCAUACAAUUAAUUUCAACAUAUAAUAAGAAUUAUUGCAAAAUAAUUUAUUUAUAUUUUGAGACAUAGCUUAACUAUGAAUUAUCAAAACUAAUGUAGCUUAAUAGUUUGUGUCGGUAUCCAUUUUCAUCUCUUGUUUAUCUUAUUAAUUUUUCAUUUAUAUUUAAAUCUAUGUUAAAGAUGUUCUAUCAAUCAAUUUAGGCUAGCGAGUAAUUAUAACAAACUUAAAAUUUGCAUUAAUAUGGUGAGAAUUUUUCUUUUUUUUUUUUACAAUUGAUCAAAUCAUAUGCUAAUAAUUUUCAAUAUUUAUCAGUAUAAAAUAACUAACUUAGGAUAAUUAAAUCAAUUGAUUAUUUUUUUUAAAAAAAUUGAAUAUAUUGUUUUUAGUGCAAGUGAUAUGUUAGCGCUAACCUACUCUUCAUUCUCUCUAACAAAUCAUAUCAAUUAAUAGAAUAAAUAAAUUAAUUAAUUAAUUAAAGUCAAUGAUAUUAAGCGCAAUGGAUGAAUUCAUCUCCUCUUCUUUUGUAUUAUCCAUCUCUCCAAUGCUUUAAACUCUAUUUUAGGGCCAUUUUCUUAAUUAAUUCUUUUGAAUUAAGCUUUAUAGAAUUUGGGUAGAUGUUUUCAAAUAUUAUUGACUUUUUCCAUCAUCUUUAAUUUCUUAAGUUUGACAUCAAUUAUUGUUGGUAACACUCAUAUAAGGCUGGUUUUGAAGUUUUCUCUGUUAGGUUGUUCGCUGAGAAUUAUUUGAUUAAUUGUGGGUUGCAGGUAAGAAUUAUUAUUAUUAUUAUUAUUAUUAUUAUUAUUAUUAUUAUUAUUAUGUUCAUGCUUUUAGUUUAUUGGAUUUUAAUUCACAAGUGAAAGGGACGUUAAUUAGGAUAGAUUUAUUUUCUUGUUUAGUAGACAUGUUUUUCUACUUUAAUUUUAUCUUUUUUUUUUAAUAUUCUUAUGCAAAGAAUCAAAAGCCUAGGAAGAAAAAAUUAAGGUAUUCAACUUUCACAAUGAUUCACUUACCCAAUUCACAAUGAUUCUAUCUUUUGUCAACACCAAAAUAUCAUUGUAGUAGUACCGUGUAGCUUUUGAUGUAUUAUGUCUUAUUUAAGUAUUUGUCAAGGAUUUAGUGAUGAAUCCAUAUUGAUUUUAUCUUUUAGCAACAAUAAGUCAAUGUAGUAGCAAUCAUGUAGCUUUUAGUGUAUUAUUUGUAUUUUGUUUAAAUUGCACAUGUAUUUAUCGAAAUUAUUUAUAAAAUGUCAUUUAUUAUCUUUUUUUUUUAAUAUUCGUAUGCAAAGAAUCAAAAGCCUAGGAAGAAAAAAAAUUAAGGUAUUCAACUUUCACAAGGAUUCACUUACCCAAUUCACAAUGUGAUUCUAUCUUUUGUCAACACCAAACUAUCAUUGUAGUAGUACCGUGUAGCUUUUGAUGUAUUAUGUCUUAUUUAAGUAUUUGUCAAGGAUUUAGUGAUGAAUCCAUAUUGAUUUUAUCUUUUAGCAACAAUAAGUCAAUGUAGUAGCAAUCGUGUAGCUUUUGGUGCAUUAAUUGUAUUUUGUUUAAAUUGCACAUGUAUUUAUCGAAAUUAUUUAUAAAAUGUCAUUUAUUAUCUUUUUUUUUAAUAUUCUUAUGCAAAGAAUCAAAAGCCUAGGAAGAAAAAAAUUAAGGUAUUCAACUUUCACAAGGAUUCACUUACCCAAUUCACAAUGUGAUUCUAUCUUUUGUCAACACCAAACUAUCAUUGUAGUAGUACCGUGUAGCUUUUGAUGUAUUAUGUCUUAUUUAAGUAUUUGUCAAGGAUUUAGUGAUGAAUCCAUAUUGAUUUUAUCUUUUAGCAACAAUAAGUCAAUGUAGUAGCAAUCGUGUAGCUUUUGGUGCAUUAAUUGUAUUGUUGAAAUUAUAAAAGAAUAUUUGUCAUUUCUUCAUUGAUUACUAAGUCAUUGUAGUAGCAUUGUGUAGCUUUUGGUAUAUUUUUUGUAUUUUAUUUGAGCUGCACAUAUAUUUGUUGAAAUUAUUCAUAAAAGAAUAUUUGUCCAUUGGUUCAUUGAUUUUUUUCCCCAAAGGCAAUUAAUAAAAUGAUCAUUUUAACUAUCAAGUAGAAUAAAAUGAAUUUUAACAAUCAUCUUCUUGGAAAUAUUAAAAUUCAUUUAAAAAUAUAAUUAAUUCCAACUAACAUAACAUUAGGGGUGGGUAGAACCGAACCGAAACUGAAAAAAAUUCAAUUGUGUUCGUUUUUUUUUAUUUGGUUUUUUUAAAACUAAAAACUCAAAUAUAUAAAUACCGAAUCGAAUGAUUAGGUUUAGUUCAGUUUUCGGAUCACAAAUUACAAAAUCCGAACCAAACAGAUACAAUGGCAUUUUUUGUAAUUUCACAUAACAUAUAUACACAAUUACACAUGUUUGCACCACUCUCGGUCUUUACUCUUUACUCUCUCACUUCCAAUUUCAGCAGCCACAAACCUAAACCCUAAGUCCCACCUUUGCAACCAAAUCCAAGUCUGCAGGUGGCCGGCAUUGCCGAAUCUUCAUUGCCGACCAUCCACUGUUGUUGCUGUUUCCUUCCAUCAUUUCUGUCGCCAGCUAGCCAGUCAAAUAACUUUGUUUUCCUUUUUUCUUUUAAAUGGCUAUUUUUUAAAUAGCUAUUUUUUAAGUCUUUUUUAAUUUCAUGUUUUCCUUAUUUUAUUUUAUUGUAAUAAAUUAUUAUUAGUAUUUGGUUUUAUUAGCUCUAUGCGUACGCUAUUGUGCUUUUUCAGUUUUUCCAUUUCGAUAUUGUGCUAGCUGCUAAGUGACGAAGGUUGUAGAUGAAGUGGAAGGAUAAUAUCAUUUGGAUCCCUUUCCUUUAGAAAAAAAUUUAUUGUGGCCUAAUGUUUAGGAAAUGUUUACAUAUAGAAAUUUUGUUAUGGCCCAAUUUUUUUGUAAACUUUUCAAAUGGGUCCUUAACUGGAAGUCGAUAAGGAAAAAUAGAACUGUUAAGAGAACCGAAAUCGAUAGGUCAGUUUUGGUUCAAUUUUUUUCUCUUAAAAUCUAAGCUGUUUUUUUAAUUUUCGGACUCGAAUUGACUCCUGAAAGUCUAUUUCAAAACCGAACCAAUACCUACCCUUACUGACCAAACAGAAAUGUUUUUGAACUCACUUGAAAGAAGAAACUAGGUUUAUGAAUAAUGAUCAGAAAUCUUAUUGAAAAGUAUGAAUGAAUAAAACUAAGGUUUUCAGUCCCGUUUAUAACAAGCUUAAAUAUCGUGAAUUUACCAAAAUAGGCAAAUCUGAAAUAUAAUAUAAAAAUUAAGUUCUACUAAUCAAAAUAAGAAAAGGAAAAAAAAUGGCGCUCAAAUCUGAGUUUUAGAAAAAAAGAUAAAAAUCCUAGAAAAAUCAGGAAAAAUAAGAAAAAAAUCUUAAAACUAGGAAACAACCAAGAAAGAAGCAAAAUUUCCAGCUCAACCAUAAGGCAUAACAGCUUAGACAGUUCAAGGUUUUUUCGUCUCAUCGUAAGUUUCAAAACGAUAUAUUAUACGCCGAAAACGGACACUUGUACCUCAAGUUAUGACCUUCAGAAGGUAACCUACUCGCGACACACAACACCUUACAUCAACUACAUAAAAUAUUUUCGAUUGCAUAAUCAAUUAGAACUAAUAUUUUUUCAAUUGUAAUUUACUUUUUUUCAACUGUGUUUGCCCUUAAAAAAUUAUGCACUUUUAACGGUAAUUAGUUAGUUCAAAUUGAUAUCGCAAAUACAAUAGCUAGAGAAAAUCCAAAUACUAUUUUUUGUGGCUUAAAGUGGUCAUAAAUAUCAGUUCGCAUGUCCAUUUUAAUUUUCGAUCUCUAUUUAUGUAUCUAUAAUGGCCAAUUUCCCUCAAAAUAAGCAUAUUUAUGGUGCCCGAUUGGAAAAUAGUGUAUUUCUAACCUAAUUACUGAUUAUCAGCGACUGCUUGUGGCCAUUGGAAAAAUAUAUUUUCAACAACAUGACACUUAUUUGAACUGCAUUCAGCAGUCAUGAAAAAUUGUUUUUACUUUUAGUGUCAUACAGAAAUUGCUCACUUCCGUGAGAGAACCUAUGGCCAAGUUCGGAAAUGCACUGGAGCUGCGGCUCAAUCUAAUAUCGAUCAAUGGUGGCCUCGUCCAGCUUGUAAACAAUAAUUUAGAAGGUACAGUAAUCUCUCCGUACAUGCCAUAAUUUAACUAACUAUUUGAUAUAUGUAUGCAUACACAUGCAUGAUACGUACCACUGGCACUGGUUAGUAUAUAAUACAUAUAUACAGUUAACUUAUAACUCGUAUACAUUAAUCUUAUGGUCAAGAUAUAAAAUUACUGGGGUUAAUACGGGGAAAUACUACGCAUUCUUGGCCCUGAUGGCCGCGAAUUUGUCUUAGGAGAGUGAAUCCUUCAUCACUAACGUAAUCAAUAAACACUGGAACGUAAGUCCAAAAUCAAAUUUGAAAGGGAAUAUUAAAUUAUUUAUUUUUAUUUUUUCAAAAUAUCGUAUUAAAUCUCGUAUAUGUACUAUCUAUAAAUUAAACCAAUUUGUUUUUCUCUUUAAUAUUGCAGAUGAAUUUCUUGAAGUUCUACAAUUUCUGGAAUGGUGAUUACUAAUUAAGAAGAAACCUUAUCAUUCUUAAAUAUUGUACGUAAGAUAAACAGUUGAACUAGCUAGUCAUGCUUAAAUUAAGUAACGACAUCAUCUCCAUCGAAUAAGUUUUCUCUGAAAGAAUCAAGAAAAUUCACUAGAUAAUAUAAAAGAUUAUUAUUUUUAGCAUUUUGAUGUUUGUUUACCAGCUAGCUAGUAUGACUAAAUAUCAUUUUUAUGUCUCCUUAAUUAAUUUAAUUUGUUUGACUUAUAUUUAUGGAGAUGUUGUCUACACAAGCCUUCUUGUUUCAAGAUAAAGAAGCUAAUUAAACCUAAUAUGAGCGUGGUUGCGUUUAGAGGCACAGAACCAUUCAAUGCAGAUGACUGGUGCAGAGAUUUUGACAUCGCGUGGUACCAAUUUCAUAGCAUGGUUAAGUGCAUAGCGGGUUCAUGAAAGCUCUAGGUUUCCAAAGAAAAUUAGGUUGGCCAAGGAAAUUGGCAAAAAUGACGAGGAACACCCACUUGCUUACUACAUGAUGAGACAGAGCCACAGAGGUUGAUAUCUGUUUAUUGCGAUGACAUGGCACCUAGGGUGCCUUUUGAUGACAAGGCCCUCUUACCAAGGCGAGGUCAGAGUUAUUAGUCAAUUAAUAGUGGGUAGUAAUUGCUUUCUAUAACUACAUCUCCCGUACGUAAGUGCAUGGCAACCAAAAUACACGCGUGCCUGCAUAUAUGACGUUAGCAUGAUUGUGAAAUUAAAAAUUCCCUUUCAAUUUUGGUUAAAUUAUUUUUUUAACUAAUUGUUAGUAUUAGUUUAUAAUUAAUUUUUAUUAUCAUCAGGUUCUGGAAGAGGAGCCGAGCAAGAAUUAUUUCAAUGUAUUAUAUGCAAUGCCGAAGGUUCUGAAUGCUGUUUGGGAGCUGAUUCCUGGCUUUAUUCUGCCUCACGCAGAGGGCUCAAAGUACCCAGAAAGUUUAUUUUUGAGAGUGAUUAGGGCGUUUGUAUGGAUGGCAAAAUCCUCAACGGGUUUGGGGUCCCAUGGAGCCCCACCCCAAAUGGGAAAAAUUUUGAAUAAUUUUUGGGGAAUGGGGUGGGGAGUUGGGGGAAAAUAAUCCUUAAAUUCUUAAUGAGGUGGGGUUUGGUUUUGUACCCAGAAAGUUUAUUUUUGAGAGUGAUUAGGGCGUUUGUAGGGAUGGCAAAAUCCUCAACGGGUUUGGGGCCCCAUGGAGCCCCACCCCAAAUGGAGAAAAUUUUGAAUAAUUUUUAGGGAAUGGGGUGGUGUACCGUACAUCCGCCUUGGCCGUACAGCAGGAAAAUUUUGAAUAAUUUUUAGGGAAUGGGGUGGGGAGUGGGGGGAAAAUAAUCCCAAAAUUCUUAAUGGGGUGGGGAAUUUUUAGAUAUUUUUUUAAAAGAAUUUAAAUAUUUUAUAAUAUGAUGAUGAUUUUAUUUUAAGUCUCUAAUUUUUAACUUACUAAAAUAAUAUAUUUAUACAUAUUAUAAAAUAGAUAAAUGGGGAAUGGGGUGGGGAUGGGGAAAUCAUUCCCCACAUGGGAAUUUUCCAUCCCCACCCCACUAAAUUUAUUGGAGAAUGAGGUGGGGAAUGGAGCCAAUAAUUUCUAACGGGGUGGGAAAUGGGUAGGCCUCCCCACCCCCACCCCACCCCAUUACCAUCCCUAGGCGUUUGGUUGGUGUUUCCUGGAGCAUCUGCCCAUGCUAUAUAUUCAAGAUUACGAUAAUGCCACCCGAUUGGGUUCCAUUUAUUAACAACCACAUCCACAAGGUAAAUAAACUAAGCCGCCUUGUCAUAUUUGGUGAAGUGGAUUUCCACCAGCUUGUCUAUUUUAUGUAUUACGUGGACACAUGUGCCGCAACCCUGGACCCUAUGCGACCAUAGAGGUUGGACCCAAAAUAUGACAAAUAAAGUAAAAAGGUCGCUCAUUUCAUUUGUGAUUAAUUAUUAUUCUUAUUAUUCAACACGAUGUUUCCGUGUUCGCAAUUCUGCAGAAAUAGGAGAUUAGAGGAUUAAAAAAAAGAAAAAGGACAAACACCAGCAGCUUAAUGAACUACGAACGCACAUAUAAUUCCCAUACGUACAUGCAUUCUUAUGGUCAAAAAUCAACACCGCGCCUAAUUGGUUUACCUUAAUACAAUACUAGAUACAUCGCAUAAAUUUAUUGUUAAUGAUACCAUAUAUAACAUCCCUGUGGGCAGCAAUAUUGGGAUUUUAAUGGCCUAGAUCUCAUCUCUUGGAGCUAAUGAUGAAACAAAAUUUUGAAACCAGUUUCUCAAGUGGCAGAAAACAGUAAAGGGUCAUCGUAUAAAUUCGGAAUUAAUUAAGUAAUUUUAGAAUAUAUUAGAGAUAAUACAACCAAUAAAUGUAUGUAUGAUAUGCUUGAUUAAAUGUAAUAUAACCACCAUCUACGUAGUAAUUUUUUAAAAUAAAUACAUACAUGCCAUAAUAUUAUUUGUUUGUUAUAUAGGUAACAUGAUAUCUUUAAUGUAUUCUAAAAUUCCUCCACUAACACAAAAAAGCCACCAGUAGUUAUUAAUUGCAUUAGGACAAAACCCUCAUGAAUAAUUAAAAGAUUAAUUAAUUAAGAACGUUAGCACCAUCCCCUCCAAAUUUUUUUUUUUUUUUUUUAUUUAUAGGUAAGGCCGUAAGGGAGUCCACUCUAACUCCCCUCACCUUAUGUUUUGAAUUAAAACAAAAUUAGCACGCAUUAUCAACUAAUAAAUGACUUUUUCUCUUUUUUUUUUUAUUUUUUUCUAAUUGGUUGGUCACAUUGUUAAGCAUCUAUAUGGAUAUAUAUAUAAGAUGGAGAUGAACCUUACUAAGUUCGCAAAUGUAUAUUCAGUUGAGACGUUGACGCAGCAGCAACUCAUUUUCAUCAUCAUCAUCUUUAUUGCUUCCAAGUCAUGGCUAAUGAGAAACAGUUCUGUCACGAUUAUCUGUUUCUUAAGCCAAAAGAAGUAGGUUUUGUCGAUCUAAUUCUCCUAUUAUUUUCUUCUAAUUUGGAAAAACUUGGAUUCCUUGAGUGCCCAGAAGAUAGCAGGCACCCGAAUUUCCGUCGCCGAUGGCUUAUAUUCGUCUCCGUUGUCGCACAGAAAUGUCUUGGUUUCUCGAGGAAACCUAUGGCCGCGGUAGGAUAUCUGAUCGAGCUGUGGCUCAAUCUUUUGUCCAGCAACGGCGGUCUUCUCAUGCUUUUGAUCAAUCUUUUAAAAGGUAAUAAUUUAACUGUUCUUGCUUCUACUACGUACCAUAAUUAAGAAAGCCAUAGAUAAAUCAGUACAUUAACAUCACUUGUUAGUUAGUUUAUAUAUGUUAAUUUGUCUUCACUAAUACAUGCAUCAUAAAUUUCAAGACAGUAAUAUAAGCAUAUAUAUUUCAUCAAAUAAAUGAAAUUUAAAAGCUAAGGUAUUUAGAAGAAGUAUUAUCAGGGUUUCUUUUCCUUAAACAUGCGGCCAUCCGUCUGCGUAUAUAGCUUGCUUGCUUAUGGGUAGCAAUAUGGUGUGCAUGUAUUGUUAAUUGCAUGUAGCGCUUAUAGCAUAUCUUAAUUAAAUGUUAGCGAAGAAAUUAAAAUGGGAUUAUCUAUUAGGAAACCUCGUGAUACCAGAUAGAUCAUCGGCAAAGUUCACAUCUUUCUUGGGGAACAUUGACAGACGAGUUGAUUUAGACAGAAGCAUUCAACCCAAUGACAGAAGAUAUUACCCGUCAUUGUCCCUCAUGGCCGCCAAAUUGUCAUAUGAAAAUGAAGCCUUCAUCAAUAACGUAGUCAAAGACCACUGGAAGGUAAGUUUCAAUUCAUCACGUCCCACAAUCAAUGGUCCGCCGCCCUCAAAUCGAUUUAAUUAAAAAGUGUUCUUCAUAUCUCAUACUUGCAUGUGUUUAACGAUUUUUUUCUUUUUCUUUUUUUCCUCAAUUGGCAGAUGGAAUUCUUGGGGUUCUUCAACUUUUGGAAUGGUAAGAAAUGAGAAGCAACCUAGUUCAUUCUUAAUCAUUAUAUAAUUAACGACUGACAAACAUAUAAUAAUUUUUAAAACAUUAUGCAAACUGGUCGGAGAAGAGCACUGUCUGGCAUCCCGUUGAAAGUGCUACUAAUUAAAUAUUAUUUUAAUGAUGCUUGUAGAUCCCUUCAUUUACGGUCUUAAUGUAAAAUCCCAGAAGUAAAUGGACGGGUCCAUUUACACGUGGCUGGCCACGAUCUAUUAUUAAGUAGCUAGUAAUCACACGAUAAGUGAGAUCUCUCCAACUCUCCAACCUGUAAUUUCUGACGUAACAUAGUGCGAUUACUAAAAGUCUGCGGGUGUGAUGCAGACCGGGAAGAAUUAUUUUCCAAUUACGUGCCUAACACGAAUUGUGGAAUAUAGAAUUUUCAACUCGAGCUAGAGAGUAAGACAGCUUACUCAUAGCAUUAGAAAGUUGAACAAAUGAAAAACACACAAACCUUGUCAGUUCAACUCCGAUAUUUAUGUCUUUUUCUGAAAUUUGAUUGGGCCUAGGUUAUCUAACAUAGACAUGAUGUAUAUAAAAUGUUCUAAGCUAAGAUGAAGUUUAAAUUUGAUAGAUCACUGAGGAUCAGGUUUAAUUUAGAGAUAUAUUCCGUAAUUUACUUAAAAAAUUAACUUAUUUGUGAUUUGUAUAUCUAAAAUGGAUUCGAUCCAUUAGUGAGAAUUGCUUAGUAGUUGAGUUACUCUCGCCUCUCCUUAAUUUUUUAAUUUCACAGAUUUCCAGAAGAGCUACUCAACACAAGCCUUCUUGCUUCGAGAUACAAAAGCUAACCCUAAUGUGAUCGUGGUGGCGUUUAGAGGCACUGAACCAUUCAAUGCAGAUGAUUGGUCCGUAGAUCUCGACGUCUCGUGGUACAAGGUUACAAACGUUGGUAAAGUGCAUAAGGGCUUCAUGAAAGCUCUAGGGCUGCAAGAAAAUCAUGGUUGGCCAAAGGAAGUUGACAGAUUAAGUGACCAACCACCAUUUGCUUACUAUACUAUCAGACAAAUGUUGAAAGAAAUAUUACAAAAAAACAAGGAAGCCAAGUUUAUAUUGACUGGACACAGCUUGGGGGGCGCGUUGGCAAUACUGUUUGUGUCUGUGCUAGUGUUACACGAGGAGACAUUGUUGUUGGAUAGAUUGGAAGGAGUUUACACAUUUGGGCAACCAAGGGUUGGAGACGAAAAAUUUGGAGAGUAUAUGAAGGAGAAUUUAAACAAGUAUGAUGUUAAUUAUCGGAGGUAUGUUUAUUGCAAUGACCUGGUACCUAGGUUGCCCUACGAUGACAAAACCCUCUUUUUUAAGCACUUUGGGCCCUGCCUCUAUUUCAAUAGCUGCUACCAAGGCAAGGUGAGAAGGUGCUCUCUUGAUAUAAUAUAAUUACUAUUUUAAACCAUGCACUUAAGUACUAAUUUAUGCUGUUUUUAUCUAGAAACAACGUAGCUCUCCUAAUUAAUGGGUUUGUUCGCUCACUGUGUUGAUGAUGAUAUUUCAGGUUAUGGAGGAGGAGCCGAACAAGAACUAUUUCAAUUUGUUCUGGGUCGCACCGAAAAUCAUAAAUGCCGUUUGGGAGCUGGUUCGGGGCUUUAUUCUGCCGUACAAAAAGGGCCCAGAUUACAGAGAAGGUUGGCUUUUGAGAUUGGCUAGGGUAGUUGGGUUGGUGAUUCCUGGACUAUCAGCGCAUUCUCCUCAAGAUUAUGACAAUGCUCUCCGAUUGGGUUCCUUGCCUUCGUCUCCGCCGCUCUAACACUCCCUCCAUUAUUAACACGAACAAAUUCUAUCUCUACCUGACUGGCAUUCCUCCCUCUGCAUUCGUUUCUUGAACUGAAUUAUUAUUGCAUUUAAGGAGAUUUAGCUUGAGGAAAGAUAAAUUUACAUCGACAAAAUUGUUGUACACCUAGUGGCAAUUGCUUUAUUUUGCAUGGUCCAGCCAAUAAAAUACAUCUGCAUCAUACCAGCAACGUUAUUCAUUGAUUAUUAAUAUGCCAGGACUCUGCGAUCAUUAGAUGCAAGGCUACAUUGCGUUAUUGCAAUUAAAAUUGUCAUAAGAAAAUUACAUAUAUGUCUAUAUAGUAGUUGAAGAAUUUCAAAGUGUCUAUCCACACAACAAUUAAGGUGCCCUGGAUUUACUUAUCAUCGCUACUUCCCAGCACUAAUGAUACUGCUUCCAAUUGUAAAAGCACAUUAACACAAUAACGAAAGUUCAAAGACUGAUGUACAUACAUACAUUCAUACAUGAUUAAUUCGGGAAUUCCUUUCAUUGGAACAUUAAAUUCCCUGGAAUGUGGCAACCGUGAUGUUACAGCUCAUACAUACAAGAAUUCUGACCAAGAAACUGUCGUGUCCCUACAAAACUGCAUCAACACUAAUUUAGUGCCGAUGUGGUUACCAGUUGCCAUCUUUUAUGUGCCAUUGAUCUUCUUGCAUUCCAACUGCCAGAUCCUACCUGGCCAGAAAUGAAACAGACAUUGCGUUAGUAUCAACUUGUCAUGUUUAACAUUAACGCAGUUGAUCAUUUGUUCUUUGAAAAAUAACAAAAGAAUUGUAGUUACAGUUCUGAAAUAAUAAUCAAGUAAUAAUUACCUGCUUUUCAGACUGAUAAUUUAGAGAACCAGAUGGAUAGAUAACAUCUUAGAAAGCAUGGCAGGUGAAGCAACCACUCAAGGAACCCAUCUGGCGGGUUCUACGGAAUGAUACAGCCUUGUGUGAAGUCCUAGCAACUUGAUGGUCUUGGUUGGCGGCAACCACCGAGCUUCUCAUUUCUUGAGCUCUCUUUUGAGCUGAUCUUAGCUUGUUCAUAAUCUUAUCCAUAGAUGAUGACCGCUUUUUUUCCAGCUUCAUCUGAGAUCAUAUGUUAGUCAACCAUAGCAACAGCACAAAGGCCGAUGUCAUGCAAAACCCAGGUUUGUGGAACAUAGGGCCAAAAAUGCAUGCCUUGUGAAUUUUUUUUAAAAUUUAAAGCACCAAUCUGUAAUCCAGAUGUCACCAUGAAAUGUCUUCUAUUUCUUAAAAAAAAAAAAAAGUAAUUGCAGACAUAAAAGAUUAAGAAUUCAGAGAACAUCAAAUAGAUCAAGAUCAGUGUAGAUCAUUCAAAGGAAGAAAAUGAAGGAAACAAAAAUUUUAUAUCGAAAAUCCACAUAAUUUUAAACGUUUCCUUUCUUGUUACUUUUUCUCUGUUUUUACUUGUUUUUCAUAGAAUUCUUCAUAGACGCCCUCAAUCAUUUGGUACAUCAUUUUUCCAAUAUACAAUAUUAAGGACUGAAACUGCAGGAUGGCAAGAUUGGGAUCAAGAGAUCAUCACAAAUGCUCUGUCAAAUCCAAUUGCCUGCUAUUUAUAAACUGCAGGAUGGCAAGAUUGGGAUCAAGAGAUCAUCACAAAUGCUCUGUCAAAUCCAAUUGCCUGCUAUUUAUCUGAAGUAGGACUAUUCUUCCAAAUAUAAAUUCCAAACAAAAUCCUAAGAAGGCUAUAAGAUAACACCUUGUUUUAAGAAUGUGUUUAACACAAAUUUUUUAGCAAGUUUUAUUAAUAAACAUUAAAAGAAACAGGAUUCAUGCUUAGCAGUAAAUGUCAAGUGCAUUCCAAGAGUAACAAACAAAUAGAAGGCAGAAAAAAGAGUGAAGAACCUCCAGUUUUCGAAUUGCUGCCUCAGCUUUUGCUUUCUGCAGGUUUUCCCAUGCUGUGAUUCUGAGUUCCUCUCUUUUGAUCCUAUCAAAAGCCGAAAAACAUAAUCUGACAGUGGUCUUCCUGGGGACUGGAUUGAGUUUGAAAAAAAUAAUGCAGACAUUUUUAUUAAUAAUUCAGGAAUUCUGUGCUUUCUGGCUUAAGUGCCGAUAGUGCUUGAUGAGGUGAGGAUUCCGUCUUCCUUAUCUACAAGAUUUCAAUUACUGAUUUUCUAGGUCUUUAAUCACUUGCAGAUCAGUCAUCCUCAUUAACUAACUUAAAAAUGCAAAGGGACAAUAAGUAUUUCUUCGAUUAAGAAAACAUACUUUGAAAUGGUCUUCGUCGAUUCUGUAAUAUCCCAAGCUGAAGUUUGAGCAUCCGCGGCUUUCUUUCUCCAGUCAUCAACAAUUUCUGAGCUCUUCCCAGAGGUUCGAGUUCGAUGUUUCUUGGACCAUCUAGUCACAGUAACCUUUUCAUCUACCUGCACAUCCCUCACAUCUGAUUUAGAGGAACGAACGCUCUGGAUUUCCGCAAUAGGUAAGGCAGACGGAGUGGAGGCAGAGAGCAACAUCCUUUUGGGAGAUGAGUAAGAGCCACUCUCAGGGCUCAUCUGAGUCGCCAUGUCCCUUCUUGAAAUAGUACGAGAAACAUCAGUGGCAGCAUCCUUGAGCCCAUUAAUCUUUUCAUCUGUAAGUUAGAUUAAACACCAAGAUUCCAAUAUCAGAUAUUUGAAACUCCAACAGGUAUAAAACAGAAAUGCCAAUGAUCAGUAAAUUCUCCAACUUCCCAAGAUAAUAUGUAAGAGCCCAGACAAGGUAUUUUGUCCAUAUCAAUAUUAAGGACUAAUGGUUCAGCUGUUGACAGAGUAUAUGGCUGGUUCCAAAAUUCAAUUUAACCAGUACAACCAACAAACAUUGUAACGUGAAAUACCAAUUGUCUCUUGUCUGGACAUAAAAAGGUUCUUCAUGCAAUUACCAUACAGAAAGGCAUGUUAAUAGCAGUUCCUAAAUUAUUAUGACAACCUAAAUUGAUAAAAAAUCCAAUAACUUUGUAACAAUCACAAUUACGCCAUAAGUUACUGCUAAUGGUGAAAAAAUUAACCAAUAGAACUCCAUAAUGUCAAAUUAGAGGACGCUGAAGCUCAAAUCAUUAAGUCUAAGAUCAUAUACCUUGUGGGGGCAAUGAUGGUGGAUUCAGAGUCUCCGUGCAGCCAUGAACACUGGCCGAGCGCGCCAUGCAAGGCUCCAUACUCACAGGAAAAUUUCCGGCAUGAGCGCCAGGUUGAAUUGCCAAUCGAUCAGCUGCUAUUACACCAGCCGAGAAUGGAGAACCCGCCAUGAAGUUGACAAAAUUGCCCCCAUCAAACAUCGGCAUUGCAGGCGAAUAUAAUGAAUAAUAUGCAAGCCCAGGAGGACCAAGGGGGCCGCUCUUAGAUUUUGGCCUCCUUUGAGGAGCUACAUAAGAUUGUCUUGCAACACCGUCACCAGCAACAGGGCUGAGUAUCCACCUCUCAGCAUCUUCCCAUUUCGAAGGCAACGUCCUUCCGUUAUUAAAAGGCAAGAGUGCAGCACCCACUUGCCUCCUAUUCCCAGUUGUCUGCAAAGGUACUCUCUCCGAACUCCAACCCUUGUGCAUCCCAACACUUGCGUUCCUGUAAUUCGGUGUUCCUGGACUGGGAAAUGUACCGGUCUUGCGCGACAAAUUAGAGCUUUUCUUCAUAGCCCCCAAGCGUGGAGAAGAAAUGAAAGUAGCAUUGUUCAGAUCUAGAGAAGCAGGUCUUCUCCUCGAAAGAGCUUCGGCUCUCAAUCUCCUCUCCUGGCACUCUACACAAACAAACAAGUAGGUUAUCAUCUCAUUAGCCAUAAGUAAAAAUGUCAAUAUUUUAAUUUAAAAUACAGAGGAAUUCGUUUCGAUCGGGGUUACCUUUGAGAGAUUGAGAAAAUGAAUUUCUGGCUGAAUCUAAGGUUCUAUUAUCGUCUUCUGCAGUAGCAACGCUGUCUUCUUUUUGAGCGCGAGAUGCUAGUUAUAAUUGAAGGAAAACAGUGAGACGAAAGGAGGCGGGCCUGGUGAGUUCUGACUUUCUUUUGUUUUUGUGUCAUUAGCUUUAAAUUAAAAUGAAAAAAAAGAAAAAGAUCCGAGUACCUGUACCUUUCACCUGUUCGGCUUUUUUAGAGAGACGACGAAUGUGCUUGUUGCGUUGUUGCGUUGUUGUGACGACUUUGUUCGGAUCUGGAUCUCGAUCUGGACCACCACUUCCACUUAAACUCUCCUGCCGCUCACGUUCUCCCAAAUGCUGCACUCAUCCGAAAUAAAAGGUGCAGCAAAACCAAAUUAAUAACUGGAAAAUGUAGCGAGCUUCAAAGCCAGCCAGCACCCAGCCGGGCCACAUGCUAUAUAAUGGUAUGGCUUUAUAACUACGAGAGACAGAUCUCAGAGACAAUGCCGAGUGAUCUGUAUGUAUGUUACCACUUACCAGAGAUAUUUCAGAAGCGAGAGAGUCGUGAUCGUGAGCAUCGGAAGCAAAAGAGCAGCGAUCAACACUCGCCGAAGUGGAAGAAAAUAGACUGAAGUUGGAUUCAAGAGUGAAUAUGACAGAGUCUGGGCUGGAGUCACGUGCUCUGUACGCCGACCUCUGCUCCUGAAAUCCUAGCUCCGGCAUUCUGAAACUCGAGUUCACAUUCACGUCUAACCUGUAACCUCACUCCAGCCACCGGAAGAGUAGCGACUGAGAUUCUCUUUUUAGCUUAUAAAAUCUAUUUUUCUGAUAGAAUAUGAAAAUAUGGCGGGUAUAUAAAAGAAGGAAACUCCUUACUCCCCCCGUGCCUCGCUCACUUUUUUUAAUAUAUAUUUAAGUAGUAAUAAUAAUAAUAAAUAAAUAAAAACGGAGAAAAUGACAAUAUGAUUCGGCUUUUGUUUUCUUUCGUUUAAAAUAAAAGUAUUAUCAAGGAAUUUUCAAAGAAAAAUUAAGGACAAUGACCGGCGAGGUUUGUUUGUUUAAUUGCUUCUGUUAACGGAGUGGAGCGAAUGAGUGAGUGGUAAGUGGGGUUUGCUGCUUUUAAUGUUUUGGUCGCUCCAUCAUUGCCUUGACUGUCAAUUUGACUGUCAUAUGUAAACGAGUGUGGGACCCUUGGAUUCUAUUUCAGAUUAUCUCCUUUUUCAAAUAUUGAAUCAAUUUCAAUUUGAUUAUGGACGGCCAGAAAAAUGUUCAUCCUUUUUGAAAGGGCGGGCGGUAAUUGUGUCGCUGUUCUUUUUUAUUUUUAAAAAAGGGGUAAUAAUUUGAACAAUCAAAGACAAAAAGCGUCGUUUCUGGAAAUGACCUGUAUGUGAUGUAAUUUUACCGUUAUCAGAAUUUUUUUUAGAAAUGGAUUUGAUAUUUUGAUCGCGCCGCUACAUCCAUCAAAUCAAACAAUUUUUUGAGUCAAAAUAUUAUUUUAAAACAAUUAUUCUGCAUGGGCUCAGAAAAAUAAAAUAAUAUUAUGAGUUAUGAGAAUGCGUAACUAUUUUGUGUACUCUCGUGUACUCGUAAAAAAAUUAUAAAAGAAAAUAAGAGUUUAUUUAAUAAUUAUGAGUGUUUAUUUAAUUUUAUAAUUUUAUUAUUGUUUGGUAAUUUUUUAAAAUAAAAUUUUUGAAGGUUAAAUAAGUUAGUAAAAGCUUAAAUUUAAAUUUUAAGAGUAAAAAUUAAAUUUUUAAAAAAUAUUAAAUACCUAAAUUAUCAUUUGACAACUUUAUUUCAAUUCUUUCAUAAUAUAAUUUUAAAAUAAUAUUUAUUAAAAUAAUUUUAUAAUUUUUAAUAAAAAUCAUCAUUGACAACUAAAUAAUUUAUAUUUUUUUAGUAAAAGCUGAAUUUACAAAAUUUUAUUAACAAAAAUUUCACUUAAAUAACAUAUAUUUGAAAAGUUAUACGAAACAUAGUAUAAAAUUUUGAAUACAAUUACCCAUGAGAGUAAAAAAAAGAAUUGAUUUACAAAUCAACUAUUAAAUAAUAAUCUAACAAAAACUUUAUAAGCUGAAUAGGUUAACUCCAUUUGUGUAUUAUCGGGACUAAUAUAAUAAUGACCAUAAUUGAGGCAAACUCGCGUUGAAAUUAAAAUUUAAAGACAAAGCACAUUUUGUUGUUCCGUAAAUCCAAGUUAGUCAUAAUUAAUCAUGCCCUUCAAAUUGCCAAGGGUUAAUGAAUAUAACAGGAAAUCGGUGGUGAAGUGGCCCGUGUUUCCUCUAGAAACAGCAGCAAAGCCAAAGAGUCGAUGAGUGGUUCACCAUAUCCAUCUGUCCCCAUAAAGCGUGCCGCGGCGGGUGCUCAGACUCAAAAAGCCAUCCAAUCUACUUACUAUUUUUCUGCCACGCCUCCCAUCGCCGUGCAAAGGCAUAAUUAAUUUUUUUUUUUUAAUAAAGACAGUCAGUACAAAACAUGUAGAGGAAUCCUGAAAAUUUGAUCACGAAAAGGAGAGGAGAUAGAAAAUGGCAAAUCUUUCUUUUUGUCAUAGUUGUUGUUGUUGUCAAUUGACAAAUCAUGUAUGGUCAGUAAUAGCCCUCGACAAAGAUGCCGCCAGCUGGACAGGGGACAGCCUGCCCUCCCGCCGGUCAAACCGGGUGAUGCCGCAAAUAAACAAUGAAUAAAAAAAAAGUAGUCAUGUAAAUUAAAUAAUGAAAAUUAUUUAUGCACUAUCACUGUUUUAUCUCGCUCUCACACACACACACACAUAUACAUAACCUUUAAAAAGUUUUAACUUGUUAUAUGCAUCAACUAUAUUUUUAAACCUAUAACACUAUUAGAAUAUGUUUAAGAAUCUAUACAAAAUAAUUAUUUUUACCCUUAAAUGUAUUAAAAGAUUAUUUUAUCCUUUAAAAAUUAUAAAAUUUAUAAAUGUUGUUAAAAGAUCAUUAUUCAUCAUAAAAGUUAAAAGUCUGUUCAACUAACUUUUUUGUCUGUCUAUAAUUGUGCUUCUUUUAUAAUUUUAAAUUUCGUUAUUUUUGAAUAUAUGAUUAUUUUUGCUUAGAUUUUUUUAACAGAUUCUAAUAGUAUUAGUAAUAAAAUUAUUGAUUAAUACAAAUUUAAAAACGUAAGUGAUGUAUAAAAUAUAUCAAUUUUUUAUAAUUAAUAUACAUAUGACAAAGUAAAAGUGGUGAAAAUAUAAUUUUUGAAUUAAUAAUAAUGUUAGUGUACAGCCUUCAACUGUUUUAUUGUUUAUACACCAAACACCACCUCUUAUCAUUUUAUUUUUCGUCUACUGUCGGUGAAAUUGGUAAAUAAAUUGACAGAAAGCAUAAAUGCUUUGGUAAAUUGAGUUAAGGGCCUUAAAUAUGUUAGUCAGAUGAGGAGAUGAGUGUCUUUUACUCCGCCAUCACAUGUGAGCUGAAUGAAACACAGUCGUCGUGCAGUUAAUUUCAGAUCUAAUGUUAGGUUGGUUGUGUUUUUCUAGAGUAGAUUGAGGACCCAACCGAACCGUGGGUUUUUAUUUUCUUUAAGAGUUCUGACACUCGACGCGCUCAAUAUAAAUCUUCAAUUAUUUUUUUGAACCAAAUAUGGACCAGUUUCUUGUAGGAAUGGAUUGCCGAAGGUGGAAUGCGAAACUACACAAUUAAUCUGCAUAAUUUUCUGUUUCAUUAUUCUCAGUUACUAUUAAUUUCAAAGGAAAAAAAAAAAAAAAAACCUCAAAACAAUGUUAUUGUGCAAUUAACCCUAGAAAUUAAGGGCGCACUCAUUUUCCAUUUUACAAGAACAAUAAAAUAUUAAAAAAAAAAAGUGUUUGGUAAGCUUCAGUAAUAGUCAUUUUUUUUUUAAAAAAAUAAAUCAUACCCAUUUUACAAUGUUAACAAAAACAAGUUGGAAAAAGUAGAAUUUUUGUUCACUUUGUUUAUGAAAGCUGUUGAUACGGGAUUUUGGGUCUACUUGUGCCCAACCAGGAUUCCUCCUCAACAAUUGAAUUUGUAGUUGAUUGGGGAUGAUGUCACGCUACUCCUUCUAGAUAUAUUAGACCAGAAGGCUUGUUGUUUCUCCUCUUUUAGCUCCUGCACACACAAAACCAGUCAGAAUCCACCAGGGAUAUUCUCAAGAUAAACCCUCCGACGCUCAAGUCAGCAAUUUGAGUUUACUGUAGAAAACCCUUGCCACCAAUUUUGUGGCUCUGUCACUGUUUCUUAGACACUGUAAUUUGUUUGAACUCUCCCAAGGUUUCAAUAAGAAUACUCUCUAGAUUUUCUUUUCCUUUCUCCUCAACCCCUCCAACUGCUCCGUCUGAAUCCUCGCCGCUUUUUCCUCCUCGAUUUCUAUGUACAUCUUGGCAUGCUCAUAAGCCGCAGAAUAUGACUGAACUGCUAGACUCUUCAAGUUGUACCACAGGCGCCCUAUCCUUACUCCUUCAUUUAGCCCGUCACUUUGACAGACUCUCUACCGUGUGGAGCCCUUGCUAAUUUUGUAUACACACGAGUUUUUAAAAGAACUUGUCUGUUUAUGUGACAUCUGGUAACAAGAUAAGAAAAUGUUCCAAAUAGGGGGGUAAAAGGAAAAAAAAAAGAAAAAAGACAGUUUGAUUAUGGUCAUUUCAGUUAUCAUCUAUAUUCUCUCUUGAUACGAACACUAUAGCAUUUGCUCAUACUCUGAUGAUACAACCAGCCAAUCAAUCAUAAGACAUAUGAAAUAGUAAGCUAAACUGUACACUAGAUAACUCCAUCGACAACAGCAACGGUCAACAUUCACAAAAUACUGAUACCAGGUCCUCCAUAUGCUCUCUCUCACCCCCACGUGAACCCAGCUGUUCAUUGCUCUCUAACUGCCGUUCUAUGGAAGUAAGCAGUUAUUGCCUUCAGCCUACCAUUCAAAAAGUUCUUCUCAACCUGGUAAGGACAUAGGAAUACAAUAUGAUUACCGAACAACAUCAAUGAUAUUUUAAAUUUUGACUAAAGCAAUGCAUACUUUAAACCGCUCUUUCAUAAGUACACAAAAGAGUCUAAUCUGAGGAAUUGGUAGAUUACACUUCAAGAAUUUCCAGGGGAGGAGUAUGUAUCUCCAUACAAUGAUGUUUAAGAAGUAAAAACUGCUGUUACUACUGUACUCAAAAAGUAUUACAGCCUAAAUGAUUAAAACUUAAAUAAAACACCAACUAAUAGGCAUUGUUUCCUAUUUCAGAGGUUUAGAGGGGUUAUUAAAAAGUCUGAAGUGUAACUAUUCAAGGUACACCUUAACUACCAUUUUAGAUGGGGCAAUGCAAAGGGGCUGAUGCCGCCACCUCUUACUAAUCCAAAAUAUGAUCCAACAUUAUUGUCUCAUGGAUAACUAAGCAUCAAAUUUUAGGUCACCGCACACUCCCAGCCCAUCAAUUACCCAUCUGUUCUGUUGAUGAGGAAUAGUAUAACUACAGUCUGAUAGCCCCGGAAAAAAUCAUUCAUACCUUCUUAUGUUUUAUUCAUUUUUUAUGAUAAUAGACCCCCCAAAUGUAUGCAUAUAUAUAUAUUUUCAAUUGAAGUGAGUGACUUAUUUUAUAAAAUGAUUAAAUUAUAUAUUUAUUGAAUAAUUAAAAUCAUUAGGCGACUAAAAUGUUAUUACUGCUUUAACCUAUUAUAAAAAAGUUCUAAUUAAAAGUAAAGUAUAUGAAUAUAUUACAACAUUAUCACCAGUAUUACAGUAAAACCUCUUUAUAGAGAUACUCUAUAUAAGAAUAACAUUCAUGUAAUUAUAAAAAAUUACAGUCUUCAUUUGGGCCAAUCAUAAAUAGGAAUAAAUUUCGCAUUAUAAUAAUUUUAUAGAUUCCCUCUUACGAAAUUGCCCUUCACUUAGUAAUAAUUAUUUGUAUGUUGUAAAAAAUAUAUAUGAUUUAUUAUAUUAAAAGUGUGAGAUGGAAUAAAUAUUUCUUCAAAAGUUGUUUGGGACAAUGAUUUAUUAUUUAGAGUCGUUACCAAAUCCUUAGACAAUAUUUAUAGAAUUUACAUUGAGAGAAAAAUAGGAAAGAUAAUGCAAACAUUUAAACUUUUAAAAUAGCUUCGCAUAUUCCCAACACUACAUAAAUACAAAUAUUAAUUUCUUAAAAGUAUGUCUAUUUCUUUUAUCAUUAUCUAUACAUUGGAUUUCAUAUCCUCAAUUAUUAGUAUAGUGCAUACUUUAUCUCUGUAUCACUAGAACUGCAUAAGUCAAAAAAAUAAUUUUAUAACUACACCUCUAAUAAGUUAUAACCUCCUCAUAACAAUUAAAUUAGUUUAGUCCCAAUAUUAUGACUAUAGAGAUAUUUUACUAUAAAAAGUUAAAAAAAUAACAUACGGUAGCAAUUAACAUUUUCAUAUUUUCAUGAUUUAUUUCCUUCACAAUCAUAAUCACUCAUUUUCUUUCCAUUAUAUCAAAUUAUUUAAAGAUUUCACAUUCUCGAUAAUUUAAAUUAAAAAGGAUUUCAAAAAUAAUUUUUUCACGGUGCAAUUUUAAUAAUUUAUAUUAUAAGCUUAUUUGUUCUAUUGUUGUCAAUCUUUUAUUAGAUAUAAAUAUAUAUAUUGUACGAAGAGUUUUAAUGUCGCAUUUUUUUUAUAUGUGAUUUCUUAUUUCUUUAUAUGCACCCGCGUUCACAUAAACAUUGACAAUAAUUUUGUAAAUUUGCCUAGAAUAAUAAAAAUUCUGGGUUAUAUAUAGAAAAUGCGUGAUGAAUGUAAUACUACCUCUAAUGACCAUGAAGGAACGGCAGAUAAAGCCAAUUCUGCCAAUUGGUUUAGAUUGACGUUUCUUGGGAGAAACAUGACAACUCUUGAGGCAAUGCCCUUUGCACAGUCAAAGAGAGAACAUCUGCACAAGUACAUAUCAGUGUGUUAUGGACAUAAGCUUUGUGAAAGGGGGCUAAAUAUGGAAACAAAUAAAGUGUAUUGACACAAAAUGUUUAGAUAAAAAGGAUAUACCCAUCAUGAGGCUUAAGCAUUGUCUGAAUGUCAUAUGUCUUCACUUUAGCAUAAUCAGGACCACCCCAAGGAGGAGACAAAAAGACUGUGUCAGCCUGCAUCAUUGAAAAUUUAGAUUCUGAAGAAAUUAGAUAAAAGAAAUAUUUUAGUGACACUCAUUUUUGAUACACUGGUAUCAAGUAGACCAAUCCUUUUCUCUGGCCAAAAAUAUCAUAAUCAUUUAUAACCUUCCCUUUUCUAAGAAUGAUUCUAGAUAUGCUACUGAUACUAUGGAAUUAUAUGAAAAUUUAAAGUGGAUUCUCAAUCUCCAUGGCACCAUAAACAUUUCUAAAAACCACUUGAAAUUUAAGUUCACAAAAAACUGAACCAAAAACAGGACAGCAGAUUGCAGAUGAAGGGGAAAGGGAUAAAAAUAUUAGCUCAAAAGGAUUUUGUGGCACUCGACAUACAAGAAUAACAAAAACCAAAGAACACUGAUAACAACACCAUAAAAACUGUCAAUGGUGACAAUCGACAUACACGAAUAACAAAAACCAAAGAACACUGAUAACAACACCAUAAAAACUGUCAAUGGUGUUGAUAAAGCUUUGAUACCUUCAAUGUUGGAGCUAAGGUGAAAAAGUUCCCCAGAACGAAAUCUAUCUGAUCAAGGACUCCAUAGAUGGUUGCGUUAUGACAUGCAUAAUCAAUUUUCUUCGGAUCAAUAUCAAUUGCAACAACAUGUUUGCUCCUGAGAUAGAAAAUAAAGCAAACAUCAAGAGCAGACAUUUGGUCGAUGCAGCAAAAGCACUAUGUCCACAGUUAAAUGAAAACAGUCAGAAUAGAGUAUCCAACGAAAUAAAGCAUGGUAGAUUUAUGCAGUGAAUAUUCCUGGAUGCAACAUAAAUUUUGGGGAGGGUGAUAAUAGGCAUAAACAUCCAGAAGACCAGAUAUGUUAAAAACUACUACAAUCAUACAGUCUUAUUCAAGAUACAGAGUGGUUUAAGUAACAUACCUCCGAGCAAAUUGUAUGGCAUUCCCACCAACUCCAGUAAAACAAUCGACUAUGAUUCCACAACCACAACGGACCGCAUGAUGCCAAGCUAUGGGCUCGGGUGUGACAGAAAACCAUCCUUCCUCGUCCAUUCUUAUACCAUCAUCAAAUCUAGAAAAUAAUAAGUAUCUCUGACACCAGUAUUUGCUGAUGUUGGAAGGAAACUCUUCAAUCAACCCUUGAAGUUGAAGCUCUGCAAAAGCAGUACAAAGUCAUGUUUAAAUUUUCGGUUUGCAAUAUACCAGACAAGUAAGCAACUCACUGCUGCUUAUAUUUAGUACUUCAUGUCUAUAUACAGAUGAGAGCAGAGGAAAAUUGAGGACACGAACCUUCAUUUGCAUUAGUCAAUUUUCUUAGUGCACGUCUUCGUCUCGCUUUCUUUUUUCGUUUGCUUGUGGAAGGGUCAAGUUGGACAUCCAAUUUAUCCAUUACAGAAUCCAUUGAUCCUAGCUGUAUAGCGUCACCAUUGGAAACUGCUUCAGUGAGUGCACUGGUCAAGCUGCAAUAAGAAUCGGAUGUCAAUAGCUAGAACAAUGAAGUUUUAUUUGGGUGGUCUAACUGAGAAUCUGAAAUGGGGAAGCCAAGAUCAUGCUUCUUUUUUCUACCUUUUAUCAUCUGAUACCUGAAAGGUUGCAUCAUAACUGCAUUGCAUAUGGCUACUGAGUUCAUCAAGACCAAGCUUCACUUUGUUCUCCUGGCUGUGAAGAAAUUAAAAAGAACUAAAAAAUCAUUUUGAGGAAAAGAGGAGAGAGAGAAUGAAGUAAGCAUAAGGAAGACAAGUUACCUGUGGCCAUGCUCCUGAGCAUCUGACAACAAGCAUAUGGGAUCACUUGAGAUUUCAGCGACCACAUGAAUUCCAUCAGGGUGAUCUGAAGAGUGGCUUAUCAUUGGUACAGUUAUGUUUGACAUUAAGUCAUUAGCUGCUUGUACACAUUGCACUGGUGGCUUCUCUAGUGGUUGAUCUACUAGUCUAUCACCAUUGAAGGAUGCCUCAAAGGACUUCACAUUAUUAUCUGACACACAUAAAUCUGCUGAUUCAGAGCAGACACAGGAAAUGGAAGGCCUAACAAUUAUUGCAGUCACCUCACCUGUCAUGUCACUAGAGUUAUCUGGAUUGUCAAUAAAUGCAAGAUGUUCUGCACCUGGGGGUGGGUUCCAAGUAGAUACAAGAGUUUUAGUGUUGUAGAAGUAGUUCCUCAUGUAGAAAGAGUCCCAAUACACCUUCCAAUCCCCAAAAGCAUCAGUGCAAUCAUAACUACCAACUUCAUCAUAGUUGGUCAAUUCGUAGCUCGAGGAAUCCAAAACUGAGUCAGCUACCAGUGGCUGCUCAGCACUGUUACUUUUGCAGAAACCCUCACCUUCUUUAUCACAAUCUGCCAGUAAUGACACUUCUCGGCAGUCGUAGUCCAUAAAAUGUCCACCAUUCUCUUUAUCACCAUUAUAAGUAUAUACAGUUUCCAAAUAGCAUCCUGGAGCUACAGCUGUUAAUGUAGUUGAACUCGGCAUGUCUUUGGACAUAUCAUCACCAUCGUGUACAAUGUCGCAGUACCGAUCAUCAUUCGACACAAGAUCAGAUAUCCCAUCACCAAUUUUUUUCUUGAGAGUACUACCAGAAAUCCAACCAGGACAUUCCAAAUCUUCUCCUUCACCUAAGGGGCGUUUGGAUUCACUGACAUCCACUGCAACAUCAUAGGGAGAUAAUUCAUUUUGGCCCAGUAUUGACAUGCAACAUAAAGAACUUCUUGUUCUAUCAUUGAAAACAGUAGGAAAUACCGUCUCCACCUUGCUCACUUUGGACAAUUCUUCCGCUUCAUCCUUAGUUUCAUUACAACAGAAAGAACUAUUCAUGUGUGUAGCCUUCCCAUUUUUUCUGGUCAUGCCAUUCCUCUUCUGAAAAAUUGUCAAUGGGAGAGAAAAAAGGUCAAAGACUGGAGUAAUUGGACAAUGACAAAAUAUUUCAACUCAAUAAAUAGAAGUCCUUUUUUACUUUUUUACUUUUUUCUCUUUUUUCUCUCAUUGCCAUCAUCUAGAGAUAUAUCCCUUACGCAGUUAUACUCUCACAUCACCAACUUCUAUGUCUCUUCUAUAAAGAGAAGAAAGAAAACAAGGGUAAGUGCACUCAAAUGUCAACAUUCUAAUAUCCUUAACCUCAAACUUUAAGCCCUACAAAGAUGCUCUGAUCUCGCACAUAAAACAAUAGCUCUCAGUUUGAUGAUAACUGUAUUUAUCAGCAAUCAUAAAUGGAACAAUCUACUAUUAGCUACAUCGACAGCCCCCUUGUUCAUGACCGAAUUCACAACUAUUUCAUACACUACUUAGCAGACCAUUUCACAGACACAGCCAGUCAUUUUUCCAAGAAGGAGAAGGGGAAAGAGAGAGAGAGAGGCUUAUACAAAAUUAAACAAACAUAGAUGCGUCAAUCACAACAGAGCAAGUGCAAUCCAUGAGAAAACCUCAAACCCAAACCCUUACAAAUAUGUUGCUUCAAGCAGAAUAAAGAAAGCAAGAUAUCCGGUUACCUCCUUGUUAGUUUGGAAGGAAAGGGGAAGACCCAAUUCAUUCAUCUGUACAAACAAUUCUACAUCCUCAGGUAAAUAAUUAGAAUCUGCAAAUGUAAAGGGAGAAUGACUUUUCAGUUAUUAAGACAUGAGAUCAAGAACAAAAUGUAAUAGAGGACUAGUGAAGCACUCGCCAAAAGCAGUAGAAACAAUGUUUGAGCUGGCAUCAUCAACAUCUUCACAAAAUUUCUGUGUACAAAACCAAAAAUAGUUUCAAAUUAUUACCAAGUUAAAAGGGCUUUUAAUCAGUUAAAUGCAUGAUACUUUAUAGCAGGGAUGCUUACGGUUACAGAGGGUUCUGGUUCUGGAGUCUUCGGCCAACCGUCGUCCCUUUGGAGCGAAGAAACAAAUAAAUGCACAAUUGGUUAAAGAGCGUAAUGAAAUCGAAAUACAGUCUUCAUGAAGCUUGUUAAAGAGCAAAAGAGAAAGAGACACACCAUAAAUAAACUUCGGUGAGCUUGAAGAGAGAACCGAGAGUUUUAAUAGCGGAAGCUUCAGUUUCGUGGUCUACACUGUCCAUUUGGUGAAGCCGCGAAAGCCAAAUCCUUCUUUGGGCAGACUCAGUAAAAACAACGGGACUCCUCCUCAAUCCCGCUUUCGCACGCUUUUUCUCAGUUUUCUGCACCGCCAAACGACCCCGUUUUAUUGAUAAGUUUUUCCACCAAAAAAGGUGACAAAAAUAUCACCAAAAAUAACAGUUUUUCUUCUUAAUAUUGAUGAUAUUGAUACGUGUAUUUUAUUUUUUUUUUAAAAAGGUAUUGAUAUUUUUUUCUUAAUAAAUUAUUGUUAUCAAACCCAAUUCAAUCUUUGUCCAAUUAGCAAUUUUCUAUUAUUAGGUACGUAAUUUAUAUAAUUAUUUAUGAGUGCUGUGACAUAUGAUUUUUAUUUUUCUAUAGAUAUUGUCACUGUAACGAAUAAUAAUAAUAAUAAUAAUAAUGAUCGCUCAACAAUUAAACAAAAAACUCAAUGUUAAAUAAAAAUGCCGGUUACUAGCGGCAGGCAAUUGGGCAAGGCUACUAAAAACCAGCAGUCAGGGGCCAUGGAGCACUGACACUAACAGUAAGCCGGAUUCGUUUGGAGGGAAAGUAAAAACUGAAGAGAAUGGAAGACGGCGAGAUAGAAGAGGAAGGAAUGGUGGUAGAUGUUGACGGAGGAGGAGACGCACCGUUAACAAACUCGCCGAGCAAGACACAGAUAUCGGCUUACGAAAUGCUGAGAGACACCAAAUCGUCGAUUGAAGAAAUCGUAUCGGAGAUGAUAACAAUCAAAAGCGAAAGCAAACCAAAAUCUCAACUAAGAGAACUCGUCACUCAAAUGUUUAUCAAUUUCGUCACUCUCCGCCAGGUCAUCUCCCCCUAGGGUUUUGCUCUUUCAUUGACUAAGAAAGAAAAUUAAGCUUAAUUUAUUUGAUUUUGUUCAUGUUUUUUAGGUGAACCGUACGCUAUUAGUAGAAGAAGACCGGGUGAAAGCCGAGACGGAACGGGCGAAGGCGCCGGUGGAUUCCACGACUCUGCAGCUGCAUAAUUUGAUGUAUGAAAAGAGUCAUUAUGUUAAAGCAAUUAAAGCGUGCAAGGACUUCAGGUCUAAAUAUCCUGACAUUGAUCUCGUGCCCGAAGAAGAAUUUCAUCGUGACGCACCAGAGAAGAUUAAAGGCUCCAAAUUGUCUAAUGACAUCUCACAUGAUCUCAUGCUCAAGAGGCUCAAUUAUGAAUUGCACCAGGUAACUCAUAGCCCUAGAAUUUGGCAACUUUAAAAAAGAUUAAAAAAAAAAUUAGAAGUACUUAUCACUGAUGUAUUGUGCAAUAUCAGCGGAAAGAACUGUGCAAACUUCAUGAGAAGCUAGAACAACAUAAGAAAAGUUUACAGGAGAUGAUUGCAAAUCGGAAGAAGUUCUUGUCGAGUCUUCCUUCACAUCUUAAGUCUCUGAAGAAAGCAUCGUUGCCAAUACAGAGCCAAUUAGGGGUUUUGCACACAAAGAAAAUAAAGCAACUCAACUCAGCUGAGUUACUUCCACCACCUCUCUAUGUGAUUUACUCACAGUUUACAGCACAGAAGGAAGCAUUUGGUGAGAAUAUAGAUCUAGAGAUAGUUGGAAGUUUGAAAGAUGCUCAAGCUUUUGCCCGCCAACAAGCAAUUAAGGACACUGGUAAUCAAUAGUUCUACUCUUCAGCUGUUAAUAGCUGGAAAAUUUCCUGGCAAUUUUUUAAUGAAAUUAACCUAUAUUCCCAAUUGUAGUUAUAAAACCUUGAAAUGAUGCCAUUUAAUGCCUUAGUUUAAGCCUACAAAAAAAACAUCAAUUCUGUAUUAACUGUAGAAGUUUUGAAGAAACCCAACACGCAGUGGCUGGCUUGGAAAGCUUUUAUCAUCAUAAAAUUUAAUUCCUUUCUUUGCCUUUUUGAAUUUUCUUUCAACCUUAGUGUCUGGGAUAGUUUUACAUUUCAUACAUGUUUUGACUGUGACUUCUCUAUUCUUUUUCAUUAGCAAUAAAAUUGAAUAGCAUUAGUUAUAAUGAUCCAGGUAUAUCUACUAAUGUUGAGAGCUCCAAGUUAGAAGAUGAUGCACCAGAUGAGGAGGAUGAUGGCCAGAGAAGAAGAAAGCGGCCAAAGAGAGUUCCAAGCAAAGAGAGUCUUGACCAGGCAGGAGUACAUCAAGUUCAUCCACUUAGGAUAAUCCUUCAUAUAUAUGAUGAUGAGGCCUCCGAUCCCAAAUCUGCAAAACUCAUCACCCUGAAGUUUGAGUACUUGUUCAAAUUGAAUGUUGUAUGUGUUGGAAUUGAAGCGUCACAUGAAGAAACUGAGAAAGAUAUCUUGUGCAAUUUAUUUCCUGAUGACACUGGUCUUGAGCUUCCUCACCAGGUAUGAAGGUUUCUUUUGCUUGCCUUGGAAGUCUUGAUCAUUUAUCGAUGAGCUAACUUUCUACUUAUGCUUCAUAACAUUUUCCCUUAGUAAGAUAUUAUUUUUUUCUGGAUGAUGAUGCAGUCAGCCAAGCUCUCUGUUGGUGAUACCCUGGUAUUUGAUGAAAAGAGAACUUCGCGUCCAUACAAGUGGGCCCAGCAUUUGGCAGGAAUUGAUUUCUUACCGGAAGUCUCACCAUUGCUUGCUAGUCAUGAAACUUCUAAUAGUGAGACUGUUAAAAGUGAUGCAGUUGUAUCUGGCCUAGCACUAUAUCGCCAACAGAAUAGGGUACAGACAGUUGUGCAACGAAUUCGCUCUCGGAAAAAAGCUGAGCUGGCUCUUGUGUGAGUCACUGUUCUGUAAAAUUGGAGUUCUGUAUCAUGAAGGGAAGACCAGAAAAUCAAUAGGAAACAAUUUAACAUCUUGUGUUCAAAUCUGAGCAGUAGCUCUCAAGUUUUGUUUACUUGGCUAGGACUGCUAUUCGAAUUUUUAAAUAAUGAAAAGUGUCUAAUACUUUAAUUAUAUCAUUUUUUGGAACACCUAUCUUCUAUGCCUACUUAUUGCAUGUGUGCUUAUUGUCGCUUGGAGAACCUUUUCCCUUUUUUUGGUAGCUCUCUUGUCUUGUUUGUUUUGUCCUUGUGGUAAGGUAAGCUAUGUUGAAAAUUUUGGUAUUCUUUUAUGGUUUACAGGGAACAGCUUGAUUCACUUAUGAAGCGUAAAUGGCCUACUUUGAAUUGUGAACGAGUUCCAUGGGCUUUGCAUACCCCACUAUGCAAUUUGCAUAGCUGGUCUAUUGUAGGCCCCCCACCUGAACGAACUUCCUCUUUGCCCACCAUUGAUACAGAGCCAGUGCAGGAAUAUCUAGACGUUAAUAUGGAUGGAAGAUCUGGUACUUCUAAAGAAGACCUAGAGAGUGCAAGGGAAGAUGGGGAGCUUCCUUCUCUGUUUCAAGCUGCAUCUGUUGGAAAUGAUGUUAAACUUACACAUUCAAAGGGGUCUAAUUUAGACCAUUCCAGGCAGCUUGCUUUAAUUUCUAAGAGCAUUAUUUCUCCUGCUGCUAAGGCAAGGUCUCAAAGUUUCAAAAAACAUGAUGAUGAUUCAGAUCUCUUGCUUGACAUUGAUAGUGAACUGGAUGAACCUGCACAAAUUCAGACAGAAGUAGUCAAUGCUGCUUCCAUUCAUCACUAUGAGACGAAUGAAAAGUCAUGGGUGGAUUGUGGGGUUAAGGAAUUCACUCUUGUUUUAAACCGAACAAUGGAUGCAAAUAAGAAGAGUGUAAAUUUAGAAGCUAAGGUUUGUAGAUUAUCUUUUUUCUUGCAUUUUGCUCAUUCUUUUGGCAUUUUAAAAAAAAAUAAUUAAAGAUGCUUUUCUGCUAAAUGGCAGAUCAAGAUCAGUACUGAGUAUCCUCUUAGGCCUCCUCUUUUUGCUGUGAGUCUUGAGAACGCUGCUGGAGUACAUGGGCAUGGGGAUGAUUAUUCUGAGUGGUUCAAUGAGCUUCGUGCCAUGGAAGGAGAGGUUAGUGAUUGAUUAGAUGGGAAAAGCUGUCAGCAGUAAAUUUAAGACAUGAUAGGUUGUGGGAAUUUUUUCAUUGAAUGGUAUUAAAACUAAUUGCAGUUAAUCAACAGUAAAUUUCGGACAAGUGAUGAAUCAGAGUAUUAGACCAUAAUAUUCUUGUUUUUAACCAUUUAAUUGAGGGUAGCUUUUGAUGAAAACACUUAUAUCCAGUAGUUUAUGAUGGGUUCUGUGAUGUCUCUGUACUAUAAGUUGGUUUACUCCGAUGUCAUAGCUUUUUGUUAAUAAUUUUUUCAACUGAGAAGAUGAUCCCUUUUCAAUGGAAUUCUAUCAUUGUUAUCCAUUUCCUUGCUUGCACCUACUUAUAUUUAUGUUCUUAAACAGCCCACGCAAAAUUUUCUGCUAUAUUUUCACAUUUUAAUCUUGUAUCAUGUAGGUCAAUCUUCACAUGGUAAAGAUGGUACCUCCUGAUCAACAAAAUUACAUCUUAGCUCAUCAAGUCCGAUGUCUUGCUAUGUUGUUUGACUAUUGCAUAGAUGAGGCGUCCCCGUCUUCCCAAAAGAGGAAAAGCACUUAUGUGCUUGAUGUUGGUUUAUGUAAGCCUGUUAGUGGUAGGCUUCUCGCCAGAUCAUUUAGAGGAAGGGACAGGAGGAAGAUGAUAUCCUGGAAGGAUAUGGAGUGCACUCCUGGCUAUCCGUACUAGUAGUUGAGUUUUGGAACCGAAUAUGACAGUGCUUAUGGUACUCCCACUAAUGUUACAUUAGGUUUAUAAGAACUUUCAAAGAUACUCUUGUCGUUGUUAUGUUGAGCAAUGACAUUGUGCAACAGAAUCUUUGAGUCAGUUUUUUUUCUCCCCCCCUGCUAUUUUAGUAGUGAAUCUACAACUUGACCUGUCCCACUUGAUGUUAUUUAUCAAGACCAAUACUGUUGAUUUGCUUGCAUUUUGUUGAACUUUCAGGUCUGAAUCAGAUAAACUACAUAUUUAAGUGUUUGCCGAGGUCUCAUCAGUCGUAAAGCAUAUGUAUAAUACUCAUGGACAUGCACAAUUGGUACUUUGGCAACAAAAGGAUGCUGUAUUACUAUAUGGUUGAGAGGAUAUGGUCAACAUCCCACGUAAGAAAGCUAAAGGUUUUCAUAUCAUCCGAAAACUUGGAGAGAUUGGUGGAGUUUUUCAAUUUGUCAGCUUGAAGCAAAUUAUGAAUCAGUAUCAUUAGUAAACCAAUAUUGCUGAGGAUCUAACUUCUAUUGCCUGUGAUUUAUGCUCCUCAUCUAUUCUUUCUUCGAUAGUAAAGGCACAGGAUUCUCGAGCAACUUUAAUGAGUCUUGUGGAUCUCUUAUUACUCCGUCGAUCAAGUUAGAAAUAACUAGUUCGAAUCCCACCAAAUUGCACUUUCCGAUUAAGUUAUGAAAUUGUAUAAUCUGCUAGAACUGUAGUUAUAUGCCACAAUCCCGUACCUGCUAAAAAUUAAGAUAAUGCCAUCUGCGCGCUCUUUUCUUUUUUUUUUUUUUUUUUUUUCAAGUUCUUAAUUCAGUCCCACAUGAACACUUUCAGUCAGCAUGACCCAAGCCCACUUUGAAUAAAAUGCUCCAAGACGACUCUACACUGGAAUGCAGUGUUAAUGCAAAUUUGUACUCUUAAUAAUGCGAGUAGAAAGGCAGGUCGCCCACCCCGACCACAAUGGACGCCAAGUUCCCGGGUUAGACCUUCAAUUUGAAAGAAUUUCGGAAAAACAAUAAAAUAAGAAAACAUAGAAAUGUUCUCCUGAUGUACCGCUUCACAUCCACCUGUCGACAGCAUAUGUCGGUGAAAAGAAAUCGCAAACAUUCCUAGGCACAGUAAACAAGAAGCGGCAAUACAGAAAAAUGUUUUGAGAAACGAUAAGAUAACGAUCUGGACAAGCUCUGAAAUAUAUGUCAAAUGAUAGACAACUAAGGGCCAAAUAUUUUGCUUCUCUUCUCCUAGCUAUCAUGAUCCUCGGAAGAGAGGCUAAUAUUGGAAGAUACAAAAUCUACAGCACAAUACAAUAUUAUUCUCUUUAAUCUACAACUGAACCAAGUGUCUGCCUCAAAAUAUGUACAGCCAACCACUAGCAUACACUAUCUUCAAAGCACAAAAUCACAAUCCUGCCCUUUCCACUUUACCAUGGACCAGUCUGUGUCCGUCUCAAGCACCGUCUCUUGCCUCCCUGUUGCACAUUCAUCAUCUCCAAGACCUGCCAUUGAAUGGAUACAGACUUUUAGAAUCACUCAACUUCAGAUCCGUAAAUUCAUUAAAGAAUACCAAGAAACUGCAUUGUUGUCUUAUCUGAGAAAGAGAGAAACAAAGACAGAAAGUUUGUGCUUGAAUGUUUACAGGAGAGAUUUUUCUGAUAAAUGGAAAAAGAACAAGGAAAAUAACUUUUUUACCUGAUUUUUCUGCAUUUCCAUCAUUUCUUCCUGCAGUAAUGAAAGUACAGUAAAUGAGAAUUAGCAGACAACAUACCACAGCCAUUAAUUCCAUGUGCGCGUGUGUAUGCACAUUGUGUACACAUGAAACUGAAACCUACCUGUUUCUUCCGUAAUUCUUCGUUCUCUUCUUUUAACUUUGCAACUUCUGCUUCCAAUUCCAUAGUAUAAGCCUACCGCAAAAACAAAAAAGAAAAUAAGACAAGCAUUCAUCACACAUCCUGAGACAACAUAAGAAUACAAAUAAUUUCAUCAUUGAAUAGAGUAAUUUCUGUUGCCUCUCUAUUUUGCUUUAUCCAAAGGAGCAAAUCAGGUAAAAUGUUAAAAAGUUAAUCAUCCUAUUAAUUGAUGUCGACACGAUACAACUAUUGCCGGAUUUUAUGUUCCUCAAACAAUGUUCCAUUACCUUGCAACAACCUGGAUCCUUAAAACUUCUCAUGUCCUUGACUUCUCAUAAUCUUUCAUCUCUGAUCAUGUCAGGUUGCUAGCACAUUAUCAUUCUGCCGCAUAAUCUUUCAUGAAGUUUAGGAUGCAGCAUGUCCAUAGAUGAUAAAAGCAGAAGGUUAAUGGCUAGCAAAAUUUAUGGAGUGGCAAGAAGAGGAAACUUGUCAAUCACUUUUUAUGCUCUUGGUGUCAUUUAUUUGUGUUUCUUUCAUUCUUCAAUAAUUAUUUAAUCCUGACCUCAAAGUAAAUCUUUAAAGACAGACAAGUUUCUCAACUGUUAUAAACCUAAAGUUAAUAAAGUUAGGCUGUUAGGCAGUACGGGUUAAUCAAAAAUGAAUUUAAACAGACACCAACUAUUUUUUCAGCAACUCCUCCCAGUGCAUACAAUCGAUAUCUCAGCAAUCGCAUGACCAUGAGAACAUCAAGUAAGUCAAAACUCAUGGGAUUGUUCAAACAAACCGAUAAGUAAUCAUUUCACAGGUUCAUUUAAUUUAAUCAUGCAUCAUGGACUAUCCAAAUGCUCUAUUUAAUUAACAGACAGCACUACCAGCAUAAAAAGGUACAGCAGCAAACACCGAAUCAAUCAGAUUUGAAGCCAUAGGCAUAAACAAAUAGUAGAUUAUAAAUAUAUCAAACAAAAUUUUACCUGCUUACGAGCCCGAGACCUUGCAGCUGACUCUCUAUUCUUUAUCAUUCUCCUCUGCCUCCUCUCAACAACCUUCUCCACAUUCCCAUUGAAUCUCCUCCCCCUUAAACUUCCAUUGAACAUGUAAGGAACCGGCGACACUGAAGAAGUAUCCCCAUUACUCUUCCCAAUCCCAUCUGAUGACAACUGGUUUGCAGGAGACCCCAAAGAAACACCUACAGGAGGAGCUCCCAAACCAACCAUUCCCAUCCCUCCACCCUGAAGUGCACCACCCUGAAUCAAAUUACCAUUCAUUGCCUGAUCACCUACUACCACAAUUCCGCUCUUAAUUCCUGGACUACUCUGUAAAGGCAUCUGAGUAGCAUACGCCAUAGCAGGCUGCUUGGGAAAUAUUUGCGGCUGUUGUGGCUGUUGCUGUGUCUGCUGGUUAUGCUGCUGCUGAGCUAGGGGAUGCUGAUUCAUUCUAGCCCCAUUAACAUUCAAAGGCAAAUUCGAAGACUGAAUAUUAAUCUGAUUACCAGUCUCCAGGUUACGAUUUCCCAUCAGACUUGCACCCUUACCCAUCUGCUGAAACCCAAUUCCCAUUCCAGUAUUAUUAGCUGACCGUGAUAAAUCACCAAAAAGCCCACUAUUACCAUUAACCUUGCCACCAACACCACCACCAAACUGUAAAUCCUCCCUAACAACGCCAGCUCUCACCAAAAACUCCUCCAACGUCAUUUCCCCCAAAGUCUGCUGCCUCUGUGCCUGUGGCAUAUUAUUCGGUCCUUGACCACCAACACCACUGCCACCAGCUAUCCCAUCC
rnacentral:lncRNA from 1 species